CAUACUCCAAUGCACUGUAUUUUAUUAUAUAGUGUAGUAAAAUCUAAACUUUUUUGUCUUUUAACUAAUCUCUGACUUUAUUAAAGUCAGAAAUCCCUGAUUAGAAAACUAUUCAUAUAUAUAUAUAUAUAUAUAUAUAUAUAUAUAUAUAUAUAUGCAUCUAUAAUUCUGGAUAUCGGUUUUGAAUGAAGAUCACAUAUAUAUUAGUUAAUUUUUUGAUUGCAAAGAGUCAUGGCAGCUAGGCCUAGGGUGGUCCAUCCAAUUAAUUUGAUAUAUAUCCUAAACUUAGACAUCUUAUUUUUCUACACACAAUAUGUUAUUAUAUCAAACAGAUAGCAUCAAUCCAUGCCUCAACUAUUAGAAUAGAGACACAUUACUUGAUAUAGAUACAUAAUAUAUAAUAUAUGAUUAUGUUAUGACAUGCAAUGCAAAGAACUUGUAUGAGGACCAAAUAAAAAACGCCAAGGUGGAUUUUUUAUUCAUUUCAUAUUCUUUUUCAUUAAUUUUAUCUCUAUUUAGAUAGAUGGGAUAUUAUCCUCUGAAUUAAAAUGAAAUAUAAAAAAUUAAUUAUUUACAAAGAUAUAGUACUUUUAUAAAUUGCAUUUCUAGUACUUUUUUAUUUAUCACAUUAAGUGAAAAAAAGGCAUUAUCCUACUAGUAAAUUUGAAGUAUAUACCAAUGAGAAUAAAUUUGAUUCUGUGAAAAAAAUAAUAAUGAUAAUGCAAAUUAAGAAUGUGAGUAAACAGUCACUUGGUCGAAGAAUAUGUGCAACGUGGAUAGGAAAGAAUAAAUUCAAUGUCUCAAGAAACAGUGAAUUCAUCUCAAGCCAAGUGCAAAGUCUCAAGUGAAUGCUGCCAAAAUCCAUUUCCUUUUUGUUAACUUGCAGACGCAGCUUGAUGUUUUAGCCAAUGGUGCUGCACUGUUGCCUGCAUUGCCCGUUUCUUUCUUUCGAAUUGUGGUUGAGCAAGUGGGCUUGUCCUUUUCAUAGUGAAAACUACCUUUCAAUUUUUUUCUUAAACUUUUUUUCUUUAAAAGAUUUUUCUUACUCAAGGCAUCCACCUUUUAAAUUUUGAUCAUCCAUAACAUUUCCAUUGCGAUUAGGAAAGAGCAUGGGCACUGGGUAGAUAUUAAAAAAUACAUAAGGCCUUUUCUUUUCCGGGUGUAGUAGGUAUGGUGCUCGAUGUGUCCCUGGAAUUGUAAUACGGUGACACCUCUAUGCACUCAAAAGUACAGGUGCGAGCUACAAAAAUCUAUCCCAUUAAUAUGAAUAAAUUUUCCUUCAAUAUUAAUGAAAACGAAAAUUUAAUUGGAUAGUCCCAACAAAUUUCUAAUAGUAAUAUCAGUAGAUUUUGAAUUAUAAUAUAUAUAUAUUAGUGUUAAAAAAUAUAAUAAUUUUAGAAAUUUUAAUAUUUGAAUCCCAACUUGAGUUUUAUACUAUGUAUCACUAAUUUAUUGAACGUUAGAUCAUUGUUUGUAAAAUUACUAAAUUACUUUCUAAUAAAUGAAUUUCAUAUCAACUUGAUACUCGAAUAUUGAGAUGUUUGGCAUUAUUCUAAAAACAAAGGUGUAGAGUUUUGGAUCUUGAUGUAUAUAUAUAAGUAACUGAUACAUACAUAUAAAUAUGUCUGCUUCUAGCCAACUAAUUUGAUUUUCAUUUCGGGGAAGAUUCUGUAGUUGAUUGCUGGACUGUGAAUGCGAAAAUAAGCAGCAGCAGCAACANNNNNNNNNNNNNNNNNNNNNNNNNNNNNNNNNNNNNNNNNNNNNNNNNNNNNNNNNNNNNNNNNNNNNNNNNNNNNNNNNNNNNNNNNNNNNNNNNNNNAUUGAUUAUUCUUGAAUUUACUACAACCAACAUUUGAUUCAUUUGAUGAAUGAAAAAAGAAGAAGAAGAAGCCAUGGAUCAAUUUUUAACCCAUUAUAGAAAUCGGCCCACAAUGUGCUUCAACAAUCAAAGAUUUCUUCUUGCUUGGACAUGGGUCACCAUCAAAAAAUUGGUCAGAUGCUGGGAUUAAACAACUCCGUUUUCCUAGACAAGCCUGAAAAAUAUUAUAAAUUUGAUCAGCCUUGAUGAAGAAAAAAUAAUCAAAGAUUUUAUAAAACAAAUUACUUUAGUCCUUCGGCUUGAGGCAGUUACUUAAUUACUCCGUGUUAUUUCAAAAAUGAUCCAAAAUGUCUUUGUAUACUUAUUUAUGUUAAAAUAUACAUAUCAAAUUUGUUUGAAUUUUAAGUCAUAUCAGACAAACAUAUUUUAUCCUAAAAAAACUGAGUGCCACAAGAAUAACUACAAGGUGUUUUAGAUAAUUUUUGAAUAUAUAAAGACUAAACGGAUAAUUCACACAUUUUAUGGACUAAAUGAACAUUCAUAUAUGUUAAAACUAAAUAAAAAAUGUGUAUAAAAUAUGAUGACAGGAAUUGAGCAAUAAUCAACAAAAGCUGACCUUUUCCGCAGCAAAUUUUGAGUUUGGUGAGUCACAAUACCCAAUAGCAUGCCCAUCACGUCCGCAGCCACCAAAAGGGGUUCCAUAGCUUGCAAACAAAAUUUUAGUAAUGUACCCAUUUGGAGCACACUGUAGAUGAACUAAUUUUGCUUCUCUACUUCCAUUAUAAUGUCUGUAAGGAGAAGCUCUUGCUUUCCCACAAACUGAAUCAAUUACAACUUUUUCUAAGGUGAUGGAUAGAGGGUCUCCACCCUCUUCUUCUAGUAAAACUAAAAGGUUGCCUGUGGGCUUGAGGAAGGAUCUUGGUAUAUUGUAUCUAAAUAUGAAAUAAAUAACAAUUAAAAACAUAGUUAGAAAAAGUCACAAAAAAAAAAGUACUAAGUAUCUUAGAAACAACUCUAUAGCCUUACAUUGUUGAACAUUUAAAAUAAAGGAGAAAAAACUUAAAAAUACAUUUGUUACAGUAUUUUUCUUUUUUCACAAAGGUAGAAGGUGGAGAAAGUUGAAAUUAAACUUUUUUAACUUCUCUGGAUUCAAAUAUUUAUAAGUGACUAGCUAAGACGGAAUAGAUUGAAAGCCACUAGGCCAAACCCAGAAAACUUACUCAUAAACUGAGUUAAAAUUUAUACUGUUAAUUUAAAAUAAAUGAGCAUAGAUAUAGCAUAAAAUAAAUAUUUGGACUUGGCGAAAAUUAAAGGUACUUACGAAAUUUGCGAAGGUUCACCUCGAGGAGUUCUCAAAGAGGGCCAAUAUCGACCAAAACUUUGGCCGUUAACCCAAGCUUCACCUUUUCUCAUUCCAUUAACAUUCAAUGCAACAUGCUCAUCUUCGCCAGUUGCAUCAAAUGCAGUCUAUCAAAUUAUCAACAAAAAUAAAAUUAUUAAUUAACAUUUAAUGUCAAUUAAUUAGUUACAUAUGUAAUAUAAUGUUAUGACAUUCUGUGUUAAAAAUGACGAGUUGUAUGUUAAAAGUUACUACAUUAUCAAAGAAAAAAAGAAUUAUCUGAACUUGCUUCUUACCUUGUACCAUGUAAGCGGGGGACUAAUAUCUAAAGAUGAAAGCUUACUCCACUGAAUUAUUUUGGAUCCUUCAUCAGUGUAAAUUUGCAAAUUUUCUCCUAGCAAUCCUACCUGUAAGUAAAUACUAAGUGUCAAGAGUAUUAUCUCACAUCAGUGAAGAAUGAAUCUUAAGUCGAGUACAUCAAUUUGAUGCAACUCUCAAUUAUUGAGCUAAUUUUUAAGUAUUAGUCAGCCCAUAAACUUCUAUAAUAAGAAGUUAUAACAAAAUGUAAAGUAAAAACGUUUAAGUAUAAGUAGUCUCAUAAUUUAUUUUUAGUUACCUAUUUUACAUUCAAAUCGGCAAAUUUUUUACAUUCAAACUUUUUUAUAAGCAUGUUACAGUAGACUGAUAGUUAGAUUAUAGUAGUAAAAGAACCCGAAAAGAGUUUUAAAAAGUGAGAAACAAUAGCCACCUAAAUGUCUUUCGCUCAAACCAAACUAAAAAUAUAUAUAAGAUUACCUUCUGUCCCCAUUUAUAGUUAGUGAAGUUCAUGCUUCCUUCUUUAUUCUGAAUCGACACGGCAACCGGUCCAUAUCUCUUUCUUUCUAAAUAAGCUCCUGAAUCCUUAAUACACCCAUAAAAGAAUUAAGUUGAUUAAUUGUUUGACACAAUUUGAAUGAAUUAGGGAAAAUUCUAGAAUGAACAAGACUUGCCUUUCAAAAGAGAAAAUCAGUUGACUUCAGAAUGACUAUAAUAAUCUAGGUUUUGUUUGGUAUAAUUAUUGGACAGCUUUGCCUUAAAGGCAACAGCUAUAAAAUUUUUGGUGAAUAUUUACAAGUAUGGCUUAGAAGUUUAGGUGCUUUUAACACAAUUAAAUUUUUAUUCGCAGUAAUCGUGGCUUUUAUUUACCUAACAGAGUCUCAGUGAAAGUUAUUUGAAGAAUUGAGAAACUUGGAGAUAGAAUAGUACCGGUAAUCCAACCAUCACACUUAGCAAAGAAACAUUGUUGAUCCCGUUGCUUAAUGAAAAGUCAGUUUGGAGCGUAAAGCUUGUAUUCUUAUAACUUCCAUGUGCAGAUCCUAAAUAAUAUUGACAACAAAUUGAAAAUGAAUGAAUAAGGUAAUUAUUAACAAAUAUUAAGAUUUUGAAAAGUAUUAUAUAGAAGAUGAAAUUUGUAUGCUCUAAAUUUGUAUCACACUUAUUUAACCCAAAAUAUAAAGAUACAUGGUAUAAGAACUUUUAGGUGUAUAGGACUGCACGUGUAAAAAUUAACACGUUUUCAAGUAUUAAUUAUAUCAAACACAUUUUCAAAUAUUAAAAGUACUAAAAAAAUACACAUUAAAAAAUUGUCAACCUGUUAACUAAUUUUACUUUUCUAAAAUAAUUUUCGAAUCGCAAAUCAAAAGGACUCUUUGAACUUACCAACGGGUACUCCGUUGACAAAUGCAUGCAAAACAUGCCCAAGAGAAUGCACACUGAGUUGAGCUCGAGUAUCAGAAGGUUCGUGCUGAAAGCUGCACAAUGCAAUAUUUGGAAUCAACCAACCAAUCAAUGCGUUGUUUCAAAUUAAUAUUGUUUAAGUAAAAUUUUGCACCAAGGUAUGUCAAAAUAAUUGAAUUUUAUACCUGAAACUGUACCAUAGGUAAUCAGAUGUAUCCUUUGUUGUAUCUGUGUGCUCUAAUAAAGUAUCGGAUUUCAACGAAGUGUCUUCAAAAUUAGGAAUCGGCUCUUUGAAUUCCUCCCACUGAUCUGAUACGUUGAAGUACAUGAUUGGUAUCCUUGUUCUAGUAUUCGUUUGAGUUUUUACCUGUUAAAGAAAACAAAACCCCCAAAAAAAUGGAAAUUAAUUAUUAUAGCCAAUGAAUUAAAAGCAUGUAAACAAAUAAGUGCUGCUGAUCUUAGCUUGUGCUACCCUUUACAAAGUUAUAAUUAGCAAAAUUGGAUAAGAAAAUAUAUAUUGUUAAAUCAUAACCGUACACGAUUAGAAAUGCAUACACGUGGUACAAAAUUUUUAAAAACAUCAACACAGCUUAGAUCAGCACCCGUCAAAUUUAAAGAGGUAAUGUAUGAUUAAGUAGUCUUGCCUCUGCAGUAUUGAAGAUUACAUUCCUACAGUCAGGUAAAAUGCUAAUCGAAUUAGCGAGCAAUUUAUAAGAAGAAUUUUGGAAGACAACAUCAACAUUUUGCUUAUCCUUGUUCACCAGAAAGGCUGAUGCACAUUCUUCAGAUGAGUUUUCAGCAAAGAGAUAGGCCUGCAUUACAUUAAUUUCAUGAUAUCAGAUUUUUUCUUUUUUCUUUUUUUAAUUUCAUGAUAUCAGAUUUUUUCUUUUUUCUUUUUUUAAGUUCUCACUCAAACUGGGAGUUAAUUAUGCUAUUUCUAGUAUAUACUUCUUGUUUUGGACCCAGCUGAAGAGGAGUCAUUGCCUUUCCCAAGAGUAAAGUAUUUGAACACAGCUUAAUUGCAGCAUGCAACUCCUUCAAAUGGCCCCAUUUUGGUUGAUUGAUCAUACCUUAAUGUUACCAAGUGAUUUGUCAAAAUUAAUUUAGAAAAGAGGAAACAAUAUAAACAAAAAGGAAAAUAUGUGUAGAAAAAAGUACGCAUACCGUACUCAUCAAGAGGGGCGUCAUCAUAGUAACUUGCUGUUACAAAAGCUGAGGCUUCCCUUCCGAAAUUGGUUCCCCCGUGAUACUGUGUAAGAGCAUUAAAAGCCAAGUUUAAAAACACUUCACACGCACAUACAAUCCUCCGAACGUAACUACAGAAUUAACAUAUACACUGUCAAUAAGAUACAUGCUUCUUUGUUUUUUGUAAUUUAAGAUAAUCAUCACAUCAGUUAGUCCUUGUAUUUAAAAAUGAUCUAAAACAUCUAUGUUAUUAUUUUUGUAUAUAUGGGAUACGAUUUUUCAACAGUUAAAUAGUAUUUGUUUUGUAUAACUUACAAAUUCCAACAAAUAUGACAUCAACAGAUGAAAAGAUAGAUGAUUAUUAAAUAUAUUUCUAAUAUAUAUACAUAGACACACACAUAUUAUAAAUACACACAUGAUACAUGUAUGAUAGAAAUUGUUUAAGUGAGAUCAACCGAGAGAACAUACAUAUACAACAUCAAUCCACUAUAUAUAAAUAUGAGGUACCGGAAGGAUUAUAAUUCUUUUACCAUAUAAUAAUUUACAAAGCUUCCAUUCCUUGCAACCCAUAAUGCAACAUGAAAUGCUAUGUCGUCAGCAGUUCUUCCUAUUGGAUCUUCACCGUAUGCUUGAUACCUUCAAAGCAACCAAAAGGAUUUGUGCGAAGCAAGAUAGAAAACCAAAUAACAUAACAACAGAAUAGAGUAAACAAUCGAAACAAAAAUUUAUUCCAUGAUAUAUUAUAAUGCUAUAAAUACCGAGAAGUCCAAUUUUCUGUCCAUAUAGAUGGCUUAUUGGGAGAAUUUGGCCCCUUAAAUGUCUCCCCACAUUUCCUCCCAUUGCAUGCAUUUAUCUGCAAAUUGAAUAAAAAUAUUAGAUCUCAUUUGAAGAUGGACAAAAGCUCGUGCUGGAAAAAAUAAAAAUUAGAGAAAAUGACAUUGAAACCCAGGAAAGGUUUACCAAAGGUGGAUCCAAGUUGCUCAUUUAUUUGAACGGAGAUAAGAACAUUAUUGUAUAUUGACCAUGGUUUAAUAAUCCUUGGGUAACGGAUAGUAAUGAAUUUUUCACCAUCCAAAUAAAUGAAACAACAAGAAGAAAAAGGGUAUAAAUGUACAUUUAUGAAAUGUUGGGUGACUAGCUGACCAUUGUGGGAAAGCUUGGGGCAUCGGUAUCCUUUUACCUAAGGUUAUGAAUACAUUCACUAAGGCCUCUAAUGUUUACAUUACCGUCACUUAACAAAUUAAGGAUAUCAGAGAAAUAGGCACUUGGAUCCCUCGAGUCUUGAUUAAAACAUGAGGGACCUAAGUGCUUAUUUCUGCAAAGAAAUAGAGCUAAUGAAAAUAUUUUCAGAAGAUCAUCUUGAUUUAAACCUAAUAAGAUGGAGACUAACCACAGGAUCAGGUGCAUCAUCUUGCUUGCACAUCACCCACGGCACGCCGGUUUGAAGUCCGACCGCCAUCUCUGCUGCCCAUUUGAUAUAUGGUGGCCCUCGUUCACCGAAAGCAUUUUCUACCAUUUGAUACUCAUUCUCAAUCUAUAAAUAUAUACAUGAAAUUUAAUUUCAAGUCACUAUUCAGUACAGACCCUCAAGUUUAAAAAUGUAAAUUUGAGGAUAGACAACUUUGUCUAACUACAAGACGAUGUUGUCUCUCUGAAAUUUAUAUUUUAAAAUGAGUGAAUAUCUGGACCUGCGAAUUUUUAUUUUUAGUUCAAUGCAAAUAUAUACGAUAGUUCAUUUAUGAGAAAAAAAUUUAUUUACCUGGGAUAAAAUGAUGGGGCCUCCUUGUGAGGCAUACAGCCUUUCUGAUUUCAUCAUGUUUACAAUUUUUGUCGUAAAAUUUUGCAUGAAAGCCUUCCAUAUCGAUCAACAAAAUAUGAAAUAAUGUCACAUUCAAACUCAUUUUCUGAAUAGGCAUUAAUCACGAAAUAAUGAAAAUAUCACGAAAUUAAAUAUUGCCAUCACCUUGAAGGGUUCAUUGUCACAUCUAAAAGUAAUGCCUGGAACGUCAUGCAGCCAAAAUGGGAGGCCUCUGCAACCAUUUAAGAAGCCCUAAUUUGAAUUUUAAAUGUUCUAGAAAAAGAAUAAGUAAAUAAUUCAAAUAAAGUUGCAGAAGUGAAAUUUACCCAUAAGACCAUUCGCUCUGAAUGAAAGGUCCAAUCCUAAUGCUGGCAUAUAAUCCUAGUGCUUGGAUUUCUUUAAUGAACCUUACUAGAUCUCUUCUUCCACUAAAAUCAUACUAAAAAAAUGUAAUAAUAAUAAUAAACAUAAAUUAGAAUAAAAUCAUUGAAGGUUAGCCAGCCUCUUUUUGAAAAUAAUGAAAUUAAGUUAAUUAAUUAAGUAAUUACCUUGCCUGUUUCUGGCUCAUGAAGAUUCCAGAACACAUAGGUUUGUAUCACAUCCAAUCCUCCUUCUUUGGCCUUGCUUAUCAAGGAUGGCCACAUCUGAUAUAAUUUCAGUACAAUUUUCUUUUAAUAUCAAUGGAUAGUCAAUUUUAAAUUUUGUUUUACUCUUACGUAAUAAAACUUGUUAUAUUCUAAAAUAAAUGCGUUUCACUACUUGAACUCCCCUAUUAUCUGAAUUUCUCUGAAGUAAAAUUUAUAUCAAUGAUUAGUGACUAUUAGAUAAAAAAAAUAAAAUUAUUAAUAUUAAUAUAAACUUAUAUACUCCAUGAUGCAUAGUAAUUUAAACUUAUGUACUCCACUUACGUAAUUUUUAAAUCAUAGAGUUCAAAAGGGCACUUCCGUAUUAAUCAAUAAUUAAUACAAAAAGUCAAACGAUACAUUAAUAAGAAAAUGUUUUUAUUUUUUUUCCUUUUUACCAAUGAAACAUUGGAGUAAGCCACAAGCAAAAUACAAAUAUUGCUUCAACAAUCUCAUAGAUGUUAUACAUAUGUUACUGGCGUGUAGGAGAGAAGAUCCAGAGAAACGCACUGGCCUUUCCGAUUUUUUCGAGGAGCCCAUAUAUAUCUAGUUAUUUAGCAAAGAGAAUUUAUUAAUUAAACAGUAUAUAUUAACCAACUCAUAGUGGCAUCUACGUGUUUUUUUUCAAUGAAAUUAUUAUUUGAUAAGUUAUGGCAAAAUAAAGAUCAUAAAAUGUUCGAGAAAUUAACACGUAGCACAUAGUUUUAAAUUGCUCAUACAAAUAUAACUAAUAUAAUUUACAAGAUGGUAUCGAGGCUGGCAUUCAUGAAAAUUGUCGUUAUUCCAAAUUUUAUCAUAAAAUGACAUUUUGUUAAAGCACCCAUCGAUACAAAAAUAAAUAAUAUAAAUCAAAAUCACAAAUGAAAUAUGGCUAAAGAAAAUUCUAAGCAGAAACUUUAGAAUAUCUCCACGGAUCAAUAUCAUGCAUGACAUAUUUGUAUAACGAAAGAAAUGAAGAGGAUUAACAAAAGUAUAUAUAAUACCUCUCGAGGGCUCCGCGGAUAGUGAAUUGAACCAGAGAAAAGAACCUUUCUUUCACCAUUAAUGAUCAAAGAUCGGCCGUCGUACGUCACUUCUCCGCCGCGAACGCCACCACUCAUUACCGCCAGCAGCGGCAGCAAAACCCAACACAAUAUCAGUAGCCUCACCAUCUUCUAUAUUUGCAGCUUCUCAAAUUUGCAAGCGAAUGGCUCACUAUAGCUAGCUAGAUAGCUGGCUAUAUACUCUCUAUAUAUGAAAAAAAUAUAUAAUAAAAAAAUCAAAGUAUUUUCAUGCACACACCUAGUCCCUCUUUAGCAGGGGUGUCCUCUUUUUUUUUUUUUUUCAUUGAAAGCUGUUAAGGCAUGUGGUUUAAUAGAGUUAAUUUUUAAUACUAUUAAGCUGUAUCGUUUUAUAAUGUAUUGAAAAAAACUUUACUAAAUUACGGGACUUAACAUAUAUAUAUGUUCAAAUCGAGGAUCCUGAUAAACUAGAUCACCAUUCUCUCUCUAUAUAUAUAAAUGGAAAUCGUAAUGUAAAGGAAGAUUGAGAUAUUAAUUUAUAAAAAUUUACGUAGAAAAGAAGGGAGAGCUGAGCCAUUAAUGGGAUCUUGAGUUUAUAGAUUCCAAGUGUCAAUUUUACGAUAUAAAUUAGAUUGAUAUAUAUUAAACAGGGUGUUAAUUAAAUAAAUAAAAACAUUGACAGCCAGUUGUACAAUUACAGGACGUUAAUGAGAAAGAGUGAGAGACGGCAAAGAAUAGGGUAUUGUGUUGCACGUCAACUGAUUUUUAAUUUUUAUUUUUUUCCCUACGUUGUGUGAGAACUGAGAAAUAAUGUUUGUUUAUUUUCAUGCCAAGUUUAUGAGGCAUGGAUGAUAGAUCAUGCAUCAACUUCUGAAAAAAAACUUAGACAAAGAAUUUAAACUUCAAUCUCUGUUUAUUCCGUACAUAGAACAUAAUAAGUUUAUAUGCAACCUGAAGUACUAAACUUAAAACGCAAAAUUUGGAACACAAGAGAACGAAAUUUUUUAAUUUCUUGUCAAGGAUUUUACAGUAGACAUACUCAGCACGAUAGCUGAUAAUGAAUAUGAUUGGAGUACUUGUAAUAUCAUGGCUUGCAUUUUGUUUCCAAAGCAAAUAAAUAACUUAAUACUAUUCUGGUAGGGGUGGCAAAUAGGAAUGACAUUUUUUGGGGAUAUUCCCUAUUUUGAGAGGGGAUGAGCAUAAUUUAAUAUUUAAUUUUUUAUUUAGGGAUGGUAUGAGAAAAAUUUAAUAUCCAAAUUUUUAUUUAAGGAAGGGAUGAGAAUAAGGUAAAUCCCCAUCCCCUCUUUAUUCCCCUGCUUUUAAUUUUAAUUAUAUAUAUAUAUUUUUAACAUAAUUCUUAGUACAUAUAUUUAAGAAUUGUAUUUAUAUGUAUGUAAAUAAAAGUCCUAAUAUUUAUAGAAAUAAUAUAGAUAAGAGAUCAUAUAAGAACUUGAAUGAAAUUUGUCAUUUCCUCAAUUAUAUAGAAAAAUAACACCUUUAUUUUGUGGACAAAUCACAUAUUGAUGAUAUUAACUUAGUUUGACAAAAGUAUUUUAAUUGACAUAAUUGUUUUUGAUAUUUUUGUAUUGGUAUUAUAAUUUUACACUUUUACAUUGAUAUGAUUAUAUAAAAUACAGAAAUUAAAAUUGUCGGUUAUUCAAAAAGUAAGUACCCUUGGGGAUCGCUUUUUAUUAAUUGGGGAUCCUCAUCCCCUCUUCUUAAGUAAUUAUAAUGAAAAUAAAAUGGUUAUGACGACUUAAGCAAAAAGUACAGAGAUGUCAAUCUCCUGCCCUCCUCUCUCAUUGCCACUUCUAAUGGUAAAAUGAGAUUAGAUCUAAAGACCAUUAGGUAUUAGUAAAAAUUUAGUUCAACACUGAAUUUUUAUCUAUUUUUUCAAUUCCUAGAUGAAAUAAUAUAUUUUUUAAGAAAAUUUGUAUUGUCAGGAUUAUUGUUUUAUUAUUAUUGUUGUUGUUAUAGUUGUUGUUGAUGACUUGAAAUUUCUUGUUAGUAUUACAGGGGCAGAAGUGGGACCGAGUUUGAGCAUGUUUUGAUAUGGGUCAAAUAAGAAGAUCGAGCCCAACUUAAACCUUGGAUUGCAUGAUUUCUAAACUUGUGCUAAAGUUUUGGGGCUUGGUUUUUGACUGAAGAUCACAGUGUGAUAAACAUCCCCCACACGUUUGUUAUGGUUCCCCCAAAACUGUGAGGUUUCUUACCUGUUGCUCCAUCUUCAAUGCAAUUUACUUUCAUCAGUAGCUGCAUUGGAUAUUAGGGUUUUUUUUUUAAUCAAUCAUUCAUCAUCUCGACACCAUAUCGCAUUUAUCCUCGCCAUAAGGAAUGCUAAUAUUUAUUCAUAAUAAUUUUUCAGAAUUGUGACAGAAUCAAUCUUAAAACUACAAAUAUGAAAUUACAGUUAACUGAAAGACUAAUAGACAAAACACGUUAAAAUCACAUGAAAUUAUCGUUAUUUGAAAAAAAAAAAAUACGAUAACACCAUAUGAUUUUUUUCCUUUGAAUUUUCUUUGCGAAUAAACACAACAGUUAAAUAUUACAGCUACAUCUUCCUCUUAAACUCAAAAAUUGCAAUUGCUAUUAAAUUCAUCAAUAGGGACAUCAUGGUGGUCCACACUCUUAACAGUUAACAUCUUAAUUUUAUCAACUAUUACAAACUCCAAAUUUGCAACAUUUUCUUUACAAUAAGAUAACUAAAAAAAAAUGACAAAAUUAGGAAAGAGAGUUCUUUUAGGUAUUUGCUCCUGCAUGUAAAAGCUAUUAUAUUUACUCCAGCAUAUAAACCUUAUUUUCAAAAUUUUUUUAUCACUAUAAAAUAAUUUUUUAACAUUUUAUUUUUAUUUUUUAGUUGAGGCAUAUGCAGGGCAAGGAUUUAAUGGAAAUGUGCAUUUUGUUUACUCAGACCAGAAGUGUCCGAAAUAUUUCUCAUUCAGUAAAAAAAAAUUAUGUAACAAAAUUUUAAAAAAGAAAAAAAGCUUUAGUUUACAGUUUAUUUAAUUCAAUUUCUAUUCUAUUAUAUUACUUUUUAACCAUGAUCUUACUUUCCAAUUAUGAUCAAAUUGUUUUCUAUUUUUUCAAGGUGGACUCAGGGAAAAAAAUUAAAAUAUAAUUGCUAUUUCUCUUUGAUAUGUCCAUCUCAUCUAACAUUUCCUACAUUGACUAAAGCCGAAUAAAUGUUGGCAUGAAGACUGAUAGAUUAGGUAAUAAUUAUAGGACAAAACUAGCUUACCCCCAUUGUACCUAACACUCAGUUUUGGUAUUUUUAUUGCGGUCUUUAUCAUUUUCUGUAAAUAACAAUAAUUACAAAUUUCAAAAUUUUUACAUAAUAAGCCCGGAUCAAAAUAUAAUAAUUUUAAAAUUAAGAAUUUUGUUCUUUUCCCUCUCUGCCUUCUUUUCAAUCAUUCUGCCGUAUUUCUAAUCCUAGUUCGUUCAUUGUUAAGCAUAUAAUUCAUCAAAACAUAGAGAGUCUUCAUAAAUUAGAUUAAUUUAUUGAACAUAAAAAUUAGAAAAAUAAUACUUGCAUACUCUUAAAAGAAAUUUAUUACUUUUAUGUUCUUUCCUUCAUCACCGGAAUAAAGAAAUGAUUGUAUCUUACUUUUCAAUAGGAGGACCUUAACAUUAGUGUCACUUUUUACUAACAUNNNNNNNNNNNNNNNNNNNNNNNNNNNNNNNNNNNNNNNNNNNNNNNNNNNNNNNNNNNNNNNNNNNNNNNNNNNNNNNNNNNNNNNNNNNNNNNNNNNNUAAGUGAUAUAGCUUAUUGAUGUUCUAAGAGGUGAACUAAGGUGAUUUGCGAGGUGAGUUGAGGUGAAUAGGGGUGGGCGUUCGGAUUGGGUUAACCCGAACCAAAUCAAACCUGAAAUUUAUUUCGGGUUCGGUUCGUUUGGGUUAACCUGUGCAACCUGAACGGAUUCAAACUAUCAACUUUGACUCGAAUCGAAUUUUAACCCGAACGGGUUGAAUAUCUUUUUUUUUAAAGUUUUGGCUUUUAAAAAUUAAAAAAUAUACACGUAUUAAACAACAAAAAAAUCUCUUUGAUUACAUAUUUUAUGUUUUAUUAACUUAAAAAGACUUGUUGAAAUGUUGUUAAGGAUGAUUUUAGUUGAUGUUUGUUGUUAAAGAUGUUUGGAUUUGAGAUUUUUUGGAUUUUAAGUGGUUUUUGGUAGAAUUUGUGGAUUAAAUUGUUCCAAACCGAAUUAACCCGAAUUUUUAGAUUGAAUUGUUCUAACCCAAACUAACUCGAAUUAACUCAAACCGAAACUUUAACCCGAAUUACCAACCCAAUCCGAUCUGGAUUACAAACUCGAACCGAACCGAAUCGAAUUUAAUUCAGUUCGGGUUGGCGUUUUCAAUCUGAUUGGGUUUAAUUCUCCAACCAGUUCGGGCUAAAACCCAAACCAAAACCCGAUAUGCCCACCCCUAGAGAUGAAUAGAUUUUAGAAUAUUAUGGAGAGCUCAAUAGAACUCGUAAAAGUUAAUUUAGAGAGUUGAUAUGGGGUGCUCAAGAGAGUUCAAAUGCAUCUUAGGUGUAGUUGGGAUAUAACUCUAGAGAGUUUUUCUAGGAAGCUCAGCAGAGCUCUCAAUCCUCAUGGUAUACCUCAGGUGAGCUCAUGCAUGAAGUACGAUUUAGGCAUAAGAACGUCAUAGUAAGUAGAAAAAAAUAUAAACAAUAAAGAACACACAAGAUUUUACGUGGUUUGACCAUUUGUCCUAUAUUCACAAAGUACUAAUUUUUAAUCCACUGUGUAAAUGAAGUAUGAUAUGAUUUGCUUUACAAUAUCAACAAAACCUUAUUAGAAAUUAUUUGUGGUGAAUAAUAACAUAAGGGAGAAAGUAGAUCUUAUGGAGAUUAGAGAAUUUUCUAAGGGAAAAAUAAGGGAAACGACUCCUUGGUAGAUGAGAUGGUCAAGAUUCUCUAUAAAAUUAUAAAAAUGAAGUAAAAAGCUAAAAAUCGAGGAAGAAAAUGAAACCUCUUGAGAAAUCAAAUCUGGUGAAAAAAAAAAGGCCCCUAAAACUAAAAGUUAGAUAGAGGCGGAAUAGUUUUAUCCACCUUUUUGCCUCCACAGCUAGGCUUGUGGCAAGCUCUUAGUAUUGUGGCCCUUUUGCUUUUGAGGGAAUAAUAAAAGAGUGUUGACAAUACUUGACAUGGUUACCCAUAAUUGCUUAGCUAAGGAAUCUUCACUCCUAUUGGCUCUAGUUCUUAGCCAAAAAGAAAAUAUUUUAAAAUUUGGAUUCUCAUAAUACUCCAAUAAGGAUAUUUAUUGAAACUAACCUUUUUCCCCAGUGAACUUAUUUUCUCAUCUCUGAGUUCAGUCAAAUGAAUUGACUUUAUUUUGCUGAAUUUCCUUAGCCAUGUGUCAUGAUGUCAUUAGUCCAUGUCAGCAUCCAAAUUUCCCCUAAAAAACCUUUCAAAAACUAAUAUUGGGAAUUUUUGUAGUCUACUUUCUGUAUUUUAAACAUGAUCACAAAAUUCAAUGGCAAGAUCCUUGCAAAAUCCAAUCACCAAAAUUUGCAUUUCAAUUAUAAUUUAUGGCUUAUUCGAGUUAUGCAAUUGAGAGAGGGGGAAGCUUUCUGCAUCAACUUUUAGAUUCAUGAUCAGAAUUCCAAAAAGAUUUUCUAGCUAACAGCGUUAACAUAAAAAAUUUUAUUCUUAAAAGGUAUAGUAUAGUAUAAUUUGGUUAUUUGGACCCUAAUUCCUCCCAAUUCCCAUUUGCUCAAUAUACCCAACAAUAAAAUAUUGAAAUCUUAAUUUUACGGUCAAAAAUACCAAAAAAUAACUUAAUUAUAAAUUUUAUUAGAUAUUCAUUUUCUCUGCACCCACCAACUAUUAUUCAUUUUCUUUUGAGGAAGUGGUUAGAUCCAUAAAUUUCUCAUUUCUUUUUCCUCCGUCUUCUUGUUCUCAUUAAAUAAUUUUUCAAAAAGAAGAAAAAAAUUUAGGAUCAUAAUGUUCAAGGAAGUUCAACAUUUGUUUCAAAUUUCAUCUCUCUAGAAGGAGAAAAAAAUGCCAUAAAAAAUAAUUUGAUUCGCAAAUUCAUCAAUCAUCAUCAAAAUAUUUUCAUUUCUCAUGUGAAGAUUACACAAAUUAGUCAUAUAAAUGUAGAAACAAAGACAACAUAAAUGAUAAAAGAUAAAUUUAUUCAAAUAAACUAUUAUAUAUUCUACUGAAAUUAUUAGCCGGCACCAUACUACCUAAAAAAUAUUAUGAUGAUUUUGAAAAGAAAAAUCUUAAAUAAAAAGUACGCAAGAGAUGAGAGUUAUAAAGUUAUUUGAUGUUAAGCAGGUGUAUAGAAAUAAAAGUGAAGUUUGAUCCAUUCAUUAAAUUAAUUAUUUAUCCUUAUAAAUAUUAUUAUCUUUAAUGCUAAAACACUGAAUGGGUAUUUUAUCUAUGAAACACUAUAUAUACUAAAAGUUGAAUAUAGUAAAUAAAUUUUUGGGUUCAAAUAGCCCUUUAUAUUCUAAAAUUUUAAAUUUUUAUACUGGGCAUUUUAAGUAAAUUGACGUGGGGAGUAUUUUAACAUAUUCAAAUAACCCAUUCAUAUUUUUAAUAUUUAAAUAUGUUCAUUUACUUAAUUACUCCUGACCUAUAUGAAGAUAACAAAAUAUUUUAUUGGACUUGUGUGUCAAAAUUUUGAAACCUAACCUUUUAUGAUGUUUUUAGGAAACAAGAGGCGCUGAAUAACUAAAUAAUUACAUCCUAACUGUUGGACUAGCUUUUUGCAAUUUAUGGUUGGAUGUUGGAUCGAUCACAAAAAGACAAAUAAUGGCAAAAUUGCUGGACUCUUAAACAUAAGGCAAACUCUAUCUUACAUGCAUGUAAGAUACAUGCCUCUCACAUGAAUAGUGUAUAUGUGGGAUCCACACACUAUUCAUGUGAGAUGCAUGUAUCUUACAUGCAUGUAAGAUAGGGGAUCCCUAAACAUAAUUGUCCUUUCUUAAGAAAGUUCGCAAUCAUUUGACUUAUUUAUGAUUAUUUCAUUAUUUUUCAACAUUUUCAAAACGUAAAAUUAAAUUAUAUUUCCUAAAAGAAAAAACAAAUGAUUGAGGGCAAAAUUUGAGUAAGAAAUGCCUAAGAUAUGACACGUGUGAAGAUAUUUUAUAUGACAUUUGAGCUCCUAUAAAGAAUAAAGAAGGAACUGAAAAGGUGAGGGCAUAACGGAAAGAUCCUACAAAAUCAGCUUCAGCUUCCCAAAUCUCUUGAGAAUUAUAGAAAAUGUCUCCUACAGUACACCAAAACCACCGGAUGUCAGCAUGGGAUCACAGAGGCAAUGACAGCUUCACCAAUAAGGCCAAGAGACAUCUUCUCAACAUGGUUCAUAACCUCUAAAAUAUCUCAUUGCAGAUCACGUAAAUCAAAUAUGAGAAAUGAGAACCAAAAACAUAGCCACUUGCUCUAUCAUCAAUGAAAUCAAAUACUUCUCAACUCGAUUGGCUCAUUUCAGAGUUGAGCACAUGAUACCAGCAAGGAUAGUAUCUUAGAGGACAAUUGCCCAGCUCUUGAAAGCCCAAAAACCUCAAUAAGAAAGACCAAAUUACUCCUAAAUUCUUAUCUGAGGAGGAAAAUAACCAAUAACGAUCCACUAUGUAUCCAAAAAAACACAAAUAUGCUUUCAGGGGCAUUCCACUUUAUAAGGUUAGGUUUGUCUUACAAAUGAGACAAUUUCUCUCUCACACAAAUGCUAAAAUUUCCUCUUAUCCAAGGAUUUCUCUUAAACACCUUAUCUCCUUCAACCAACUAACUUGACCGCCAAGGUGCCAACAUAACUUCUAAUGACUGUUUUCUUUGAUUUUAGGGUCGUCUCAGCCAUCACUGUUCCUAAAAAAGUGCCUCUAAGCUACUUAGUCUCCACAAUCAUCAAAACUAUCUCUUUAUCUAAAGCUCUCAUAAUAUUUUUGGAUUGAACAAAAAACAGACCAAAACAAUACUCAUAAUUAAUCAGCUUGAAAAACUUUAAUCAAUAUCAUUUUCACCAUAAAUAAAAGAAUUGUUUGCCCAAGAAACAAAAAUUCUCUCUUAAUUUGGAAAGUGCUGGAAGAUUGAAUUUCACUUCAUUUUGUUAUGCAUGUCAUGUCAAUAAAUAUUCUAAUUAUUAUUUCAAUUUUGUAGUUAAAAUUGGAAAGUUCAACUUUUAGUGACUCAAUAAAAUGCUUGCAAUUAAUAGCUUCGAGUGGGGGUAGAGUGCUCGAUUAAUUAAGUGAGCCAGAGCUACCUAUCAUAUUUAAGAUUUACCAAUGUUGAAGUUUAUUAAUGAUAUAUAUAUUGCAUUUUUAAUCUACAAAUUGAUGAUUUUUCAUAUUUUCUUUUUAAUAUAAAAAAUGCAGCGAUGAAACCGACAAAGUACUUUUAAAUAAGUUUUUUAAAAGAAAAAUGCUAAGUGCACUAAAUGUUUGACAAACUAGCGAUGAAAUAUACCCAAAGGCCAAAACAAAUUGUUUUGAUUGUGUUUCUAAGAAUAGAAGGUAAAAACCCCAACAUAAUAUUAUUCUGGACGUCUUUUUGUCAUUUUUUAUCAGAAUUUUGUUUAAAUAAUGACAGAGGUAUUAUAAACCCAAAAUUUCAUUAAACAAGUCUAAUUAUCGUAUCUUUAUCAAUAGUCCUAAGUGUGUUAAAAACUUUUUCCUUUUUGGAAAGAAAUUUAAUACCUCUUUCUAAUCUUAAGGCUAGACGCAUAUUAACAUAAUCUUUUAAAUUUUAAAAUAUGGAGUUUAAUUGGGAGGUAAAGGCCAGAGGCCCAGAAAGGACAAUGAAAGUAUUUGUAAAAGCAUGUUGUGUAUAUAUCUUUAACAACUGUUAUCCAUGUGCUAAUGACUUGGAAAAUGCAUCAAACAUGGGGUAAUUUUUAAAAACCUCCCCUGAGGAUUGGGCUUAUUGCAAAUAAAUGGCGAAAAUUUAUUUAUUUGUAAAAAAUUUUAUACCGUUAGUUAACUUUAACAUUGACCUUUAGUUGACUGUGCAAAGAUAAUAUUACCCUUAACAACAGUUUAUAGAUGGAAAUAACUAAAAAAAAUUAAAAUUGUUGGCUAUUUUACCCUCUUUAAAUUAUUGAUAUUUUCUUAAAGUUCCUACAAAAAAUAUAAAAUUAAAAAUUUUAAAAAUCCUCUUUAAAUUAUUGAUAUUUUCUUAAAGUUCCUACACAAAAGAUAAAAUUAAAAACUUAAAAAUAAAAUCGUUAUAAUCUUUACCUAUGAUAUUGUAAAUCUUUGGAAUUGACAAAGAUAAUUGACAAGGAUAAAAUUAUCAAAAAAUAAGAUUUGUGCUUUUCGCGCCAACAAUUUUAAUUUUUUUUUAGUUAUUUCUAUUUACAAAUUGUUGUUAAGGGUAAUAUUAUCUUUGCACAGUCAACUAACGGUCAAUGUUAAAGUUAACAGACGGUAGAGGAUUUUUUACAAAUAAAUAAAUUCUCAUCAUUUAUUUACAACAAACUCAAAUCUCACGGGAGGUAUUUAAAAAUUACCCAUCAAACAUGGUGUACUUUUUCCGUUUUUAGUUUUUGAUUAAUUAAUUGGGCGCCUCUAAGUUACGUUAAGCGUAACUUACGUUUUUUGUCUUUUUUCUUCUGGCGAAUUUCACACGAGUCCUUGUAUUCUUUAUGUUUAUGGAUGUAUUUGCCUUCUUUUAUCAAUUAUACAUCUAUUUUUCAUUCUUUCCAAUGUUCUUUUUAUUUUUUUAAAUAAUAACAUACGAUUAUCAAAUGGCCAAACCUAGGUUACGUGUAACGCAACAUACAUUCAAGAAGUGAAAUAUCUAUUGGCACCCUUGAAUUUUAUGGAAACUACAUUAAUUGAAUUAAAAUGGUAAAUUAAAAUAUCAAAUGGUAUCUAUUAAUCAGAAUUAAUCAGAGUAUAUGUUGAUAAUGCCCUUUAAUCAGAAUUAAUUCUUAGGAAUGAUUUUAACGGUAAUUCUGAAAGCUAUUGCAUGUUAAUUUUGAAGUCUGUCAUGUAUAUUUUUUAUAUUUUUUAUAUAAUUUCUCUUUAAUUUAAUUAUAUAAUUAAAUUACAUGCAAUAAACCUACAAUUCAAGACUAGGAUUAAUAAAUUUAGGACCAGAAGUUUAUUCUGAAUUUAUAGAUUUGUAUGAAUUUGAUAAUCAUUUAAUAAUGUUUAAAGAAAUAAAUAAAACUUUAGAGAAAAUAAAAAAAUCGAUAGGAGGGAUGGAAGAAGACAAAUACAUCCACAGCUGUAAAAAUUGAAAAUAAAAAGAAUUAGGAGGGCUCAUAUGAUAUUUGCCAAAAAGAAAAAGACAAAGAACGUAAGGUACAUUGAUUGUAACUUAGGCGUUCCCUAAUUUCAAACAUGGUGCCCAAUCGUAACAGAUAAGACGCCGCAAUUAUCAUGUAAUCAUUGCCUGUUUUUGCCUUUUUUUUCCCCUAUUAUAUAUUUAAAUUUUUAUCAAGACAACACUACGAAAGUCGAAACUUUCAACCCGGAACAAGAGAAAAGUAAAACAGAGUUACUUUUAAACAGACAUUAAAUAAUAAACAUAGUAAAUAGCAAUGAUGUAAAACAAUAAUGAGAUCCCUAAUGGUUUAUAAUUUCUCAAAAAAAAUACUUACCUGUAUUAUUUAUUUCAAAUGGGUCCCAAACUCGUGCACAAACAAGCAAGUCGGAUCAAACUUUUGCUUGGCUCGUGUUUGGAAGGAGGUGGGGGGAGAGGGGGUGAGCUGCAGUCUUUUUUUUUUCCCCCCAGAAAACAUAAUAUAAUUGUUUGUAGAUAGAUCAAGCUCGCCAUCCCAAUAGUUUGACCUACAUAGAGAACUUGUAGUUGGUAAUAUUCAUUUUAUAUAAAAUAUUUAGAUUUCCUUAAAUACUAUUUUAUGCUUAGACGAAGUAGAGAUGCUCUUUGGUUGCCAUUAUCUUUUGUUACUGAUCACUCAUCUUCGUUAAAAUUACCACAUACUCCAUCAAAAUCAUAAAUUAAUGAUUAUAUUCAUUUGUAGUGUUUUUCAUCAACAUUCGAGAAACUGUUGACAUGAGAAUAACAGUAAAUUUAGGUCAAAUAUAUAAACCUAUUGUAAAGUAGCGAUAAUUUUAUAGGAGAGCCUUACCAUUAUUUUUGAGUUGAUUGAUAGAUGAUGAAAAAUAUAGCGUAUUAUUUACUCAAGUAAUUAAUUCGCUUAAUUUAUUUUAAUAACAGUUCGUAGAUGUGGUAAAAUUUGACACGACUCUUUUACUUGACAUGAACAUAACAAAUAAAUAGGUUUGGGUAGUAAAAUUGAAUGCUUUUUAGAUGGACUAUGUUUGAAAGGACUUAAACUUAACACGAUACGACUAUGACUUGUUGACAUGUUUUGUCGCCUCUUUGAGAACUUAUUUGAUACAAAAAAGAAAAUUAUCAUUAUUUUUGAAUUGAUCGACAAACAAUGAAAAAUAUAACCAUUUGGCUUUUGACCGAGUGAUUAGAGUCAUUCCCUCACAAUUAUAAGGUAGUGGUUCAAACCCUCACAAAAGUGUUAUGAAUGUUAAUUCCUUCUUUAAAUUUAAGUAAAAAUAGUUUUCUCCCUUUCGAAAUAUAAGUGGAGUUGAUGUCCGAGAGAGUAAAAUUCUGAGCAAUGCUAUAUAAGAUUAAAUAUAAACUUAUCACAAUAAUUAUUUGAUUAUAAGUAUUAGUUGUAAUCUCAUAUAGUAUAAGUUGUAAUUUGAGUAAUAAUUUUAUAUAAUUAAAAAAUAGAAAAAAAUCUCUUUUUCUGAGAAAACUUUAAGAAUUUGGGUCCAAAAUGUUAUUGUGUUCUAUGGAAACAAUAGUCAUGAACAAUCUUUAUGUUUCAGACUAAACACUCAAGUCUUUACUUUUGUCUUCGCGUUUACUGCUGUUUUGUCAAAACUGUUAAAAAUCGAAAAGCAAAGACGUUGAAAGUCUAACAAAACAGCCUAUCUGUGACGCUUGAGGGAGAUAAACAUUAAAUAGCCUUUCAAUUUAGUUGAAGAUUUUUAUGUUACAAAAAAUAAAUAAAUAAAUUUCCUCUUCCUUCAUUCACACGAUCACACAUUUAAUUUCUUCCUUUAAAUUAUUAUUAUUAUUAUUUAUUAAUUAUUAGUAAGCUUCUCUCACCUACUCUUUCUUCAUCUAUCUGUGGAAGCAAAAUUCUCAAUUUAUUAUACAAAUAACCGAAAAUGCGAGUUGGGUUUAGCAAUACUUCAUUUUCCCAGAAAAAUUUCUGAUUUUUCUUCCCUUUUCCGGGAAAAAUAACUAGUGGGUUUUGUGUAGAAGCCGAUUUGGAGAAAUGGGUAAUCGGUUUAUUUGCAUGAACAAGAAGGAGGCUAAAGAGAAUAAUAAUGGAUCAAGGAGCAAGAGAAUGGGUCGGUCUCAGAGAAAAAUGUUAGCAGAAGAAGAGUUUUUGCACAGGCAAGCUUUGUCAAUGGCGCUUCAGCAGCAUCAGCUGUCUCAGAGGUUUGAGGGAUCCAUGUCUAGAAGAAUUGGAGGCAAUACAAGCUCUAGAAGACGCACUCUCUCGGAAUCUUUAUCUAAUGGAAAGCAGGUCAAAGUCCUUUUUUGAAUUUUUUUGAUGAUUUUGUUGUGCUUAUUUGUUAGUUUUGUUUAUCAGUGGAUCUGUGACGAAAGUGGGGUUCAAAUUUGAUGAUUAAGGUUUUGUUUAAGUUGUGAAAUGGAAGUGGAACUGCUUUUUAACAAUAAUAGAUUAAUGUUUGUUUUUGUUACUUUUUGGUGAUGGCUAAACAAAAGUGAAGCUGAAAAGGUAUGGGAGGUGAUUGAUUUUGCUUUUAGUUUUAGAUUUAUAGCUUAUUUUGGAAGAAAAAAGGGAUCUAAGCAUAUUAAAGUCAAGAUGGUGCCGCAGAGAUAUAAUCGAAUGGGUAGUAUAAACUUUAGUUAGGCUUUGGCAUGUCAAUAUAGAUGUUGUUGUAGGUGGUCUAUGAAGUUUGACUAAGUGAUUACUAGAGAUAAGAUCAUCAUUAGUGGCCAACAUAGUAUGAGAACUAAGACAUUUGAAAGUCUUGAAGUUUGUUUCUGGGAUCAUGUGCUUCAUCCUAACCCGAAAGAAAGAAUUUGUUAUGUUCGUAAUGAAGAGGUCUUUUUUCCAUUAUAAGUGGGACAACAGCUAGAUUCAUAUGACCAAAUAAUUAUUAGUUCCUAUUAUUAUAAAUUAGAACUAAUAUUGUUUAACUGGUGGAUAAUCAUGGAUCACUUUUUUUUGCAUGCUCUGCUUACGAGUAUCUGUGAUAAUUUGAAUUCACUUUUCCUUCUGAUUUAACAUAUUCUGUCAAGUAUGAAAUUUUACAACUGAAGUUUGGCCAUACCAUAUCUUCUGGCAAUUUUAUACUUCAUGUUGUACGUCAUCUGGGAAAACUUUAAUGUGCAUAACAUACCCUAAUUCACGGUGAUAUAAUUUCACUGACUUAUAUCUCUACAGGAUACAAACAUUCUGGAGAAUAUCCAGUAUAAAAAGUUUGUUUUAAUACAUGGAGAAGGCUUUGGAGCAUGGUGUUGGUACAAAACUGUUGCUUCAUUGGAGGAAGUAGGAUUGAUCCCGACUGCCUUAGAUCUCAAGGGAUCUGGCAUUGAUCUGUCAGAUACAAACAGCGUCACUACACUUGCAGAAUAUUCAAAACCAUUGCUUGAUUAUCUUGAAAACCUUCUAGAGGAUGAAAAGGUUAGAAGAUGAGAAAUAUAUCAUGAUGGUUCUAUUUUAUUUCAAAAAUGACCUUGAUGGAUGUGUUUAUUUUAUCUUCUGCAGGUUAUUUUGGUAUGUCACAGUAGUGGAGGUGCUUGUGUUUCAUAUGCGUUGGAGCAUUUCCCUCAAAAGAUCUCAAAAGCGAUUUUUCUAUGUGCUACGAUGGUGUCAGAUGGCCAGAGGCCUUUUGAUGUCUUUGCUGAAGAGGUAUGUUUAAUGCUCAAUGCUCCACUAAUAUCAUUGGUUACUGUUUAGGAAUAGCAAUCCCUUAGAAAAAUAAUGAAAGUUUGACGUUAUGCAAAAGCAAUAAUGAUUGUGUAUAUUUAAUAUUUUUCCCAUCUUAGUUUGAUCAAUCUUUCCUAAUUUUCACUUAAUUGUAUUAGAUUUUCAAAGAUGAUAUCAUUAAACCUGAUCAUUAACCAUUUGGUGGAGCCUUUUUUAUGGAUGAAUAUUAAUGAGCUGUACUGACACCCAUGUGAAUAAUUCAUUCAUUUAUACUCAAAAUAUGCAAUAUGCUUCCUCUUAAUGGUGUUUUGUCUUUCUAAUUCUUGUGUGGAUGUAAUGCUUCCAAUCAGUUUUCAUUCUUCUGAAUUAUUUAAUUCGAACAGCCUCGCUAAUGGUAUUGGUAUUGCAGCUUGGAUCUGCAGAGCGUUUUAUGCAAGAAUCACAUUUUUAAUUUACGGAAAUGGUAAAGAUAAGCCUCCUACUGGAUUCAUGUUUGAGAAACAGCAAAUGAAGGGGUUAUAUUUCAAUCAAUCACCAUCAAAGGUAUGGUAUAGUUCUAGCCUGUCUUUUCCCAUAAAACAAUUUCUCUGGUUCUAUCAAUUUGCAGAAAGCCUCACAUCUGCAUAUGUCUCAUGGAAACAUUUUUGGGAUGCCAUAUUUCUUGGGUUUGUUACACUGUCUACUACUUACCGAUAGAUAAGUCGACGAGUGUGUAAGGAAGUUAGAGCACAAAUUCGCCUUUUUUUUCCUUUUUCCUUUCUCUUUUAAGUACUAGAAACUGACAAAGUCUGCUGAUACGGUAUGGUACAUAUGUGUAGUUUAUGGCUUGCAUGGAAGUUAAUACUCUGCCUUGUUUUAUGCAUGCCACCAAGUGAUUUAACCCCACCCUACAAAAGAAAGAAUGUCUACUUUUGUUUGUUUGUGCUUGAGAUGGGAAAAAUCUGGCCAUCACAGGACAUCCACAUGGUGGGCUACACUUCGUUACCGUCCAUAGUUUUUAGUCUAUGUUUGUUGAUUUCUAAUCACGUUGAUUUCUGAUAUGCAUUUUCAACAUUGAGUGUCUGGACUUUGGAGCAACGUGGUAGAGAUAUGUUGUGAUUAUAUCUAGUUUUUGAUGAGCCAUUAAAAAAUUUCUAUCACUACUCAUAUAGCGAAUAUAAUUCAACAUGGAUUUUGGUUCUUUCCAGGAUGUUGCCUUGGCCAUGGCUUCAAUGAGACCCACUCCAUUGGGUCCAAUCAUGGAGAAGCUAUCAUUAUCUCCAGAAAAGUAUGGAACUGGCAGACGCUUCUUCAUUCAGACACUGGAUGAUCGUGCCCUUUCACCAGAUGUUCAAGAGAAGCUUGUUAGAGAAAACCCACCAGAAGGAGUCUACAAGAUCAAAGGAAGCGACCACUGCCCUUUCUUCUCAAAGCCACAGUCACUACAUAAAAUUUUAGUUGAAAUUGCUCAAAUCCCAUAACUUCAAUAUAAAAAAUGAGUAAGAAUUCUUUCAUCAUUACUUUAGAAAACAAGAAGAGUUGGGUUAUUACUUGUUGUAUGUAGAACAUCGACGCCAGCUUUUAUGCUGUAGUUUCUUUUUCAGAAUAUGGGUAUAGAGGAAGUCAAUGUAUCAUUACCUAAUUUAUUAAUUAGUAGUAAAUUAAAUCAAGUGCUAGAACGCAUGACUUAGGGCUCAAUUGGAUUAUAUUUGGGAGGUUCAAAAGAAUUUUAAAAAGUUAAAAGUUAAUUUUGGUGUUUGUUAAUUUUUUUAGCAACCGCUUUUGGCAAAAUUUUCCUUUCUGUAGUAGAUUUUAAAAAUCAAGAACCCAGUAAUUUUUUAAAAUCAAAAUUUGAGAAUUAAUUUUAUACUUAACAUAAUUCUAUAUAUGUUUUAAUAUAUAUUAUAAAAUUAUAAAAUUAAUAUUAUUAAUUAGUAAAUAAAAUCUUUAAUUUUAAAAAUUUUAUUAUUAUUACUAAUUAUAUUAAGAUAACAAAAUAAAAAAUAAAUUAAUAAUAUAAAAUAAUUAUUUUAGUUAUUAAUUAUUAUAUAUGUACUAGGGGUGGGCACGGUUCGGUUCGGUUCGAAAUUAAGUAGAACCGAUUUAAAUCGGUUAUUUUAUAAAAAGAACCGAAUAAGAACCGAACUCAAUAAGAACCGAACUCAAACGGUUCUUUUCGGAUCGGUUCGGUUCGGUUUUUUUGGUUCUGGGCCUAUUGGGCCUAUUUUGAAUUUUUAAAUUUUUAGCCCAUUGGGCCUCAUGAAUGUAAUAAUUUUUUUCAAUAAUUAAUUUAUCCUAAUUUUAUUACAAAUAUUAACAAUAAAUACAAAGUAUUGAAAACACAUUUUAUCACUAAUAUCUUACUAACUAUUAAUAAGAUACUUCUAAAAUAUGAAAUAUUAAAAUUUCAAAAUAUAUAACCAAACUCCAAUACUCCAUCUAUAUAAACAUAAUCAUAAUGUUAUAAAGAGAAAUAACACAUGUUUGAUUUGAAUAAAAUCAAAAAAUAAUUCAAUUUUUCGGUUCGAUUUUUCGGUUCAGCUAAGUGAACCGAAUACCGAACCGACAUUUCGAUUUUUUUUACAAACGGUAUAUUCGAUUUUUUUAAAAAAUAAAAACCGAACCGAAUUAGAAAAAACCGUCGGUUCGGUUCGAUUUUUUUAACACUACGGUUUUUUUGCCCACCUCUAAUAUGUACAAUAAAAAAUAUUAUAUUUAUAUAUUUAUAAAUAUAUAAAUAGAUCUUAUGUCUAAUAAACUCAUUUACAUUUUAAAAGUAGUUUAGCAGUAAUAUUUAUUAAAUAUAUACAAUUACUUUUAAAGCUCCAGGUACAUUUAAGUACUUUUUCACUAAACAUACACAAUUACUUUUUAUAGUACUGCUUUUUCAUCCUUUCGCUCCCAGCUUUAAUGCUUUAUCACUUUUCUAAUUGCGGUCAGGGUUCAUGCUGUUGUAUGUAAAAUAAUAUAGUGUUAGCAUGGUGUCAUUAAUUCCUGAAACAGUGAUUUGAGUCAUUGAGAGCAGCAACAGAGAAGCAGAGUAAGCAAAUUCAUAUACUACCUAUAUUUCUAAUAUAAUUAAUACAAGAGCGUCGCCAACACAUAAAAAACAAUAAGCUUUGCUACUUACACACCGAGUUGAUUCUAUUCGCUACUCAGCUCAAUAUAUAUAUUCAGGUUCCGCUUCCCAAAUGAGCAUGCCUACCUUGACAAUUUUAAUCUAAGGUUCAGUCAAUGGCAGCAUACAAAUGUUUGCACUGAAUGCAUGUAAGGGCUUUGCUUCUAGACCGAAACAAUAAAGAAAUCCAGCAGUAAGCUGCUGACCUAGUAACAAAUAUACCCUACAGCGAAAUGACAUUGCCCACCUAAAAAAAGCCCUAUACCUGAUACCAGCUGGGUAACGGUCUAUAUGGAUUUAGGGUCUUGAGAUUGUCACCAGAAAAAUGCAAGCCCUCCCAUUUUCACCAAAGAUUAUCUAUAGGUCAAGGACCUUCGAUUAUAGCUUUGACAGCACUGCACUCCUGACAUCCAUCUUUUAUUUGUUUGGUUGUAACCAUAUGGAGAUGAAUGAAAAUUUGUAGAUAGAGAGGCAGGAAAUUCAACAAUCACAGCAGUUAAAACCCUCAACGGCUUCAAACAGAUUUCCCCAGAUAUCAUUCAUGGCUGCCUCAGAUUGCACUGAAAAGAGAAUGGAUUCAAACUGAAGCAUGUACAAUGAUGAAUCAUAAAGCGAUAUCGCAACUUCAACAUCCAAUGAGGCAAACAAAUUUCUCUGUCAUUCAAUGCAGCAUGACACAGAAACUAAAGCCUUGCAUCAGAGAGUUGCAAAUUUCUAAAACCUGCAAAACACACAAACUGGAUAUGAGCUCACUGAAUAGAAAAAUAUAGAAGAGUACCUCAGCUAAUUUUAUUAGGAUUAAAUGGGAAGAACACUUUGAGAUCAACUUGGGCCUUAAAAUGUAUCAAAUGUAAACAGUGUUACGCGGCACUACAUACAAAGUAAAAGCUGAUUGAUUCUGAACAUAGCAACCGCAGCUAAUUGGUGAUCAAAGGCUUCCUUCUUACUGGACAAAUAUCAAACAAGGAUACUUACGUACAUAUUAAAAUACAGAAAGACCAUUGCUUCAUGAGAUGAGAUGACACCCACUGGAAUAAACAAAUUUGGGCAAUAAGAAUUUGCAGUGACUUUGGGCAAGUUUCUAAUGCAUUUUGUAAAUCAUCCGCAAUUUGACAUAUCAUAUAAAGAUCUGAUACAUGUAUAUUUGAUUUUGAUAGGAACACCAUAUACAAAAGAGCCUUACCAGAACUAGAUUUUCUAGUGCCCAGAAGAUGACUUUUGAAUCCACACUUGUUUCUGCACACGCAAAAAAGAUGUCAUCUUCUCAUCAGAAAGAAAAGACCCACACAGAGACAGAGAGAGAAAGAGAGGGGCAACCACAGGGGGGCAAGGGGGUGGGGUGUGAAGAGAGAGAAGGGAGAUUCCAAUCAUUUAAGAUAAAGUCCAUAACGACACAGAACUAAUAGCUGUAAGAUGAAAAAAAUUUGCCUCACCUCAUUGCCACCUGAGCCAGCAGCACCUCUUCUUUUGGAAGACUUCCCCUCAAUCAUAUUUAUGCAACCAUCAUCCUUUGUAAUAUUGGUAGCUGCACGGCGACCAUUAUGUCUAUGGGAACCUGGAUAAAUGAAAUAUUUUUUGGUAGCAGUAAUGGUAACAUUAGAACCAUUGUAGAAAAAUGAACACUCAGUGGAAGGAGUAAAAAACAAAUAUUUCCCAUGAAUAUACCUCCACUUGUAGGUGCUGCAAUGUCAACAGUCUUGCUUCCAUAGGACAUAUCAUCUUUCAUCUCUCCACGAGUGACUGAAAAUUAUCAAAAUACUGUAAGACUUAACACAUUUCCUACUGCAGAAGAACUCUCAUACAGUAUGCUAAAAUCACUAUCCUCCAGCAUACUAUCAGUACUUACACAAAUACCAGAUAACCUAUCCAAAGUAACAACAAUACCUUCAACUGAAUCAGAAAGCAGCUGAGUCGGUUGCGAGGAUGACAAGCGCUCCCCGUUAGCCUGUGAAACAUCAGACCGACGGGGAGUCCACACAACACGAUCAGGUCUGUCCUUAUUUCUUGUACGUUUUUCUUGCUUCUCACUUACAGCACCAGAACCAUGCAGGACUUUUCUAGCAAACCUAUCAUCUGAAGAUCUUUUUGUAUUACCAUCAAAACUAAAUAUAGAUGAGUCAUUAUUGGUCACAUGCCCAUUUGGCGAGCUGGUAGGCCCAGGUAAUGGCUUCCCGUUCUCCUGAUUCAAGUUUUGCAUCUUCUGCUGAGGCUGGACUCCAGUCACAGACUGGGUUUGACGCGUUUCAUUAUUCAAGAGUAUUUUUCUGAUUAACCUCCCACCAGCUUCACGUCUCUGAAUCUGUUUUGGAACAGUUGGAGAAGCUGAGUUUUUGACAGGAGAUGAUUCUCUCUGCUUGUCCAGCAGGGCAUCAGGAACCUGAGGUUCACAAAAUCCAUCACAGCUUGCAUCCAUGAGAUUAGACAUGACCAAUCAUAAAGCAUGCAAGACUUAUGUAUGCUAAAAUAACUCUAUCAAUGGCUCAUAGUGGACAUCUUCAGUGCAGAACGCAAGUCAAAACCAAUCAGCUUACGUGAGGAAUUUCUCGUUCUUUCCCUUUCAAAAGCAGGAUCUUCUUCUUUCCAGUAUCAGAGGUCAAAGGGAUUCCUACAGAACCUUCAACGCCACAAACUGCAAUUUAAAUAAUGAAAAAAAAUGGUGUCAACAUGGAAGCUUAGCCGAUCUUUAGGGCAAUAAUAGGUAGAUAUAAAACAUGUAAAUGAAUGAAGACGUAUGAAAAGAAAGGCUGACAGCAAAAGAGAAAAUCUAUACAAGAGCAAAAGGAAGCAAUAACACCCUCUUCCCCAGAAAGUAACCAGCCAAAUUGACUACCCACCACAGGAAAUAAAUAACAUAGGUAGAAAAAACAAAACAAGGUCAGCAUUGCACAAUGAAGAGAGAUAUAAACAAAAUAUUUGUUCUCAAGAUUAUAUAUAAAACAAACAAAUACAGUCACAUCACAUCAUCAUGUCCCCAAAUGUUCCAUGCACAAGUCUGUCUUGAUCAACUCCUCUGACGACAUCCUUGAGCCAGAAUGCAUAAAAGAAGUACACAGCGAUAGGAAAAUUGUCAAGGAACAAAAUACAUUAAAACUGCACAUUAUCAAAUAUAUAAUAGACCAUGGAAGUUGAUAAAUGUCCAACAGUAGAAGAAAUGGCCAGCGUUUGAGAUAAUAGCAUCAAAUUACGACUGCACAAAAUGAGGCUCCAGAGAUAUCAAAUUGUUUUUGAUAGGAAACAAAGAAUCUGGCAUUAAUAAGAGCAAUAAUUACAAAAUAUGAAACUAGCAUUAAUAAGAGCAAUAAUUACAAAAUGUGAACAAGGAGUCCACAAAGAAAGAAACCCCAAAAGAUCACUAAAAGAUCUAUACAGUUGAUAUUUAUCAAAUUGAUUUUGCUAAGUGGGUGAAAAAGGCUAAAAGAUUUGUGCCUUUGCAACAUAGCUGCAUCCAUUAAAUCUUAAACAGUCCAACACUAGCACAUGAUCUAAUGAAACAACAUAAUGAAUGAUCUUAAUCUUUCAAAACAAAUAAAAAAGAAGGAAGGCAUUUAUUAUUAAUGAUUUGGAAUGAAAAUUAAAAGUGCCCAUACUGGUUUCGCUUGCUGAUGUUUCUUUUCCACUUGAAGAGGCUGGCUGGUCCUCUCGCUUGGCUACUACUGUGAAAGUUGAUUUGUCCUUCCGCCUUGCAUUCUUUGCACUAUCCUUUAGAAUAUACUGAUAAUAAAGGGGAAAAAAUAAAUGAGAGAUGGUUGCAAUCCACAUCCAUAUAUGAUAACAUACUUCUCCCAUUGAAAGCUCUGUUAUUUCAUUCCAAUUACAAGGGAUCUUCCACUCCCGCAUACUCAACACCAACAAAUCAAUGAAUCAUCCAUAAGACAUUGCAUCACACAAGCAAACAUAAGAAAAGAAUACGAGGCACCAUAAUUUAAAAAUAAAACUGCAAUGUAAAAGUCAGUAAUCAGCUGGUUGUCCAUCAUAUUAGACAUACGACUAACUAGAAAACCCUUUUUUGAGCUUGGCUUGUUUAAUGGGAAAUAACUUGCCGAAACAAAUUUUUUCUCUAUUUUCUGGAGUUCAGUGCAACAUUUGAACAAUCAUCCAAAAAUAUUUUUACAUCAAUGAAAAAUCAAGCUUGAAUUCAUGUAAAAGACUUGUUUCCAAAUCAGUUAAUCAUUUUUUUUGCUGAAUAUAUAGAUAAACAUCAAUGCUCAUUAUUAACAUAUCAACAACCAUGGUCUUUCAGCACUGCUCCUCACUAACACCACCCAGUUAUCAAUCACCAUCAAGAGGGCUGGUCCUCUUUGUUGGUAAACAGUGAUCCACAUGAACGGCCACCUUCGUCAACCAAUGACCAUAUGUAAUAAUCAUUAUUGGUCGUAUACAAUUAUCAACACCACCAACAAUUAAUGGCCAUGAUUAGUCAUAAAAGAUAAUUGACAGUGUCUCAUUGAUUGUCAUUAAGCAUUACUACACUAUUUUACUUGAAAGUAUUUUCUUCAAUUUUUUAUCAUGAAAAAAGCUCUAAUAAAAAUAUCUAGAUUCCAUAAAUUUAUGGCAGCAACAAAAAGUUGCAAUAAUUGACCUUAAUAGAGUCCGUUAGAUAUUCCCUCUCCAACCAAUUGCGGUGCAUAAAACAAAGAUCUUAAAGCAAAUCCUUUAAUUUUUAAUACUUUAAAAAAAGAUUUACCCAAAGGAACUGCUCCUUAGCACCUGAUAAAAUACCCAAUAAUAAAUGAAUUUAAACCCAUUGCAAUCUCAAGCCUCUAAUCCUUUGGAAACAUGUUGACAUUUUAAGUCACACUGGAUAUAAAGUUGUCAUUUUUCCAGAUUUCACAAAAUGAUAACACAAGUAGCAACUGCCUUUAAUGUCUGCUUAAUGCGUCAAAGAAUUGGACUCUAAAAUUGUGCCUAGUUAAGUUCAUGCAUGAUCCAGAUAUAGAUCAAAACUCUAGCAAAGCAGCCAAAGAGUAGGCAUUACUUCUACCCAAAAGUCUUAAACCUGCAGCCAAGAAGCCAGACAAAGGAAUUUAAAUUUUUUACCUUUCAAAUUUCUCUAUUUCCUGAGUUUUUUUAAACUUUUUUUAUUCACAAGACCACCAAUGCCCACCCACUAGUAGUGCGACCAUAUAUUUGAUAUAUUCAUGAUUCACCCGCACAAAAAAUAAAAUAAAAUAAAAAAUAACUGGCCAACAAAUUUCCAAGAUAAACAACUAAAGAGGACAGUGUUGUUUCCCAAAAUUCAAAUUAUAAGCCAUGCUCAAAACAUAUUCUAGGAGGUAAUUACCUUUUUCUUCUCUGAGCCGCGCUUAGUGGUAGUUGAACUAGUCUUGCUAGCAGAAGCUGCCCUACUUCUUCUGCCAACUCUCCCAACAGCUAAGGACUCCUGACUCACUCAAAAAAUUGCAAAUCAACACUUAAAUACGUACGCUUCUAAGUACGCGAAAGAAUAAUUGAAUCAUCCAGAAAGAUUGAUUAAAACAUCUAUUUUCCAUUAUUCAAUGAAACUUUUUAAACUGUGAACUAAUUUUGAGGAAAAUGUGAAAAACUGCAGAAGAAAUUCUUAAAGAGCCUGUUUAACCUAUUUUUUAUUGUUCACUCCUCGGAAACAAAAACCGAAAUAUAAAAUUAUAAAUGCAAGGCUUUCAAGAUUAUCAAAAUAUGCAACUCCAAAGACUUUGAAUCUCUCCUAUGCACAUUUAUAUAUUUACCAAAAAGAAGGGCCUCGUACCUGAGCUCCACUCUCAGCAGCUCGUUUCUGCCGAACAUAUUCCAUUAGAGGUGUAACAACAAGAGUUUCCUUUGGAGCACCUGCAACAUGUAUAUUAAAAGUCCGCACCAAGGUACAUACACUCUCUCUCUCUCUCUCUAAGAACAGCAGGUUAUAUUCAUCAAAUUCAUAAAAAUAACUAACCAGAUAGCUCAGCUUCUUUUCUUUCCAACUGAAUUUCUGCACUUGGUAGAUUCUCGGCAGGUUUAGCAAUAACCUUCAGGAACUCCAGAUAAUCCGGGUCUUCAUUGUCCACAUCAAAACCAAAAACAGCUUAUUACUACAGUACUUCUAGAAACAAUAAGAAGAAAAAGAAAAUAAAGGUAUACUUGUAAUUGUUGUGCUUUCAACUUAACUUUGAAAUUUAGUAGCUUAAGCGUACGGUAGAAGCCACGGCACUUCAACCCCAAAAGUACCCUAAGUUUUUUUUUUUUAAAAAAAUUACCUUUAAAAAUGGUGCCUUCACGACUAUCCUUUCUAGAAAAAGGCUUGGGAACACGUUGAGAUGGAGCAUAUUCAACAAUAGCCUUAAACUGAGCACCUAAUCGAGAAACCAAUAACACAUAUAAUUAACCAAACAGAAAGUGCCCUUUUCAUUUACAACAACAUAAACUCGUUCAUUACCAAAUUAAAAUUGAUAAGUAAAAGCAAAAGGGUAAGCAAAAUUACCCUUUUCAUUAACAAACACAUGUCCAUUCAACAACUCAGCAAACUCAAACACAUCCGCAGGCUUCUUCAAUUCUACAUAUGCUCGUGAAUACCUCUGAUGCUUGUAACUGUAAAAAAAACUAAAAUCCAAAGUUAAAAUAAAAUUUCAAAAAAAAGGCCAAAAAUCAAUCAAUUAUAAAGAAUAAAAGAAAUUAAAACAAUACCUAGAUUUUCCGGGGCGAAAGCAAAACCAAUUGUAACGGUCGUUGAAGUGAUCGCGGAAAAGGGCUAAAAGGUCAUUUUGAGAGAGGGAAGGAGGCAAAUGACGAAUCACUACUUUGGUUCUCUGCAAUGGCUCCUUCAUUUCAUCGCAUUCAAUUUGCUCCGAUUGUAUUGAAUUCGAAAAAUCGAAAAAGAGUUUUGAUUAUUUUGUACCCUAAUUUUCGAUUUGGGUUGAGAAUGAAAUUGGAAUGUUGUUUAUUGGAAAUUUUUAGACGCACGUAACCGUUGUGUUUUUCUCUAGAGAGGGCUCUGAGGCCUGAGCACUCACAAACGGGAGAUUUACCCUUGGGAAACGUCGUCGUGUGGACAUUUCCAAUUCCCGAUACGAGUAACACGUGUCGAUAAAUUAACCAAAUUCAUAUUUCAUUCCCCGAGGCAAGGGCAAUUGAUAUUCCCUAUUUUCCUUUGAAUAACUUCUUGGAGUCCAGGGGACUUGACGUAUAAACUGACUAAAAAGUCCCUUUACAGAAUGGAUAUGCUAAUUUAAUAAAGAAGGAUUAUCAAUAAUAAUAAUAAUAAUAAUAAUGGGAAAUUGUUAGUUUUCUCCCAUUCAAAUUAAUAUAUAUUAAUUAACUUCAUAUUAUUUUUAUAAUAACCAAUAAUUUUUUAAUAAUAUAAUUUUAUAAUAUUCUCUUAUUUUUAAAUAAAUUUUUAUUCAUAUUUAUUAUAAAUUAAAUGAAUUAUAUAAAUACAAAUUACAAUAAAAACAUUAAGAACUAAAAAUAAGAAAUAUAUGUUUUAAUAUAAAUAAAAAUUAAUUAUAAAAUAUUUGUUAAUAUUUUUGUUAUAAUAAAUACAUGUAUUAUAGGCCAAGAUAAAUUAUUAAGAAAAUACCUUAUUUAUCCCUCUUUUGUUUUAAAUGUUUUGGUGACGGGAGAGUUUUUAGAUAUUAUAAAAUUAAUAGAAGAUAAGUGAUAUAUAUUAGUUUUCAAUAGGAAAGCAUUAACAUUCUCCCUAAUAAUAAAAGUGACAAAAUAAUGGAAGGCAAAAGAGAGAAAUUGAAUUGUGUAUUCAUUCCUCUUUUAAAUUCUUUUAUUCUCAACUUUCUCUUUAAAUUCUUAAUAAAAUCCCUGUAUAUAUUCCAUUUAUUAUUUAAUUUAUAAUUUUCAUACCUUAAAUCUUAAAAUUUUAUUUCUGACAUCUUAAUCAAUACUUAAAUAAAUAAUUUAAAAAAAAUUGACAACAAAGUACGUAGGAUACUUUUUUAUUUUUGUAAAAAUAAAAUAAAAUAAAUGUAUUGUGAAAUGACUUUUUUUUUUUCUUUUGCUUUUGACCCUUCUUCUCUGUCUUCUUCUCCUUUUACUUUUUUUAGUACUUAUAGAAUUUUUUUUUAUAUAUUAUUAUGUACUCAUCGCAGCUUAUUUCAUAUGCAAAAUCUAAUAUCAAUAAAAAAAAAUUAAUAACUAAACUUACGUUAAAUAGUUUGAUUACAAUUCAUUUGAUUAUAUUGUUAUAAGAUAGUAUAUGUUAAGUCUCUUAAGAACAAAUAAAGCUAAUUAAUUUAAAUAAUUUAAGUUAAGAUUUUCUUUAAAAUUUAAAAUAGUUUACAAAAUAAUUUUUAAGGGCAAAAAUAAUACUACCCUUUUAUUUAUAUUUUUAUGCAUACACUUUCUCGCUCUCCAUACAAAACACUUCCAAAAAAGUCAAGUCUCUUCCCCUUUCUCAUCUCUUCAUACCCAGGCCAACGCAAUCCCUUAAGCUCUCCUCUCUUCGCAAGUAAGUAAAGUCUCAGUUCAUCUCAUCAUCUGACGGUUUGUUUUCAUACUUUGCUUUCCCCAAAUUGCCCUCGCCUUUUCCUCUCUUUUUCAAUUUCAGUUUCUUUUCGAUUAUAGACUCGAUUUUCUUUAUCUCGGUUUGUAAAUUUUAUCGGAUGUAAUGCAUAAUUGAUCGUCGUCGUUGUUUUGUUCAAUAGUUUCGCAAAACAAGCCGAAAUUAAAUUAAAUUAUGUAUCAGCAUAAUUAAUUAAUUAAUUAAUUGAUGCUGUUUAGAUUGUGUGCUUGAUUAUAUAUCAAUAUCAGCAUAUUUUUAUUAAGAUUUUAAAUUUAAUUAAAUAAUCAGGAGUCUGAAUGAUUUUUAUUUUAAAUAUUUUUAUGAAUUUAUUCAUGUUCGGUUGGAUAAAUUUAAAGUAAUAAUAAAUAUAGGUUUUAAUGGAGUGAAAUUGUAAGGGUAUGGUAACUGAAUUUUGUUUCUUAUUCUUUAAAGAUAAAGACUGAAUUCAAUAUGAAGUGGUUUGAUAUUGUAAAUGCAUUGCAGGUAAAUUGGAACUUUUUAUAUGAUGGGAGGAAGUGCGAUUGAUGAUGAUUGGGAGCUUACUUCUCCAUCUAAUGGGGAGCGCACUGUGGUUUUAGUUGGCCGUACUGGCAAUGGCAAAAGUGCGACGGGCAACAGUAUUCUUGGAAGAAGAGCCUUCAAGUCAAGGGCUAGUUCAUCUGGUGUUACUAGUACUUGUGAAAUGCAGAGAACCGUGCUCAAAGAUGGCCAAGUUGUUAAUGUCAUUGAUACCCCUGGUAAUUUACUGAUGUCAUUGCCUAGAUAUUCCAUUUCCAUGCUUGUUGAUGUUGUGGUGGUAAGUAGAUUGAUGUUAUGAGCAAUUGCAGGACUUUUUGAUUUUUCCGCUGGCUCUGAGUUUGUUGGCAAGGAAAUUGUCAAAUGUAUCGGUAUGGCCAAGGAUGGGAUCCAUGCAGUCCUUGUAGUUUUCUCUGUUAGAAGCCGUUUUUCUCAAGAGGAAGAAGCUGCACUACACAGUUUGCAGACCUUGUUCGGGAAAAAAAUUUUUGACUAUAUGAUUGUUGUUUUCACUGGAGGGGAUGAACUUGAAGAUAAUGACGAAACGUUAGAAGAUUAUUUGGGUCGUGAGUGUCCAAAGCCUUUAAAGGUUUGUUUCUGAACAGCAAUAGUGUUCGAUAAUUUCCAUUUUGAUCAAGUUGUCUUGGGUUGCUUCUUUUGUGAAGUUUUAGAUUCCUUUACGGAUGGACUAUUGGAAGUUUAAUAUGAAUAUAUGCAUGCUGAAAAUACCAGAUAGGUUUAUAGUAGUCCAGCCGUCUUAAAGUUCCAUUUUCAAUAUUGCUUCAUUUCCUGAAUGGUUUUCUUCUGCCAUGUGGGAUUGGCCGGAGAGGUGAUUGGUUGGUAAUUUUCUGCUGGUAUUACUUAAUUGUAGUUAUAUUUUAAUGUCUUUGAAUGAGAUGUCAUUCAUUCAUUUGCUAAGCAUUUAUGCUUUUCUUAUUUGUAUUCUUUGAUUUCAUCUGUUAUUUAAUCUUUGGUUCUUAUUCUAUUAAUGUGUGUUCAUUUGUUUGUUCCUUAAAAUAUGUACCUCUUUGAUUUAUAUGCUUAAAAUUAACCUACUUUUAAGAUUUUAGAAGUGCACCAAGGAGGAUAUGACUUGCCAUACAGGUCCAUUUUAUUAGGCGUUGUUUGAAUAAAAUAUCAAGUCUAACUUUACAAGAUUUAAAAUUCUCUUUAAAAUCCCUGUGGAUUCUAGCCCCAGAAUUGGUGUCUAAAAUUUCAAUGUGAGAUCUUUUUUCAGUUGCAACAUGCAAAUCUCUUAUUGUCAGAAUUUACUUGAUGAAUUUGGUCCCUAAAACUUUUCAAGUUCAGGAGUAGGAAGAAAAAUAACAAAAAUGAAAAUAAAGACCCCUUCAAGUUGUAGCUUUGCAAUUAACAAAAUCGGGUUAUUUUACAGUUAAAGGGAACUUUGUUUUACUUAUUGUACUAAUUUUUGUCGUUUGAAGGAAUCAAAAUUUUUUAAUUAUAAUGCUGCAAAAUUAGGUCAAUUAUGUAGAUGCCACAGAAAAUAUGAUCAUGUCUUUUGGCAGUUUUGAGCUUUGAUCACUUGAGUUUGUUUAUGACAAUAGUACAGUCUUUCAUGCUUUGUUCUAUAAUGUAAGAGUUUGCCGAGUGAAGAGGCAACUACUGCUUUAUAGCCACUAAUUUUGAUUGGGUCAAUGCUUUUCACUGGAAUAUAUGCAGAUUAUUAUUAUUAUUUUUUCUGUUAUAUGGAAUGCUGAUCACCUUUUAAGAUCUUUAAAUUUGAUGGGCGUAAAAGGUUAUUGUAAGUGGUCAAACCAUAAGGAGAAUGGAAUUAAUUAUUAAAAGUUGAUUAUUGCUUGCCCUUAAAUAGUUUUUGGGGAUGCAUGAUAUUAAGUACCAAUGAUCACAAUAAAAACAAAUUUUGUCAGCUGAAUAUCUUCAAACUUUUAGAGACUACAAGUGUUUGAUUGGUUUAUCAAUGCUUACGAAAGGGGCUAACAUUUGCUUUAUUCCUGAUCAUUUUUCCAUUAUUUUAGGAAAUCCUUCAACUAUGUGAUAAUAGGUGCGUGCUUUUUGAUAACAAGACUAAGGAUGAGGCCAAGAGAACUGAGCAGGUUUGGAAGCUUCUGUCUCUGGUUAACUCUGUGGCUGUGCAGAAUGGUGGGCAGCCAUAUACGGAUGAUAUCUUUGCUGAGUUGAAGGUGACUUCAUUACUAUCGUGAGAGACUUCUGUGCUGCUUCUUUCUGAAUAUGUCAUGACGAUGUCUCUUUUUCUUUUUUUUUUUCUAUUCAGAAAGGGGCUACUAAACUCCGUGAUCAACAAUUUGAGGUUGAUUCUCUCAAGGGAUAUUCAAAACGAGAAAUUUCAGAGCUGAAGGAGCAGAUGCAUAAAUCAUAUGAAGAUCAACUCAAACGAAUUACUGAGAUGGUAUUUUUUAUGCUCCUUGUUUUGGCAUCAAAAUAUGACAUGCAUAUGUGUUCAUUUCUCAGAUCCAAAAAUGCUUAUAAAGUGUGCAGGUACCUGUAAUGAUAUUCUAAAUUGUGAGACUUGGAGGUGAUAAAGACUGCCGCUGUGUCCUUACCCCUAGAUUGUUGGAGAUUGCCAUCUGAAAAGAGGCUUUAUCUUGCUAGUUGAUGGGGACAAAUCUGUUAUUAAGUUAUCUGUUCAUUGAUUGUGUUUUGAAGGCUGUAACAUGUUGUUCUUACCUUGAAGAUUGUUUGACUGUCUUGUUCUGUUUUGUUUCUUGAUGAAAUUAAGUAGAUUACUCUAUGGUAGUAGCUAUAGGUGGUUUGCUCAUCAUGACUUGCACUUAGGAGUGGAUUCUGCACUUGUUUAGUCAUCAAUCAUAAGAACAUUUCUUGUAAUACUGUAGAUCCUGUUUUGUUGCUAGGAAUUUUGCACUCCUGAAUCUCUGGGAACAUUUGAAAUGUUAUAAGCAAGUUAUGUUAUAUUCUAAUUUUGUUAAAACAGAGUAGCCACAUUCAAAAUAAGUUUUUUGGAAAAUAUAGUUAGGUACCUGGAACCUAAUCAAAUAGCUGUGUAGUUUAAAUGUUCCUUUCCACAGUUUUAAUUUAUAGCAAGGCAGUAGAAUGAACUGGCAUUAAGCGAGAUCCUAUUCAACAAUAAUCUGGAUUUGCUGUAGCAGGCUGUGUACUGACUAUGUGUAUGAGGUGCUAAUAAGUUUUAAUCUCCACAUUCCUGGAGUGUGGCAAAAUGAAAAAGUUAGUAUAUUCUUUAAUACCUUAUAUUUUGGGUUUAACUGUUUAUUUUUUUAAGCCUUUGUUUCUACCAUUUAUCAAUGAUUGAGAGAGUGGAAUUGAUUGAAGUAAGAAAGUUGUGCCGAGUAUGGUGAACUUAGCAACUCCCUUUGCAAUUGGAUUAAACUAAAUUAAUACUUAAGAAUUUUCUUCUCUUAAGUUGGAGUUUUAUAUUACCAGUACCCAAUCUUUCUUUGUAUUAUACUGCUACUCUAGGGCUUAAUGGCAUGUUUUCUGACUGAUAUUGAUGCUUUUUUGAUAGGUUGAGUCUAAGCUCAAAGAGACAACAACUAGGCUCGAACAGCAAUUGGCAGAGGAGCAAGCUGCUCGAUUAAAGGCAGAAGAGGUCGCACAAUUAGCUCAAAUGAAGUCGAAUGACGAAAUUCGUAAGCUUAGAGAGAAUCUUGAAAGAGCUCAGAGGGAGACAGAGGAGCUCCGUAAGCAAGCUGAAAAAGGAGGGUGUGCCAUUCUUUGACCUAAUCACCUGCUGGCACUAUAUGCCAUUGGCAUGAAAAUCACCUAAAGUAUAUUUUUGCUGUCUCCCCUACCUUUUCAGAUAAUAUUUGAAGUUAAUACUGCAUUUAUUCUCAGUGUUUUACUACAGUCAAGAAGCUUGUAUCCUCUAUUAUGUAAAUGUUCCCAGUCCAAUCUCGAGUGUGGUCUUAAGAUAGUAUUAUAUGGAAAAAUUAAAUUGACAUCAAAUGAAGUUUCUUUUAUGGAACCGUUUAGAAUCUUUUCUUACACGGUGAAUCCAAAGAGAUCUGAUUCCUUGUUCUCCUCACGCUAUCUUGUUUCCACAUUUGUAACAGAUACAACCCAAAAUACGCCCUUUUAACAAUCAAUGACUUUCCCAAAAACUCAAACACACUCGAGUUUACUUGUACCUUAACUUUUUUGUUUUCACUCUUCUAAUGUGAUAUUAGUUUGUAUAAAUAGUUUGUUUGUAUAGAAUUUACUCCUUUCAUACAACAGAGUAAUCCUAAUAUCCAAGAGACUUGCAAUAAAACCACCAAGCCUAUGACCCUUCUUUGAUUCACGCCAAACUUCAACCAGCUCAUAGCCUAGAUUUAUCAAGUACAAUAUUUAUUUAUGCAUAUCUGACACAAUCUUUAUUUACCUUAUACACAAUGCAAACCCUUCGACAUCAUACAGCUUCAGUUUUAUAGAUAUUAAGUUUCAGCAUAACAACUGGUCUCCCAAGGAGAAGAAGCCAAUGAUAAGUCAGCGUAAGUAAUUAGGUUACACAUAAACUCAUCCAGUUUCAUAUAUUGCUGGUUUCAAAAAUAGGUAUCAAGUAGCACACACACUCAGUAGAUAAUGUAGUCUGAUCGUAGAUCUCGCACUGAGAUGCCACAAGCUUGAUAUCCAGCAUCUAGCUUACCUGCAAAUGGGAGAAAACAUUGAUGCACGCGCAACACGAGUGUGUAGAAAUGAAAUGUGAUGGGAGAAUUAAUUACCUGAGAUAGAGUAUCUUCUUGUCCGGGUGAGAGUAAGCAGUGCCACCACCCUCGAUGAUAGCAGGACUGAAGAAAUUCCGAGAAGCUAAUGCAUGGAUUGCAUUCAGCUCUUGCCCAGUCACCGUGUUUGCUUGCUGAAACCUCUCCAUUUCUGCUAUAUGAGUUUGAGAAACAAUGAAAUUUUAAUAACGUGCUGAAAUUUUGGAAGAGGGCGAGAAAAAAUGCAUUAUACAUACAACGGACUGAUUUGCAUACCUUUGAUCGGAGACAUACGCUUUCAUUUUCCAGCUCAAUCUCCUAUGAAAAUGAAAAUGUUAAAGAGUUCCAUAAAAGCUUUGAAGAAAACGAAAAAAAGGCUAAACAGGAUUUAAUGAAUUUUAAUUAUUACCCUUUUCUGCAAGAACUCAAUUUCAGCUAGCGGCAUUUCAUGCUGUUGCACAAAACAGGAAACGCACAAAGCAACAAAUUAUUUUCAAAAUGACAUAAAUUACAUAUAUUGAAUGUAUAUCGAUGAAGUUUAUGCAAUGUAUUGUUGCAAAACAAUGGUGUAUUGCUCAAAUUCAAUUAAUUUUUGUAUGCAUAAUGCAAUUAAUUAAUUACCUUCUUGAACCUGAUCCUAGUGAUGCCUCGCUCAAGCCUGUUCUCCAGUUGCUUAAGCUCCUUUACAGUUAAAGAACUCAGAGAAUCACCCAUCAAAUGCCUAUAUGAAGAGUCAAGAGUGAGAGAACCAAUUGAAAAUUUAAUUGAAAUUGUAUAUUUUGGAAUAAUUAAUUAACGACACUUAAUAUGAAAAUAAUUGUUGAUGAAAUAAUUGAAAAUACCUGUUAGAAUUCAGUGACAUUUGAAUUUGCUGCCGCAGCUUCACCGAUUCCUGCUGAUAGUACCGUUUUCAUGGGUCACAUGUAACGGGAGAAGUUAAAUUUUUAUUGGGAACUUUAUAUUUCAAUGCUAGCUAUGUGGUAAUAAAUGAUAAUUAGUUGGUUUUUUUUUUCACCUUUUCAUAAUAAUAUAUAUUCCUAGCAAAGCCUGAAUUUGUAGCUUAAAUUAAUGAAUUACUUACCCGAGCAUUGAUCUCAGUAACAGUGCCAGAAUUUAUUUAUUUUAUAGCUUAAAUUACAUACAUUUACACACACACACGCACACACGCAACACACACACAUACAUACACACACGCUAAGAACAGCAGGUUAUAUUCAUCAAAUUCAUCUACAAAUAACUAACUAACCAGAUAGCUCAGCUUCUUUUCUUUCCAACUGAAUUUCUGAACUUGGUAGAUUCUCUGCAGGUUUAGCAAUAACCUUCAGGAACUCCAGAUAAUCGGGGUCUUUAUUGUCCACAUCAAAACCAAAUACAGCUAUUGCUACAGUACUUCUAAAAACAAUAAGAAGAUAAAGAAAAUUAAGGUAACUUUGAAAUUUAGCAGCUUAAGUGUACGAGAAAAGUCACAACAUUUCAACCUCAAAAGUAUCCUAAGUUUUUUUUUUUAAACAAAAAAAAUACCUUUAAAAAUGGUGCCUUCACGGCUAUCCUUUCUAGAACAAGGCUUGGGAACACGUUGAGAUGGAACAUAUCCAACAACAGCCUUAAACUGAGCAACUAAUCGAGAAACCAAUAACACAUCUAAUCAACCAAAAAGAAAGUGCCCUUUUGAUUUAAAACAACAUAAACUCAUUCUUACCAAAUUAAGAUUGAUAAGUAAAGGUAAAAGUGUAAGCAAAAUUACCCUUUUCAUUAACAAACAAAUGUCCAUUCAACAACUCCGCAAACUCAAACACAUCCGCAGGCUUCUUCAUUCUUCAUAUGCUCGUGAAUGCCUCUGAUGCUUGUAACUGUUAAAAAAAUAAAAUCCAAGUUAAAAUAAUUUUUUUUAAAAAAAACCCAAAAAUCAAUCAAUUAUAAAAAAUUUAAAAAAUUUUUUAAAAAAAACUAAAUUUUCCAGGGCAAAAGUAGAACCAAUUGUAACAGUCAUUGAAGUGAUCGUGGAAAAGGGCUAAAAGGUCAUUUUGAGAGAGGGAAGGAGGCAAAUGACGAAUCAAUACUUUGGUUCUUUGCAAUGGCUCCUUCAUUUCAUCGCAUUCAAUUUGUUCCAAUUGUAUUGAAAUCGAAAAUCAAAAAAGAGUUUUGAUUAUUUUGUACCCUAAUUUUUUAUUUGGGUUGAGAACGAAAUUGGAAUGUUGUUUAUUGGAAAGUUUUAGAUGCACGUAAUCGUUGUGUUUUCCUCCAGAGGGGCCUCUGAACACUCACAAACGGGAGAUUUACCCUUGAACACUCACAAACGGGAGAUUUACCCUUGGGAAACGUCGUCGUGUGGGCGUUCCCUAAGCGGGUAUCACGUGUCGAAAAGUUAACGAGAUUCAUAUUUCCUUACCUGGGGCAACAUCAAUUGAUAUUCCCUACUUCCCUUCAUAUUACUUUUGGGGAGUCUAGGAAUGUCAUGGAUAUUCCUCUAUUCAAAUCAACAUAUACUAAUUAUUUUAGUAUUUUUAAAAUAUUUAAUAAUAUUUAAUAAUAUAGUUUUAUAUUAUUUUCAUUUUCAUUUUUAAAUAAAUUUUUAUUCAUAUUUAUUAUAAAUUAAAUGAAUAAUACAAAUACAAAUUAAAAUAAAAAUUUAAAUACUAAAAAUAAAAAUAUAUGCGUCAUUAUAAAUAAAAUUUAAUUAUAAAAUAUUUUCUUGUACUUUUUGUUACUUUAAAAUAUUUUUCUUAUAAUCAAUGCAUAUAUUAUAGCUCCAAGAUAAGUUAUUAAGAAAAUUACUCAUUUGCCCUUUUUUGUUUAAAUUUUUUGGGGACGGAAGAGUUUUUAGAUAUUAUAAAAUUAGUAAGAAAUAAGUGAUAUAUAUUAGUUCCACUAGAAAAAAAAAAUUAACAACCUCCUUAAUAAUAAAAGUAACAAAAUAAUGAAAUGCAAAAGAGAGAAAUUACAUGUUCAUUCAUCUUUUAGAUUCUUUUCUUCUCAACUUUCUAUUUAAACCCUUUUAAAUUCUUUUCUUCUCAACUUUUUAUUUAAAUUUUUUUACAUUCUUUACUUCUCAACUUUCUAUUUAAACUCUUUCAAAUUCUUUUCUUCAAACUCUUUUAGAUUCUUUACUUCUCAACUUUCUAUUUAAACUCUCUUACAUCCUUUACUUCUCAACUUUCUAUUUAAACUUUCUAUUACAUUCAUUAUUCAAUUUAUAAUUUUCAUACCUUAAAUCCUAAAAUUUAAGUCAAGUCUCUUCCCCUUUCUCAUCUCUUCGUACGCAACGCAAUCUUUUUAGGCCUCCUCUCUUUGCAAGUAAGUAAAAUAUCAGUUCAUUGCAUCAUCUCACUGUUUGUUUUCAUACUUUGCUUUCUCCAAAUUGCCCUUGCCUUUUCCUCUCAAUCUCAAUUUUUAGUUUUUUCUUUUGAUUAUAGACUCUAUUUUCUUUACCUUGGUUUGUAAAUUUUAUCGGAUGUACUGCAUAAUCAUGGGCGACCCAAUUAAGGCCCAUGAGGGGUAGCCAUUAAUUUUUCUUUUAAAUGUACCUCAAGCCCUUUUUAAAAGAAUUAAAUAAAAAAAAUUUAGACACAUUUUUCAUAUAACAAAAGACAUAUUGUUCAAUGGUAAGAGUUUAUUUGAUGGUUUUAAAGUCCUGAUUCAAAUCCCAAUCGCCACAUUAGUUUGUUUUUUUAAUAUUUUAUGAAAACUACUCGGAAAAAUGAUACUUUCAUGCCUUUGAAAUAAAUAAUUUGUUACUAUUAUUAUUUAGAAUUUAAAAGAAAGUAAUGAAAUUUGAGUUUAUGAGACUUAAAAUGUAUGGUGUGAACAUUUAAAAAAAGCCCAAAUUAAAUAAAAGUUUUGAAUUAAGCCCCCCUAAUUGAAGUGUUUGGGUCCGCCACUAUGCAUAAUUGAUCAUCGUCAUUUUUUUUCAAUAAUUUCAUAAAACAUGCAUAAUUAAAUUAAAUUAUAUAUUAGCAUAAUUAAUUAAUUAACUGAUGCUGUUUAGAUUCUGAGCUUGAUUAUAUAUCAAUGCAUCAUAUUUUUAUUAAGAUUAUAAAUUUAACUAUAUCGUCAGGGUCCGAAUGAUUUUUAUUUUAAAUUAUUUUUAAUGAAUUUAUUCAUGUUCGGUUGGAUAAUAUUUAAAGUAAUAACAAAUAUAAGUUUUAAUGGAGUGAAAUUGUUAGGGUAUGGUAACUAAAUUUUCUUUCUUAUUGUUUAACGAUAAAAAGUGAAUUCAAUGUGAAGUGGUUUGAUACUGUAAAUGCAUUGCAGGUAAAUUGAAAUUUUUUUUAGGAUGGGAGAAAGAGUGAUUGAUGGCGAUUGGAAGCCUACUUCUCCAUCUAUUGGGGAGCGUACUGUGGUUUUACUUGGCCGUACUGGCAAUGGCAAAAGUGCGACGGGCAAUAGUAUUCUCGGAAGAAAAGCCUUCAAGGCGAGUGCUGGCUCGUCUGGUGUUACUAUAACUUGUGAAAUGAAGACAACCGUGCUCAAAGAUGGCCAAGUUGUUAAUGUCAUUGAUACCCCCGGUAAUUUACUAAUGUUGGUGUCUAGAUAUUCCAUUUCCAUGCUUGUUGAUGUUGUGGUGGCAAGUAGAUUGAUGUUAUGAGCCAUUGCAGGGCUUUUUGAUUCUUCCGCUGGCUCUGAGUUUGUCGGCAAGGAAAUUGUCAAAUGUAUUGGUUUGGCCAAGGGUGGGAUCCAUGCAGUCCUUGUAGUUUUCUCUGCUCGAAACCGUUUUUCUCAAGAGGAAGAAGCUGCAGUACACCGUUUGCCGACCUUGUUCGGGAAAAAAAUUUUUGACUAUAUGAUUGUUGUUUUCACUGGAGGGGAUUAUCUUGAAGAUAAUGAGAAAACAUUAGAAGAUUAUUUGGGUCAUGAGUGUCCAAAGCCUUUAAAGGUUCGUUUCUGAACUGCAACAGUGUUCGAUAAUUUCAUUAGUCAUUUUGAUCAAGUUGUCUUUGGUUGGUUCUUUUGUGAAGUUUUAGACUCCUUUACGGUUGGACCAUUGGAAGUUUAAUAUGAAUAUAUGCAUGCUGAAAAUACUUGAUAGGUGUAUAGUAGUCCAGCCGUCUUAAAAUUCCAUUUUCAAUAGGGCUUCAUUUCCUGAAUGGUUUUCUUCUGCCAUGCGGGAUAUGCCGGAGAGGUGAUUGGUUGGUAAUUUUCUGCUGGCAUUACUUAAUUUUAGUUAUAUUUUAAUGCCUCUGAAUGAGAUGUCAUUCAUUCAUUUGCUAAGCAUUUAUGCUUUUCUUAUUUGUAUUCUUUGAUUUCCUCUGCUAUUUAAUCUUGGUUCUUAUUCUAUUAACGUGUGUUCAUUUGUUUGUUUCUUAAAAUAUGUUCUUUUGUUGGGAGAACCUGUGCCUCUCGGUUCGAGCGGAGACUUCUAGUCUGGGUUGUGGUAUGGGCUUAAAAGUGUUUCCCACAGUUGGGGCUCUUUCCAGGAUACCUCGUGGUCAAAAAAAAAAAAAAUGUACCUCUUUUUUUUUUACGUGAGGUCCAUUUUAUUCGGCGUUGUUUGAAUAAAAUAUCAAGACUAACUUUACAAGAUUUAAAAUUCUCUUACAAAUUCCUGUGGAUUCUAGCCUCAGAAUUGUUGAAUAAAAUUUCAAUGUGAGAUCUUUUUUCAGUUUCAACAUGCAAAUCUCUUAUUUUCAGAAUGUACUUGAUGAAUUUGGUUUCUAAAAUUUUUUAACUUGAGAAAGAUUUAUAUCAAGUUCUUCUAUUUUACUGCAUACUUGAUUUAACCUAUGAGUGGGAAGAAAAAUAACAAAAAAGAAAAUAAAGACCCCUUCAAGUUCUAGCUCUGCAAUUAACAAAAUCGGGUUAUUUUAAGGGAACUUUGUUUUACUUAUUGUACCAAUUUUUGUAGUUUGAAGGAAUCAAUUGUAGAUGCCACAAUUAGGUCAACUAUGUAGAUGCCACAGAAAAUGUGAUCUUGCAUUUUGGCAGUUUUGAGCUUUGAUCACAAUAAUACAGCCUUUCAUGCUUUGUUCUAUAAUGUAAGAAUUUGCCGAGUGAAGAGGCAGCUACUGCUUUGUAGCCACUAAUUUUGAUUGAGUCAAUACUUUUCACGGGAAUAUAUGCAGAUGAUUAUUAUUAUUAUUAUUAUUAUUAUUUUGUUAUAUGGAAUGCUGAUCACCUUUUAAGGUCUUUAAAUUUGAUGGACGUAAGAGGUUAUGUAAGUGGUCAAACCAUAAGGAGAAUGGAAUUGAUUAUUAAAUAGUUUCUGAGGAGGCCUGAUAUUAAGUGCUUACGAUCACAAUAAAAACAAAUUUUGUCAGCUUAAUAUCCUCAAACUUUUAGAGACUACAAGUGUUUGAUUGGUUCAUCAAUGCUUACGAAAUGAGCUAAUAUUUGCUUUAUUCCUGAUCAUUUUUCCAUUAUUUUAGGAAAUCCUUCAACUAUGUGAUAAUAGGUGCGUGCUUUUUGAUAACAAGACCAAGGAUGAGGCCAAGAGAACUGAGCAGGUUGGGAAGCUUCUUUCUCUGGUUAACUCUGUGAUCGUGCAGAAUGGUGGGCAGCCAUAUACGGACGAGCUCCUUGCUGAGUUGAAGGUGACUUCAUUACUGUCGCGAUUGACUUCUGUGCUGCUUCUUUCUGAAUAUGUCAUGACAAUAUCUCUUUUUCUUUUUUUUUCUAUUCAGAGAGGGGCUACUGAACUCCGUGAUCAACAAGCUGAGGUUGAUUCUCUCAAGGAAUAUUCAAAACAAGAAAUUUCAAAGCUAAUGGGCCAGAUGCAGGAAUCAUAUGAAGAUCAAAUCAAACGAAUUACUGAGAUGGUAGUUUUUAUACUCCUUGUUUUGGCAUCAAAAUAUGACAUGCAUAUGUGUUCAUCUCUCAGAUCGGGUAAUCAUUUCUAAAACUGUGUAAUUAAAAAAAUGCCUACAAAGCGUGCAGGUACCUGUAAUGAUAUUCUAAAUUGUUAGAUUUGGAGGUGAUAAAGACUGCCGCUCUGUCCUUACCCCUAGAUUGCUGGAGAUUGCCAUCUGAAAAGAGGCUUUAUCUUGCUAGUUGAUGUGGACCUAUCUGUUAUUAUCUGUUCACUGAUUGCGUUUUGAAGGCUGUAACGUGCUGUUCUUAACUUGAACAUUGUUUGACCGUCCUGCUCUGUUUUGUUUGUUGAUGAAAUUAAGUGGGUUAUUCUAUGAUAGUAGCUAUAGGCGGUUUACUUAUCAUGACUUGCACUUAGGAAUGGAUUCUGCACUUGUUUAGUCAUCAAUCAUGAGAACAUUUCUUGUAAAACUGUGGAUAAUGUUUUCUUGCCUGAAUCUGUGGGAACAAUUUAGAUUAUGACAUAUUCUAAUUUUGUUAAAAACAAAAUAGCCACAUUCAAAAUAAGUUUUCAUGAAAAUAUAGUUAGGCACGUGGAACCUAAUCAAAUGGCUGCAUAGUUUCGAUUUUCCUUUCCACAGUUUUAAUUUAUAGCAAGGCAAUACAAUGAUUCGGAAUUAAGCCUGUUCCUAUUCAACAAGAAUCUGAAUUUGCUGUAACAUUCUGUGUAAUGACUAUAUGUCUGAGGUGCUAAUAAGUUUUAGUCUUCACAUUCUUGGAGUAUGGCAAAAUUAAAAAGUUAGUAGAUUCUUUAAUACUUUAUGUUUUGAAUUUAUGUGUUGAUUUUUUUAAGCUUUUGUUUCUACCAUUUAUCAAUGAUUGAGAGUUUGGAAUUGAUUGAAGUAAGAAUGUUUCGCCGAGUAUGGUGAACUUAGCAACUCCCUUUGCAAUUGGAUUAAACUAAAUUAAUACUCAAGAAUUUGCUUCUCUGAAGUUGGAGUUUUAUAAUACCAAUACCUUUUUUUUUUUUUUUUAUUUGUAUUAUGAUGCUACUCUAGGGCUUAGUAGUAUGUUUUCUGACUGAUAUUGAUGCUUUUUUGAUAGGUUGAGUCUGAGCUCAAAGAGACAACAACUAGGCUCGAACAGCAAUUGGCAGAGGAGCAAGCAGCUCGGUUAAGGGCAGAAGAGGUUGCACAAUUAGCUCAAAUGAAGUCGAUGAAAUUCAAGCUGGGAGUGCUGAGAAGGAGACUGCGGAGCGCCCUAAGAAACCUUAUAAUGGGGAUUGUGCCAGUUUUUGACCUAGUCACCUGCAGGCACAAUGUGCCAUCGGCGUGAAAAUCACCUAAAGUAUAUUUUCUUAUUGUGCCAUUCUUUGACCUAGUCACCUGCAGGCACAAUGGAAAAACCGUAUUGACAUCAAAUGAAGUUUCUUUUAUGGAGCCGUCUAGAAUCUUUUCUUACACGGUGGAUUCAAAGAGAUCUGAUUCCUUUUCUCCUCAUUGAGCUCUAAACGAACGCUAUAUUGUUUCCACAUUUGUAGCAGAUACAACCCAAAAUGUGCCCUUCUAAUAAUCAUGACUUUCCCAAAAAUUCAAACGGACUAACAGAGCAAACCUAACAUCCAAGAGACUUGCAAUAAAACCACCAAGCCUAUGACCCUUCUUUGAUUCACACCAUACUUCAACUAGCUCAUGGUCUAGGUUUAUCAAGUACAAUAUUUAUUUAUGCAUAUAUGACACAAUCUAUAUUUACCUUAUACAUAAUGCAAAUCCUUCGACAUCAUACAGCCUCAGUUUUGUAAGUUUUAUAGAUGUAAGUUUCAGCAUAAUAACUGGUCUCCCAAAGAGAAGAUGCCAAUGAUAAGUCAGCGUAAGUAAUUAGAUUACACAUAAACUCAUCCAGUUUCAUAUAUUGCUGAUUCAAAAAUAGGUAUCAAGUAGCACACACAUUCAGUAGAUAAUGAUAGUCUGAUCGUAGAUCUCGUACUGAGAUGCCACAAGCUUGAUCUCCAGCAUCUAGCUUACCAGCAAAGGGGAGAAAACAUUGAUGCACGCGCAACACGAUAAAGUUUAUGCAAUGUAUUGUUGCAAAACAAUGGUGUAUUGCUCAAAUUCAAUUAUUUUUUGUAUGCAUAAUGAAAUUAAUUAAUUACCUUCUUGGACCUGAUCCUCGUGAUGCCUCACUCAAGCCUGUUCUCCAGUUGCUUAAGCUCCUUUACAGUUAAAGAACUCAGAGAAUCACGCAUCAAAUGCCUAUAUGAAGAGUCAAGAGUGAGAUAACCAAUUGAAAAUUCAAUUGAAAUUGUAUAUUUUGGCAUAAUUAAUUAACUAUGCUUAAUAUGAAAAUGAUUGUUGAUGAAAUAAUUGAAAAUACUUGUUAGAAUUCUGUAACAUUUGAAUUUGCUACUGCAGCUUCACUGAUUCCUGCUGAUAGUACCGUUUUCAUGGGUCACAUGUAAUGGGAAAAGUUAAUUUUUUGUUAGGAACUUUAUAUUUCAAUGCUAGCUAUUUGGUAACAAAUGGUAAUUAGUUGGUUUUUUUUUUCUUUUUUUUUUCACCUUUUCAUAAUAAUAUAUGUUCCUAGCAAAGCCUGAAUUUAUAGUUUAAAUUAAUGAAUUACUUACCUGAGCAUUGAUCUCAGUAGCAGUGCCAGAAUUUAUUAAUUCUGUAGCUUAAAUUGCGUACAUUUAUGCACACACACACUAAGAACAGCAAGUUAUAUUCAUCAAAUUCAUCUCAAAAUAACUAACUGACCAGAUAGCUCAGCUUCUUUUCUUUCCAACUGAAUUUCUGCACUUGGUAGAUUCUCAGCAAGUUUACCAAUAACCUUCAGGAACACCAAAUAAUCCGGGUCUUUAUUAUCCACAUCAAAACCAAAUAUGGCUUAUUACUGCAGUACUUCUAAAAACAAUAAGAAGAUAAAGAAAACUAAGGUAUUCUUCUAAUUGCUGUGCUUUUACUUAACUUUGAAAUUUAGCAGCUUAAGUGUACAGUAAAAGCCACAUCACUUCAACUCCAAAAGUGCCCUAAGUUUUUUUUUAAAAUAAAAAGAAUUAUUAUAACAUAUGCACUUUAAUUUUCCUCAUUAAGUGUAUUAUUUAAUUUUUCUCUUUCGAUAUUAUUUUUAAAUUUGUCAUGACAUAAAAUUGAGACAAUUCAAACACGAUUCAAUGGCCAUGUAGUUGGAUUUUAUUUCAACACGGGUCCGGCAUUAGCUUAAUUAGUAGUAAUCUUUAAAAAAAAAAUUAAUUUCUAUAAAUGGAAAGGAGGGAACUAAUUUCCAAAAGAGGAAAGAGAGAGGGGCACGCGAGAGAGAAGGAGAGAGAGAGAAAUUGACCCGUUUAGCCCGACCCGACCCACGAGACCGACCCGGAUCCGACUCUCGUUUACAGCCACCGUUUCGGUCAAGCUUGGUACUGAUCUGAAGCUUGAGUGACGUCGGUCAUAUCCCCCUGUCAUCGUCGCUGGAAAACAGCCAGAACGCCGGUGAUCGAAACUUGAAAGACCGCGGCUCAACCCAUUUUCGUCGCCGUCAAUCUCGCCAGAAUUAGGUUGCACCACCGGUUGCGUUCGAUUCUUCACAUCACCAGCUUUUAUUUCCGGCCAACGUUGCUGCCCGAAACUUCCGUUUUGGCCGUGAACGACCGCUAGAAAGCUCACAGCUUUGGGAGCACGAUCCGCCACCAUUGCCGUGCGCGUAAGGUCACCGCCGUCACCGUUGGCUGAAUUCCAGUCACCGUUGACCGGUGGGGGCAUUUCGGUAAUUUAAUAAGACUUUAGGGGGAAUUUGUAAUUUGUGGAAUCGGUGGAUAAUUUGGUAAUUUUAGAUUAGGGCAGUGAAGUAAUUUGAGAGUUCCGAGGGUAAUUCGAUAAUUUAAAUUAUUAACGGCAUUAUGGUAAUUUCGCAAUUUGAGGAUAAUUUCGUAAAUUUAAAACUUGUGAUUAAUUUUGUUAUCCGAAUUGAGGACAAUUUGGUAAUUUAAGAUGUUAAGGAUGAUUCGAUAAAUUAUGAUUUCGAUGGUAAUUCGGUAAAUUUCGGUGUCAGGGGCAUUUUGGUAAUUUUUGGACAUAAGGGUAAUUUUGAAAUUUUAUGCAUCCAGGAGUUUGGUUUUGAGCUUUAUUUCAUACUGUUAGUCGUACUUCAUGAUACAAAUAAUAAUUAUGUUGUUUAUUUAAUUAGGAGGACCCGCGAGCGAGAAUCAAUCUGCGGACGUUUAUGGUACCGAGUUUGGAUAUUAUCACUGUGAGUGGAAUAUACAAAAUUUAUUUUCAUAUUAUAUUCUAAUUUUACCAUAUAGUACAACAUAUUUUGAUAAUAAGUAUUUGAUACUUCGAUUUAAUGAUUUUCUAGAAAAUUAAAUUUUAUUCUACAUGCUGAUAUUUAUUAUUAUUGAAAAUGAGUUUGAUUAAUGAUUUUAUUAUCAUUUUUUAGAAAAUGCAUGAUAUUAGAAUUGAGUGGAUUUGAGAUAUAUUGAAUAAAAAGGAAAUGAGAUUUCAAAUGUGAUUAUAUGUUUAUGUACAUGUGUAUAAAAUGUUGUUUGGAAAAUCAUUGGACAGUACCCUUCCCCUUCAGAUACAGAGAUACAUAUAAUAUGAGAUGAAUACAAUGAUAUAGAUGAUAUGAGAUGAGAGGUCUUUGAGGCUCGUCUGAACACACAUAGAGGCUUUGGGCUGUGUGUUUGGGCGCUUUUGCCUGUUGGGGGCUUAUGUAUGCAGUAUGAUGAUUACAGAGAUACAUAUGUUGAGAUAUAUGAGAUAUGAGAUGGCAUUUUCCAGUCUAUCUGUUGUAGCUUUGGGGCAUGAUGGUUACUUGAUUGCCUGUCCGUUGAGGUCUGGAUAUGAUGAGAUUAUUCCCCUGGUUACUUGUUUAGUGAUAGUUUUUGGUAUUAAGUAUUUGAUAUUAUAAGUGCUAUGAUUUCAUUGAUUAUAUGCAGAUUUAUGCAAUAUUGUUAUUUCAGUGCAUGAUUUGAAUUAAAUAAGUUUAUGUAAGUUCUUAUGAUAUUUUGAUGAAAUUAAUUUGGAAAAGAUUAAAUCAUUUUAAAUAAAUUUAUUUUUUCAAAAACUAUUAUUCACUCACUGAGCUUACUGAGUUUUAUACUCACUUUAUUUUAUUAUAUUCCCUCUCCCCCCACAAGAGAUUUGCAGGUACAUCAGUGACCCAGUAACGAUAGUUAGAUUGAAAUUAUGGCCACGUGAUGGUGUUAGGAAUCAUAAAUGUUUUGUUGGGACAUUUUGAAUUGGAUAGUUUAUUACUUAUUUGUGAUUAAGGAUAAACUAUUGUAUUCUUAACAUUAUAUGUUUGAAGGAUACUGGUAUUUAAAUUGAGCAAGUUGGUUGUGGAGGUUGAUUAAAUAUUGUAUUAUUUUUUGGGAGUGUUAAUUGUAUAAAUUGUAGAUUUGGGGAUGUCAUAAUUAUAUAGGAGACUUUGUCGUAUUUUUGGUAGAAUUCUUAGAUAUCAGAAUUAUUAUUAAUUUGAUCAAUCGAUAUUAAAUAGACUCGGCCUGAGAAUUCGAGGCGGAUCGUUUCAAUUACCUUUAAAAAUGGUGCCUUCAAGGCUACCUUUUCUAGAACAAGGCUUGGGAACACGUUGAGAUGGAACAUAUUCAACAAUAGCCUUAAACUGAGCCCCUAAUCGAGAAUCCAAUAACACAUAGAAUUAACCAAACAGAAAGUGCCAUUUUCAUUUGAAACAACAUAAACACAUUCAUACCAAAUUAAGAUUGAUAAGUAAAAGCAAAAGGGUAAGCAAAAUUACCAUUUUCAUUAACAAACACAUGUCCAUUCAACAACUCAGCAAACUCAAACACAUCCUAAAUUUCCGGGCGAAUGCGGAACCAAUUGUAACCGUCGUUGAAGUGAUCGUGGAAAAGGGCUAAAAGGUCAUUUUGAGAGAGGGAAAGAGGCAAAUGACAAAUCACUACUUUGGUUCUCUGCAAUGGCUCCGUCAUUUCAUUGCAUUCAAUUUGUUCCGACUGUAUUGAAUUCGAAAAAUUGAAAAAGAGUUUUGAUUACUUUGUACCCUAAUUUUCAAUUUGGGUUGAGAAUGAAAUUGGAAUAUUGUUUAUUGGAAAGUUUUAGACACACAUAACCGUUGUGUUUUCCUCUGGAGAGGCCUUUGAGCACUAACAAGAUUCAUUUUUCGUUGCCUGGGGCAAAGGGCAAUUGACAUUCCUCAUUUCCCUUCGUAUUUACUUAUGGGGAGUUUAGGCCAUCUCCAAUGUGACACCAAAACUAACAACAAAUCACCUUUUACAUUAUUUUUUGUAUAAAAUGCUUCUCCAAUGUAACACCAAAACCAACACCAAAAUGAUGUUUGAAUAGUAUUGCACGAAAUAUGGUGCAAUUCUAUUCAUUUGGUGCUAGGGAAAAAAGUCCAAAUUAUCUUUAUUACUUUUUCUUAUUUACAUAUAUGUCCUAUUUUAUAUAAUAUUUUAAUUUAUUUUUAUUAUUUUAAUUUUAUUUUUAAUUUUUGAAUAUUAUACUAAUAUUUUAAAUAAAAAAUAUUCAACACAAAAAUUAAUAAUGAAAAUAUAAUGCCAAUAACAUUAAUUACUAGAUUACAUAUUACAAAGUUAAAAAUACAAAAUUAAAUUAACACAAAUUAAAAAUGCUACUACUACUAGCAUAAAUUAGAACAAUUACUUAAUAAUAUGGGAGAUCAUUAUUAGAUCUUCCAAUAUCAUCAAAAUAUUGGCCAAUAUUAUUGGAAGUAUUUUGAGAUGCUUGGCCUUGCGGAGACUUUUUUUGCAAAAUCUUAAUUUGUUCAUUUUGAAAAUAUUAACGUGAGCUCGAAUCACUUAUCGAAUUUAAAUCUUGAAGUAAAAUUUUGUUUUCUUCACGAUAUGUGACCAUCUCCAAUUUUUUUUUCUCAUUUUGGGCUCGUAUAAUUUGAAUUUGAUAAUUUUGUUGCCUAUCUUCAUUGCCUUUUUUGAGAAUUUCAUAAUGUCAUCGAUGGUCUUCUUUAAUAGUAUCAAUAACUAGUGAAUUUUGAUCUUCGACUUUCCUUUUUCCUUUUGCCUUCAGAAUGUCUCGAAGUUUAUUCAAUCGUAUUACUAACGCCGUGCAAGGUCAUGACAACUAUUUUAUGUAGCGAAGGGAUGUCGUUGGCAGACUUGGGUUAUCUAGUCUUCAAAAUAUCACUGCCGUAUUUAGAAUGUUGGCAUAUGACAUGCUAGCAGAUGCUUUUGAUGAGUAUAUUAAAAUUGGAGAGUCUACAACAAUUGAAAGUUUGAAGAGGUUCUGUCGUGUAAUUGUGGAAGUUUUUGCAGAGCAAUAUCUUAGAUCACCUAACGCUAAUGAGGUCGCUAGGCUACUCCAUGUUGGUAAAGAACGUGGUUUUCCAGGAAUGUUAGGCAGCCUAAAUUGCAUGCACUGGAAGUGGAAAAAUUGUCCAACAGCUUGGGCCGGACAAUAUGAUAGUCGUAGUGGAACCCCAACUAUUAUUUUGGAGGCUGUAGCUGAUUAUGAUAUUUGGAUAUGGCAUGCACAUUUUGGUUUGUCUGGUUCAAAUAAUGAUAUUAAUGUGUUGGAGGCAUCCUAUCUUUUUGCCAACCUCGCUUCAGGUAUUGCUCUUCCUGCUCAUUAUGUUAUUAAAGGGAACAAAUAUAAUAUGAGUUAUUAUUUAGCUGAUGAUUUCUACCCAAAAUGGUCUACUCUUGUACAAACUAUCCAUGAUCCACGUGGUCAUAAAAAAAUUAUUUGCCAUGAAACAAGAACCAUGUCAGAAAAGAUGUAUAACGUGCCUUUGGAAGCCCUCAAUCACGUUUGGCAAUUGUUGGUGGACCAUCACGCUUUUUGGAACAAACUGUGUUACUUGAAUUAAUGAUUGCUUGCAUUAUUAUGCACAAUAUGAUAAUCGAAGAUGAACGUAAUAUUAAAGCAACAAUUAAUGAUUGGAUGCAAGCACCAAUACCAACAGUUGAUAUGAGGGCAGAUGAGAAUACUAGAUUUCAAGAAUUUAUUGCUCGACACAAAAAAAAUCAAGGAUAAAGAGGCUCACAUUGCACUCCGAAAUGCACUAAUUAAUCAUUUAUGGGAUGAAUUUAAUAAUUCGAAUAACUAGAGUAUUAUUAUUGUUAUUUUAUUUUUCUAUAUUAAUGUAAUGUUUAAUUUUCAUAAUACACUAAUUUAGUUAAUUAAAGGCAAAUUUAAUAAUUUUCUAUAUUUUUUUUUGUUAAUCGAUAUAAAAUUACUUAGUACUUAAUUAUCUAUAUUAAUAGUAAUAUUUAUUGUGUUAAUUGAAUUAAUUCUUGAUAAUUAAAAGAAGAAAAAGAAGAAUAUUCUUUUUGGUAUAAAAUUUGGUGCAAAUGGGUUGGAGAUGAAAUAAUAAUUUGGUGAGAAAAAAGCACAUUUUUGGUGUUACAUCAAAAUGGUGUUAAAGCAUUGGAGAUGCCUUUAGGGGCCUUGACGUAUAAAAUGACCAAAAAGCCCCUAUGUAGUAUGAAUAUGCUGAUUUAAUAAAGAAAGAUUAUCAAUAAUAUUAAUAAUGGGAAAUUGUUAGCUCUCCUUUAUUCAAAUCAAUAUAUAUUAAUUGCUUUAGUAUUGCUUUUAUAAUGCACAAUAAUUUUUUAUUAGUAUAAUUUUAUAGUAUAAUUUUUAUUUUAAAUAAAUUUUUAUUCAUAAUUAUUAUAAAUUAAAUGAAUUUUUUAUAUUAUAAAACUAGUAAUAAAUAAGUGAUAUAUAUUAGUUCUAAUAGAAAAAAAUUAACAACUUCCUUAAUAAUAAAAGUGACGAAAUAAUGAAAGGCAAAAGAGGGAAAUUGUAUGUUCAUUCCUCUUUUAGAUUCUUUUCUUCUCAACUUUCUAUUUAAACUCUUUUAUAUUCUUUACUUCUCAACUUUCUAUUUAAACUAUCUUAUAUUCUUUUCUUCAAACUCUUUUAGAUUCUUUUCUACAUUCCAACUUUCUAUUGAAACUCUCUUACAUCUUUUAUUUCUUAACUUUCUAUUUAAACUCUCUUACAUCCUUUACUUCUUAACUUUCUAUUACAUUCAUUACUCAAUUUAUAAAUUUCAUACCUUAAAUCCUACAAUUUAAAUCAAGUCUCUUAUCCUUUCUCAUCUCUUCAUACGCAAUGCAAUCUUUUUAGUUCUCCUCUCUUUGCAAGUAAGUAAAAUCUUAGUUCAUCGCAUCAUCUCACAGUUUGUUUUCAUAGUUUUCUUUCUCCAAAUUGCCCUCGCAUUUUCCUCUCAAUCUCAAUUUCUGGUUUUUUUGUUUGUUGUAGACUCGAUUUUCUUUACCUCGGUUUGUAAAUUUUAUCGGAUGUAAUGCAUAAUCAUGGGCGACCCAAUUAAGGCUCAAGAGGGGCUUCAGCCCCUUUUGGGCCAUUAAUUUUUCUUUUAAAUGUACCACACGCCCCUUCUAAAAGAAUUAAAUAAAAAAAUUUGGACACAUAUUUUAUGUAACAAAAGACUUAUAGUUCAAUAAUAAGAGUACUAUUUGAUGGUUUUAAAGUCCUGGUUUAAAUCCCAGUAGCCACAUUAUUUUGUUUCUUUUUAUAAAUAGUUUUUGAAAAUUACUUAGACAAAUGAUACGUUCAUGCAUUUAAAAUAAAAAGUUUAUUACUAUUAUUAUUUAAAAUUUAAAAGAAAAUAAUAAAAUUUGAGUUUAUGAGAUUUAAAAUGUAUUCGUGUGAACAUUAAAAAAAACCCCAAAUUAAAUAAAAUGUUUUGAACUAAUCUCCCUAAUUUAAGUGUCUGGGUCCGCCACUAUGCAUAAUUAAUCGUCGUCGUUUUUCUUUUCAAUAAUUUCGUGAAACAAGCAUAAUUAAAUUAAAUUAUACAUAUGCAUAAUUAAUUAAUUAACUGAUGUUGUUUAGAUUCCGUGCUUGAUUAUAUAGCAAUUCAUCAUAUUUUAUUAUGAUUAUAAAUUUAACUAUAUGGUCGGGGUCUGAAUGAUUUUUAUUUUUAAUAUAUUUUUAUGAAUUUAUUCAUGUUCGGUUGGAUAAUAUUUAAAGUAAUAACAAAUAUAAGUUUUAAUGGAGUGAAAGUGGUUUGAUGUUGUAAAUGCAUUGCAGGUAAAUUAAAUUUUUUUUUAGGAUGGGAGAAAGAGUGGUUGAUGGCGAUUGGAAGCCUACUUCUCCAUCUAAUGGGGAGCGCACUGUGGUUUUACUUGGCCGUACUGGCAAUGGCAAAAGUGCGACGGGCAAUAGUAUUCUCGGAAGAACAGCCUUCAAGGCGAGUGCUGGCUCGUCUGGUGUUACUAAAACUUGUGAAAUGAAGACAACCGUGCUCAAAGAUGGCCAAGUUGUUAAUGUCAUUGAUACCCCCGGUAAUUUGCUAAUGUUGGUUCCUAGAUAUUCCAUUCCAUGCUUGUUGAUGUUGUGAUGGUAAGUAGAUUGAUGUUACGAGCCAUUGCAGGACUUUUUGAUUUGUCUGCUGGCUCUGAGUUUGUCGGCAAGGAAAUUGUCAAAUGUCUCAGUAUGGCCAAGGAUGGCAUCCAUGCAUUCCUUGUAGUUUUCUCCGUUACAAACCGUUUUUCUCAAGAGGAAGAAACUGCAGUACACCGUUUGCCGAACUUGUUCGGGAAAAUUUUUUUUGACUAUAUGAUUGUUGUUUUCACUGGAGGGGAUGAACUUGAAGAUAAUGACGAAACGUUAGAAGAUUAUUUGGGUCAUGAGUGUCCAAAGCCUUUAAAGGUUUGUUUCUAAACUCUUUAUAGUGUUCGAUAAUUUCAUCAGUCAUUUUGAUCAAGUUGUCUUUGGCUGGUUCUUUUGUGAAGUUUUAGACUCCUUUACGGUUGGACUAUUGGAAGGUUAAUAUGAAUAAAUGCAUGCUGAAAAUACUAGAUAGGUUUAUAGUAGGCCAGCCGUCUUAAAGUUCCAUUUUCAAUGGUGCUUCAUUUCCUGAAUGGUUUUCUUCUGCCAUGCGGGAUUGGCCGGAGAGGUGGUUGGUAAUUUUCUGCUGGCGUUACUUAAUUUUACUUAUACGUUAUUGUCUUCGAAUGAGAUAUCAUUCAUUCAUUCGCUAAACAUUUUUGCUUUUCGUAUUUGUAUUCUUUGAUUUCCUCUGCUAUUUAAUCUUGGUUCUUAUUCUAUUAAGGUGUGUUCAUUUGUUUGUUUCUUAAAAUAUGUACCUCUUUGAUUUAUACGCUCAAAAUUUACGUAUUUUUAAGAUUUUAAAAGUGGCCCAAAGAGAAUGUGACUUGCUAUACAGGUCCAUUUUAUUCGGCGUUGUUUGAACAAAAUAUGAAGACUAACUUUACAAGAUUUAAAAUUCUCUUAAAAGUUCCUGUGGAUUCUCGGCUCAGAAUUGGUGUCUAAAAUUUCAAUGUGAGAUCUUUUUUCAUUUUCAACAUGCAAAUCUCUUAUUUUCAGAAUUUACUUGAUGAUUUUGGUUCCUAAAAUUUUUUAACUUGAGAAAGAUUUAUAUCAAGUUCUUCUAUUUUACUGCAUACUUGAUUCAACCUAUGAGGAGUGGGAAGAAAAAUAACAAAAAUGAAAAUAAAGACCCCUUCAAGUUGUAGCUUUGCAAUUAACAAAAUCGGGUUAUUUUACAGUUAAAGGGAACUUCGUUUUACUUAUUGUACUUAUUAUUAUUAUUAUUAUUCCUACUACUACUACUUAUGUUAUAUGGAAUGCUGAUCACCUUUUAAGACUUUUAAAUUUGAUGGACGUAAGAGGUUAUGUAAGUGGUCAAACCAUAAGGAGAAUGGAAUUGAUUAUUGAAUAGUUUUUGAGGAUGCCUGAUAUUAAGUACUAACGAUCACAAUAAAAACAAAUUUUGUCAGCUUAAUAUCCUCAAACUUUUAGAGACUACAAGUGUUUGAUUGGUUCAUCAAUGCUUACCGAAAGGAGCUAACAUUUGCUUUAUUCCUGAUAAUUUUCCCAUUAUUUUAGGAAAUCCUUCAACUAUGUGAUAAUAGGUGCGUGCUUUUUGAUAACAAGACCAAGGAUGAGGCCAAGAGAACCGAGCAGGUUCGGCAGCUUCUUUCUCUGGUUAACUCUGUGAUCGUGCAGAAUGGUGGGCAGCCAUAUACGGACGAGUUGAAGGUGACUUCAUUACUAUCGGGAUAGACUUCUGUGCUGCUUCUUUCUGAAUAUGUCAUGACAAUAUCUCUUUUUCUUUUUUUCUACUCAGAGAGGGGCUACUGAACUCCGUGAUAAAAAAGCUGAGGUUGAUUCUCUCAAGGAAUAUUCAAAACGAGAAAUUUCAAAGCUGAUGGGCCAGAUGCAGGAAUCAUAUGAAGAUCGAAUCAAACGAAUGGCUGAGAUGGUAUUUUUUAUGCUCCAUGUUUUGGCAUCAAAAUAUGACAUGCAUAUGUGUUCAUCUAUCAAAUCGGGUAAUCAUUUCUCAAACUGUGUAAUUAAAAAAUGCCUAUAAAGCGUGCAGGUACCUGUAACGAUAUUCUAAAUUGUUAGACUUGGAGGUGGUAAAGACUGCCGCUCUGUCCAUACCCCUAGAUUGUUGGAGAUUGCCAUAUGAAAAGAGGCCUUAUCUUGCUAGUUGAUGUGGACAAAUCUGUUAUUAUUUGUUCACUCAUUAUGUUUUGAAGGCCGUAACAUGCUGUUCUUACCUUGAAGAUUGUUUGACGGUCCUGCUCUGUUUUUUGUUGAUGAAAUUAAGUAGGUUAUUCUAUGGUAGUAGCUGUAGGUGGUUUACUAAUCAUGACUUACACUAAGGUGGAUUCUGCACUUGUUUAGUCAUCAAUCAUGAGAACAUUUCUUGUAAUACUGUGGGAACAAUUGAAAUGUUACGAGCAGGCUAUGUCAUAUUUUAAUUUUGUUAAAAAUAGAAUAGCCACAUUCACAAUAAGUUUUUAUGAAAAUAUAGUUACGCACGUGAAACCUAAUCAAAUGGCUGCGUAGUUUUGAUUUUCCUUUCCACAGUUUUAAUUUAUUGCAAGGCAAUAGAAUGAUUCGGCAUUAAGCCAGAUCCUAUUCAACAAUAAUCUGGAUUUCCUGUAACAUUCUGUGUAAUGAUUAUAUGUCUGAGGUGCUUAUAAGUUUUAUUCUCGACAAUCCUGGAGUAUGGCAAAAUGAAAAAGUUAGCAGAUUCUUUAACACUUUAUAUUUUGGAUUUAUGUGUUUAUUUUUUUAAGCUUUUGUUUCUACCAUUUAUCAAUGAUUGAGAGUGGAAUUGAUUGGUCAUAAAGAGUUGCCGAGUAUGGUGAACUUAGCAACCCGCUUUGCAAUUGAAUUAAACUAAAUUGAUACUUAAGAAUUUUCUUCUCUUAAGUUGGAGUUCUAUAUUACCAAUACCCAAUUUUUUUGUAUUGUGCUGCUACUCUAGGGCCUAGUGGCAUGUUUUCUGACUAAUAUUGAUGCUUUUUUGAUAGGUUGAGUCUGGGCUCAAAGAGACAACAACUAGGCUCGAACAGCAAUUGGCAAAGGAGCAAGCUGCUCGAUUAAGGGCAGAAGAGGUAGCACAAUUAGCUGAAAUGAAGUUAAAAGACGAAAUUCAAUCUCGAAAUAUUGAGAAGGAGACUGCGGAACUCCCUAAGCCAUCUGAAAAUCCUCCGCGGGAGCCCCCUAGGCCACCUGAAAGUCCUCCGCCGAAGCCCUCUAGCACAUCUGAUGGGUGGUGUGCCAUUAUGUAAAUGUUCGCAGUCCAGACGCUUAUAUCUUCUGCUAUGUAAAUGUUCACAGUCCAAUCUCGAGUGCGGUCUUAGGAUAGUACUAUAUGAAAAAGCGGUAUUGACAUGAAAUGAAGUUUCAUUUAUGGAGGCGUCUAGAAUCUUUUCUUACACGGUGGAUCCGAAGAGAUCUAAUUCCUUUUCUCCUCAUUGAGCUCUUAACGAACGCUAUAUUGUUUUCACAUUUGUAGCAGAUACUACCCAAAAUGUGCCCUUCUAACAAUCAUGACUUUCCCAAAAAUUCAAACCGACUAACAGAGUAAUCCUAAUAUCCGAAAGACUUGCAAUAAAACCACCAAGCCUAUGACCCUUCUCUGAUACACACCAUAGUUCAACUAGCUCAUAAUGCAAAUCCUUCGACAUCACACAGCCUCAGUUUUGAAAGUUUUAUAGAUAUUAAGUUUCAGCAUAAUAACUGGUCUCCCAAAGAGAAGAUGCCAAUGAUAAGUCAGCGUAAGUAAUUAGGUUACACAUAAACUCAUCCAGUUUCAUAUAUUUCUGGUUUCAAAAAUAGGUAUCAAGUAGCACACACAUUCAGUGGAUAAUGUAGUCUUAUCAUAGAUCCCGCACUGAGAUGCCACAAGCUUGAUCUCCAGCAUCUAGCUUAUCUGCAAAUGGGAGAAAACAUUAAUGCACGCGCAACACGAGUGUGUAGAAAUGAAAUGCGAUGGGAGAAUUAAUUACCUGAGAUGGAGUAUCUUCUUGUCCGGGUGAGAGUAAGCAGUGCCACCACCCUUGAUGAUAGGAGGACUGAAGAAAAUCCGAGAAGCUAAUGCAUGAAUUGCAUUCAGCUCUUGCCCAGUCACCAUGUUUGCUUGUUCUCCAUUUAUGCUAUCUGAGUUUCAGAAACAAUGUAAUUUUAAUAACGUGCUGAAAUUUUGGAAGAGGGCGAGAAAAAAUGCAUUAUACAUACCAUGGACUGAUUUGCAUACCUUUGAUCGGAGACACACGCUUUCAUUUGCCAGCUCAACCUCCUAUGAAAAUGAAAAUAUUAAAGAUUUCCAUAAAACCUUGGAAGAAAACGAAAAAAUGGCUAAACAGGAUUUAAUGAAUUUUAAUUAUUACCCAUUUCUGCAAGAACUCAAUUGCAGGUAGCAGCAUUUCAUGCUGUUGCACAGACUGACAUAAAUUGCAACAAAUUAUUUUCAAAAUGACAUAAGUUACAUAUACUGAACGUAUAUCGAUAAAGUUUUUGCAAUGUAUUAUUGUAAAACAAUUGUGUAUUUCUCAAAUUCAAUUAUUUGUUUCGGUCGAUUUCGUGCAUGCAUAAUGCAAUUAAUUAAUUACCUUCCGGGACCUGAUCCUAGUGAUGCGCCACUCAAGCCUGUUCUCCAGUUGCUUAAGCUCCUUUACAGUUAAAGAACUCAGAGAAUCACUCAUCAGAUGCCUAUAUGAAGAGUCAAAAGUGAGAUAACCAAUCGAAAAUUCAAUUGAAAUUGUAUAUUUUGGCAAAAUUAAUUAACUAUGCUUAAUAUGAAAAUAGUUGUUGAUGAAAUAAUUGAAAAUACCUGUUAGAAUUCAGUGACAUUUGAAUUUGCUGCCGCAGCUUUGCUGACUCCUGCUGAUAGUACUGUUUCCAUGGGUCGCAUGUAAUGGGAGAAGUUAAAUUUUUAUUGGGAACUUUAUAUUUCAAUGCUAGCCAUGUGGUAAUAAAUGAUAAUAACCUGUUUUUUUUUUUUCACCUUUUCAUAAUAAUAUAUAUUCCUAGCAACGCCUGAAUUUAUAGCUUAAAUUAGUGAAUUACUUACCCGAGCAUUGAUCUCAGUAACAGUGCCAGAAUUUAUUUAUUUUACAGCUCAAACUACAUACAUUUAUACACACACAAAGACACACACUAUGAACAGCAGGUUCUAUUCAUCAAAUUCAUCUAAAAAUAACUAACUUACCGGAUAGCUCAACUUCUUUUCUUCCUACUGAAUGAUCAAUUAUCAGAGUUAUAUUAAUCAAGUCCCUUUUAAAAAUGAUACAUCGCACCCCAAAACUUCUCGAUAAAAAGUGACUCUUCUCAAAAGAAAAAAAAUUUCAAAAUUAAAUUGUUUACUCUAAAAAGGGAAAAUUUNNNNNNNNNNNNNNNNNNNNNNNNNNNNNNNNNNNNNNNNNNNNNNNNNNNNNNNNNNNNNNNNNNNNNNNNNNNNNNNNNNNNNNNNNNNNNNNNNNNNNNNNNNNNNNNNNNNNNNNNNNNNNNNNNNNNNNNNNNNNNNNNNNNNNNNNNNNNNNNNNNNNNNNNNNNNNNNNNNNNNNNNNNNNNNNNNNNNNNNNNNNNNNNNNNNNNNNNNNNNNNNNNNNNNNNNNNNNNNNNNNNNNNNNNNNNNNNNNNNNNNNNNNNNNNNNNNNNNNNNNNNNNNNNNNNNNNNNNNNNNNNNNNNNNNNNNNNNNNNNNNNNNNNNNNNNNNNNNNNNNNNNNNNNNNNNNNNNNNNNNNNNNNNNNNNNNNNNNNNNNNNNNNNNNNNNNNNNNNNNNNNNNNNNNNNNNNNNNNNNNNNNNNNNNNNNNNNNNNNNNNNNNNNNNNNNNNNNNNNNNNNNNNNNNNNNNNNNNNNNNNUCUAUGUCGAACCGACGUCUAGUUUAAAUUACAUACAUUUACACACACACAAAGACACACACUAGGAACAGCAGGUUCUAUUCAUCAAAUUCAUCUAAAAAUAACUAACUAACCAGAUAGCUCAACUUCUUUUCUUCCUACUGAAUGAUCAAUUAUCAGAGCUACAUUAAUCAAGUCACUUUUAAGAAUGAUACAUCGCACCCCAAAACUUCACGAUUAAGAGUGACUCUCUCAAAAGAAAAUAUAUUCCAAAUUAAAUUGUUACUCUAAAAAUGGUAGAUUUGAGAGAAUAAUAAAACAAUAUCACACGCUCUCACCAAGAUGAAAAAAUAAUACCUACAGCUUAGAAAUAAAAUGAUCUCAAGUCCAAGGAAGUACUAGCAAAAUCAAUUUUUAUUUUUAUGCAUCACCAUAUCUUUUAGUCCAUAUCACCAACUUUACUUCAGACUAUAGUUCCCUAAAAUCAAGAAGGACUUUUGUUAAGACGUAACGUAUGCUAGGGUUAUGGUUAACAAAAAAGGUAAUGAGGAAAACAAAAAUAUAUGUUUGAAAAAUAGGGGACUUUUUGGAGAUUACAAAGUGCUUUUUUUUUUGGGAUUUUUUUCUUUUUUUAAAUUUUUAUUUUUAUAUACAUAUCUUUUUUUUUUCAUAGCACCAUUAUUAUGAAUACAUAAUCAUCCCUAUUUUCAAACAUAAUUGGGUGAUGGAAAACAUAAAACAUAAGGUGAUACUCCACAUUGGAGUAGGAAAAGAUGAUAGGUUACCAAAGAAAUUUUUUUUUCAAAGGAUCAAAGGGGUUAACUAUGGAUUCUUUGUAAUAGGGUUGGCUAGAAAAGCUCAAACGGAUCAAAUAUGACAUUCUGUCAUUUUUUAAGGGCUUUAAAUAAUCUUUCAUAUCCACUAGUUCAAUGGACUUUUAGAUGCGGCUGCACAAACUUUCUCUUUUUUUACUUUUUUUAUAAAGAAAAUAUUGAGAUCUUGUACAAUAAAUUGUGAAGUUAUAUAGGCAAACAUGGUUAUCUCCAAGGAUAAUAGGCUCAAAAACUCAUUUGAACUUUUCAUAACAUGCACAUUCCUCUAAAUGACUUAAUCAAUUUCACUCAUCUAAUUUCUCAAUUUACAUUUCAACAUGCAAAGGGGAAAACAUAGUGUAACAUAACUCAAGGCCAAAGAUAAUACGAAUACCAAAAUUUGAAAAUCAUCAUGUUUUCCAAUGUGAAAAGAUCACAUCGAAAAAUAUUUUUUUUUAAUUAAAGAAAACACUAAAAAAUUGGGACUGAUUGCAGAAACUUCAGGAGGAUAAUUAAGAGAAAAAGAGAAAAAGAGAAAAAGAAAAAAAGAAAGAAAAAAAAAGUUAGAAAAUAAUUUUUUUUUUGGGAAAACAAAACACUAAAUUUAAGAAGAUGCGUUUCUAGAGACACUACAUUCUAUAUUCUGCCAUCUUCGACUCAAAUAUUUAUCCAAAGUUAGUCUUUACAACAAAAAUUAAUAAAAACAUUACCAGGACUGAGAUAUUCCAUAAUUGUCAACUAUUCCCUCUCCCCAACAUGAAGGAGACAUUGUCCUCAAUGUCUAAAGAAAGGAAUAGAGUUUAGAAGAUAUCACUUGGCCACUACUGGAAAUAUUUACGAAUGCAGAGUUAAAUCUAAUCUACACUUGUUACGAGAGUUACUGCCAUCGUCAUCAGUUGUCCAAUCCAACGCCAAAGUCAUGGGAUCUGGCUUUGGUUUGUAAGCUUGCAAAAGAUCAAGUAACUCAUUAAUAGUUGGAGCACAAAUGAAGAGUUUUUUCGCUGAGGAUGGAAUGAAAUGAUUUUUAAUUGCAUGAUUAAGAAAUGUUAUUAAGCCAUCAUAAAAGUUAUUAACAUUUAACAAACUGAUGGGUUUUUUAUGGAUAUUCAAAUGGGCCCAAGAAGCAAAUGUAAUUAGCGCUUCUAAAGUUGUAAGGUCUCCUAGCAAGAAAAUGAAAGCAUCAACAUGAUUUAAUAUUUCAGAUAUUCUUUCUUGCAUACCUGAUAUAACUAACUCUUAUCCAGUUGGUGUGUUUGGUAGACAUCCUAAAGGUUUUAAGGCUUUUAGAAUGAUGCCUAACACUUGGCUUCCUUGAAUGAAAGCAGCUUCAAAGAUAAGUUUUGAUAACCCUCAGUCACCUCCUCCAUAUACAAGAUGGAGUUUCAUCUCUGCUAUAACAUGACCAAGAUCUAUGGCCGCCUGAACAAACUCCUUAUACUUUCCAUAGCAAAAUCUAGAAAGCACACAAAUGUUCUUUAGUUGUCUGCUUGAAGUUGCUGCCAUUAGAAAAAUUCUAAAAAGAAAGAAUUUGUGAGUGCUUAAAAAGGAUAGAUCUCAAAUGGGAUGUGAUUUACAAAACCGGAGCAAUUUCCUUACGUGAAAAUUUACAUGUAAAAGCUCUUUAAGAUGAUCGAAAAUGAAAUUUCUCAUGGAGGUACUCAUGACAAGUAUAAAAAUUUGGUGAGCUAAAGCACAAUUGUCAAAUAACACACAAUUAAAAAUAAUGCAAUGCACUCUAUUCAAAACAUAGGGAAAAGGAAAAAAAAUCAAAUAAUUCAAACGAUAAAGUAACAUUAAAUCAAAUUCACAAAAAGUUAAAAUGAAAAGGCUCAAUUAAAAUUUGGUGGGUCACUUAAAUUGAUUUCGGUAUCUGCUUCACGUGGUUGGUAUUCCAUAUAUGGUUUCAAUUUUUGACCAUUAACUUUAAAUGUGGCACCAUCCUUUGGAUUCUCAAUUUCUAUUGCUCUAUAUGGAUACACAUUUUUUACAACAAAUGGACCAUUCCACAUUGCCUUUAACUUUCCUGGAAAUAAAUGAAGACGAGAAUUAUAAAGCAACACUUUUUAACAAAUUUCAAAUGUUUUCCGAAAAAUUCUUUUGUCAGGAAAAAAAUUGGUUCUUGCCUUAAUAAUUCUGGAAUUCUCAUAUGCAUUAUUCCUUAAUUCCUCAAGUUCAUUUAAUUACAAUUUAUGCACAUUACCAGCAUUAUCAAGAUUUGAAUUAAAAGCUUUAAUAGCUCAAAAUGAUUUAUGUUCAAGUUUAACUGGUAAGUGGUAAGAUUUUCCAUAAACAAGCCGAUAGGGUGACAUUCCUAAAGAUGUUUUAAAAGCAGUACGAUAUGCCCAAAUUGCAUCAGUUAGUUGAAGAGACCAUUCUUUACGGUUUGGAUUAACUGUCUUUUCUAAAUUUGUUUUAUCUCUCUAUUUGCUAAUUCAACUUGACCACUUGUUUGAGGGUGAUAAGGGGUAGCAACUUUAUGUGUAAUUAUAUAUUAUUUCAUUAAGGACUCAAAUGGCUUAUUACAAAAAUGCUUACCUCCAUCACUGAUAAUGGCUCGAGGUAUUCCGAAUCUGUUCAAAAGAUUUUCUUUUAAAAAGCAGAUCACAAUCUUGUGAUCAUUGUGCCGACAAGGAAUUGCCUCGAUCCAUUUUGAAACAUAAUCAACAGCAACCAAAAUGUAUACAAAUCUAAAUGAUGAUGAAAAAGGGCCCAUAAAAUCAAUUCCCCAACAAUCAAAUAUUUCAAUGACGAGGAUGAGGUUUAAAGGCAUCAUGUUUCGCUUUGAAAUAGACCAUACUAUUUGACAAUUCUUACACACUUUACAUAAUACAUGUGAAUCUCUAAAUAAUGUAGGUCAAUAAAAUCCACACAGUAAUAUUUUUGCAAUUGUCUUUUUUGAAGAAAAAUGGCCACCACAUGCUUCAGAAUGACAAAAUUGAAUGACCCUACUUACCUCGUUGUCUGGUAUGUAUCUUCGAAAAAUUUGAUCAGAGCAGUACCUAAACAGGUAUGGAUCAUGCUAGUAAAAACUUCUCACUUCUGUUAAGAAUUUCUUCUUGUCCUGGGAACUCCAGUCAGAUGGUAUUUCACAUGUUGGAAGAUAAUUAACAAUAUUAGCAUACCAAGGCAUUAAGUUUACAGAAAAGAAUCAUUGAUGGGUGUUUAUGGGUUUUGUUUCAAUUGAAGACUCAUUCGUAAGUCUUGAAAGAUGAUCUGCAAUAACAUUUUCAACGCCUUUUUUGUCCUUGAUUGUCAAGUUAAAUUCUUGAAGUAGCAAAAUCCAUCGUAUCAACCUUGGUUUGGCAUCCUGUUUUGACAUUAAAUAUCUCACACCAGCAUGAUCAGAAUAAACAAUAGUGGAUGAACUAAUUAAAUACGAACAAAUUUAUUCAAUGCAAAUAUUACAGCAAGCAGUUCGUUUUCAGUUGUAGUGUAAUUCAUUUGAGCACUAUUUAAAGUUCUACUUGUAUAAUAGAUGACAAAGGGCUUACAUUACUUUCUUUGACCCAGAACGACACCAACAAUAUAAUCACUAGCAUCACACAUUAGCUCAAAAGGUAAAGACCAAUAAAGGGGUUGCAUUAUCGGGGUUGAUGUCAAAAGAGUAGUUAUUUUUUCAAAAGCUUGUUAACAAUCUUUAGUCCAUUCAAAAUGUGUGUCUUUUAUUAGGAGGUUACAAAGUGGUCUAGAUAUGACACUAAAGUCUUUUAUAAACUUCCUAUAAAAUCCUGUAUGUCCUAAAAAGGAACAGACUUCUCUAAUUGUCUUUGGUGAGGGUAAUUUUGAAAUGACUUCAACUUUGGCUUUGUCAACUUCAAUUCCUUUUGAAGACACAACAUGGCCCAAGACAAUUCCAGAAGUGGUCAUGAAAUGGCAUUUUUCCUAAUUUAAAACUAGUCCUUUUUCUUUGCACCUUUUACAAAUGUUUUCUAGAUUAUUAAGACCUAUAUCAAAAGAAUUACCAAAUACAGUUAAAUCAUCUAUAAAAACUUCAAGACAAUUUUCAACCAUGUUACUAAAAAUGUUUACCAUGCACCUUUGAAAUAUUGUAGGAGCAUUACAAAGUCCAAAAGGCAUUCUCCUAAAUGCAAAUGUUCCAAAUGGGCAUGUGGAUGUGGUCUUUUCCUGGUCUUCUAAGGCUAUAGGGAUUUGAUAAUAGCCAGAGUAACCAUCAAGAAAGCAGUAGUAGGAAUGUUCAGCCACUCUUUCGAGAAUUUGGUCUAAAAAUAACAAGGGAAAAUGAUCUUUUUUAGUGGCAUCAUUUAAUUUUCUGUAAUCAAUGCACAUUCGCCAACUGGAUAGAAUUCAUGUUGGGAUUGGUUCACCUUUUUCAUUUUUUACAACGGUUAUUCCAGAUUUCUUUGGUACUUCCUGUGUUGGACUUACUCAUUUACUAUCAGAGAUAUGAUAGAUAAUUCAUACAUCUAGUAGUUUAAGGACCUCAUUUUUUACCACUUCUUUCAUAUGAGGGUUUAGUCUUCUUUGUGGUUGAUGAGUUGUUUUGGUAUUUUCCUCUAAGUAUAUUCAGUGUGUGCAAAUUAAAGGAUUAAUGCUUUUUAUGUCUUUUAAGGUCCAACCAAAUGCAAUUUUAUGCCUUUUUAAUAUAGACAACAACUUACCUUCUUGAUCAUGCGUGAGUUGGGAAGAAAUUACCACCGAAUAUGUUUGCUGCUCUCCAAGAUAGGCAUACUUCAAUUUUCUAGUAAGGGCUUUAAUUCGGGCUCUGGUGCUUCAUCUUCGUUUGGUUUUUCAGGUUGUACCGUAUCUUCAAAGUUCGAUUGGUCAUUGUCACAUGUAGGUACCUGCAUAGAAUCAAGUGUAGGGCAUAUGUUAGCAGCAUCACAAUCUAAUUCCUUAUUUGAUUCAAAAGAACCAGCAAAACAAAUUUCUACAGAGUUUGUAAAAUUCUCACCCUGAAUGUAUUCCUCAAUGAUUGGCUCUAUGAGAUCAAUCUCCUCAUUCUCAUUAUCAUCAUCUUCUUGGUGGUGAGGGUGUUUACAUAUGUUGAAUACAUUGAGUUCCAAUGUUAUAUUACCGAAAGAUAAAUUCAUUACUCCAUUCCUGCAAUUAAUCAAAGUAUUAGCAACAGCUAAAAAUGGUCGACCCAAUAUAAUAGGAAUUUGUUUGUAUUCAUUAGCAAUUGGUUUCGUUUCUAAAACAAUAAAAUCCACAGGGUAUAUGAAUUUAUCAACUUGGACUAAUAUAUCUUCAAUUAUUCCUCUUGGAACUUUAAUCGAUCUAUUAGCAAGUCAAUGAGUGGUAGAAGUUAGUUUUAACUCACCGAGAUUGAGUUGUUGGUACACUGAGUAAGGAAGCAAAUUAACACUAGCACCAAGAUCAAGUAAAACAUGGCCAAUUUUGUGAUCCCUAAUAGUGCAACAAAUAGUUGGACUAUCAGGAUCCUUGUAUUGCAAAACACUAUUGGUUGAGAGAAUUGAACUUACCUGUUCUGCUAGAAAAGCUCUCUUUUGCACUUUAUGUUUCCUUUUCAUCGUGCACAGAUCUUUUAGAAAUUUAGCAUAAGAAGGCACCUGUUUAAUGACAUCCAACAGAGGAAUAUUGACCUUUAUUUGUUUAAAAACUUCAUAAAUUUCUAGACUGUUGUUUGAUUUCUUUGGCUUAAUCAGUGCUUGAGGAAAUGAGAGUACAUGAGGAGAGUUGGUUAUUUCUUCAUGGGUUAAAGGUUCGACAGACUCUUCCCUAUUUUAUGAAAUUGAAUCUUUACUAGUUUCAUGAGGGUCCACAAUGUGUUUUUCGACCACUUUACCACCACGAAUAGUUAUAACCGAUUUGACUUGACUCAUAUUUUGGUUUCCUAAAUUUUCCAUUUGAGGAUGUUGUUGACUCCUGGGGUUUUGUUCAGGUUGAGCAGGAAACUUUCAUUUUUCAUGCAUUGUCGGAACAAAUGUAAGUUUGGAGAUAGUUUCUGUCAAAUUGGUUAAGAUUUGCAUCGUUUGGUUAUUGAUUGACUCUUAUUUUUUAAUAAACGAAUGCAAUGGGUCUUCCAGAGUUUUUCUUGUUGGUGGGACAUAUGGUGGGUAACUCUGGAGGUUUUGGAAAAUUUGACGUGGAGGAACUGGUUGUGAAGGUUGUGCAUGAUUGUCAUUUCUCCAAUUAAAAUUUGGGUGGUUUCUCCAACCAGAGUUGUAAGUUUGGGAGAUGGAUUUGGAUUUGGCCUUUUGAAAUUGUCAACGACAUUUACUUGCUCAUGCAAACUUUCUCUCAAAGCUGGCAAAGUUGGACAGUCCUGCGUAAAAUGGUCAGUAGAAUCGCAAACAUAACAUGAAAUAUUGUGAACAGACUUUACAUGAUCAUUCUUUUUCAAUUCUAAUGCUUCGACUUUUCUAGCCAAUGAUGCAAAUUUAGCUUGAAAAUCAUGGUCUUCCUUAAGGUUAUGCAUACCUCCACCAGAUGGAGAUGACUGGGGUUUACUUGAUGACUCAUAAGAGCCAACUGUAUCCCAAUGUUGCGCAUUCUCUGCUAUAUAGUCAAGAUAGUCUAAUGCAUCUUCAGGACUUUUAUCCCUAAACUCACCAUUACACAUUAUUUUAAUGACUCUUCUACCUUGGGAUGUUAAUCCCUCGUAGAAAUAAGACACUAAUCUUUAUGUAUCAAAAUUGUGGUGUGGGCAAAUGUUAAGUAGUUCUUUAAAACUAUCUCAACAUUGGUAGAGAGUUUCUCCUGAUUUUUGAGUGAAAGUGGUGAUUUGUCUUGUGAAAGAAUUUGUUCUGUGGGGUAGAAAGAAUUUUUUCAAAAAUUGUGUUUGCAUUUCAUCCCAAGUUCUGAUAGAUCUUGACCUAAGAUUUUGUAGCCAAGUUUUACCUUUAUCUUUUAGUGAGAAAGGAAAAAACUUAAGCCUGAUUAUAUUCAUGCUACAAUUUUGAUCAGUACAUGUGUUAUAGACUUCCUCAAAUUCCCUUAAAUGCAAAUAUGAAUUUUCAGACUCCAAACCAUGAAAAGUAGGAAGACAUUGAAUGAUACCAGGUUUGAAAUUAAAAUGUGAUGCAUUAGGAGGGAAAACUAUGCAUGAUGGUUAUCUUGUUCUAAUAGGAUGCAUGAAGUCUCUAAGAGUCCUAGGCUAUUCAUGAAGAUUUUGCAAGGCUUAGUCAUUUUCGUGCUCCAAAAUAUUUUCAGCUCCUAUGUCAGCCAUAUCUAAGGGUGGUGAAGGUGAUUUUCUAAUUAAUCUACCACUAUUUGUACGAGACCAACGACGCAUGCAAUGCUAAUGAUGUGUGCUAAACCAACGAUGCAUAAAACGCUAAAUGAAAAUUGCAAAAAAUAAAAAUAAACUGGAAAUUAAAUAAGCAAAAAUACAAAAUAAAAAUAAACAAACUGAAAAUAAAUAAAAUCAAUAAAUUAGGCGGUGAAACCAGCCAUAAACAAAGAAAUUAAAAGAAACAGUUUAGGUGGUAUUUUAAAACCAUACAUAUAAUAAAACAUAAAAUUAGAUAAAUUAAUGUACAAGAAUAAAUAAACUGAAAUUAAAAUGAUAGGCGGUAGAACCGACCCUAUAAACACAAAUAUAUAAAUUAAAAAAAUUUAAAUAACAGUUAGGCGAUAGAACCGACCAUUUAAAAUAAAUGCGUAAAGUAAAUUGUAGAAAUUCAAAGAAAUAAAUUCGAUUUGGGGAUUGAUUUGCAAAGGUUUCUGGGCUAAAAUGAAGUUUCUCAUAAAUUUUAUAGAUAAUGUUAAAGUUUGAAAAGAGGAGGGGUGCUAACUAAAGUUUUGUGAAAAGAGAAUAAAAUAGGAUCACGGAAAGAUAGCAAAGACAAAAAAAUAAAAAUAAAAUAAAAAUAAGUAAAGACAAACUAACAGCAAAUUUAGAAAACUCCCUGGUAACGACGCCAAAAACUUAACACGACUCAAAAGUGUAUUACUCCCAAGUAUAAGAGUGUCUAGUUAUAAUAUAACCCGGUGAGUUCGGGGUUGAACCACAGAAAAUUUUAAAAUCUAGUUGUCAAUUUGUUAAACAAAGAAAAUUAAUUGUGGGGAAAAUAAAUUAUUUGAAAACAAUUUAAAAAUACGGUAAGGUUACGGGAUCCACUCUUAGUAUUUAAACUAUAAUUUUCAUACUCUCUCAUUUAUAUUUUGCCUCACUUUUACCAGUUAAUUAUUAUAUCAUUUAAUUCUAUGUGUGUGGAUAAAUAUGGAAUAAAGUACCUAAUGUGCCACACUAUGUGUCGACAUUAUGUCAAUGUGUCGACAUUAUGUCAAAAUACCAUGCAGAUCCAAAGAAAUUUACAAAUUAACAUGACAUAAAAAUAGUUAGAAAAGAAUAAAAUAAACUUAAAAACUCAUUUGAGAAAAUAAUAAUAAUUAAUAGUUUGAAACAUUGAGCUUCAUCCUUCACCUCAACUUAGUAAAAUUAGCCACACAUAUUGAAAGAAAACACAAAACUCUUUUUAUUUGAUAAACUUUUUGAAAUAUAUUACAAAGAAAAUUAAUUCGGAUGGAAACAAGAAAAGAAAAGAAAGAAAGAAAGAAAGAAAGAAAGAAAGAAAUUCUUCAACUACACCCUUAGCUAUCACUCUCUCUCAGAACUCGGCUCCCUCCUCUACUGGCUUCUCCCUGCAUUUGCUUGCCCUUUUAUAGGCAAGGAAUGCAUUAUUAUUAUUAUUAUUAUUACUAUUAUUAUUAUUAUUAUUAUUAUUAUUAUUAUUAUAUAUAUAUAUAUAUAUGUACAUUGAAAUGUGUAAUGGUCAAGUGGGCAUGAUGGCCACUUGACCAUCACGAGAAACCAAAUUGCUUGGUUUUUUUUAUUCAUUUUUAUUUUAUUUAUUUAUUUACAUCUCCUCAAUAAUACUUCCAAAUUGCUCCAGCAGUCCUUUGUUCCUACUUUCAAUUCCAAUUUAUUCCUGAAAAGUAUUUAUAAGAUAAAAAUUAACAUAUUGCAAAUUAAUUUAACACAAAAAUUAUUUGGGGAGCAUUCAUAUAAUUUAUAAGUUAUGCGUGCAUUAAUCAACACUUUAAGUGAAAAACUAAAAAUUUUAUCCUUAUUACACGUACACUUUUUAGUGUUAAUCAAAUAAGCUAAUUUAAUAAAGGAGUAUCCAUAAUAAUAAUAAUGGGAGGUCGUCAAUUUUCCUCUAUUCAAAUCAAUAUUUACUAAUUACUUUAGUAUUAUUUUAAUAAUAGUCAAUAAUUUUUAAUUAUGUAAUUUUAUAAUAUUAUUCUUAUUUUUACAUAAAAUUUUAUUCGUAUUUAUUAUAAAUUAAAUGAAUUAUAUAAAUACGAAUUAAAAUAAAAAAUUUAAGUACUAAAAAUAAAAAAUAAAUAUGUUUCAAUUUAAAUAAAAAAUUAAUUAUCAAAUAUUUUCUUGUACUUUUUGUUAUUUUAAAAUAUUUUUCUUAUAAUGAAUGCACAUAUUAUAGCCCCAAGAUAAGUUAUUAAGAAAAUAACUCAUUUACCCCUCUUUUGUUUUAAAUUUUUUUGGUGACGAGAGAGUUUCUAGAUAUUAUAAAAUUAAUAAGAAAUAAAUGAUAUAUAUUAGUUCCAAUAGAAAAAAAUUAUCAACCUCCUUAAUAAUAAAAGUGACAAAAUAAUGAAAGGAAAAAGAGAUAAAUUGCAUGUUCAUUCUUCUUUUAGAUUCUUUUCUUCUUAACUUUCUAUUUAAACUCUCUUACAUACUUUACUUCUCAACUUUCUCAUAUUUUUUACUUCUCAACUUUCUGUUUAAACUCUUUUAAAUUCUUUUCUUCAAACUCUUUUAGAUUCUUUACUUUUCAACUUUCUAUUGAAACUCAACUUUAUAUUUAAACUCUCUUACAUUCUUUACUUCUCAACUUUUUAUUUAAACUCUCUUACAUCCUGUACUUCUCAACUUUCUAUUACAUUCAUUAUUCAAUUUAUAAUUUUCAUACCUUAAAUGGUAAAAUUUAAUUCAAGUCUCUUCCCCUUUCUCAUCUUUGCAUACGCAACACAAUCUUUUUAGCUCUCCUCUCUUCGCAAGUAAGUAAAAUCUUAGUUCAUCGCAUCAUCUCACGGUUUGUUUUCAUACUUUGCUUUCUCCAAAUUGCCCUUGCCUUUUCCUCUCAAUCUUAAUUUCUUUUUUUUUUUAAUUUUAGACUCGAUUUUCUUUACCUCAGUUUGUAAAUUUUAUCGGAUGUAAUGCAUAAUCAUGGGUGACCCAAUUAAGGCCCAGGAGGGGCUUCAACCCCUUUUGAGCCAUUAAUUUUUCUUUUAAAUAUACCCCCACACCCCUUCUAAAAGAAUGAAAUAAAAAAAUUUGGACACAUUUUUUAUGUAAUAAAAGACUUACAGUUCAAUGAUAAAAGUGUUAUUUGAUGGUUUUAAAGUCCUAGUUUAAAUCACAAUAGCCACAUUAUUGUUUUUUAAAUAUUUUGGGAAAACUACUUAGAAAAAUGAUACUUUCAUGCAUUUAAAAUAAAGAGUUUAUUACCAUUAUUAUUUAAAAUUUAAAAGAAAGUAAUGAAAUUUGAGUUUAUGAGAUUUAAAAUGUAUUCAUGUGAGCAUUUGAAAAAAAAACGCCAAAUUAAAUAAAAUGUUUUGAACUAAGCCUCCUAAUUUAAGUAUCUCGGUCCGCCACUAUGCAUAAUCGAUUGUCGUCGUUUUUUUUUUCACUAAUUUCGUAAAACAAGCAGAAUUAAAUUAAAUUAUACAUUAGCAUCAUUAAUUAAUUAACUGAUGUUGUUUAGAUUCUGUGCUUGAAUAUAUAUCAAUUCAUCAUAUUUUUAUUAAGAUUAUAAAUUUACACUAUGUCGUCGGGUCUGAAUGAUUUUUAUUUUUAAUAUUUUUUAAUGAAUUUAUUCAUGUUCGGUUGGAUAAUAUUUAAAGUAAUAACAAAUAUAAGUUUUAAUGGAGUGAAAUUGUAAGGGUAUGGUAACUAAAUUUUCUUUCUUAUUGUUUAACGAUAAAAAGUGAAUUCAAUGUGAAGUGGUUUGAUAUUGUAAAUGCAUUGCAGGUAAAUUGAAAUUUUUUUUAGGAUGGGAGAAAGAGUGAUUGAUGGCGAUUGGAAGCCUACUUCUCCAUCUAAUGGGGAGCGCACUGUGGUUUUACUUGGCCGUACUGGCAAUGGCAAAAGUGCGACGGGCAAUAGUAUUCUCGGAAGAAAAGCCUUCAAGGCGAGUGCUGGCUCGUCUGGUGUUACUAAAACUUGUGAAAUGAAGACAACCGUGCUCAAAGAUGGCCAAGUUGUUAAUGUCAUUGAUACCCCCGGUAAUUUACUAAUGUUGAUGCCUAGAUAUUCCAUUCCAUGCUUGUUGAUGUUGUGGUGGCAAGUAGAUUGAUGUUAGGAGCCAUUGCAGGACCUUUUGAUUCUUCCGCUGGCUCUGAGUUUGUCGGCAAGGAAAUUGUCAAGUGCAUUGGUUUGGCCAAGGGUGGGAUCCAUGCAGUCCUUGUAGUUUUCUCUGUUCGAAGCCGUUUUACUGAAGAGGAAGAAGCUGCAGUACACCGUUUGCCGACCUUGUUCGGGAAAUUUUUUUUUGACUAUAUGGUUGUUGUUUUCACUGGAGGGGAUUAUCUUGAAGAUAAUGAGAAAACAUUAGAAGAUUAUUUGGGUCAUGAGUGUCCAAACCCUUUAAAGGUUUGUUUCUGAACUGCAACAGUGUUCGAUAAUUUCAUUAGUCAUUUGAUCAAGUUGUCUUUGGUUGGUUCUUUUGUGACGUUUUAGACUCCUUUACGGUUGGACUAUUGGAAUUUUAAUAUGAAUAUAUGCAUGCUGAAAAUACUAGUUAGAAGAUUAUAGUACGCCAGCCGUCUUAAAGUUCCAUUUUCGAUGGUGCUCCAUUUCUUGAAUGGUUUUCUUCUGCCAUGCGGGAUUAGCUGGAGAGGUGUGUGGUUGGUAAUUUUCUGCUGGCGUUACUUAAUUUUAGUUUUAUGUUAAUGUCUUCGAAUGAGAUGUCAUUCAUUCGUUCGCUAAACAUUUAUGCUUUUUUUAUUUGUAUUCUUUGAUUUCCUCUGCUAUUUAAUCUUGGUUCUUAUUCUAUUAACGUGUGUUCAUUUGUUUGUUUCUUAAAAUAUGUACCCCUUUGAUUUAUACGCUCAAAAUUAACCUACUUUUAAGAUUUUAAAAGUGGGCCAAAGAGGAUGUGAUUUGCUAUACAGGUCCAUUUUAUUCGGCGUUUUUUGAAUAAAGUAUCAAAACUAACUUUACAAGAUUUAAAAUUCUCUUAAAAAUUCCUGUGGAUUCUAGCCUCAAAAUUGUUGUCUAAAAUUUCAAUGUGAGAUAUUUUUUCCGUUUCAACAUGCAAAUCUCUUAUUUUCAGAAUGUACUUGAUGAAUUUGGUUCCUGAUAAGAAGUAGCCACAGUCACUAGAGCCACGCAAGUCCAGCAGAGGGCAUAAGCCAAAUCCCAAGUACGUGACGUGAAGACUUUCGGUUUAGCCUUGCAUGGUUCAUGCAUGCAUGGGUUCACGUGAGAAUAAUGCACCAAAGUUGUUAGAGCAAGAAUCAAGGGAUUUGAUAGCUUCAACAAUCGUGCAGGAAUAGAGGAUAAGAUCGAAUCCUUAGUAGUUGUUGCUUAGCUUUGUGUUUCGUAAAAGUAGCAAAGGUGUUAUUUCAGUUUACGUAUUUGGAUUACAGCCGUGAUUGUAGGCUAAGUUGGUUAUGUUAGAAUUAUAAAUAAAGGCUCCAGCAUAAUAAAAAGGAGGCAGUCAACUAAAUCGAUUUAUCUUGGUCUUUGUUUUCUCACCAUAAGUAGAAAACUCCUGUGAUUGAUUAGCUAACUUUGAUUGGGACCUAACACUAAAAUAAAGACCCCUUCAAGUUGUAGCUUUGCAAUUAACAAAAUCGGGUUAUUUUAAGGGAACUUUGUUUUACUUAUUGUACCAAUUUUUGUAGUUUGAAGGAAUAAAAAUAUUUUAGUUAUAAUGUUGCAAAAUUAGGUCAAUUAUAUAGAUGCCGCAGUUUUGAGCUUUGAUCACUUGAGUUUGUUUAUGACAAUAGUACAGUCUUUCAUGCUUUGUUAUAUAAUGUAAGAAUUUGCCGAGUGAAGAGGCAGCUACUUCUUUGUAGCCACUAAUUUUGAUUGAGUCAAUGCUUUUCACUGGAAUAUAUAAAGAUUAUUAUUAUUAUUAUUAUUAUUAUUAUAUGGAAUGCUGAUCACCUUUUAAGAUCGUUAAAUUUGAUGGACGUAAGAGGUUAUGUAAGUGGUCAAACCAUAAGGAGAAUGGAAUUGAUUAUUAAAUAGUUUUUGAGUAGGCAUAAUAUUAAGUGCUAACGAUCACGAUAAAAACAAAUUUUGUCAGCUUAAGAUCCUCAAACUUUUAGAGACUACAAGUGUUUGAUUGGUUCAUCAAUGCUUACGAAAGGAGCUAAAAUUUGCUUUAUUCCUGAUCAUUUUCCCAUUAUUUUAGGAAAUCCUUCAACUAUGUGAUAAUAGGUGCGUGCUUUUUGAUAACAAGACCAAGGAUGAGGCCAAGAGAACUGAGCAGGCUGGGAAGCUUCUUUCUCUGGUUAACUCUGUGAUCGUGGAGACUGGUGGGCAGCCAUAUACGGACGAGUUCCUUGCUGAGUUGAAGGUGACUUUGUUACUAUCGCGAUAGACUUCUGUCCUGUUUCUUUCUGAAUAUGUCAUGACAAUAUCUCUUUUUCUUUUUUUCUACUCAGAGAGGGGCUACUGAACUCUGUGAUCAACAAGCUGAGGUUGACUCUCUCAAGGAAUAUUCAAAACAAGAAAUUUCAAAGCUGAUGGGCCAGAUGCAGGAAUCAUACGAAGAUCAAAUCAAACGAAUUACUGAGAUGGUAUUUUUCACGCUCCUUGUUUUGGCAUCAAAAUAUGACAUGCAUAUGCGUUCGUUUCUCAUAUCCGGUAAUCAUUUCUAAAACUGUGUAAUUAAAAAAUGCCUAUAAAGUGUGCAGGUACCUAUAAUGAUAUUCUAAAUUGUGAGACUUGGAGGUGAUAAAGACUGCCGCUCUGUCCUUACCCCUAGAUUGUUGGAGGUUGCCAUCUGAAAAGACGCUUUAUCUUGCUAGUUGAUGCGGACAAGUCUGUUAUUAUCUAUUCACUAAUUGUGUUUUGAAGGCUGUAACAUGUUGUUCUUAACUUGAAGAUUGUUUGACCGUCCUGCUCUGUUUUGUUUGUUGAUGAAAUUAAGUGGGUUAUUCUAUGAUAGUAGCUAUAGGUGGUUUACUUAUCAUGACUUGCACUUAGGAAUGGAUUCUGCACUUGUUUAGUCAUCAAUCAUAAGAACAUUUCUUGUAAUACUGUGGAUACUGUUUUCUCGCCUGAAUCUGUGCGAACAAUUGAGAUUAUGACAUAUUUUAAUUUUGUUAAAAACAAAAUUGCCACAUUCAAAAUAAGUUUUCAUGAAAAUAUAGUUAGGCACGUGGAACCUAAUCAAAUGGCUGCAUAGUUUUGAUUUUCCUUUCCACAGUUUUAAUUUAUAGCAAGGCAAUACAAUGAUUCGGAAUUAAGCCAGAUCCUAUUCAACAAGAAUCUGAAUUUUCUGUAACAUUCUGUGUAAUGACUAUAUGUCUGAGGUGCUAAUAAGUUUUAGUCUUCACAUUCCUGGAGUAUGGCAAAAUUAAAAAGUUAGUAGAUUCUUUAAUACUUUAUAUUUUGAAUUUAUGUGUUGAUUUUUUUAAGCUUUUAAUUUGUUUCUACCAUUUAUCAAUGAUUGAGAGUCUGGAAUCGAUUGAAGUAAGAAUGUUUCGCCGAGUAUGGUGAACUUAGCAACUCGCUUUGCAAUUGGAUUAAACUAAAUUAAUACUCAAGAAUUUUCUUCUCUUAAGUUGGAGUUUUAUAAUACCAAUACCCAUUUUUUUUUUUUUUUGUAUUGUGCUGCUACUCUAGGGCUUAGUAGCAUGUUUUCUGACUGAUAUUGAUGCUUUUUUGAUAGGUUGAGUCUGAGCUCAAAAAGACAACAACUAGGCUCGAACAGCAAUUGGCAGAGGAGCAAGCAGCUCGGUUAAGGGCAGAAGAGGUUGCACAAUUAGCUCAAAUGAAGUCGAUGAAAUUCAAGCUGGGAGUGCUGAGAAGGAGACUGCGGAGCGCCCUAAGAAACCUUAUAAUGGGGAUUGUGCCAGUUUUUGACCUAGUCACCUGCAGGCACAAUGUGCCAUCGGCGUGAAAAUCACCGAAAGUAUAUUUUCUUAUUGUGCCAUUCUUUGACCUAGUCACCUGCAGGCACAAUGGAAAAACCGUAUUGACAUCAAAUGAAGUUUCUUUUAUGGAGCCGUCUAGAAUCUUUUCUUUCACGGUGGAUUUAAAGAGAUCUGAUUCCUUUUCUCCUCAUUGAGCUCUUAACAAACGCUAUAUUGUUUCCACAUUUGUAGCAGAUACAACCCAAAAUGUGCCCUUCUAAUAAUCAUGACUUUCCCAAAAAUUCAAACGGACUAACAGAGCAAACCUAACAUCCAAGAGACUUGCAAUAAAACCACCAAGCCUAUGACCCUUCUUUGAUUCACACCAUACUUCAACUAGCUCAUGGUCUAGGUUUAUCAAGUACAAUAUUUAUUUAUGCAUAUAUGACACAAUCUAUAUUUACCUUAUACAUAAUGCAAAUCCUUUGACAUCAUACAGCCUCAGUUUUGUAAGUUUUAUAGAUAUAAGUUUCAGUAUAAUAACUGGUCUCCCAAAGAGAAGAUGCCAAUGAUAAGUCAGCGUAAGUAAUUAGGUUACACAUAAACUGGUUGAAGAAAAUGAAGUGUUUGGUUAACAGGAAACUUUCUUAGAAUCAGAGAGAAAAUAUUUCAAGCUGAAUUCAUUUUUAUUAAAACUGAAAAAUAAAAUGAUGAAUUACAAAUCAUUAUAUACUCAAGUCUGGAAGAUUCUAGAGCAACAGAUGCAUGUGAAUCAGCUUAACAACCUAUAACAAAUUAUUGACGGGAAAACAUUAACAAACUCUGAAAACUGAUUUGGCUUAAGUAACUGAAUGCUGACAUGGCUGCUGACUCAUCUGCUGACAUGGACAUCAUGAUUUUAUUCUUAACAUGCCCCCUUAAGCUCAAGGUCUGGGACAGACAUUGGGCUUAGCUCUCAUAUAAGCAAAAUGAUCAAAGCUAAGUGGCUUAGUAAGUACAUCUGCCAAUUGAUUAGAGCUUGAUACAUGUUCAACAGCAAAUUCCUUCUUGGCAAUGUGUUCUCUCACAAAAUGUAAGUCUAGCUCAAUGUGUUUGGUUCGUGAAUGGUAUUUGGGAUUACUGGCCAGAGCUUCUACACUUUUAUUGUCACAGUACACAACAGAUGUGUUGCUGAGCUGCACUUUGAGUUCCUGCAACAGAUAUGAAAUCCACAACACUUCUGAAGAUGUCAAGGCUAAGGCCCUAUACUCUGAUUCAGCUGAUGAUUGAGAAACAACAUUUUGUUUCUUAGAUGACCAGGACACAAGAUUGGACCCAAGAAAAAUGCAGUAGCCUCCAACAGAUCUUCUGUCAUCAGGGUCUGAUCCCCAGUCUGCAUCUGAGAAGGCUGUGAGAGAAAGAGACCUUGAAUUAUAAAAUUAAAUCCCAUAAGCAGCUGUAAACUGAAGAUACCUCAGAACCCUUUUGCAAACCUGCCAGUGAAGCACAGUAGGAGCAGCUAAGAACUGACUUAGCUUAUUUACAGUAAAGGCAAUAUCAGGCCUUGUCAAGGUUACAUACUGAAGAGAUCCAAUAAUACUUCUGUAAAGAGAAGGAUUCUCAAACAGAGUACCCUUAUCUUUGUACAGUUUAUCAGCAACACUCAUUGGAGUAUUACAACCUUUGCUGUCAAGCAUAUGAGCCUUCUUUAAUAUGUCUCCAAUAUACUUUGUUUGUGAGAGAUGUAACCCAGCACUUGAUGGAGUAACCUCUAACCCAAGGAAAUAGUUGAAGUCACCCAAGUCUUUAAGAGCAAACUCAGAACCAAGGAGUGUAAUAAUCUUCUCUAUUUGUGCACUGUUAGAACCAGUUACUAAGAUAUCAUCUACAUAAAUGAGAAUAACUAAAACAUCUGAACCAGUGUGCUUAAGAAAUAGAGAGGUGUUUGAUCGAGAAGUCUGAAAACCCCAUUGCAAUAAGGAACCUUUUAAUCUAUCAUACCAAGCACGAGGUGCUUCUUUAAGACCAUACAAAGCUUUGUUUAGCUUGCAUACAUAAGUUGGAUGUUGAGGAUCAAUAAACCCCCCAGGCUAAUGCAUUAAGACUUCUUCAGUUAGUACACCAUUCAGAAAAGCAUUAUUCACAUCCAGCUGCCUUAUGGUCCAAUGAUUCAUCACAACAAGACUCAGAAUAAUUCUAAUAGUACAAGGCUUUACAACAGGGCUGAAAGUCUCAAAGAAAUCCACACCAUAGGUUUGAUGAAAACCUUUUACAACCAAUCGUGCCUUAUACUUGGAGAUGCUUCCAUCUGGGUUAUACUUAACUCUAAACACCCAUUUAUUUCCAACAAUUUUGGUGGCUAAGUCAGCUAGCACAAGAGUCUAGGUUUCAUUAUUUUGCAAGGCAUGAAACUUUUUUGUCAUGGCCAUAUACCAUUUUUUAUCAGCUAAGGCUACUUUGACACUAGUUGGUUCAAUACCUUGAGUGGGUAAGGUAGGUUUUAGGUUUGAAAAUUCCUGCUCUGGCUCUUGUAAUCAUUGGAUGAGAAGGAACUGUUGAUAAGGAUGGUUGAGGAGAGACUACUGAUGAAUAUUGGAUAAGUGUAUGAGAGUGAUCAUUUAAGGAGACAGGUGAAGAGUGAGUGUUUAUCUCUGGCAAGGAAUUAGAGUUUGGAGAUGGUGGCACUGCUGAACUGAUGAUGAUGUUGGAGACUGCUGUAUUGAGCUAUUGUCAUGAAGAAUACAGAAUGAAGGAGAAGGAAUUUGGACUGACUCUGAUAAAGAAUUUGAAAGGGAAAACAACUUAGAAUAAGGAAAUUCAUGUUCAUUAAAUGUAACAUGAAUAGCAAUGAAUACUCUCCCAGUUUUCUCCAGACAUUUGUAACCCUUGUCAAGAGGACUAUAACCUAUAAACAAACAUUGUUGAGAAUGAAAAUCAAGUUUGUGUUGCUUGUAUGGGCUAAGUAAAGGAUAGCAAGCACAUCCAAACACUCUAAGGAAAUCAUAUUUUGGUAGCUGCUGAAACAACUUUUGAUAAGGUGAUUGGUUGUUCAAGACUGUGGUUGGCAUUCGGUUAAUGAGAUAAGAGGCUGUGUGAAAGGCUUCCCACCAGAAAGUGACAGGCAUUUGGGCUUGAGCAAGAAGGGUUAACCCCGUUUCAACAAUGUGCCUAUGUUUCCUCUCAACUACACCAUUUUGAUGAUGUGUGUCAGGGCAUCUGUGCCUAAGUUGGAUGCCUUCUUGGUGAAGAAAAGAAGUAAAAACUUUAAACUCUCCCCCCAUGUCAGAUUGUAAUGCUUUGAUAGGUAGAUUAAACUGUUUUUCUACUAGCGCUUUGAAGUUUUUGAAAGUACCUAAGGCAUCUGAUUUUAGCACAAAAGGAAAGAUCCAACAGUAACUAGUGUAGUCAUUAACAAAAGAGAUGUAAUACUUAUAGCCUUCCAUAGAAAGUACAGAGGCUAGCCCCCAAAGGUCUGUAUGGAUUAACUCAAGAGGAUGUUUUGAUUUAAUUUCAGUUGUUGAGAAAUGAAACGGAUGUAAUUUACCAAGUUGACAAGCAUUACAGAAUUCAAGUUUUUGCUUAUUAUCACACGAAAUGUUUAUACAACUGUUUCUCAAGAGAGUUUGAACAACAUGCUUGCUUGGAUGACCAAGUCUAUUAUGUAAAAGACUAACUGAAACAUUGCUUGAAGCAUGAAAGCUUACUGGAAAACUAGACUUUAUUUUCACAGACAAAGGAUCAACACAAGUUUGAUGAGAAGAAAAGACUGACACCAUGGAACUUGGUUGUAUGACUUCUGUAUCAAAAGAAAGAAAUGACUCCUCAUAUGACAGCAACUUAUACAGCCCUCCUUCAACAAUCCCCUGAGCCAGCAGUGUUCCCUUCACCUUGUCCUUUAGAAAACAACCAUCAGAUGUAAAUUCAAUUGUACUAUUACUGUCAACAAGAAGCUUGGAAACACUUAUAAGGUUUUUGGUAAUUUUUGGAACACAUAGGGCAUUAUAAAGAUGAAUACAUGAACCAACAGAGGUAUGUAAACAUGCAUUACCAACAUGUGUGAUUUGAAGACCUUGCCCAUUGCCUACAAGUAAAGAAUUGGUGCCAGAAUAAAGCUUACCAUCAGUUAAGUUCUGAGCUGAGUUGGUAAGAUGGUGAGUAGCCCCACUGUCAAGGUGCCAGCCUUGAUCAACAACUCCCUCAGAUGUAGCCAUAUAAGCUGAUUUUGGUCCCUGAUUUGGAUGAUAGCCCUGAACUGGAAAGCUUGGAGCAAAGUUUCUGUUAAACCCAUCUCUACAAUCAGCAGUAGUAUGGUUAUACCUGAAGCAAAUUUGACACAUAACUCCUCCUUGAGCAAAGUUCUUUCUAUUACCCCCAAAACCACCUCUGCCAAAGCCACCAACAUUAGUGUUUCCAUUAUUGAAGUUACCAGCAAAGCCUCCACUAUUAAAAUUUCCACCAUUAUUAAAACCACCAGCAAAGCCUCUACCAGUAUUAAAAUUUCCAUUCCAGUUACCUCUUCCUUAACCUUGAUAUCCUCCACCUCUACCAGUAGAGUUUUGAUUCCAGUUUCCACCUCCAUUUUUAUUCCAAUUAUUCUGAUUAUUGCCAUUACCUUUCUUUUGAAAGUUUCCAAUUUGAGCUACAUUAGCCAUAUAGUUGCUUUUAGCUUCUUUAUUAUCAGCAAUCUUACUAUUUUCAAGCCUAGCCUCAUGUGUUAGUAACAUGGCAUAAGCUUCACUCAGAUCCAUGGUCAACAUAUUUGCUUCAAUGUAAACAACUACAAGAUAGUAAGAAUGAUCUAAUCCAGUGAUAAGAUGAGUGAUUAUAUCAAUGUUACUAAGUGGACUUCCAGACAAAGCAAGACCAUCAGAUAUUGUUCUAAGUUUUGUGAAAUACUCAGUCAUAGACAAGGAUCCUUUUCUUAGGUUACUAAGAAGCAUUUUAAGAUGAACCUUUUUAGCCAUUGAUUCAGAUCCAAAUUAUUUUUCCAGAUUCUUCCAUAGCUCAAGAGUAGUUUGUGAGCUUACCACGAGACUUAGAAUUUCAAGACUCAUUGAGGACAUGAUCCAGCUAAGCAGAAGCUGAUCUUGUCGUUUCCAUGCAAUAAAAUCUGGAUUCUCACGAUCUUCUCCACAUGCUUCACCAGAUCCAGAUCUAUCAAGAAGAAAUCGUUCUGGACAGGGUUUUGAUUCAUCGAUAUAGCUCUCAAGACCAUUUCGACGAAUUGAAGAGAGUAUUUGUUGUUUCCAGAUUGUGUAAUUUGUGCGAUCAAGUUUGAUUGGUGUGGUAAAGGUAAAGGAUGUUCCAGAUGAGACAUGAAUUGAAUGAUGAAAGCUUGAAGAAGCCAUCACUUGGCUCUAAUACCAAGUUGAAGAAAAUGAAGUGUUUGGUUAACAGGAAACUUUCUUAGAAACAGAGAGAAAAUAUUUCAAGCUGAAUUCAUUAUUAUUAAAACUGAAAAAUAAAAUGAUGAAUUACAAAUCGUUAUAUACUCAAGUCUGGAAGAUUCUACAACAACAGAUGCAUGUGAAUCAGCUUAACAACCUAUAACAAAUUAUUGGCGGGAAAACAUUAACAAACUCUGAAAACUGAUUUGGCUGAAGUAACUGAAUGCUGACAUGGACAUCAGGAUUUUAUUCUUAACAAAACUCAUCUAGUUUCAUAUAUUGCUGAUUCAAAAAUAGGUAUCAAGUAGUACACACAUUCAGUAGAUAAUGAUAGUCUGAUCAUAGAUCUCGUACGGAGAUGCCACAAGCUUGAUCUCCAGCAUCUAGCAUACCAGCAAACGGGAGAAAACAUUGAUGCACGCGCAACACGAGCUCAUAAAAAUGAAAUGUGAUGGGAGAAUUAAUUACCCGAGAUGGAGUAUCUUCUUGUCCGGGUGAGAGUAAGCAGAGCCACCGCCCUCGAUAAUAGCAGGACCGAAGAAAUUCCGAGAAGCUAAUGCAUGGAUUGCAUUCAGCUCUUGCCCAGUCGCCAUGUUUGCUUGCUGAAACCUUUCCAUUUAUGCUAUCUGAGUUUCAGAAACAACGAAAUUUUAAUAACGUGCUGAAAUUUUGGAAGAGGGCGAGAACAAAUGCAUUCUACAUACAAAGGACUUAUUUGAAUACCUUUGAUCGGAGACACACGUUUUCAUUUUCCAGCUCAAUCUCUUAUGAAAAUGAACAUGUUAAAGAGUUCCAUAAAAGCAUGGAAGAAAACGAAAAAAAGGCUAAACAAGAUUUAAUGAACAUGAAUUAUUACCCUUUUCUGCAAGAACUCAAUUUCAGCUAGCAGCAUUUCAUGUUGCACAAAACAGGAAACAGACAAAGCAACAAAUUAUUUUCAAAAUGACACAAAUUACAUAUACUGAACGUAUAUCGAUAAAGUUUAUGCAAUGUUUUGUUGCAAAACAAUGGUGUAUCGCUCAAGUUCAAUUAUUUUUUGUAUGCAUAAUGAAAUUAAUUAAUUACCUUCUUGGACCUGAUCCUCGUGAUGCCUCACUCAUGCCUGUUCUCCAGUUGCUUAAGCUCCUUUACAGUUAAAGAACUCAGAGAAUCACGCAUCAAAUGCCUAUAUGAAGAGUCAAGAGUGAGAUAACCAAUUGAAAAUUCAAUUGAAAUUGUAUAUUUUGGCAUAAUUAAUUAACUAUGCUUAAUAUGAAAAUGAUUGUUGAUGAAAUAAUUGAAAAUACUUGUUAGAAUUCUGUAACAUUUGAAUUUGCUGCCGUAGCUUCACUGAUUCCUGCUGAUAGUACCGUUUUCAUGGGUCACAUAUAAUGGGAAAAGUUAAUUUUUUGUUAGGAAUUUCAAUGCUAGCUAUGUGGUAACAAAUGGUAAUUAGUUGGUUUUUUCUUUUUUUUCACCUUUUCAUAAUAAUAUAUGUUCCUAGCAAAGCCUGAAUUUAUAGUUUAAAUUAAUGAAUUACUUACCUGAGCAUUGAUCUCAGUAACAGUGCCAGAAUUUAUUAAUUCUGUAGCUUAAAUUGCAUACAUUUAUGCACACACACACUAAGAACAGCAGGUUAUAUUCAUCAAAUUCAUCUCAAAAUAACUAACUAAACAGAUAGCUCAGCUUCUUUUCUUUCCAACUGAAUUUCUGCAUUUGGUAGAUUCUCAGCAAGUUUAGCAAUAACCUUCAGGAACUCCAAAUAAUCUGGGUCUUUAUUAUCCACAUCAAAACCAAAUAUGACUUAUUACUGCAGUACUUCUAAAAACAAUAAGAAGAUAAAGAAAACUAAGGUAUUCUUGCAUUGUUGUGCUUUUACUUAUCUUUGAAAUUUAGCAGCUUAAGUGUACAGUAAAAACCACAGUACUUCAACCCCAAAAGUACUCUAAGUUUUUUUUUUUUAAAUAAAAAGAAUUACUAUAACAUAUGCACUUUAAUUUUUCUAAUUAAGUGUAGUAUUUAAUUUUCUCCUUCGAUAUUAAUUUUAAAUUUGUCAUCACAUAAAUUUGAGACAAUUCAAACACGAUUCAAUGGCCGUGUAGUUGGAUUUUAUUUCAACACGGGUCCGGCAUUAGCUUAAUUAAUAGUAAUCUUUAAAAAAAAUUAAUUUCUAUAAAAGGAAAGGAGGGAACUAAUUUCCAAAAGAGGAAAGAGAGAGGGGCACGCGAGAUAGAAGGAGAGAGAGAGAAAUUGACCUGUUUAGCCCAACCCGACCCACGAGACCGACCCGGAUCCAACUCUCGUUUCCAGCCACCGUUCCGGUCAAGCUUGGUACUGAUCUGAAGCUUGAGUGACGCCGGUCAUAUCCCCGCUGUCAUCGUCACUUGAAAACAGCCAGAACGCCGGUGAUCGAAACUUGAAAGACCGCGGCUCAACCCAUUUUCGUCGCCGUCAAUCUCGCCAGAAUUAGGUUGCACCAUCGGCUGCGUUCGAUUCUUCAAAUCACCAGCUUUUAUUUCCGACCAACCUCGCCGCCCGAAGCUUCCGUUUUGGCCAUGAACGACCGCUAGAAAGCUCACAGCUUUGGGAGCACGAUCCGCCGCCAUUGCCCCGCGUGGAAGGUCACCGCCGGUACCAUUGGACUCAUCGAGAUCAGAACUAUCAGACUUGAGCUUCCCGUCACCGUUGGCUGAAUUCCGGUCACCGUUGACCGGUGGGGGCAUUUCGGUAAUUUCAGAAGACUUUAGGGUGAAUUUGUAAUUUAUGGAAUCGGUGGAUAAUUUAGUAAUUUUAGAUUUAGGCAGUGAGGCAAUUUGAGACUUCAAGGGUAAUUCGAUAAUUUAAAUUAUUAACGGCAUUUUGGUAAUUAAUUUCGCACUUUGAGGGUAAUUUCAUAAAUUCAAAACUUGUGAUUAAUUUUGUUAUCCAAAUUGAGGACAAUUUGGUAAUUUAAGAUGUUAAGGAUGAUUUGAUAAAUUAUGAUUUCGAUGGUAAUUCGGUAAAUUUCGGUGUCAGGGACAUUUUGAUAAUUUUUUGACAUAAGGGUAAUUUUGAAAUUUUAUGUAUCCAAGAGUUUGGUUUUGAGCUUUCUUUCGUACUGUUAGUCGUACUUCGUGAUACAAAUAAUAAUUAUAUCGUUUAUUUAAUUAGGAGGACCCGGGAGCGAGAAUCAAUCCGCAGACGUUUAUGGUACCGAGUCUGGAUAUCGUCAUUGUGAGUGGAAUAUACAAAACUUAUUUUCAUAGUAUAUUCUAAUUUUACCAUACAGUACAACAUAUUUUGAUAAUAAAUAUUUGAUGCUUCGAUUUAAUGAUUUUCUAGAAAAUUAAAUUUUAUUCUACGUGCUGAUAUUUAUUAUUAUUGAAAAUGAGUUUGAUUAAUGAUUUUAUUAUCAUUUUUUGAGAAAAUGCAUGAUAUUAGAAUUGAGUGGAUUUGAGAUAUAUUGAAUAAAAAGGAAAUGAGAGUUCAAAUGUGAUUAUAUGUUUAUGUACAUGUGUAUAAAAGGUUAUUUGGAAAAUUAUUGGACCGAACCCUCCCCCUUCAGAUACAGAGAUAUAUAUAAUAUGAGAUGAAUACAGUGAUAUAGAUGAUAUGAGAUGAGAGGCUUUUGGGGCCCGUCUGAACAUAUAUAGAGGCUUUGGGUCGUGUGUUUGGACCCUUUUGCCUUUUGGGGGCUUAUGCAUGCAGUAUGAUGAUUAUAGAGAUACAUAUGUUGAGAUAUAUGAGAUAUGAGAUGACAUUUUCCUGUCUAUCUGUUGAGCUUCAGGGCAUGAUGGUUCCUUGAUUGCCCGUCCAUCGAGGUCCGGAUAUGAUGAGAUUAUUCCCUUGGGUACUUGUUUGAUGAUAGUUUUUGGUAUUAAGUAUUUGAUAUUAUAAGUUUUAUGAUUUCAUUGAUUUUAUGCAGAUUUAUGUAAUAUUGUUAUUUCAGUGCAUGAUUUGAAUUAAAUAAGUUUAUGUAAGUUCUUAUGAUAUUUUGAUGAAAUUAAUUUGGAAAAGAUUAAAUCAUUUUAAAUAAAUUUAUUUUUCCAAAAAUUAUUAUCCAUUCACUAAGCUUACUGAGUUUUAUACUCACUCCAUUUUUAUUAUAUUCCCCUUCUCCCCACAGGAGAUUUGCAGGUACAUCAGUGACCCAACAACGAUAGUUAGAUUGAAAUUAUGGCCACGUGAUGGUGUUAGGAAUCAUAGAUGUUUUGUUGGGACAUUUUGAAUUGGAUAAUUUAUUACUUAUUUGUGAUUAAGGAUAAACUAUUGUAUUCUUAACAUUAUAUGUUUGAAGGAUACUAGUAUUUAAAUUGAGGAAGUAGGUUGUGGAGGUUGAUUAAAUAUUGUAUUAUUUUUUGGGAGUGUUAACUUAGAAAUUGCAGAUUUGGGGAUGUCAUAAUUAUAUAGGAGACUCUGUCGCAUUUUUGGUAGAAUUCUUAGAUAUCAGAAUUAUUAUUAAUUUAAUCAAUCAAGAUUAGAUAGACUCAUCAUGGAGAUUCGAGGCGGAUCGUUUCAAUUACCGUUAAAAAUGGUGCCUUAACGGCUAUCCUUUCUAGAACAAGGCUUGGGAACACGUUGAGAUAGAGCAUAUUCAAUAAUAGCCUUAAACUGAGCCCCUAAUCGAGAACCCAAUAACACAUAGAAUUAACCAAACAGAAAGUGCCCUUUUCAUUUGAAACAACAUAAACACAUUCAUACCAAAUUAAGAUUGAUAAGUAAAAGCAAAAGGGUUAGCAAAAUUACCCUUUUCAUUAACAAACACAUGUCCAUUCAACAACUCAGCAAACUCAAACACAUCCUAAAUUUCCGGGCGAACGCGGAACCAAUUGUAACUGUCGUUGAAGUGAUCGUGGAAAAGGGCUAAAAGGUCAUUUUGAGAGAGGUAAAGAGGCAAAUGACAAAUCACUACUUUGGUUCUCUGCAAUGGCUCCGUCAUUUCAUUGCAUUCAAUUUGUUCUGAUUGUAUUGAAUUCGAAAAAUUGAAAAAGAGUUUUGAUUACUUUGUACCCUAAUUUUCAAUUUGGGUUGAGAAUGAAAUUGGAAUAUUGUUUAUUGGAAAGUUUUAGACACACUAACAAGAUUCAUUUUUCGUUGCCCGGGGCAAACGGCAAUUGACAUUCCUCAUUUCCCUUAGUAUUUACUUAUGAGGAGUUUAGGUCAUCUCCAAUGUGACACCAAAACUAACAACAAAUCACAUUUUACAUCAUUUUUGGUGUACAAUGCUUCUCCAAUGUAACACCGAAACCAACACUAAAAUGAUGUUUGAAUAGUAUUGCACCAAAUAUGGUGCAACACUAUUCAUUUGGUGUUAGGGAAAAAAAGUUUCAAAUAUCCUAAUUAUUAUUUUUAUUUACAUAUAUGUCCUAUUUUAUAUAAUAUUUUAAGUUAUUAUUAUUAUUUUUGUUAUUAUUUUUAUUUUAUUUUUAAUUUUUGAAUAUUAUACUAAUAUUUUAAAUAAAAAAUAUUCAACACAAAAAUUAAUAAUAAAAAUAAAAUUCCAAUAACAUUAAUUACUAGAUUACAUAUUACAAAGUUAAAAAUACAAAAUUAAAUUAACAUAAAUUAAAAAAGCUACUACUACUAGCAUAAAUUAGAACAAUUAUUUAAUAAUGUGGGAGGUCAUUAUUAGAUCUUCCAAUAUCAUCAAAAUAUUAGCCAAUAUUAUUGGAAGUAUUUUGAGAUGCUUGGCCUUGCGGAGACCUUCUCUGCAAAAUCUUAAUUUGUUCAUUUUGAAAAUAUUGACGUAAGCUCGAAUCACUUAUCGAAUUUAAAUCUUGAAGUAAAAUUUUGUUUUCUUCAUGAUAUGUGACUAUCUCCAAUUUUUUUUUCUCAUUUUGGGCUCGUAUAAUUUGAAUUUGAUAAUUUUGUUGCCUGUCUUCACUGCCUUUUUUGAGAAUUUCAUAAAGUCAUCGAUGGUCUUUUUUAAUAGUAUCAAUAACUAGUGAAUUUUGAUCUUCAACUUUCCUUUUUCCUUUUGCCUUCAGAAUAUCUCGAAGUUUAUUUAGUCGUAUUACUAAUUCCGUGCAAGGUCAUGACAACUAUUUUAUGUAGCGAAGGGAUGGCGUUGGCAGACUUGGGUUAUCUGGUCUUCAAAAAAUCACUGCCGUAUUUAGGAUGUUGGCAUAUGACAUGCUAGCAAAUGCCAUUGAUGAGUAUAUUAAAAUUGGAGAGUCUACAACAAUUGAAAGUUUGAAGAGGUUCUGUCGUGCAAUUGUGGAAGUUUUUGUAGAGCAAUAUCUUAGAUCACCCAACGCUAAUGAGGUCGCCAGGCUACUCCAUGUUGGUAAAGAACGUGGUUUUCCAGGAAUGUUAGGCAGCCUAAAUUGCAUGCACUCGAAGUGGAAAAAUUGUCCAACAGCUUGGGCCGGACAAUAUGCUAGUCGUGGUGGAACCCCAACCAUUAUUUUGGAGGCUGUAGCUGAUUAUGAUCUUUGGAUAUAGCAUGCACAUUUUUGUUUGCCUGGUUCAAAUAAUGAUAUUAAUGUGUUGGAGGCAUCCUAUCUUUUUGCCAACCUCGCUUCAGGUAUUGCUCUUCCUGUUCAUUAUGUUAUUAAAGGGAACAAAUAUAAUAUGAGUUAUUAUUUAGCUGAUGGUUUCUACCCAAAAUGGUCUACUCUUGUACAAACUAUCCAUGAUCCACGUGGUCAUAAAAAAAAUUAUUUGCCAUGAAACAAGAAGCAUGUCGGAAAGAUGUAGAACGUGCAUUUGAAGUCCUUCAAUCAUGUUUUGCAAUUGUUGCUGGACCAUCACGCUUUUGGAACAAACAUGUGUUACAUGAUAUAAUGAUUGCUUGCAUUAUUAUGCACAAUAUGAUAAUCGAAGAUGAACAUGAUGUUAAUGCAACAAUUAAUGAUUAGAUGCAAGCACCAAUACCAACAGUUGAUAUGAGGGUAAAUGAGAAUAUUAGAUUUCAAGAAUUUAUUGCUCGACACAAAAAAAUCAAGGAUAAAGAGGCUCACAUUGCACUCCGAAAUGCACUAAUUAAUCAUUUAUGAGAUGAAUUUAGUAAUUCGAAUAACUAGAGUAUUAUUAUUGUUAUUGUAUUUUUCGAUAUUAAUGUAAUAUUUAAUUUUCCUAAUGUACUAAUUUAGUUAAUUAAAGGCAAAUUUAAUAAUUUUCUAUAUUUUUUUGUUAAUCGAUAUAAAAUUACUUAUUACUUAAUUAUCUAUAUUAAUAGUAAUAUUUAUUGUGUUAAUUGAAUUAAUUCUUGAGAAUUAAAAGAAGAAAAAGAAGAAUAUUCUUUUUGGUAUAAAAUUUGGUGCAAAUGGGUUGGAGAUGAAAUAGUAAUUUGGUGUGAAAAAAGUACAUUUUUGGUGUUGGUGUUACACCAAAAUGGUGUUAAAGCAUUGGAGAUGCCCUUAGGGGCCUUGAUGUAUAAAAUGACCAAAAAGCCCCUAUGUAGUAUGAAUAUGCUGAUUUAAUAAAGAAAGAUUAUCAAUAAUAUUAAUAAUGGGAAAUUGUUAGCUCUCCUCUAUUCAAAUCAAUAUAUAUUAAUUACUUUAGUAUUGCUUUUAUAAUGCACAAUAAAUUUUUAUUAGUAUAGUUUUAUAGUAUAAUUUUUAUUUUUAAAUAAAUUUUUAUUCAUAAUUAUUAUAAAUCAAAUGAAUUUUUUUAUAUUAUAAAACUAGUAAUAAAUAAGUGAUAUCUAUUAGUUCUAAUAAAAAAAUUAACAACUUCCUUAAUAAUAAAAGUGACGAAAUAAUGAAAGGCAAAAGAGGGAAAUUGCAUGUUCAUUCCUCUUUUAGAUUCUUUUCUUCUCAACUUUCUAUUUAAACUCUUUUAUAUUCUUUACUUCUCAACUUUCUAUUUAAACUCUCUUAUAUUCUUUUCUUUAAACUGUUUUAGAUUCUUUUCUACAUUUCAACUUUCUAUUUAAACUCUCUUAUAUUCUUUUCUUCAAACUCUUUUAGAUUCUUUUCUACAUCUCAACUUUCUAUUGAAACUCUCGUACAUCUUUUAUUUCUUAACUUUCUAUUUAAACUCUCUUACAUCUUUUACUUCUUGACUUUCUAUUACAUUCAUUACUCAAUUUAUAAAUUUCAUACCUUAAAUCCUAAAAUUUAAAUCAAGUCUCUUCCCCUUUCUCAUCUCUUCAUACGCAAUGCAGUCUUUUUAGUUCUCCUCUCUUUGCAAGUAAGUAAAAUCUUAGUUCAUCACAUCAUCUCAUAGUUUGUUUUCAUAGUUUUCUUUCUCCAAAUUGCCCUCGCAUUUUCCUCUCAAUCUCAAUUUCUGGUUUUUUUGUUUGUUGUAGAGUCGAUUUUCUUUACCUCGGUUUGUAAAUUUUAUCGGAUGUAAUGCAUAAUCAUGGGUGACCCAAUUAAGGUCCAGGAGGGGCUUCAGCCCCUUUUGGGCCAUUAAUUUUGCUUUUAAAUCUACCCCACACCUCUUCCAAAAGAAUUAAAUAAAAAAAUUUGGACACAUAUUUUAUGUAACAAAAGACUUAUAGUUCAAUGAUAAGAGUGCUAUUUGAUGGUUUUAAAGUCCUGGUUUAAAUCCCAAUAGUCACAUUAUUUUGUUUCUUUUUAUAAAUAGUUUUUUGAAAAUUACUUAGAAAAAUGAUACUUUCAUGCAUUUAAAAUAAAAAGUUUAUUACUAUUAUUAUUUAAAAUUUAAAAGAAAAUAAUGAAAUUUGAGUUUAUGAGAUUUGAAAUGUAUUCGUGUGAACAUUAAAAAAAACCCCAAAUUAAAUAAAAUGUUUUGAACUAAUCCCCCUAAUUUAAGUAUCUGGGUCCGCCACUAUGCAUAAUUGAUCGUCGUCAUUUUUUUUUCAAUAAUUUCGUGAAACAAGCAUAAUUAAAUUAAAUUAUACAUCAGCAUAAUUAAUUAAUUAAUUAACUGAUGCUCUUUAGAUUCUGUGCUUGAUUAUAUAGCAAUUCAUCAUAUUUUAUUAUGAUUAUAAAUUUAACUAUAUGGUCGGGGUCUGAAUGAUUUUUAUUUUUAAUAUUUUUUUAUGAAUUUAUUCAUGUUCGGUUGGAUAAUAUUUAAAGUAAUAACAAAUAUAAGUUUUAAUGGAGUGAAAUUGUAUGGGUAUGGUAACUAAAUUUUCUUUCUUAUUGUUUAAUGAUAAAAAUUGAAUUCAAUGUGAAAAUGGUUUGAUAUUGUAAAUGCAUUGCAGGUAAAUUGAAUUUUUUUUAAGGAUGGGAGAAAGAGUGGUUGAUGGCGAUUGGAAGCCUACUUCUCCAUCUAAUGGGGAGCGCACUGUAGUUUUACUUGGCCGUACUGGCAAUGGAAAAAGUGCGACGGGCAAUAGUAUUCUCGGAAGAAAAGCCUUCAAGGCGAGUGCUGGCUCGUCUGGUGUUACUAAAACUUGUGAAAUGAAGACAACCGUGCUCAAAGAUGGCCAAGUUGUUAAUGUCAUUGAUACCCCCGGUAAUUUGCUAAUGUUGGUUCCUAGAUAUUCCAUUCCAUGCUUGUUGAUGUUGUGAUGGUAAGUAGAUUGAUGUUACGAGCCAUUGCAGGACUUUUUGAUUUGUCUGCUGGCUCUGAGUUUGUCGGCAAGGAAAUUGUCAAAUGUCUCGGUAUGGCCAAGGAUGGCAUCCAUGCAUUCCUUGUAGUUUUCUCCGUUACAAACCGUUUUUCUCAAGAGGAAGAAACUGCAGUACACCGUUUGCCGAACUUGUUCGGGAAAAAUGUUUUUGACUAUAUGAUUGUUGUUUUCACUGGAGGGGAUGAUCUUGAAGAUCAUGAGAAAACAUUAGAAGAUUUUUUGGGUCAUGAGUGUCCAAAGCCUUUAAAGGUUUGUUUCUGAACUCUUAUAGUGUUCGAUAAUUUCAUCAGUCAUUUUGAUCAAGUUGUCUUUGGCUGGUUCUUUUGUGAAGUUUUAGACUCCUUUACGGUUGGACUAUUGGAAGUUUAAUAUGAAUAUAUGCAUGCUGAAAAUACUAGAUAUAUAGCUUUAUAGUAGGCCAGCCAUCUUAAAGUUCCAUUUUCAAUGGUGCUUCAUUUCCUGAAUGGUUUUCUUCUGCCAUGCGGGAUUGGCCGGAGAGGUGGUUGGUAAUUUUCUGCUGGCGUUACUUAAUUUUACUUAUACGUUAGUGUCUUCGAAUGAGAUAUCAUUCAUUCAUUCGCUAAACAUUUUUUCUUUUCUUAUUUGUAUUCCUUGAUUUCCUCUGCUAUUUAAUCUUGGUUCUUAUUCUAUUAAGGUGUGUUCAUUUGUUUGUUUCUUAAAAUAUGUACCUCUUUGAUUUAUACGCUCAAAAUUAACCUACUUUUAAGAUUUUAAAAGUGGCCCAAAGAGGAUGUCACUUGCUCUACAUGUCCAUUUUAUUAGGCGUUGUUUGAAUAAAAUAUCAAGACUAACUUUACAAGAUUUAAAAUUCUCUUAAAAGUUCCUGUGGAUUCUAGGCUCAGAAUUGGUAUCUAAAAUUUCAAUGUGAGAUCUUUUUUCAGUUUCAACAUGCAAAUCUCUUAUUUUCAGAAUUUACUUGAUGAUUUUGGUUCCUAAAAUUUUUUAACUUGAGAAAGAUUUAUAUCAAGUUCUUCUAUUUUACUGCAUACUUGAUUCAACCUAUGAGGAGUGGGAAGAAAAAUAACAAAAAUGAAAAUAAAGACCCCUUCAAGUUGUAGCUUUGCAAUUAACAAAAUCGGGUUAUUUUACAGUUAAUGGGAACUUUGUUUUACUUAUUGUACUUAUUAUUAUUCCUACUACUACUACUUAUGUUAUAUGGAAUGCUGAUCACCUUUUAAGAUUUUUAAAUUUGAUGGGCGUAAGAGGUUAAGUGGUCAAACCAUAUGGAGAAUGGAAUUGAUUAUUAAAUAGUUUUUGAGGAUGCCUGAUAUUAAGUACUAACGAUCACAAUAAAAACAGAUUUUGUCAGCUUAGGAUGCGUUUGGGAUUGAGGUGCUGUAGCUUUUAAGCUACAGCUGCUGUGAAAAAAAAGCUGUAAUUAUGAAACAAAAGUUAAUAAUAUAUAGUAAAUAUAAAUUUUAAAUAAUAAUUUUGAUAAAAUUAUUAAAGAUAUAAUAAAUUUAAUAUUAUACAAGUGAAAAAUCAUAUCAACAUAACUUAAAACGUACAGCAGCUAGUGUUUACCUAACACUUUAGUGCUGUAGCUUUUAAGCUACAGCUGCCUAACCUCAAUCCCAAACGCACCCUUAAUAUCCUGAAACUUUUAGAGACUACAAGUGUUUGAUUGGUUCAUCCAUGCUUACAGAAAGGAGAUAACAUUUUAUUCCUGAUCAUUUUCCCAAUAUUUUAGGAAAUCCUUCAACUAUGUGAUAAUAGGCGCGUGCUUUUUGAUAACAAGACCAAGGAUGAGGCCAAGAGAACCGAGCAGGUUGGGCAGCUUCUUUCUCUGGUUAACUCUGUGAUCGUGCAGAAUGGUGGGCAGCCAUAUACGGACGAGUUGAAGGUGACUUCGUUACUAUCGGGAUAGACUUCUGUGCUGCUUCUUUCUGAAUAUGUCAUGACAAUAUCUCUUUUUCUUUUCUUCUACUCAGAGAGGGGCUACUGAACUCCGUGAUAAAAAAGCUGAGGUUGAUUCUCUCAAGGAAUAUUCAAAACGAGAAAUUUCAAAGCUGAUGGGCCAGAUGCAGGAAUCAUAUGAAGAUCGAAUCAAACGAAUGGCUGAGAUGGUAUUUUUUAUGCUCCAUGUUUUGGCAUCAAAAUAUGACAUGCAUAUGUGUUCAUCUAUCAAAUCGGGUAAUCAUUUCUCAAACUGUGUAAUUAAAAAAUGCCUAUAAAGCGUGCAGGUACCUGUAACGAUAUUCUAAAUUGUUAGACUUGGAGGUGGUAAAGACUGCCGCUCUGUCCAUACCCCUAGAUUGUUGGAGAUUGCCAUAUGAAAAGAGGCCUUAUCUUGCUAGUUGAUGUGGACAAAUCUGUUAUUAUUUGUUCACUCAUUAUGUUUUGAAGGCCGUAACAUGCUGUUCUUACCUUGAAGAUUGUUUGACGGUCCUGCUCUGUUUUUUGUUGAUGAAAUUAAGUGGGUUAUUCUAUGGUAGUAGCUGUAGGUGGUUUACUAAUCAUGACUUACACUAAGGUGGAUUCUGCACUUGUUUAGUCAUCAAUCAUGAGAACAUUUCUUGUAAUACUGUGGGAACAAUUGAAAUGUUACGAGCAGGUUAUGUCAUAUUUUAAUUUUGUUAAAAAUAGAAUAGCCACAUUCACAAUAAGUUUUUAUGAAAAUAUAGUUACGCACGUGAAACCUAAUCAAAUGGCUGCGUAGUUUUGAUUUUCCUUUCCACAGUUCUAAUUUAUUGCAAGGCAAUAGAAUGAUUCUGCAUUAAGCCAUAUCCUAUUCAACAAUAAUCUGGAUUUGCUGUAACAUUCUGUGUAAUGAUUAUAUGUCUGAGGUGCUAAUAAGUUUUAUUCUCGACAAUCCUGGAGUAUGGCAAAAUGAAAAAGUUAGCAGUAUUCUUUAACACUUUAUAUUUUGGAUUUAUGUGUUUAUUUUUUUAAGCUUUUGUUUCUACCAUUUAUCAAUGAUUGAGAGUGGAAUUGAUUGGUCAUAAAGUUGUGCCGAGUAUGGUGAACUUAGCAACCCGCUUUGCAAUUGAAUUAAACUAAAUUGAUACUUAAGAAUUUUCUUCUCUUAAGUUGGAGUUUUAUAUUACCAAUACCCAAUUUUUUUGAAUUGUGCUGCUACUCUAGGGCUUAGUGGCAUGUUUUCUGACUAAUAUUGAUGCUUUUUUGAUAGGUUGAGUCUGGGCUCGAAGAGACAACAACUAGGCUCGAACAGCAAUUGGCAAAGGAGCAAGCUGCUCGAUUAAGGGCAGAAGAGGUGGCACAAAUAGCUGAAAUGAAGUUAAAAGACGAAAUUCAAUCUCGAAGUACUGAGAAGGGGACUGCGGAACCCCCUAAGCCAUCUGAAAAUCCUCCGCGGCAGCCCCCUAGGCCACCUGAAAGUCCUCCGCCGAAGCCCUCUAGCACAUCUGAUGGGUGGUGUGCCAUUAUGUAAAUGUUCGCAGUCCAGACGCUUAUAUCUUCUGUUAUGUAAAUGUUCACAGUCCAAUCUCGAGUGCGGUCUUACGAUAGUACUAUAUGAAAAAACGGUAUUGACAUGAAAUGAAGUUUCAUUUAUGGAGGCGUCUAGAAUCUUUUCUUACACGGUGGAUCCGAAGAGAUCUGAUUCCUUUUCUCCUCAUUGAGCUCUUAACGAACGCUAUAUUGUUUUCACAUUUGUAGCAGAUACUACCCAAAAUGUGCCCUUCUAACAAUCAUGACUUUCCCAAAAAUUCAAACCGACUAACAGAGUAAUCCUAAUAUCCGAAAGACUUGCAAUAAAACCACCAAGCUUAUGACCCUUCUCUGAUACACACCAUAGUUCAACUAGCUCAUAAUGCAAAUCCUUCGACAUCACACAGCCUCAGUUUUGAAAGUUUUAUAGAUAUUAAGUUUCAGCAUAAUAACUGGUCUCCCAAAGAGAAGAUGCCAAUGAUCAGUCAGCGUAAGUAAUUAGAUUACACAUAAACUCAUCCAAUUUCAUAUAUUGCUGGUUUCAAAAAUAGGUAUCAAGUAGCACAGACAUUCAGUAGAUAAUGAUAUUCUGAUCGUAGAUCUCGUAUUGAGAUGCCACAAGCUUGAUCUCUUGAAAACGGGAGAAAACAUUGAUGCACGCUCAACACGAGCUCAUAGAAAUGAAAUGUGAUGGGAGAAUUAAUUACCCGGGAUGGAGUAUCUUCUUGUCCGGGUGAGAGUGAGCAGAGCCGCCACCCUCGAUAAUAGCAGGACUGAAGAAAUUCCGAGAAGCUAAUGCAAGGAUUGCAUUCAGCUCUUGCCCAGUCGCCAUGUUUGCUUGCUGAAACCUUUCCAUUUCUGCUAUCUGAGUUUCAGAAACAACGAAAUUUUAAUAACGUGCUGAAAUUUUGGAAGAGGGCGAGAACAAAUGCAUUAUACAUACAAAGGAUUGAUUUGCAUACCUUUGAUAGGAGACGCACGCUUUCAUUUUCCAGCUCAACCUCCUAUGAAAAUGAAAAUGUCAUAGAGUUCCAUAAAAGCUUGGAAGAAAACGAAAAAAAAGGGCUAAACAGGAUUUAAUGAACUUUAAUUAUUACCCUUUUCUGCAAGAACUCAAUUUUAGGAAACAGACAAAGCAACAAAUUAUUUUCAAAAUGACAUGAAUUACAUAUACUGAACGUAUAUCGUUAAAGUUUAUGCAAUGUAUUGUUGCAAAACAAUGGUGUAUUGCUCAAAUUCAAUUUUUUUUUUUUUGGUUGAUUUCAUGCAUGCAUAAUGCAAUUAAUUAGUUACCUUCUUGGACCUGAUCCUAGUGAUGCCUCACUCAAGCCUGUUCUCCAGUUGCUUAAGCUCCUUUACAGUUAAAGAACUCAGAGAAUCACACAUCAGAUGCCGAUAUGAAGUGUCAAGAGUGAGAUAACCAAUUGAAAUUGUAUAUUUUGGAAUAAAUAAUUAACUACACCUAAUGUGAAAAUGAUUGUUGAUGAAAUAAUUGAAAAUACUAGUUCGAAUUCUGUAAGAUUUGAAUUUGCUGCCGCAGCUUUGCUGACUCCUGCUGAUAGUACUGUUUCCAUGGGUCACAUGUAAUUGGAGAAGUUUAAUUUUUAUUGGGAGCUUUUUAUUUCAAUGCUAGCUAUGUGGUAAGCAAUGAUAAUCAGUUGGCUUUUUUUCUUUUUUAACCUUUUCAUAAUAGCAUAUAUUCCUAGUAAAGCCUGAAUUUAUAGCUUAAAUUAAUGAAUUAUUUACCUGAGCAUUGAUCUCAGUAACAGUGCCAGAAUUUGAAUUAUCCGAACAUGCCUUCUUGUACCUAUGAAUGGUUGACCUUAUGCUGCUACGUGCAUAACACAUAAAUUUCUAAUUAUUUAGCAUAAUUGUUUGAAAUUGUUUUUGGGAAAAAAAAAGAGGAAUAAAAAAAGAGGGAGCUGAAGUUUAAUAAACAAUUUUAUUUCUUUAUUAAAUAUCAUUUAAGUUAUCUCAUUAGUUUUCAUGAUCCCUCAGUCUUCAGCUACAUGGAUAAACAAACAUAGACAUAAAAAAGAAAGAUAUGUUAAGUAAGAUGGAUGUAAAAAUGUUUUAUUUUAUUUUUAAUUCUUUAUUCUCAAUGAGGACAUUGGAAUAAGUUUACUAAACCUAGCUACCCUCUACAUCUAGCUAGGUCAUUAAUUCCAAGCUCAAAGUGGUUUACUCUCUAAUUUGAGAGAAUUUUAUCCCCACAAGCCAAUUGAAUAUUGAGAUGAGAACUACUAAACUAAUAGGUGCUUCUUGAUAUACGUAUCAAGUUAACAUUUCAAGUUCUACGCCUGAUAUUUCAAUUGUAAGUUUAAUGUGUAAGGUUUCUUUAAUCUAACAUUUUAAUUGACAGCCACUCCCUAUAGCUUCCUAAUCAUAAAUGAAUUUAUAUGUGCCCACUCCCUAUAAUUUGAACUUUGAAGUGAAGAAGUUAGCACUUUAUAUCCCCAUCACAUUGAAGAGUAAAAAUCUCUUUUACGUUUUAGGUUUCUAUUCACCAUGCAUGCGGAAAGAGCAAGGCCUAAUAGCAUUUUAAAUUUCUUCAAACAAGUCCAUCACUUUAAUAGCACGAAAAUGUUAGUGCAAACUGAGAAAGAAACCAAUACACGAUUGAAAAUUUUCGGUGCUUUUAGAGUCAAAAGUACUGAAGAAAACUGAUGUGAAAGAUAUGAUUCAGAUUGCUUCAAUGAAGAAAAAAGAUAUGGGAAAAUUUUUAAAGCUAAAAGUAGAAACAAAAGCCAAAGAAAAUUGAGAAUUUGUAAAUGAUUAUAAAAGGAAAGAAUCCAUCAGGCCAGAUUUCAGAUCACUGCAUGCAGCAUGCUGUAAUUAUUAAUUUGAUUAUUAAUGUAUUGCAACUGCUGAGUAUUUUGUCAAAUGAUCUAAAACCCUAGAUACAGAUAGGAAAGUCACCACAGCCUUUUCUUUUUCCGGGGAAUUGGAGUGGACAACUUCGGUCAAAUUUUUUUUUCAUUUUUAUAAAAAAAUUUUAGCUACCAUGAAAUGAUGUACUUGCAAGAGUCUAACUUUCAUCACGAACAAAAAUCUCUUUAUGACAUUCGUUUAAUUAUAUCAAAAAGUUGAAAUUGUUGAAAAAAAUUGUUAAAAAGAAAUAGUUUUUCACCAAAGCAGUGACUCAAGACCAGCAAUAUUCUUGACCACUAAGGUCUCAUUACCUAUUUUCUAAUUAGGAUAACAUUAUUUAUAAUUUACCUUAAAAUGCAGUUGAACGACUUUCAGUUUCUUUGUUUAAUUAGUCAUUCGAGUUGAACUCCUAAAAAAGAUAUGAGUUAAAAAUAAUGUUUGGGCUAUGCUCCUUCCCCUUUAAUAAAACUUGAAAAAAUAAAAUAAAAUGAAUUCAUGAUGUGGUUUUAUCUCAAUAACAUUAUUACUGCUCCUAUGGGGGAUUUUGAACUGUUACUAGUUAUAUAAAUGGCUAAUCUAAAUAUCUGAACUCUGUUAUAUAAUAGGCUAAUCCAUGCCAUUCUAAUAAAUAUCUAACUAUUAAUUCUAUAAACUAAAAGGAAAAAAAUAAUUGUACUUUUAGUAGUACAUAUACCAUGCUAGGGAUAUUGAAUGUUAAUUAAUUAUUAACAUUAAAUAUACCAUGCUAGCGGUAUUGAACGUCCUACCAACAGCAGUCAAUCUUCGCUCCAAACAUGUAAGUUUAAAUGAUCUUUGCCUGGUUUGUAACUCUGAUAAAGAAACUGUUUUUCACCUACUGGUUGACUGUCCCUUUGCAAGAACCUGUUGGAUUAAAUCAAAAGUCGGCUUCUUUGGUAUCUAUUCAUCAUUCAAGGAUUGGCUUCAAGCUUUGUUUAGGAACUGCACUAAUGAACAGUGCUGGAUCGCUGUUAUGGUCUGCUGGAAGCUAUGAAGCAACAUGAAUAAUCUGGUUUGGCAGGGGAAAUGCGACACAGCAAAACAGAUUGUUAAUGCAGCUGGUAAUUUGUUGUUUCAACGGCAGUCAGCUAAAUCCUCUGUGAUGUUUAAUCAAGUCUCAAGUGAUCCAGGUGCUGGUGCUAUUGCUUGGUCUCCUCCUCGAGUAGGCUGGCUUAAAUGUAACACUGAUGCUGCAGUUUUUGCUGAUGAGGGACGAGAUGGGCUGGGCAGUGUUAUCCGUGAUGAAUCGGGGAAAUUCGUUGCUGGUCUUUGUUGUAAUAUCAGGGGAAACUAUUCUCCUCGGGAUGCUGAGGUCCUUAGCAUUCAUAAGCUCUCUCUUGGCUGAAGUCUAUGAAGUUGUCAAAGGUUAUCAUUGAAACUGAUUGCCUUCAAGCGUUUUAUGCUCUAGUCGAUCGAAAGAGUCCUCUAAAUAGCUUUGGCUCAUUAGUUUUGGAUUGCAAAUGUAUUGCUGAUUCUAUAGGCGAUAUUGUUUUCUCUUUCAUCAAAAGAUCUGCGAAUUCUGUUGCUCACUUUGUUGCUAGAGCGGGAAAUUCUUUACCAGGUCGUGAAGAGUGGCGUUCUGUGCCACCUUCUUGGUUAAUCUCUGUGCUGUAAUUGCUGGUUUUAUUGUUAAUGAAAUUGCACUUUCCAUUAAAAAAAAACAUUAAAUGUUAUCAAGAUGAUGACAUUAUCAUUAUUUUCCGUAAUUAAAAAUAUUGUAACACUACCGUAAUUAGGAUUUUAGACGAUCAUUUUCCAAGCAUCUCCAUCAAUGAUUUGGUUAUUAAGAAUCUCAAUAGUAAACAAAAGGGACAAUAACUAGUGGGACUCAAAAGCCAAUCAAAUACGGGUAUGGAUAGAAAAGGCAAUAUUAUGACAAAAUCCAUUUUGCUCUUCAUGCACCAAUCACAACUUUACUUUUUCUGCUUGUUAUUGACUUAACAUGAAAAUAGGAAAGAAGAGAACUUCAUUUAAUGAGUUAUAAUAUCACUGUAAACUGAAGAAAAAAAAUGGACUAAGCUGGCCUGCUUGCUUUCACUAAAGAAAUGCAAACAAAUUGUAGUGAGGCCUCCAAAGCCGGAACUAGAAACAGACAGAAAUAUUCGAGAAUCAUCAAAUUAAACACUAAAAAAAUAUACUAUUUUAUUUGUUCAACAACACUCUUCACCAACUACAACUCUUAUUUUUCACUCUCUACACCUUAGAGAUUUUUGUUACUUCACUUGAUGUUUAAACUAAAGGGGAGAGGAGAUAUUUAUACAUGAAACAAACUAAUCACAACUAUUCAUUUAUUCAACUACUAUAUAAAUCCUCACCAUUCAUUAAAAACCACCACUCACCUAUUUCACCAACCACACCUACCAUACCUACCACAAGAAGCUUCUAUGUAUUUAAACUUGAAUUUAUUCAUCUUAGAUCAAGUUUAUGAUCCAACACCCCCCCUUAAAAUUGAUCCUCUGACACCAAGCAAACUUCUGAAUUUUACGAAGUUUUCUUGCUUGAGCGGCUGGUGAAGAUAUCAGCUGCUUGAUCUUGUGAUUUUACAUAUUUGAUUUGUACUUCUUUUCUUGCAAUACGCUUUUUUAUGAAAUGAUAGUGAAUAUCUAUGUGUUUGCUUCGAUCAUGAAAGACUGGAUUCUUGGAUAGGGUAGUUGCUGAUUUGUUAUCAACACAAAUCUCGCUUGGCUCUUCUUAUGGCAAACCCAACUCCUUCAACAAAUUUUUUAGCCAAAUUACAUGACAAACACUUGAUGCGGCAGCUACAUACUCAACUUCACAGGUGGAUAGCGUGACAAAUGAUUGCUUCUUUGACAUUUAUUUGAAAGCAGUAUCUCCCAUGAAGAACGCAAAUACUGUGGUUCUCUUUCGAUCAUCUACAUCUCCACCCCAAUUGCUACCGCUAUAUCCAACAAGCUUGUAAUUAUUACAAAAUGAGUAUAACAAGCUGAAAUUAAUUGUACCUUUGAUGUAGCGAAGGAUUCUUUUUGCAGCUUUAAAAUGAGUGGCCUUUGGAUUCUCCAUGUAUUGACUCACAAGUUCAACAACAUAAAGGAUAUUUGUUCUUGUGCAUGUCAAAUAACGUAGGCUUCCAACCAAACUUUUAAAGAAUGUUGGAUCUAUAUCUUCUCCUUCAUCAUGUUUAGAUAACUUGACUCCGCAUUCCACUGGCGUUCUUAUAGGCUUGCAAUAAUUCAUCUUGAACCUUUUGAGAAUCUCCUUUGCAUAGCUUUCUUGGGAGAUAAAUAUACUUUCUUCCUUUUGCUUAACUAAUGCUAAGGUAAUGUGUCAUCAGUCCGAUGUCAGUCAUCUCGAACUCUUCAAAUAAGCUUGGAUCACUUUCAGUGAAGAUGAGAUCAUCCACAUACAAGCGCACAAUCAAAAUGUCUCCAACUUUUUCUUUGACGUAGAGAGCAUGUUCAUAAGGGCAUUUGGUGAAGUCGUUCUCUUGAAAAUACUUGUCAAUUCUGCUAUUCCAUAUUGCUUUAACCCAUAAAGAGCUUUCUUCAAUCUCAAAACUUUAUCUUUAUGUCCUUUCACCACAUAGCCUAAUGGUUGUUCGAUGUAAACUUCUUCUUCAAGGAAUCCAUUCAAGAAAGCAGACUUUACAUCCAUUUGAAAAAUCUUCUAUUUGUUCAGAGCAGUCAAAGAAUAAUAAGUCUAAUAGUUUCAAGUCGAGCUAUAGGAUCAAAUACCUCAUCGUAGUCUAUGCUAGCCUUUUGACUAUAGUCUUUUAUAACUAGCCUCACCUUGUGCCUUUCAAUUUCUCCCUUCACAUUUCUUUUCGUUUUAUAGACCCAUUUGACAUCGAUCGCCUUGUGACCUUUAAGAAGAGUAGUAAGCUCCCAAGUAUCAUGCUUCACAAUGGCUUUGAGUUCUUUAUCCAUUGUAAUUCUCCACUUUUUAUCUAGUGCAGCUUCUUGGAAGUUGACUGGCUCACAAUUAGCAAAGAGGCAAAAGAGAGUGAGAUUAUCAUAUCUCUCAGUUACCUCAUAGAGAUAUUGAAGAUUCCUUAUACAUUCUUCCGUUCUUUCAUUUGAGAAAGAUGGUAGUGAAUCUCCACAUGUGGUUGAUGCUAGUGAGAUAGGUGGAGUAGUUGGCUAUUGUUGUUCUUCUACUUGUUUUAUCUAUGUAUGAUCAUCUUCUUCAAUGGGAAAUAAGUUGAAGUCAUCCACACGAGUAAACAUCCUUCACAAAUUUGAUAAGGGUGAUUGAUGCAUGGUAAGCCAUUCACCAUGUUCUUCUUGGAUAGUAGCUCCAGUCCUCCAAAGUUGAGAUGCCCAUUUCAAAGAUGCCAAGUCCAUGAUGGAUAUUUGUGACAGAUUUUGAGACAUUUUGCAACAUCAUUUUGAAUAAUUAAACGAAACAUUCUAUUCUUCGACAUUUUCACCUUUGUAAUUAGAUUUCUUUUGUCAUUUCUUAGGAAAAAACUAUAAUCUUUUAAGCGAAUAUCAUAGCCUUUUUCCAAGAGUUGACCCAAACUAAGGAUGUUGCUUUUUAUAUUGGGCACAUAGUAAACAUUCGAAAUUAUUUAGUGACUACCAUCUUUUGCACGAAAAGGAAUGUUACCUUUACCCUUCACUGGUACUUUUGAGUCAUCUCCAAAAGCAACACUGCCAUUCAUAGACUCAUUUAGUUCCAUGAACAUGCUUCUGUUUCCACUCAUAUGAUUGCUAGCACCUGUGUCAAGAUAUCAUGUAUUUUCUUGACCUACACUUGUGUUAUUGCGUGCUAGUAAAAGGGUGCCAUAUUUACCAUUUUCUCUUCGACAUAAUUCACUAUCUCAUCAAUUCUGGUACUUGGAGUUCUACAUUCUAAAGCAUAAUGCCCAAACUUUUGACAAGUAAAGCAUUAUACUUAGGAUUUGUGAUACCUCAAUCUUGGAUUGCCUCUGCCUUGUCCUCUGGUUGAGCCUUCUCCGUUGGCAUAAUUGGAGUUGUUGUUGAAAUUCCAACCUUGUCCAUGACCACGACCUCUACCUCGAACAUAAUACCUUCUCUUAUUGUCAGAGCUUUCUUAUCUUUUCGUUGGAUUGAUUCUAUAUUGAGAAGUUGUUCUUCAAUUCCUUCUUUUUUUGUUUUUCUUCAUAGGCUUGCAACCUUCCUUAAAGUUGUUCGAUCGUCAUAUCCUCUAGAUCUUUUGUUUCCUCAAUUGUCACAACAAUAUGGUCAAACUUCGAGUCUACUGAUCGAAAUAUCUUUUCAAUAAUCCUUACAUUUUUUAACUCCUUGCCAUUUCUUUUUAAUUCAUUGGAAACAAUCACAACCCGAGUAAACUAGUCAAAAAUUGACUCCGAUGACUUCAUGUGUAAGGACUCAAAUUCUACUCGUAAUGUUUGGAGACGAACCUUCUUAACUUGCUUCGCUCCUUUGUAAGAAGUCUUUAGUUUCUUCCAUGCUUCUUUUGAGGAGGUUGUACUAGUAAUCUUUUCAAAAGCUAUUCGUCUAAUGAUUGAAAGAUGAGAUACUUUGCUUCAUUCUCUUUCUUCUUUAAGUCUUUUAAUUCUCCUUCUACACUGCAAUUAAAACUUUUCUCUAUGACAUCCCAUACGUCAUGUGCACCCAAUAGAGCCUUCAUUUUAAUACUCCAACUGUCAAACUUACUUUUCUUUAAUUGUGGAAUUUGAAAUGACAUCAUACCACCAUUUGCCAUAACUCACAAAUUGAGUGAGAAUUUUAAGAUUCUGAAUACACGGAUGGAUCCGGCACGUCGAGAAACCUUGGGAGGGACUCGAGCCAAUUUUCAAUCAACGAUCAAUUUUUGGUCAAUCGCCAACUGCAGUGUAGUUGACUUGGUUCGGUCUGAGUUGGUUCGGUUUUAUGUGGCUCGUUCAACUUGAUUCGGUUCAGCUCGGCUCGGCUUGGUUCGGUUCGGCUCAACUUGGUUCGGUUGGUUUCAGCUUGGUUCAACUCGGUGAGUUGACUCAACUUCAGGACAUAAAACUUCUGGCAACGAGUGUGGGUGCGUUCAGCCUCCGAUCGGGCUGAGUUUUGUGGCAUUAUGUUCCUCUCAUUGAGAUCUUCAAUUUGAUAUGCUAUAUGAUUAUAUAUAGCAUCGAACACUAUCUCUGAUACUGCUUUGUUGGAGAAUCAACAAAUGAUGCAACUAAUGUAUCAUGGGGCUAUAAAAGAAAGAGAAGAAGAAAAGCUUUCAUUGGAAAUUUUGGAUUCUUUAAGAUAUGAAACAUGAGAGACCUUGAAAAGAAAGAAAGGAAAAAAAAAACCUAAAACUGAGAUUUCUUAAACAAUGGAAGAGUAAAACAAAGUUAAAAAAUGAGAGUAAAUUCUUAAAAAUAUACCAAGCAGGAAAAUAAAGACCUGCGAAAAACAAAUUUUAAUGGAUGCUCUUGUGGACGUAAAAGAAAAAUGAUCCCAAUGUUAGUUUAAAGACAAGUUUUGAUGGACACUCUCAUGUAGAAUCUAUUUGAUCACACUCGUGAGAGCGAGUUUUUAAAAAUGUUAUCAUAAAUGAAAUUAGGUUACUAGACUUCUCUCUCUCUCUCUCUCUAUACAUAUAUAUAUAUAUCUGUGUGUGUGUGUGUGUAUCCAUAAAAUUAUUAUCAGGUGCAUGUGCCCUCAUUUUUUUUAAUUCAGACACUUUAUUAAACCACAUGAUUUAACAACGUGUCUACAUGAAAAAAAAAUGGGUACUUGUAUGAGAGAAUGACUCUAUGUAUAUAUAUAAUCAUUUGUUACGAAGCAAAAGGCCUCCCCUAAAUCCUAAAAUGGGCAAUAUCAAUACAGUGCAAAGAAACAAGUUGUAAUUACAUUUUUCUAAAGAAAACUAUGGGACAUGGGUUGAAUCAAGAUACUUGGGGUGCUUUUCGACACCUAAGUCACCCUUAACGAAGCUGGCUAAUUGGAGUAUAAUUUCAAUUAUAGAUGAAUUUAUCUUGCAAUUUCAGACUGCAAGAAAAAAGGUUUUUAGAUCUUCCAAGGAAAGUUACGGAUGUGGGUUUUAAAUCAAGAUACUAAUUAGUAAUUAACCAGGCUAUACCAUCAUUGAAGUCUGAUUUCGAUUAUAUAUGUACGAGUACUUCACUGCCUUCAUUAGUCUCAAACUCAUGUGAACUAGAUAGCAUCCAAACAAAUUACCAAAGCAUAAUUUUCUAAGUUGUUUACAAGAUCACAGCUGUUACCAGUGAAGAGAUUUUAGAUCUAGGGAUUUCAAAUCUUAACACUUAUUUCUCCUUAAAUCUUAAAGUCAAACAACCAAAAUUUUCUUCCAAAAGCCAUUAUGAGAGAAUGAAUAUUUCUGUUAAAAGUUUAUGACAACAAAUUACUGCUAAUAAAUGACCAUUUCGUACGUUUUCAAGCAUCUGCAGACUGCAAAACUAAAAAGCCAUCAUCUCAAAACAAUUGGGAAAAUAUUAAAAAAUAUAUGCCCAAAAAAAAAAAAGAGGAAGCAAACUUAAGGAUCUUGAAAAGCUUGUCAAAUUUUGGAUGCCACGGUGAAAAUAUUAAACUGCAAUUUUUUCUUUUUUUUAAUAAUUUUUUCUUUGUCACAAAUGAGAUUGACUAACAUACCCUCGAGUAGAAUCUAACUACAGUACAGCCAUUUGGAUUCUUAGUCGAUAAAAAAUAUCUUUGAAAAAAUUAGGGUUUUUUGUUUUCGACGUAUUUGUCCAAGAAAGAUUUUAUGUUUUGGAUUUUGAUCUUGUCAAUGGUGAGUGAGUACCGAUUUUCAAGUUUGUAUAUACGUUGAAUUAAUUGUAUGUUUUAUUAGUGGGGUGUAUAGCAUAUACAUAGAGAGAGAGAGAGAGAGAGAGAGAGACGACAGCCUUGUGAAUAUCAUUAUGCUGCUUCCUGCAAAUCUUAUACGAUUGUUGUUGAAAUUUUGUACCUUGAUAAGAGCAUUCAUUGAUAAAUAUGUUUCAGUGUUAUAAGACUUCUGAUGAACGUCUAGGGAGUCAUCUUAAUUUGAGAUGUAUGGUACAUGCAUGAAACGUGUGUAGGAAUUGAACUGUAGUGAUACAACAUUAAUCAAUUUAACCCAUUGGAUACAAAAUUUUAGUUAUUAUAGACCAUGAUAGUGUGAAUGCCAAUUCACAUCAAGCGGAAUUGGUAUUAGAAGUCAUGUAGAUUUAAAGAGAUUAAUAAGGUAAUGGGUUCGAAAAAUAAUUGAAAUUGACACAAUACUUAAAUCUGUAAGAAUUUGAAUGUGAAACUUUAUUUGUUUUAAUAUUGUAUUUGUGAAACCAUUAAAAUUUUGUAAUAAGGACCAAAACUAGUGAAAAAUCUUAACUGAUAGAAGCUGAUUGAGAAAAAAAUUGAACACCACUAACACUGUCUCUAAUACUGUGUAAUUAUUGUUUCACUGAAUUACAAGCUUAAUUUUAAACCAAAAAAAAAAAAAGAAAAAGAAAGAAAGAAAGAAAGACGUAACUUACAGUUUUAACUUUAUAAAAAGUUUCAUUAGCCAAUAUAUAGAUUUUAUUUAUUUAUUUAUUGUAGAAGUAAGGGAUCAUGCUAUGUUGGUUAUGCUCUAACUUAGAGCAUCUCCAACAUAUCAAUUUCCAGAAGUGAGAAGUCAAGGGUUCAAUCAAUUGGUCGUGGUUUUGUUCAAUAAUUUCGCAAAACAACGGAAAUGAAAUAAAAUUAUAUACCACCAUAAUUAAUUAAUCAACGGAUUCUGUUUAGAUUCUGUGCUUGAUUGUAUAUCAAUAUCAUCAAAUUUUUAUCAAGACUUUAAAUUCAAUUAUAUUGUUGUGGUCUGAAUGAUUUUUCUUUUUAAUAUUUUUACAAAUUUAUUCAUGUUUGGUUGGAUAAUAUUUAAAGUAUUAACAAACAUAGGUUUUAAUGGAGUGAAAUUGUAAGGGGUGGUAACUAAAUCUUGUUUUUUGUUGUUUAAUGAAAAGACUGAAUUCAAUAUGAAGUGGUCUGAUAUUGUAAAUGCAUUGCAGCUAAAUUGAAAUUUUUUAUACGAUGGGAGGAAGUGCGAUUGAUGAUGAUUGGGAGCUUACUUCUCCAUCUAAUGGGCUGCGCACUGUGGUUUUUGUUGGCCGUACUGGCAAUGGCAAAAGUGCGACGGGCAACAGUAUUCUUGGAAGAAGAGCCUUCAAGUCGAGGGCUAGCUCGUCUGGUGUUACUAGUACUUGUGAAAGGCAGAGAACCGUGCUCAAAGAUGGCCAAGUUGUUAAUGUCAUUGAUACCCCCGGUAAUUUACUAAUGUCGUUGCCUAGAUAUUCCAUUUCCAUGCCUGUUGAUGUUGUGGUGGUAAGUAGAUUGAUGUUAUGGUAAUAAAAAAAAAAAAGUAGAUUGAUGUUAUGAGCAAUUGCAGGACUUUUUGAUUUUUCUGCUGGCUCUGAGUUUGUCGGCAAGGAAAUUGUCAAAUGUAUCGAUAUGGCCAAGGAUGGGAUCCAUGCAGUGCUUGUAGGUUUCUCUGUUAGAAGUCGUUUUUCUCAAGAGGAAGAAGCUGCACUACACAGUUGGCAGACCUUGUUCGGGAAAAAAGUUUUUGACUAUAUGAUUGUUGUUUUCACUGGAGGGGAUGAACUUGAAGAUAAUGACGAAACGUUAGAAGAUUAUUUGGGUCGUGAGUGUCCAAAGCCUUUAAAGGUUUGUUUCUGAACGGCAAUAGUGUUUGAUAAUUUCAGUAGUCAUUUUGAUCAAGUUGUCUUGGGUUGGUUCGUUUUUGAGGUUUUAGACUCCUUUACGGUUGGACUAUUGGAAGUUUAAUAUGAAUACAUGCAUGCUGAAAAUACUAGACAGGUUCAUAGUAGUCCAGCCGUCUUAAAGUUCCAUAUUCAAUAUUGCUUCAUUUCCUGAAUGGUUUUCUUCUGCUAUGGGGUAUUGGCAGGAGGGGGUGAUUGGUUGGUAAUUUUCUGCUGGCAUUACUUAAUUUUAGUUAUAUUUUAAUGUCUUUAAAUGAGAUGUCAUUCAUUCAUUUGCCAAGCAUUUAUGCUUUUCUUAUUUGUAUUCUUUGAUUUCAUUUGUUAUUUAAUCUUUGGUUCUUAUUCUAUUAAUGUGUGUUCAUUUGUUUGUUCCUUAAAAUAUGUACAUCAUUGACUUAUAUGCUUAAAAUUAACCUACUUUUAAGAUUUUAGAAGUGCGCCAACGAGGACAUGACUUGCUAUACAGGUCCAUUUUAUUAGGUGUUGUUUGAAUAAAAUUCUCUUAAAAAUCCAUGUGGAUUCUAGCCUCGGAAUUGGUGUCUAAAAUUUCAAUGUGAGAUCGCUUUUCAGUUUUAACAUGCAAAUCUCCUAUAUUUAGCAUUUACUUGAUGAAUUUGUUUCCCAAAACUUUUUAAGUUGAGAAAGAUUUAUAUCGAGUUCCUUUAUUUUACUGCAUACUUGAUUAAACCUAUGAGGAGUUGGAAGAAAAAUAACAAAAAUGGAGAUAAAGACCCUUCAAGUUGUAGCUUUGCAAUUAACAAAAUCGGGUUAUUUUACAGUUAAAGUGAGCUUUGUUUUUCUUAUUGUAGUAAUUUUUGUAGUUUGAAGGAAUCAAAAUUUUUUAAUUAUAAUGCCGCAAAAUUUGGUCAAUUAUGUAGAUACCACAGAAAAUAUGAUCAUGUCUUUUGGUUUGAGCUUUGGUCACUUGAGUUUGUUUAUGACAAUAGUACAAUCUUUCAGGCUUUGUUCUAUAAUGUAAGAAUUUGCCGAGUGAGUAGGCAACUACUGCUUUGUAGCCACUAAUUUUGAUUGGGUCAAUGCCUUUAACUGGAAUAUAUGCAGAUUAUUAUUAUUAUUAUUUUCUGUUAUAUGGAAUGCUGAUCACCUUAUUCUAAGUGGUCAACCCAUAAGGAGAAUGGAAUUAAUUAUUAAAAUUUGAUUAUGGCUUGCCUUUAAAUAGUUUUUGAGGAUGCAAGAUAUUAAGUAUCAAUGAUAACAAUAAAAACAAAUUUUGUCAGCUGAAUUCUUUCAAACUUUUAGAGACUACAAGUGUUUGAUUGGUUUAUCAAUGCUUACAAAAGGGGCCAACAUUUGCUUUAUUCCUGCAAUUAAUCAAAGCAUUAGUAAUAGCUAAAUAUGGUUGACCUAAUAUAACAGGAAUUUGUUUGUAUUUAUUAGCAAUUGGUUCCAUUCUAAAACAAGAAAAUCCACAGGGUAUAUGAAUUUAUCAACUUGGACCAAUACAUCUUCAAUUAUUCCUCUUGGAACUUUAAUCGAUCUAUCAGCAAGUAAAUGAGUGGUAGAAGUUGGUUUUAACUCAUUGAGAUUGAGUUGUUGGUACACUGAGUAAGGAAGCAAAUUAACACUAGCACCAAGAUCAAGUAAAAUAUGUCCAAUUUUAUGAUCCCCAAUAGUGCAAGAAAUAGUUGGACUACUAGGAUCCUUGUAUUUCAUAGCACUAUUGGUUGAGAGAAUUAAACUUACCUGUUCUGCUAGAAAAGCUCUCUUUUGCACCUUAUGUUUCCUUUUCACCGUGCACAGAUCUUUCAGAAAUUUAGCAUAAGAAAGCACUUGUUUAAUGACAUCCAACAAAUGAAUAUUGACCUUUAUUUGUUUAAAAACUUCAUAAAUUUCUAGACUGUGGUUUGAUUUUUUUGGCUUAAUUAGUGCUUGAGGAAAUGGGGGUACAAGAGGAGAGUUGGUAAUUUCUUCAUGGGUUAAAGGUUCGACAAACUCUUCCCUAUUUUCUGAAAUUGAAUCUUUACUAGUUUCACGAGGGUUCACAACCUGUUUUUCGACCACUUUACCACCACGAAGGGAUAUAACCGAUUUGACUUGACUCAUAUUUUGGUUUCCUAAAUUUUUCAUUUGAGGAUGUUGUUGACUUUUGGGGUUUGGUUUAGGUUGAGCAGGAAACUUUCCUUUUUCAUGCAUGGUCGGAGCAGAUGUAAGUUUAAAGAUAGUUUCUGUCAAAUUGGUUAAGGUUUGCAUCUUUUGGUUAUUGAUCGACUCUUGUUUUUCAAUAAACGAAUGCAAUGGGUCUUCCAGAGUUUUUCGUGUUGUGGGACAUAUGGUGGGUAACUCUGGGGGUUUUGGAAAAUUUGACUUGGAGGAACUGGUUGUGAAGGUUGUGCAUGAUUGUCAUUUCUCCAACUGAAAUUUGGGUGGUUUCUCCAACCAGAGUUGUAAGUUUGGAAGUAUGGAUUUGGAUUUGGCCUUUUGAAAUUGUCAAUGACAUUUACUUGUUCAUACAAACUUUCUCUCAAAGCUGGCAUAGUUGGACAGUCCUGCAUAAAAUGAUCAGUAGAAUCACAAACAUAACAUGAAAUAUUGUGAACAUACUUUACAUGAUCAUUCUUUUUCAAUUCUAAUGCUUCGACUUUUCUAGCCAAUGAUUAAAUUUAGCUUGAAAAUUAUGGUAUUCCUUAAGGUUAUGCAUGCCUCCACCAGAUGGAGAUGACUGGGGUUUACUUGAUGACUCAUAAGAACCAACUGUAUCCCAAUGUUGCGCAUUCUCUGCUAUAUAGUUAAGAUAGUCUAAUGCAUCUUCAGGACUUUUAUCCCUAAACUGACCAUUACACAUCAUUUCAACGACUUGUCUACAUUGGGAUGUUAAUCCCUUGUAGAAAUAAGACACUAAUCUUCAUGUUUCAAAACCGUGGUGUGGGCAAAUAUUAAGUAGUUCUUUAAACCUAUCCCAACAUUGGUAGAGAGUUUCUCCUGGUUUUUGAGUGAAAGUGGUGAUUUGUCUUUUGAAAGAAUUUGUUCUGUGGGGUAGGAAGAAUUUUUUCAAAAAUUAUGCUUGCAUUUCAUCCCAAGUUCUGAUGGAUCUUGACCUAAGAUUUUGUAGCCAAAUUUUACUUUUAUCUUUUAGUGAGAAAGGAAAAAACUUAAGCCUGAUUAUAUUCAUGCUAUAAUUUUGAUUAGUACAUGUGUUACAGACUUCCUCAAAUUCUCUUAAAUGCAAAUAUAGAUUUUCAGACUCAAAACCAUAAAAAAUAGGAAGAAGUUGAAUGAUACCAGGUUUGAAAUUAAAACGUGAUGUAUCAGGAGGAAAAACUAUGCAUGAUGGUGACCCUGUUCUAGUAGGAUGCAUGAAGUCUCUAAGAGUCCUAGGCUGUUCAUGAAGAUUUUGCACCGUUUGGUCAUUUUCAUGCUCCGAAAAAUUUUCAACUCCUAUGUCAGCCAUAUCUAAGAGUGGUGAAGGUGAUCUUCUAAUUAAUCUACCACUAUUUGUACGAGACCAACGACGCAUACAAUGCUAAUGAUGUGUGCUAAACCAAUGAUGCAUAAAACGCUAAAUGAAUCUUACAAAAAAUAAAAAUAAACUGGAAAUUAAAUAAGCAAGAAUACGAAAUAAAAAUAAACAAAAUGAAAAUAAAUAAAUUAAGCGGUGAAACCAGCCAUAAACAAAGAAAUUAAAAGAAACAAUUUAGGUGGUAUUUUAAAACCAGCCAUAUAAUAAACACAUAAAAUGAAAUAAAUUAAUGUACAAGAAUAAAUAAACUAAAAUUAAAAUGAUAGGCGGUAGAACCGACCAUAUAAAUAAAAAUACAUGAAUUAAAAAAAUAUAAAUAACAGUUAGGCGGUAGAACCGACCAUUUAAAAUAAAUGCGUAAAGUAAAUUGCAAAAAUUUAAAGAAAUAAAUUUGAUUUGGGGACUGAUUUGCAAAGGUUUCUGGGCUAAAAUGAAGUUUCUCAAAAAUUUUAUAGAUAAUGUUAAAGUUUGAAAAGAGGAGGGGUGCUAACUGAAGUUUUACGAAAAGAGAAUAAAAUAGGACCACGGAAAGAUAGUAAAGACAAAAAAAUUAAAAAUAAAAUAAAAAUAAGUAAAGACAAGCUAACACCAAAUUUAGAAAACUCCCCGGUAACGACGCCAAAAACUCGACAAAACUCAAAAGUGUAUUACUCUCAAGUAUAAGAGUGUCUAGUUAUAAUAUAAUCCUGUGAGUUCGGGGUUGAAUCACAAAAAAUUUUAAAAUUUAGUUGUCAAUUUGUUAAACAAAGAAAAUUAAUUGUGGGGAAAAUAAAUUAUUUAAAAACAAUUUAAAAAUAUGCUAAGGUUACGAGAUACACUCUCAAUAUUCAAACUAUAAUUUUAAUACUACCUCAUUUAUAUUUUACCUCACUUUUUUCAGUUAAUUAUUAUAUCAUUUAAUUCUAUGUUUGUGGAUAAAUAUGGAAUAAAGUACCUAAUGUACCACACUAUAUUAAUGUGUCGAUAUUAUGUCAAAAUACCGUAUAGAUCCAAAGAAAUUUAUAAAUUAACAUGACAUAAAAAUAGAUAUAAAAGAAUAAAAUAAACUUAAAAACUCAUUUGAGAAAAUAAUAAUAAUUAAUAGUUUGAAACAUUGAGCUUCACCCUUCACCUCAGUUUAAUAAAAUUAGCCACACAUAUUGAAAGAAAACACAACACUCUUUUUAUUUGAUAAACUUUUUGAAAUAUAUUACAAAAAAAAUUAAUACAGAUGGAAACAAGAAAAGAAAAGAAACAAAGAAAGAAAGAAAUUCUUUGCUACACCCUUAGCUAUCACUCUCUCUCAGAACUCGGCUCCCUCCUCUACUGGCUUUUCCUUGCAUUUCCUUGCCCUUUUAUAGGCAAGGAAUACAUUAUCUUUAUUUUAUUAUUAUGUACAUAUAUAUAUAUAUAUAUAUAUUUUCUAGCUCAUUAUCCAAAGAACUUUCAAAGUAUGUUGUGAGUUCUGAGUACACAUUUCAAUGUACAUAUAUAUAUAUAUAUAAACUUCCAUCUCCAAAGAUUGUAAUGGUGAGUGUUCUUCCAGACUUCACAAGAAACAUUACAAAUCCAAAAGCCAUAGGAAGCCAUUCCAGAAUUUUAGAGAAUCUUUUUAUAAGAAACCCUUGAGGCCUCAUAAGAAGCCCAACUUCUCUAAGAAAAAGGAAUUUAAACCUAAACGCAAAGCCCAUUUCAAUUACAAAGAAGCCAUAUGCCAUAAGUGUGGCAUAAAAGGCCAUACUGCACAGUACUGCAGAAUGAAUCGAAAGCUUCAUAAACUUGGCCUUGAUGAAGAAAUCCUUUCAAAAGUUGCCCCUCUUCUAGUAGAGUCUUCUGACUCAGAGUCUUCCAUAUCGGGAGAUAGUGACCCUUUUCAGGUCGAUUUAUAUAUAUACAUAUAUAUAUAAAAUUUUGACAAAGCCUUCCUUCAGAUUUAUAUAUAUAUAUAUAUAUAUGUACAUUGAAAUGUGUAAUCAUGGCCACUUGACCAUCAUGAGAAACCAAAUUGCUUGGUUUUUGUUCUUUUUUCAUUUUUUAAUUUUUUUAUUCAUUUUUAUUUUUAUUUUAUUUAUUUAUUUACAUCUCCUCAAUAAUGCUUCCAAAUUGCUCCAGCAGUCCUUCUUUUUUUCCACUUUCAAUUCCAAUUUAUUCUUAAAAAAUACUUAUAAGGUAAAAAUUAACAUAUUGCAAUUUAAUUUAAUACAAAAAUUUAUUUGGGGGAGCAUUCAUAUAAUUUAUAAGUUAUGCGCGCAUUAAUCAACACUUUAAGUGAAAAACUAAAAAUUUUAUCCUUAUUACAUGUACACUUUUUAGUGUUAAUCAAAUACGCUAAUUUAAUAAAGGAGUAUCCAUAAUAAUAAUAAUGGGAGGUCGUCAAUUUUCCUCUAUUCAAAUCAAUAUUUACUAAUUACUUUAGUAUUUUUUUAAUAAUAGUCAAUAAUUUUUAAUUAUGUAAUUUUAUAAUAUUAUUCUUAUUUUUAAAUAAAAUUUUAUUCGUAUUUGUUAUAAAUUAAAUGAAUUAUAUAAAUACGAAUUAGAAUAAAAUAUUUAAGUACUAAAAAUAAAAAAUAAAUAUGUUUCAAUUUAAAUAAAAUAUUAAUUAUAAAAUAUUUUCUUGUACUUUUUGUUAUUUUUAAAUAUUUUUCUUAUAAUGAAUGCACAUAUUAUAGCCCCAAGAUAAGUUAUUGAGAAAAUAACUCAUUUACCCCUCUUUUGUUUUAAAUUUUUUGGUGACGAGAGGGUUUUUAGAUAUUAUAAAAUUAAUAAGAAAUAAAUGAUAUAUAUUAGUUCCAAUAGAAAAAAAAAUUAUCAACCUCCUUAAUAAUAAAAGUGACAAAAUAAUGGAAGGCAAAAGAGAUAAAUUGCAUGUUCAUUCUUCUUUUAGAUUCUUUUCUUCUCAACUUUCUAUUUAAACUCUCUUACAUUCUUUACUUCUCAACUUUCUUACAUUUUUUACUUCUCAACUUUCUAUUUAAACUCUUUUAAAUUCUUUUCAUCAAACUCUUUUAGAUUCUUUACUUUUCAACUUUCUAUUGAAACUCUCUUACAUUCUUUACUUCUCAACUUUCUAUUUAAACUCUCUUACAUCCUGUACUUCUCAACUUUCUAUUACAUUCAUUAUUCAAUUUAUAAUUUUCAUACCUUAAAUCCUAAAAUUUAAGUCAAGUCUCUUCCCCUUUCUCAUCUUUGCAUAUGCAACACAAUCUUUUUAGCUCUCCUCUCUUCGCAAGUAAGUAAAAUCUCAGGUCAUCGCGUCAUCUCACGGUUUGUUUUCAUACUUUGCUUUCUCGAAAUUGCCCUUGCCUUUUCCACUCAAUCUCAAUUUCUUUUUUUUUUUUAAUUAUAGACUCGAUUUUCUUUACCUCGGUUUGUAAAUUUUAUCAGAUGUAAUGCAUAAUCAUGGGCGACCCAAUUAAGGCAUAGGAGGGGGUUCAGCCCCUUCUGGGCCAUUAAUUUUUGUUUUAAAUGUACUCCAAGCCCUUUCUAAAAGAAUUAAAUAAAGAAAAUUUAGACACAUUUUUCAUGUAACAAAAAACUUAUAGUUCAAUGGUAAGAGUGUUAUUUAAUAGUUUUAAAGUCCAGAUUCAAAUCUCAAUAGCCACAUUAUUUUAUUUUUUUAAAAUAUUUUGCGAAAACUACUUAGAAAAAUGAUACUUUCAUGCAUUUAAAAUAAAUUGUUUAUUACUAUUAUUAUUUAAAAUUUAAAAGAAAGUAAUGAAAUUUGAGUUUAUGAGACUUAAAAUAUAUUCGUGUGAACAUUUAAAAAAAACCCAAAUUAAAUAAUUUUUUUAACUAAGCCCCCCUAGGUUUGCUACUGUGCAUAAUUGAUCGUCGUCAUUUUUUUUUCAAUGAUUUCAUAAAACAAGCAGAAUUAAAUUAAAAUAUAUAUCAACACAAUUAAUUAAUUAACUAAUGCUGUUUAGAUUCUAUGCUUGAGUAUAUAUCAAUUCAUCAUAUUUUUGUUAAGAUUAUAAAUUUAACUAUAUUGUCGGGGUCUGAAUGAUUUUUAUUUUUUAUUUUUAAUUUUUUUAAUGAAUUUAUUCAUGUUCGGUUGGAUAAUAUUUAAAGUAAUAACAAUUAUAGGUUUUAAUGGAGUGAAAUUGUAAGGGUGUGGUAACUAAAUUUUGUUUCUUAUUGUUUAAUGGUAAAAACUGAAUUCAAAGUGAAGUGGUUUGAUAUUGUAAAUGCAUUGCAGGUAAAUUGAAAUCUUUUUUAUGAUGGGAGGAAGAGUAUUGAUGUCGAUUCGAUGCCUACUUAUCCAUCUAAUGCGGAGCGCACUUUGGUUUUAGUUGGCCGUACUGGCAAUGGCAAAAGUGUGACGGGCAAUAGUAUUCUCGGAAGAAGAGCCUUCAAGUCGAAGGCUGGCUCGUCUGGGGUUACUAAAACUUGUGAAAUGCAGAGAACCAUGCUCAAAGAUGGCCAAGUUGUUAAUGUCAUUGAUACUCCUGGUAAUUUACUAAUGUUGGUGCCCAGAUAUUCCAUUCCAUGCUUGUUGAUGUUGUAGUGGUAAGUAGAUUGAUGUUAUGAGCCAUUGCAGGACUUUUUGAUUCUUCCGCUGACUCUGAGUUUGUCAGCAAGGAAAUUGUCAAAUGUAUUGGUAUGGCCAAGGAUGGGAUCCAUGCAGUCCUUCUAGUUUUCUCUGUUAGAAACCGUUUUUCUGAAGAGGGAGGAGCUGCAAUACACAGUUUGGAGUCCUUGUUCGGGAAAAAAGUUUUUGACUAUAUGAUUGUUGUUUUCACUGGAGGGAAUGAACUUGAAGAUAAUGACGAAACAUUAGAAGAUUACUUGGGUCCUGAGUGUCCAAAGCCUUUAAAGGUUUGUUUAUGAAAGGCAAUAGUUUUCGAUAAUUUCAUUAGUCAUUUUGAUCAAGUUGUCUUUCUUUGGUUCUUUUCUGAAGUUUUAGACUCCUUGAAGGUUGGACUAUUGGAAGUUUAGUAUGAAUAUAAUUUAAGAAUUUGCCUAGUGAAGAGGCAGCUACUGCUUUGUAGCCACUAAUUUUGAUUGGGUCAGUGCUUUUCACUGGAAUUUAUGCAGAGUAUUAUUAUUAUUAUUAUUUUCUGUUAUACGGAAUGCUGAUCACCUUUUAGGAUCUUUAAAUUUGAUGGACGUAAAAGGUUAUUGUAAGUUGUCAAACCAUAAGGAGAAUGGAAUUGAUUAUUAAAAUUUGAUUAUGGCUUGCCCUUAAAUAGUUUUUGAGGAUGCAUGAUAUUAAGUACUAACAAUCACAAUAAAAACAAAUUUUGUCAGCUGAUCAUUUUUCCAUUCUUUUAGGAAAUCCUUCAACUAUGCGAGAAUAGGCGGGUGCUUUUUGAUAACAAGACUAAGGAUGCGGCGACGAGAACUGAGCAGGUUGGGAAGCUUAUUUCUCUGGUUAACUCUGUGAUCUUGCAGAAUGGUGGGCAACCAUAUACAGAUGAAAUCUUUGCUGAGUUGAAGGUGUCUUCAUUAGUAUCGUGAUAGACUUCUGUGCUGCUUCUUUCUGAAUAUGUCAUGAAAAUGUCUCUUUUUCUUUUUUUCUACUCAGAAAGGGGCUACUAAACUCUGUGAUCAACAAGUUGAGGUUGAUUCUCUCAAGGGAUAUUCAAAACGAGAAAUUUCAGAGCUGAAGGAGCAGAUGAAAAAAUCAUAUGAAGAUCAACUCAAACGAAGUAUUGAGAUGGUAUUUUUUAUGGUCCGUGUUUUGACAUCAAAAUAUGACAUGCAUAUGCGUUCAUUUCUCAGAUCGGGUAAUCAUUGCUAAAACUGUGUAAUUAAAAAUACCUAUAAAGCGUGCAGGUACCUCUAAUGAUAUUCUAAAUUGUGAGACUUGGAGGUGGUAAAGACUGCCGCUGUGUACUUACCCCUAGAUUGUUGGAGAUUGCCAUAUGAAAAGAGGCCUUAUCUUGCUAGUUGAUGUGGACAAAUAUGUUAUUAUCUGUUCACUGAUUAUGUUUUGAUGGCUGUAACAUGUUGUUCCUACCUUGAAGAUUGUUUGACUGUCGUGUUCUAUUUUGUUUCUUGAUGUGUUAAGAUAGUCAAAUUGAGAUUAGUCACAUGCUGGUUUAAAUAGUUAGUUAAACGGAAUCUGUUAUACAUGUUGACGUGGCUGCUUAUGUGGCAAAUUAGGUCAGUUACUAGUUCAGCUGUUUUGCAUGUAAACAGAAUGUAGAAUAUUCCAGAUCGUAGUAUAUAAACAUGUGUAACUAAUCAAAUGACAGUAUGAAUAAUAUACAAGUUCUUUCAUCUCUGCUUCUCUGAUUUUCUUUUUCAUUUUCUUAGUAAACAAACAAAUCUAUCAUUCUUAAUUUGGUAUCAGAGCCAGAUCUAAUGGCUGCUUUUAACUCAAAUCAAAAUACAACAUCCUCAUUUACAUUUACCUCGCCAGUUAAACUUGAUAGAACAAAUUACACAAUCUGGAAGUCUCAAAUUCUCACUUCAGUUCGUGCUAAUGGCCUUGAAGAUUUUCUCGACAACUCAAAACCUUGUCCAGAACAAUUCUCAUCUGAUGGAGUUAUAAAUUCUGAUUCUGAUGCAACUGAGAUCACUGCUGCUGAAGGAGUACGAGAGAAUCCAGCCUUUGCUAUCUGGAAACGAAAAGAUCAGAUGCUGCUGAGUUGGCUGAUGUCUGCUAUUAGUCUAGAGAUUCUCAGUCUGGUGGUAAAUUCUAAAACCUCACUUGAAAUUUGGAUUAGUCUUGAACAACAGUUUGGAUCUGAAACUUUUGCUAAAAAGGUGCAUCUGAAAAUUAUGCUUAACAAUCUUAGAAAAGGAGCUAUGUCCAUGACUGAAUUUUUUGGAAAACUAAAGACAGUUACUGAUGAACUUGCUGUGGCUGGCAGUCCUGUUAGUUCACUAGAUUUUCUUACUCAUUUGAUCAGUGGAUUAGGCCAGCCUUAUUAUCCAGUGGUAGUAUACAUUGAGGCAAAUCUUGCUAAGAUGUCUAUAAAUGAAGCCUAUUCUAUGCUCCUGACUCAUGAGGCUAGAUUAGAGGCUAAUCAGUUGAACUCUAGUAAAGAAGCUAAAAUGAAUUUUGCAGCUAAUGUUGCUCAAACUGGACAGAACACUAAAUCUGGACAGUAUAAUGCUAAUUGGAACAAAAAUCAAAAUGGUAAUGGUAAUAGAGGCAGAGGAGGUUUUGGUAGAGGUUUUUCACAGGGUCAAGUAAGAUGAAAUUGGAAUGGUAAUUGGAAUAAUGGCUGGAAUGGAGCAUCACCUGGUAACUAUCAAGGCAGAGGUGGUUUUGGUUCUGGAAAUGGAAAUUUUGCAAAACCUGGUGGUUUUCCUAAUAGUAAUGGGAGAGGUAGUUCUGAUCCUAACUCUGCUGGAGUAAUCUGUCAAAUCUGUUUCAAACCUAAGCACACUGCAGCUGAGUGUAGAAAUAGGUUUAAUAGAGAGUUCAUACCUUUCAACUCUUCAUUUGGAUAUAACUCAUAUCAAUAUCAAGUACCAAGACCUGCAUAUGCUAACUCAGCACCUAGAGCUGCUUUUGUGGCUGCCUCUGAAGGUGAUUUUGCUGAUCAAGGGUGGUACAUAGACAGUGGUGCAACUCAUCACCUCACCAACAAUCUACAGAAUCUGAGUCUUGCAAAGGAAUACUCAGGUAAUCACUUGUUGCAUGUUGGCAAUGGUCAAGGGCUGCAUAUAUCACAUGUUGGUUACACUGAUCUUCAUACAUCAUUAGACUCCAUCUUACACUUAAAAGAUAUUUUGUUUGUUCCUCACCUUACCAAAAAUCUUAUAAGCAUCUCAAAGCUACUUGAAAACAACAAUUUAACUAUUGAAUUUGUUGCCAAUAUGUGUUUCAUUAAGGACCAGAAGAAGGGAGUGCAUCUUGCUCAAGGGAUUGCUAGAGGAGGGCUAUAUCAGUUACUGUCAAAAAAGGAUUUCAUUUCCAGUUCUCACAGUCCUUCUCAGAUUCCUAGUUCCAUGCUUUCUGUUUUGAAUAAUUCAGCUUGUAAUCUCUUAGAUGAAACUACAAAUAAAACCUGUACAAACAAUAUUUUGUCUGCAAAUUUGUUGCACCAAAGGUUUGGUCAUCCAAGCAAACAUGUGUUAAAAUGUAUUCUAUCUUCUCUUUCCCUUCCUUGUCCAACAUCAAUACUUGAUUUUUGUGAUGCUUGUCAAUAUGGUAAAAUCCAUCAGUUCCCUUUUUACUCAACAGGAAUAAAAACAAAAGCUCCUUUAGAGCUAGUCCAUACUGAUCUCUGGGGUCCAGCACCCAUGCUUUCACUACAGGGUUAUAGAUACUACAUAAGCUUUGUAGAUGAUUAUAGUAGGUAUUGUUGGAUUUUUCCUUUAACCCUCAAAUCUGAAGCCUUAGCUACUUUCAAACACUUCAAAACCCUUGUUGAGAAACAAUUUGAUCAUCCUUUAAAGUCACUACAAUCUGAUUGGGGAGGUGAAUACAGAAAUUUUGUACAUUUCCUUCAAGAAGAAGGCAUAGAGUUUAGACAUAGUUGCCUCAUACACAUCACCAAAAUGGUGUGGUAGAGAGGAAGCAUCGCCAUAUUGUAGAAACAUGGCUGACUUUACUUGCUCAGGCAAAAAUGCCCUUAUCUUUUUGGUGGGAAUCAUUUCAUACAGCUUCUUUUCUUAUCAAUAGGUUGCCAACACCUGUUUUGAAUAAUACUUCUCCUUAUACCAAGCUCUAUGGCAGAAAGCCUGAUUACCAUUUCCUCAAAACCUUUGGCUGUUCAUGCUUUCCUUUUCUCAGACCUUACAGUCAGCACAAGUUUAACUUUCAUACACGAAAAUGUCUCAUGAUUGGUUAUAGCCCUCUUCACAAAGGCUAUAAGUGUCUUGAUUCUACUGGCAAAACUUAUAUUGCCAGACAUGUUAAGUUUAAUGAAUCUGAAUUUCCAUACUCCAAUCUUUUUCCUUCAUCAGAUUCAAAUGUGUCCUCAGUUCAGCAAAGUCAUUUUUCUAGUCCAUUCAUUUCUUCCAACAUCCUACUCAAUGACAGUAGCUGUGCACAGCCUUCUCUACAUCCUCCAGCUCAGGAUGCAGGCCCUGAUUCAGGUAUCUUACAGACACUCUCCUCAUCUCAUUCUUCAGACACCUCUUCAUGCAGUACACCACAUCAACCAUCUCUUUCUAUUCAGUUACCAUCAGUAUCUACUCUUGCACCUCAACCAACUCAAAAUAUCCAUCCCAUGCUCACCAGAUCCAAAGCUGGUGUUUUUAAGCCCAAAACUUACUUGGCUGUUACUCAACACCUUGAACCACAUUCAGUUAAAGCAGCAUUGGCUGAUUUCAAGUGGAAACAAGCUAUGCAGGCUGAGUUUGAUGCCUUGCAGAAAAAUAGCACCUGGAUUUUAGUUCCUAGAGAAAAAGCUGGAAAAAUUGUUGGCAACAAAUGGGUUUUCAGGGUGAAGUAUAACCCUGAUGGUAGUAUAUCCAAGUAUAAAGCAAGGUUGGUGGCCAAAGGCUUCCAUCAAACACAAGGAGUAGACUUCUUUGAAACAUUUAGUCCAGUUGUAAAGCCUUGCACAAUAAGAAUCAUUCUGAGUCUUGCUGUCAUGAAUCACUGGCCAAUUCGACAGCUGGACAUUAAUAAUGCUUUCCUUAAUGGCAUUCUUACUGAAGAGGUCUUUAUGCAUCAGCCUGAAGGUUUCAUUCAUCCUCAAUUUCCAUCUCAUGUCUGUAAGCUUACCAAAGCUCUCUAUGGUCUUAAGCAAGCUCCAAGAGCUUGGUAUGACCGAUUGAAACUCUCUCUGUUGAAUUGGGGUUUCAUUGCUUCAAAAUCUGACACUUCAUUGUUCAUUUUUCACAAAGCAGGGGAUAUAGUUGUUAUUUUAGUUUAUGUGGAUGACAUCUUGGUGACUGGUUCUAAUGUUCAGCUUGUUGAAAAAGUUAUUCAGCAUUUAAGCUCAGAGUUUGCUUUGAAGGAUCUGGGGGAAUUCAACUACUUUCUUGGUCUUGAGGUUACACCUUCAGUUGAAGGUUUACAUCUUUGUCAAACAAAAUAUGUAGGUGAUAUUCUUAAGAAAGCACAGAUGAUUGAGAGCAAAGGCUGUUCCACUCCAAUGAGUUCUACAGAGAAGCUAGUCAAAGGCAAGGGUCUUUCUUUUGAAAAUCCCUCUCUCUAUAGAAGUAUAGUUGGCUCAUUACAGUAUCUUACUCUUACUAGACCUGAGAUUGCCUUCACUGUAAAUAAGCUAAGUCAGUUUCUUGCCAAUCCAUCAGUGCUUCAUUGGCAAGCAUGUAAAAGAGUUCUGAGAUAUUUGCAAUGUACAGCUGAUCUUGGUUUAUAGUUUUAUGCCUCUGGUUCACUCACACUUUCAGCCUUCUCAGAUGCUGAUUGGGGCUCAGAUUUAGAUGAUAGAAAGUCAGUUGGGGGAUAUUGCAUUUAUCUGGGGAAUAAUCUGAUCUCAUGGUCAUCUAAGAAACAACCUAUAGUCUCAAGAAGCACAGCUGAGUCAGAAUACAGAGCAUUAGCAUUGGCUGUCUCUGAAACUUUGUGGAUCACUUACUUGCUGCAAGAGUUGAAAGUACCUUUAUUACAAACUCCAGUUAUCUACUGUGAUAACAAGAGUGCAGAAGCUUUAGCAAGUAACCCCAAGUAUCACUCCAGAACCAAACAUAUUGAGUUAGAUUUACACUUCAUUCGGGAUCAUAUAGCUCAGAAAGAACUGCAGAUCAGUCAUGUUCCCAGCUAUGAUCAAGUGGCAGACAUUUUUACAAAACCUUUAGCUUUUGAUCAAUUUAACUAUCUCAGGUCCAAGCUCAAUGUGCUUACACGACCUUGAGCUUGAGGGAGGCUGUUAAGAUAGUCAAAUUGAGAUUAGUCACAUGCUGGUUUAAAUAGUUAGUUAAACGGAAUCUGUUAUACAUGUUGACGUGGCUGCUUAUGUGGCAAAUUAGUUCAGUUACUAGCUCAGCUGUUUUGCAUGUAAACAGAAUGUAGAAUAUUCCAGAUCGUAGUAUAUAAACAUGUGUAACUAAUCAAAUGACAGUAUGAAUAAUAUACAAGUUCUUUCAUCUCUGCUUCUCUGAUUUUCUUUUUCAUUUUCUUAGUAAACAAACAAAUCUAUCAUUCUUAAUUUGAUGAAAUUAAGUGUUUCUUGAUGAAAUGUUCUAAUGAUUGUCCACUGAUUCUGUUUUGUUUGCUCAUCAUGACUUGCACUUAAGAAUGGAUUCUGCACUUGUUUAGUCAUCAAUCUUUAGAACAUUUCUUGUAAUACUGUAGAUCCUGUUUUGUUGCUAGGAAUUAUGCACUCCUGAAUCUGUGGGAACAAUUGAAAUGUUAUAACUUAUAAGCAAGUUAUGUCAUAUUCUAAAUUUGUUAAAAACUGAAUAGGCAUAUUCAAAAUAAUUUUUUAUGAAAAAUGUAGUUAGGCACAUGGAACCUAAUAAAAAAGCUGCGUAGUUUUGAUUUUCCUUUUCACAGUUUUAAUUUAUAGCAAGGCAGUAGAAUGAUUCGGCAUUAAGCCUGAUCCUAUUCAACAAUAAUCUGGAUUUGCUGUAACAUUCUGUGUAAUAACUAUAUGUCUGAGCUGUUAAUACGUUUCACUCUCCACAUUCCUGAAGUGUGGCAAAAUGAAAAGUUUAGUAGAUUCUUUAAUGCCUUAUAUUUUGUGUUUAUCUGUUUAUUUUUUUAAGUUUUUGUCUCUACCAUUUAUCAAAGAUUGAAAGAGUGGAAUUGAUUGACGUAAGAAAGUUUUGCCAAGUAUGGUGAACUUAGCAACUCCCUUUGCAAUUGGAUUUUUAGAUAUUAUGAAAUCCGUAAGAAAUAAGUGAUAUGUAUUAGUUCCAAUAGAAAAAAAAAUUAACAACCUCCUUAAUAAUAAAAGUGACAAAAUAAUGAAAGGCAAAAGAGAUAAAUUGCAUGUUCAUUUAUCUUUUAAAUUCUUUUCUUCUCAACUUUCUAUUUAAACCCUUUUAAAUUCUUUUCUUCUCAACUUUCUAUUUAAACUUUCUUACAUUCUUUACUUCUCAAAUUUCUAUUGAAACUCUUUUACAUUCUUUUCUUCUCAAUUGUCUGUUUAAACUCUCUUACAUCCUUUACUUCUCAACUUUCUAUUACAUUCAUUAUUCAAUUUAUAAUUUUCAUACCUUAAAUCCUAAAAUUUAAGUCUAGUCUCUUCCCCUUUCUCAUCUCUUCAAAUGCAACGCAAUCCCUGCAGCUCUCCUCUCUUCACAAGUAAGUAAAAUCUUAGUUGAUUGCAUCAUCUCAAAGUUUGUUUUCAUACUUUGCUUUCUCCAAAUUGCCCUCGCCUUUUCCUCUCAAUCUCAAUUUCUGGUUUUUUAUUAUAGACUCGAUUUUCUUUACCUCGGUUUGUAAAUUUUAUUGGAUGUAAUGCAUAAUCAUGGGCGACCCAAUUAAGGCCCAGGAAGGGCUUCAGCCCCUUUUGAGCCAUUAAUUUUUCUUUUAAAUGUUGCCCACGCCCCUUUUAAAGGAAUGAAAUAAAAAAAUUUGGACACAUUUUUUAUGUAACAAAAGACUUACAGUUCAAUGAUAAGAGUGUUAUUUGAUGGUUUUAAAGUCCUGGUUUAAAUCCCAAUAGCCACAUUAUUGUUUUUUAAAUAUUUGGGAAAACUAUUUAGAAAAAUGAUACUUUCAUGCAUUUAAAAUAAAGAGUUUAUUACCAUUAUUAUUUAAAAUUUAAAAGAAAGUAAUGAAAUUUGAGUUUAUGAGAUUUAAAAUGUAUUUGUAUGAACAUUUGAAAAAAAACCCCAAAUUAAAUAAAAUGUUUUGAACUAAGCCUUCUAAUUUAAGUAUCUCGGUCCGCCACUAUGCAUAAUUGAUUGUUGUCUUUUUUUUUUCAAUAAUUUCGUAAAACAAGCAGAAUUAAAUUAAAUUAUACAUCAACAUAAUUAAUUAAUUAACUGAUGCUGUUUAGAUUUUGUGCUUGAAUAUAUAUCAAUUCAUCAUAUUUUUAUUAAGAUUAUAAAUUUACACUAUGUCGUCGGGGUCUGAAUGAUUUUUAUUUUUAAUAUUUUUUUAUGAAUUUAUUCAUGUUCGGUUGGAUAAUAUUUAAAGUAAUAGCAAAUAUAAGUUUUAAUGGAGUGAAAUUGUAAGGGUAUGGUAACUAAAUUUUCUUUCUUAUUGUUUAAUGAUAAAAAGUGAAUUCAAUGUGAAGUGGUUUGAUAUUGUAAAUCCAUUGCAGGUAAAUUGAAAUUUUUUUAGGAUGGCAGAAAGAGUGAUUGAUGGCGAUUGGAAGCCUACUUCUCCAUCUAAUGGGGAGCGCACAGUGGCUUUACUUGGCCGUACUGGCAAUGGCAAAAGUGCGACGGGCAAUAGUAUUCUCGGAAGAAAAGCCUUCAAGGCGAGUGCUGGCUCGUCUGGUGUUACUAAAACUUGUGAAAUGAAGACAACCGUGCUCAAAGAUGGCCAAGUUGUUAAUGUCAUUGAUACCCCCGGUAAUUUACUAAUGUUGAUGCCUAGAUAUUCCAUUCCAUGCUUGUUGAUGUUGUGGUGGCAAGUAGAUUGAUGUUAUGAGCCAUUGCAGGACUUUUUGAUGCUUCCGCUGGCUCUGAGUUUGUCGGCAAGGAAAUUGUCAAGUGUAUUGGUUUGGCCAAGGGUGGGAUCCAUGCAGUCCUUGUAGUUUUCUAAAAAGGCUACAAGAUUUAAUGAACAUUAAUUAUUACCCUUUUCUGCAAGAACUCAAUUUCAACUAGCAGCAUUUCAUGUUGUUGCACAAAACAGGAAACAGACAAAGCAACAAAUUAUUUUCAAACAUAAAUUACAUAUACUGAACGUAUAUCGAUAAAGUUUAUGCAAUGUAUUGUUGCAAAACAAUGAUGUAUUGCUCAAAUUCAAUUAUUAUUAUUUUUCAUCGAUUUCAUGCAUGCAUAAUGCAAUUAAUUAGUUACCUUCUUGGACCUGAUCCUCGUGAUGCCUCACUCAAGCCUAUUCUCCAGUUGCUUAAGCUCCUUUACAGUUAAAGAACUUAGAGAAUCACGCAUCAAAUGCCUAUAUGAAGAGUCAAGAGUGAGAUAACCAAUUGAAAAUUCAAUUGAAAUUGUAUAUUUUGGCAUAAUUAAUUAACUAUGCUUAAUAUGAAAAUGAUUGUGGAUGAAAUAAUUGAAAAUACCUGUUAGAAUUCUGUAAUAUUUGAAUUUGCUACCGCAGCUUCACUGAUUCCUGCUGAUAGUACCGUUUUCAUGGGUCACAUGUAAUUGGAGAAGUUAAUUUUUUUUUGGGAACUUUAUAUUUCAAUGCUAGCUAUGUGGUAACAAAUGGUAAUUAGUUGGUUUUUUCUUUUUUCUAUUUUUUUCACCUUUUCAUAAUAAUAUAUAUUCCUAGCAAAGCCUGAAUUUAUAGUUUUAAUUAAUGAAUUACUUACAUGAGCAUUGAUCUCAGUAAUAGUGCUAGAAUUUAUUAAUUCUGUAGCUUAAAUUGCAUACAUUUAUACACACACACACACACUAAGAACAACAGUUAUAUUCAUCAAAUUCAUCUCAAAAUAACUAACUAACUAGAUAGCUCAGCUUCUUUUCUUUCCAACUGAAUUUCUGCACUUGGUACAUUCUUAGCUGGCUUAGCAAUAACGUUCAAGAACUCCAGAUAAUCCGGGUCUUUAUUAUCCACAUGAAAACCAAAUAUGGCUUAUUACUAUAGUACUUCUAAAAAAAAUAAGAAGAUAAAGAAAACAAAGGUAUUCUUGUAAUUGCUGUGCUUUUACUUAACUUUGAAAUUUAGCAACUUAAGUGUACGGUAAAAGCCACAUCUCUUCAACCCCAAAAGUACCCUAACUUUUUUUAAAUAAAAAGAAGGGAAAAUAUCCACCGUCCACCCGUUUUUUACACCUUUUUCAAAAAUUCACAAUUCAUUCAUUUUUUGGCUGGAAUCCACCUAAAGUUACAUUUUGUUUCACUUUUCCACUUCCGUUUGGAAUCCGUUAAGAAAACUAACGGAAACUUAAAAACAUGACCAUUUUACCCUCAAAAUGAAAAUUACAAUUUCACCCUAAAAAUGUCAAAAAUAAUAAGAUUUAAUGAUGAAUAUCAUUAUUGGUACGUUAAUGAAGUACAAAAAAAUCUUAACUACUAGAGAUUAUAACUCAAUGAAUAAUAAAACUCUACUUAUCUUAAAUUUAAUUGAUGGUUUAUGAGAUUGAGCUAUUUUUAAUAUUACUAUUAUAAUUUAACAUUCUAAUUACAGACAUAUUUAAAAAAAAAACUUGCAUUUGAUGGUUGUGGAAUUAAUUUCUUUAUUGACCGAUGGGGAAAAUAAUUAGAUUUAAUCUGAUUAUUUUUGGCAAUUUUUAAGGUGAAAUUGUAAUUUUCGUUUUGGGGGUAAAAUGAUCAUUUUUUAAAAUUUCCGUUAGUUUUCUUAACGGAUUCCAAACGGAAAUGGAAAAGUGAAACAAAAUGUAACUUUAGGUGGAUUCCAGCCAAAAAAUGAAGGAAUUGUGUAUUUUUAAAAAAGGUGUAAAAAACGGGUGGACGAUGGAUAUUUACCCUAAAAAGAAUUACCUUUACAUUGGUGCCUUCAUGGCUACCCUUUCUAUAACAAGGCUUGGGAACACGUUGAGAUGGAGCAUACUCAACAAUAGCCUUAAAUUGAGCCCAUAAUCGAGAACCCAAUAACACAUAAAAUUAACCAAAAAAAAAGUGCCCUUUUCAUUUAAAACAACAUAAACCUAUUGAUAACUCUAGGAAAUGAGAGCUAUUACAUCAAUUCUAGACUUAAAUCAAGAUCACUUAGAGAACAAAUGAGGUGUUUUUAUUACAUUUUUGUUAUAUUUUGCAUAAACAUUCAUUUUAGUUAAGUUUUAAUAUGUUUUGUUUGAAUCAAAGUAAUUGGUGCUAAAAACAGGUGCAUAAUUGUAGGUUUUCAGAAAGUCUUAAUUCAUGAGAGGAUGGUGAGACAGUGGAUGACCAAGAGGAGGAAAGAAGAUAGCCGCAAAAGAAGUAAAGCACAAUCGGGAAUAGUGCAGUGUUAUAGCGGAUGUUAGAGCAAUCAGUGCUAUAGCAAUCUGGGAGCAAUGCGGGAGAAAAUUUAGGCGCAGUUCAGCUGCAUAAUCACGAUUUGAAUGUUUCCUAAUUUAACUCAUGCACGCCUAUGGACUUUUGUUUUACUCUAGUUUGCAGUAUAAAAAAGAGGCAUGCACCACAUAGAAAGGCGGCAAGGGAAUUAUCAUAAAAAUAAUUAGAGAGAAAAAAAGAAGAAGAUCGAAAUUGAAGAGUGCUGUUUCAGCAACAUUGAAGAAUCUUGCAGAAUUAUUCGGAUUUGUCUUUCACUAUGCUCAACUUAUAUUUAUUUUCUUCCUUUGACUGUUCUAAUGUAUCCCGUGAACAACAUAUUUAUGUUCGUUUUUCUUAUUCAGAAUAUGAACUAGAUUUGCUUGUAGUUGAGUGACAAACAAUCCAAUGAGUUCUUGAUUGUUCUUAUAUGUUGUUAUGUCAUUGCUGUAGCAUUAUACUCUAGUAGUUAUUAUUAAUAUAACUGUUAUUUCAGUUAAGAUAGAGCAGCAAAAAGGCAUGUCUUAGCGGAUAUUAUUAGAGUAUUACUUGAUCUUAAGUUAAGUUUCCUGGAUUAAGUUAUCUUGAAUCCCAUAAGGGCAAGUUAAGAUUUGUGACACAUUAGACAUAGGUGCUCACCUUGUAGGGUGGAGAGAUAAAAAGGAUCAUAAAGCCAUAUCAUGAGUAGAUUAGCAACUAGUUAUUGCUAGUGUAUUUGAGGGUAUGAGAGUUCCAAUAUGCUACAGUUGAGGAUGCAAAUUAAUUCCGCCCAGUGCUGCAGCACUUGCCGUGACAAUUGGAGUCAACUUGAUGAAAAACAAUCAGCCCAUAAGGAGUGUUUGAUCAUUCAACUACCACAUUCUCACUUGAAUCUUAGACACAUUUAGUUUAGUUUAUUUCAUUGCGGUUUUGUUUAUUUUAUUCUCUCACAAUCAUUAAUUAUGAUAUAACACAUUUUACGUUUGUUAACUUCAGAUUUGAAUUAGUUUGCACUAUUGUGAUUGCUACAACAUUUCUGGUAACAUCAAUCCAUGUGGAGACGAUCUUGAAUACUUAUCACUUUAUUACUUGUUGUGUACACUUGCACAUUGACACCAAUAGUAUUUGAUUAUAAAAUCAACCAACAAGUUUUUGGCGCCGUUACCGGGGAUUGAUUGUUUAUUUUUGAAAUGUGAAGUAAAUCUUGAUAGCACCAAAUUUGAUUUAAUUCAUUCUAUUUAUUGGCAGAUCAAUGCUUGCAUGCGCAAAGACAGAUAUAUGAUAUUUCAGUUCGAUCCUGAGAUUGAAAGGACUGUUAGAAGAUUGCGAAGAGAACAAAGGAAGUAAACUCCUCAAGUUGAACCCUCACGGGCCCUUACAAUCAGUUAACAUUCAAGAAGAGCAGAAUGAACAUGCUAACGAGAGACAGCUAUACAAUAACAAUAUUAUUUACAUGGCUGGUGACAGAGACAGAGAUAUUAGAGAUUAUGCUGUGUUAACUCCUCAAGUUGUACACCUUGGGAUAAUCAGACCUGAAGUAGAAGCUGUAAAUUUUUAGUUGAAGCCAGUGAUGUUUCAAAUGUUGCAAACAAUUGCUCAAUUCAAUGGAUUACCAAAUGAAGAUCCUCAUCUCCAUCUUAAGUUGUUCUUGGAAGUGAGUGAUGCUUUCAAAAUUGCUGGAGCAACACAAGAUGCCUUAAGGCUGAGGCUUUUUCCUUAUUCCUUAAGAGAUCAAGCAAGAGCAUGGUUAAAUUCGUUACCAUAUGAUUCCAUCACUAUAUGGAAUGAGUUGGCUAAUGAAUUCCUAAUGAAAUAUUUUCCACUGACAAAAAAUGCAAAGUUACGGCAUGAGAUAACUUAUUUCCAUCAACUUGAAGAUGAAAGUUUGUACGAGGCUUGGGAAAGAUUCAAAGAACUUCUCAGAAGGUGUCCUCAUCAUGGCAUUCCUUGUUGCAUUCAAUUGAAAACUUUCUACAAUGGGUUGAAUCCAAGUACAAGGUUGAGCGUGGAUGCUUCAGUAAAUGGAGCCCUUUUAUCCAAAUCUUACACUAAAGCUUAUGAAAUUAUGGAGAGAAUUGCCAAUAAUAAUUAUCAGUGGCCAUCAACCAGGUAACCAGCAGCAAGAGGAUCAGCAAAUGUACAUAACAUAGAUGCAAUUACAGCCUUAUCAGCACAAGUAACCUCAUUGACUAACAUGGUAAAGGCCAUGACAUCUGCUCCAGCAGUAGUGAAGCAAGUUGCUAAACUUUCUUGUGUAUACUAUGGUGAAGGACAUGACUUUGAUAAUUGUCCUGGAAAUCCAGCAUCAGUAAACUAUGUGGGUAAUUUCAAUUGACAGCCUCAGAACAACCCAUAUUCAAAUACUUACAACCCUGGAUGGAAACAACACCCAAAAUUCUCAUGGAGCAGUCAGAAUCGAAAUGCUCCAACAAUAAAUGGACAAAAUAGGAACACUCAACCAUCUGGAUUUUAUCAGUAGUGUCAGGGGCAAAAACAUAGCAGUCAGGAUCCAAUCAUUUCACUGGAAGCAUUGAUUAAAGAGUACUUUGCAAAGAAUGAAGCAAUUGUACAGAGUCAAGUUGUAUCAUUGAGGAACCUGAAAAAUCAAAUGGGACAACUUGCUACAGCAAUGAGUAGCAGGAUUCAAGGAAGUUCACCUAGCAACACAGAAAACCCUAGAAGAGAGGGCAAAGAACACUGUAAAGCAAUUAAUUUGAGAUCUGAAAAAAAUGUUGACAUCCCAGUUGAUGUGACUAACAAGGAUAAGAAAGUUAAUUCCUCACAAAAACCACCUCAAGAUGGAAGCAUGUUACAACAGCCCAACCAUCAAAACACUGGUUACAUGGGCCAAACUACAACUACAGCAGAGGGAAUUCAAUUAGAACAUGUUGAAAAAGAAGUUGCAACACCAGUAAUCACGACCUAUAUCAAACCAAACAAACAGAGUUUGGUACUUCCUGAAGCUACCCAGCAGUUUAGACACCCACCACCUUUCCCAUAGAGAUUCCAGAAGCAAAAACAAGAUAAGCAGUUCAGUAAAUUCCUAGAAGUGCUGAAGCAAUUACACAUAAAUAUACAUUUCGUGGAAGCCUUGGAGCAAAUGCCAAAUUAUGUGAAAUUUCUAAAAGACAUCUUGGCACGAAAGAGAAGGCUGGGAGAGUUUGAAACUAUUGCUUUAACACAGGAAAGUAGUCAUAUGCUCUAAAGUAAGAUUCCUACAAAAGUUAAAGAUCCAGGAAAUUUUACAGUACCAUGCUCUAUAAGAACUAGAUAUGCUGGCAAAGCACUUUGUGACUUAGGAGCUAGUAUUAGUUUGAUGCCAUUAUCUAUAUUUAAGCAGUUGGGAGUAGGGGAAUGCAGACCAACGACAGUUACUCUGCAAUUAGCUGACAAAUCUCAUGCAUAUCCUGAAGGAAAAAUUGAGGAUGUACUGGUGAAGGUGGACAAAUUCAUCUUCCCAGUAGACUUCAUUGUAUUGGACUUCGAAGAUGAUAAAGAGGUGCCCAUUAUACUUGGAAGACCUUUUCUAGUAACUGGAAAGACUUUGAUAGAUGUGCAGAAAUGAGAGCUCACCAUGAGAGUAAAUGAUCAGCAAGUCACAUUUAAUGUACUAGAGGCUAUGAGAAGUCCUGAUGAAGUAGAAGAUUGCAAUUUCCUAAGUGUUGUGGAUUUUGUUAUAGCAGACAGAAUGGACAGAUGCUGCAGUAAUGAAAUCAACAAAGUCACCACCUUUGAGGAUGUAGAAGUGGAAAAUGUUGCAGCAAAUCGAAUAAAUUGGAUGGAAGAAAAGAAAUUUGAUAGGCACAAUAGGUUUAUUGAGCAUCUGAACUUUCAGACAGGGAAGUAAAAACAACUUUACCAUCUACUGAAUCAACUCCUAGUCUUGAGUUAAAAUUAUUACCUUCGCAUUUAAAGUAUGUUUAUCUUGGUCAAAACAACACACUCCCUGUGAUCAUUUCUUUUACUUUGGAUGCAGGUCAAGAACAUAGUUUAGUAGAUUUGCUGGGAAAAUACAAAAGAGCAUUAGGAUGGACCAUGGUAGACAUCAAGAGGAUAAGCCCAUCAAUAUGCACGCAUAAAAUCCUGUUAAAAGAUUGCUAUAGCAAUUCAGUGGAGCACUAGAGAAGGUUGAACCAUAUUAUGAAAGAAGUGGUGAAGAAGGAAAUUAUCAAAUGGUUAGAUGCUGGAAUCAUACACCCAAUAUCAGACAGUUCGUGGGUGAGUCCAGUUCAAUGUGUUCCAAAGAAAGAAGGGAUAACUGUGAUAACUAAUGAGAGAGAUGAACUUAUUCCUACAAGGACAGUGACUGGAUGGAGAGUAUGUAUGGAUUACAGGAAGCUCAACAAAGCUACAAGGAAAGACCACUUCCCACUCCCAUUCAUAGGUCAGAUGUUGGACAAACUUGCUGGAAAAUAAUACUAUUGUUUCCUAGAUGGGUAUUCAGGUUACAACCAGAUUGCUAUAGCUCUAGAAGAUCAGGAAAAGACUACAUUUACUUGUCCUUAUGGAACAUUUGCCUUCAGAAGAAUGCCUUUUGGGUUGUGCAAUGCUCUAGCAACUUUUCAGAGAUGCAUGAUGUCUAUUUUUUCUGAUAUGGUUGAGCAAACUUUAGAAGUUUUCAUGGAUGACUUUUCAGUUUUUGGAGAGACAUACAAUGAUUGUUUACACAACUUAAAAAAAGUUCUUAAAAGAUGUGAGAUAACUAACUUAGUACUCAAUUGGGAAAAGUGCCAUUUCAUGGUGCAAGAAGGAAUAGUGUUGGGUCAUAAGGUGUCCAAGAAAGGCAUUGAGGUAGACAAAGCUAAGAUAGAUGUAAUAGAUAAACUGCCACCCCCCACUUCAAUAAAGGGUAUAAGGAGUUUUUUGGGUCAUGCUGGAUUUUAUAGAAGAUUCAUUAAUGAUUUUUCCAAGGUAGCUAAACCAUUAUGCUCAUUGCUGGAACAGGACAAGCCCUUUUACUUUGACAAAGAUUGUCAUCAAGCAUUUGGAGAAUUAGAGAAAGCUCUGAUUACUGCUCCAGUAGCUAUAUCUUCAGACUGGAUGUUAUCAUUUGAAUUGAUGUGUGAUGCUAGUGAUCAUUUUAUUGGAGCAGUAUUAGGCCAAAGAAAGGAUAAGGUUUUUCACUCCAUAUACUAUGCAAGCAAAAACUCUUACUCAAAUUCAAAUCAAUUACACCACUACAAAGAAAGAGUUGCUAGCAAUAAUAUUUGCUUUUGACAAAUUCAGAGCCUACUUGGUAGGUACUAAAGUGACUAUAUACAUAGACCAUGCAGACAUCAAAUAUUUAAUUUCAAAGAAGGAUGCCAAACCAAGGUUAAUCAGAUGGAUCUUAUUGCUUCAGGAGUUUGAUCUAAAAAUUAAAGAUAGAAAAGGGACUGAAAAUCAAGUAGCAGACCACCUGUCACGGUUGGAAGCAGAUACAAGUACAUUGAUAAGAAAGGACAUCACUGAAACUUUUCCUGAUGAAUAGUUGUUAGUAGUACAACAAGCACAGAUGCUGCAAUAGUCAGGAUCUCCAUGGUAUACAGAUUUUGCCAACUACUUGUUAAGUGGAUUGCUACCAACUGAGCUGAAGUUCCAAGAGAAAAAGAAAUUUUUUCAUAAUGUAAGAAGUUAUCAGUAGGAUGACCCACAUUUAUACAAGCUGUGCUCAGAUCAAGUAAUACGAAGAUAUGCUUCAGAAGGAGAAAUUCCCCACAUCCUGAAGUCAUGCCAUGCUGCAACAUAUGGAGGACAUUUUGGUGGUCACAGAACAGCUACUAAAGUUCUGCAAUCAGGUUAUUACUGGUCUUCUAUUUUUAGAGAUGCUUAUGAAUUUGUUAAAUGUUGUGACAAGUGUCAAAGGACAUGGAAAAUAACUAAAAGACAUGAAAUGCCAUUGACCAACAUUUUGGAAAUGAAAGUUUUUUAUAUAUGAGGAAUAGAUUUCAUGGGACCUUUUCCACCAUUCUUUGGGAACUUGUAUAUCCUUGUUGCUGUGGAUUAUGUCUCCAAGUGGGUAGAGGCUGCAGCAUUACCUACCAAUGAUGCUAAAACAGUAGUGGCUUUUCUUCAGAAAAACUUUUUUUCCAGGUUUGGCACUCCUAGAGCAAUUAUUAGUGAAGAGGGUACUUAUUUUUGCAACAAAGUCUUUGCUACAGUUAUAGUAAAAUAUGGAGUCAGACACAAGGUAGCAAUAGCAUAUCACCCACAGUCCAAUAGUCAGGCUGAAGUGUCCAACAGAGAAAUUAAAAAGAUCUUAGAAAAAGUUGUGAAUCCAACAAGGAAUGAUUGGUAUUUGCAGUUACAUGACUCUGUAUGGGCCUACAUAACAGCAUACAAAACUCCACUUGGCAUGUCUCCUUACCGAAUUGUUUAUGGGAAUGCUUGUCAUUUGCCACUAGAGCUAGAGCAUAAAGCACACUGGGCAUUGAAGAAAUUAAAUUGGGACAUUCAUACUGCAGCAGAGCAAAGAAAGCUUCAACUUUGUGAGCUUGAUGAAUUACGACUAUUUUCAUAUGAAAAUGCUAGAAUCCAUAAAGAAAGGAAAAAACACUAGCACGACAAGCAUAUUCAACACAGGCAGUUUAGCCCUAUUUAACUAGUGCUGUUCUACAAUAUAAGACUAAGAUUAUUUCUAGGGAAGCUUAAAUCACGAUGGUCUGGAUCUUUUAGGCUGUUAAAAUUUUACCCUCAUGGAGCUGUUGAUCUUCUAGAUGAACAAACAGGUCACGAAUUUAAAGUUAAUGGACACAGGGUUAAGCAUUACAUACACCCAGCGACAGAGUUUUCAAAGGAGAUUUUACUCUUUAAAGAACCCAACUAUUGAGCAGUGAAAGAAGGUCAGACUGAAGGACCUUAAAUCAAGCGCUCCAUAGGAGGCAACCCAUUAUGGAGAUAGCCACUUCAAACCAACUUUGAUCAUCUUUGGUUUUGUUGACUGUUCUCCCUCUCUUCUAUUUUAUUUAAUCUUGUUCUUCAAUUCAAGUUACUUAGUUUAAUCUUUUCACAUUAUUGCAUUUUUUUAUGUUGCUAUCAUUUGAUCUCUUUAUUUUUUAUUAUGUUUUUAGAAUUGGUGUUAGUUUUUGUGGUAAGUAUGAGUGGCAUUAGCUUUCCAUUUUAACCAGUGGGGUUGUAUGGUGACAGAGUGCAGAGGCAAGCUACGUGUCAAAGAGCAUUGGAGGGACGUAUGUAAUUGUUGCUAGAGCAAGCAACUGUGUGCUACAGCACCUAAUAUUACCGUUAUAGUAAAUUAAAAAUUGGAGCCUCUCACUUAUCGUUGCAAAUAAAUCAUGACAGAUGGCGGCGUGGAUUUGGAUAGCAAUUGCAAAGAAAUCAAAUAUAUGAAAUUAAUGCAUAAAUUUCGCUGGCCUAUGUUUUAGGGAUAUACAUAUUAAAUUCAAAAUAUUUUCUUCCCUCAUUUAUCUUUAGUUACCAUAUUUAUCUUCAAAUAAAGUCCACUAUAAAAGGGAGUCACUGUGCGUAGUGAUCUACGACAUUAUUCCCCAUCUACUUCGCAAAUACAACUCUCAUAAUUCUUAACCUCUUCUUCUCAUUUUACUCGCAGGGACCCUCAAAUUGUUACUGCUAUAGCAAUGCCAAGGUAUAAGAAAACAGCCGGCCGCCUCAAAGAUCCUUCACGCUUCUAGAGUUACCACGCUGAAGAAAAAUAUGAAGAAUUUAUAGAGCCGCAUAAGAUUUUGGAAGAAAAAGGGUUUCAAUUUCCAGAGCGACUCAUCGAAAUUGUGCAAACAAUACACAAUGCUGUUGCAAAGCGUGGAUGGUUGGACUUUUGCAACCACCCUCGAGAUCCUGUGCUACCAGUAGUCAAUGAAUUUUAAGCCAAUUUGGUAAGCCCUGAUCAGCACAACAUUUGGGUAAGAAAAAUACUUGUUUAAUUAGACUCCCGCAUUAUAAAUGCUUUUUAUAAUUUACUUGCUGAAAUUAAUUGUGAGUAUGUCAAGUUGCUUGAUAAAUUAACCCCAAAGAAAUGAAACACCAUCUUCACAACUCUUACAAUCGAAGGGGCAUCAUGGGCUAACGAGGAAGGGCGUGUAGUUAAUAGGAUAGAUUUGAAACCUAUUGCUAAGGUGUGGGUGAAAUUUUUGAAAUUUAGGCUUAUGCGAACCACUCACACUACUACGGUUUCACAAGAGAGGUUGGUCUUGUUAUAUGUCAUUGUUUGAGGACUUCCCAUAGAUGUGGGUAGCAUCAUCAAAAAAGAAAUAAGGGACUGUGCAGUUAAGAAUCACAAAACUGCUGCUUUGCUAUUUCCUUUGCUCAUCACCAGCAUUUGUGUAGUAUCCGGUGUUCGUCUUGACGCGAGAGAUGACCAUAUCAAGAAUGAUAGUGCUUUUACGGCACGUACCAUUAAGAGAGUUGCUGGUGAGAGUGAUAGAACAACAACUGAACCAGCCACUGUAACAGGAGCAAGACGAGCUAGUGAAGAAGCCACUGCUACAAAUGAACCAGAAAAAGAAGCUGCAGCUGAACCACAAGCAGAGGUAGAAUCAGAAGAUGAUGAAACAUCUGAUCAACCUGAGGAAGAAGGUGACAAGUCUGCAACUGAUAGCUCACCCACAGAGGCAAAGGACAACUCUGAGAAAGAAUGUGAGGAACCUUCCAUUCCAACUCAUUCCAAAACUAGGAAAAGGCACAUCAUUCAAGAAGAGGAAGAGGAAGACCUUGAAGAGAAACCUUCCAUUCUAGUCCUUGCGGGCAAGUGCAAGGGCAAGGCAAAAAUAGCAACACUUCCUGCCUCUGAAGAUAAAAUGGAGCAAAUCGAUGCAGAGCUAGCUACUGCAGCAACCAGAGUUAGCCUACACCUGCAGAAGCCAAGCAGCUACUUGGUAUCAUUGCUGCCAUCAUAGCUGAGGGCUAGGCAGCUGAUGCAUCAACUCGAAUUCCUCCACAACAAACUCCUAGUCAACCUGUUCAUACCAGUCCGCGACAAUCUAGAAAAAGAAAAGGUAGUACAUUUAAAGGCACUGCUACAACAGCCUCACCUCAGCCAAAAUGGACCAAGUCGUUGUCAACUAUGUAACCUACCCCAGCUGCAACUCCUCUCGCCAACCCAGUGACAAAAAAGACAAAGACAUUGCCAGCCACUUCCCCACAAGUUUCACCAAAGGAUAAGUUGCGAAGUGCAUUCAAGAAGCGCUGAUAUUAUCCCGUCAUUUGCAGCAAUCCCAACCAUAGGGGAGUAUCCCUUCCUUGUUAGUUAAUUUAUUGUUAAAAAAAAUUUUCUUUCAGUAUGUUUUUUAAAUUGUGUGGUAUUUUUUAAUGUCUUCCAUGUCCUUGUCCACUUGUGUGCCUUUAUUCUGUCUGCUUGUGAGGACAUUACAACUCUCAAGUUUUAGGGGGUUGUGUUUUCGAAUGUUUGUGUUGUGUGUUGUGUGAAGCUCUGUUAUCUAAUAUUUGUGUAUGGAUUUGAAAACCUAAUGAAGAUACAGUGAGUGUUAUUCAAGAUUUAUGAGAAUGCUAAAUAGAGAUAGUUAUAGAUGGAGAUUGAAAUUCUGUCCUAACACUUAGACUUUGGUUGAAUUGUAUGAGAUUGCUAGAGUAAAGCCAAAAAAAUAUAAAAGAUCUUAAGUUUGGGGGGGGGAAGUAAGUUGAUUGACUGUGAUAUCUAUGAAAUAAACUCUGUUCCAAUGACUUAAGUUGCUGAAUAACCAGAUCUGAGUAUGUACCCUAUAUGUAGAAUUGUGUUCAAAGGUAGCAAGAUUUAUGAGCAAUGCUAUAGCAUUUAAAAAAAAAAAAGUCAUCUGUCUAAGGCAUUGAGUAGCCAGGUUUGUUCAUGAGCCCCAUGUUCAGUCUUGAGUAAAAGAUAUCUCUAGAUAAGACUAUAUUACAGAUAUUGCUACAGCAACUCUAAUUUGUGCAUGGUUUGAGUAAUUGGGUGUCAUCAUUACAAUUGAUUGACAUUCACAAGAAAAAUAAAUGUUGCAGUGAUGAGGUUGAAUACUCUCCAGUUUCUUAAUUUUAAAAUAAUCACAGUUCGAGUAUGUGAAAUUUAUGCUACCCCAUAUAUGAAUAAAGUUUUAUCAUUGCUGAAAUUCAUGCAGUCUCUUGGUGAUGUUAUAGCAUCUCUGGAAUACAAUCAAAGUAGCACGCACACAUAAUAGACAGAAAGAAGCUUAAGUUUAGAACUGAUUUACUAUGGUCACGUUGCAUGAUUGGGAUGGUGAUCUGAAGGUGGAAGAAUCCAUGCAAAUUUGAUAAAAGAGCUAAAGUUAUUUUGCAUGAUUGUUUGUGUGAAGUAUUAGUAUGUUGUCAUUACUUGAGGAUAGGUAAUGGUUUAAGUUUGGAGGUGUGAUAACUCUAAGAAAUGAGAGUUAUUACAUCAAUUCUAGACUUAACUAAAGAUCAUUUAGAGAACAAAUAAGGUGUUUUUAUUACAUUUUGGUUAUAUUUUGCAUAAACAUUCAUUUUAGUUAAGUUUUAAUAAGUUUUGUUUGAAUCAAAGUAAUUGGUGCUAAAAACAGGUGCAUAAUUGUAGGUUUUCAAAAAGUCUUAAUUCAUGAGAGGAUGGUGAGAUAGUGGAUGAGCAAGAGGAAAGAAGAUAGCUGCAAAAGAAGUAAGGCACAAUCGGGAAUAGUGCUGUGUUGUAGCGGAUGUUAGAGCAAUCAGUGCUAUAGCAAUCUAGGAGCAAUGCGGAAGAAAAUUUAGACGCGGGUUAGCUACAUAAUCGCGAUUUGCAUGUUUCCUAAUUAUUCAUCCAUUACUCCUUCAAUUUUCACUCUCAAAACAACAUUUCAUCAACUCUCCACAUAAAAUCCAAAAUAAAAAAUUCUCACUCUACCCGUUUCUCUCUCUUCAUUUUCAAGCUUCUUUUAGCCCAUUUUUAAUUCAAUCUACAUCAUAAAUUAGUUUCAUUCGUCUCUAGGAUUGAUUUUCUUGCCUCAAACAAAUCCAUUUCACUCAAUUUUUGUUAAACCUGAAAUUGCAUUUUUAAGCUCUUUUUCCUUCCAACAAUGGCGGAUGGUGACAAGUCCAAGGGAAAACACGUGGCCAAGAAGCGUAAGGAUGAUCAUGGAGAUUAUUCGGACUUUAUGUUGAUUCAUUUUUCACGACUCCAACUUCGGAAACAUUUUCUCGACAAUUUCAAGCCAAGGUCGGUCAUUACUCCUUAUUUUGUUAAUCUCAAUAAUAUGGAGAAUUUAGAAAUUUGUGAUAAAUCUCUUAAAUAUUUACUUAUUGCUAUGGGAUGGAAGAAUGUGUUGGUCGUUAAUGAACAUUACUAUGAAAAUUUAGUCAAGGUUUUCUAUUCGAAUAUGGAAUUUUCAAAUAGAAUUGUUACUAAUGUUGGGGGAGUUCAUAUUGAAUUUGAUGUUGCUUUGCUAAAUUAUAUCCUUGGAACUCCAAAUGAGGGAUUGGAACUAUAUAGUGCUAGAGCCAAAAUCAAACAACCUUGGUUUUCACUUGAAAAUGGCGUUCGAAAAAUUUGUCGACGGCGUGAUUUGUCCACUGCGUUCUGUAACUCACCUUUGAAAUCUCAAGUCUUACCUCUUCAAACUCGAAUCCUUCAUUAUGUUCUUCAUCAUGUGAUUACUCCUAGGGCUGAUCAUGCGGAUGAAGUUAGUCGUUUAGAUGUAGCCAUUUUGGACUGCAUUCUAGAGUAGAGGAUGCUAAAUAUUGGAUAUAUUAUCCUUCAUCAUAUGCUUAGUACUCCCAACUUAGCCAAAAGAUCCCUUCUAUAUGCUAGUAUUAUUACCCGAAUUCUAGAGUAUUUCCGUGUCCCUAUAAUCGAGCCAAUCUCCUUGAAUUCGAGGGAAUUAGGUGAUGAAUCAAUUGCUAAUUUGGGUUUAUUGGAGCGACAAUCAAUGGUGUAAAGAUCACAUAAACAAAAAGGUUGGGGACAUUGCUCCUACAGAUCAUCGUUUCUUUAACGAUGUUCGUCUCCCACACUUGCUUCCUAAUCUUAGUGCUUCAUAUCUCUCACGUCCUCCACCUUCCGAGGGCCCUUCCCACUCUACUUCAGCUGCCUCUGAGGAUCCGUUGCAGCAGCUGUUAACUAAAGUGGAUUCACUUUCUGAGUGGCAAGACAAACUUCAGUCUAUGCUUGAAGCUUUUCAACUUCAGUCCAUUUCCGAGGGAGAGCGUCUCUUUGCUCAACAGCAGCAGCUUCUUGAUGGCCAGCAGUGACUUUUUGCAGCUCUUGGAUUUCCACCACCAUCCUCUUCAUCACAUCCACCAUCUCCUUAGUACUCUUUUUUUUUUAUUUGUCACUUUGCACUACAUUUCUUCAUGCAUUGUUGUUUUUCAUUUGCGGAUGACAUCUUGUUGUUUGAUAUUUGUAUAUGUUGUUUUUUAAUUUGUGGAUUAAGGAUGCUUGUUAUUUGAUCUUCGGAUAUGUUAUAUUUGGAUGAUGUUUUUGGAUUCUUGGAAUAUUAUAACUCUUUGCUCAAUUAUAUGCUUAAUUCUUAUGUGUUGCUUGAUGACUUGGUGGAGUUGUUGGUUUGUUAUACUUGUUUAAGCUUAUAUGGAAGUGUUUUUAACCACGUUGUUUAUUUGAGGAUUUGUUCAUUUUUAAGGGGAGACUCUGCUGAAAUUUUUGCUCGCACAAAAUGGGUAAUAUCUUCAUUGAAUUAUUUUUUAUGAUCUUGUUUCAAAUUGCAUAUAUCUAUUUUUUUAAGUGGGAAAUAAAUAUGAUAAGUUUUUGAUAAUGUCAUUUUGGUUAAAUUUUUAGUAAUUUUGAUGAUGAAGGGGGAGAAGUCAUGUAUUUUGAAUAUGAAGACAUGUAAUACAUAUUUUGUAUUUCAAGUAUUUAUGCAUGGUUUUGAAAUAUUAAGGGGGAGCUUUCAAAUUAUCAUAAAUCAAAUAUUCAGGGGAAGUUUUUGUUUUGAAUUUGAUUUAUAAGUUUUAAUCAUGUAUGCCAUGUAUUAAGGGGGAGUUUAAUGUCAAAAUACAUGAGAUGUUUAUCAUCAUCAAAAAGGGGGAGAUUCUUAGCCUAAAGGGCUAUACAUAAUGUAAUUUUGAUGAUAACAAACAUGUGUCUUAAGUAAAAAUAAUAAAUAUUGUAUUUCACAUUUUCACUAGUUUUUUGAAGGAUAAUAUUUAUGCAAGUGAAUCAAGUGAAAUCAAGAUUGAAGACACUCAACGGAUAACUGCAACAUCAAGAUUAUAAUUUAGAGCUCAACGAACAAAUUAGUGCGAUAAAUUCUUGUAAAGCCGGUAUGAUUUAAUUGAUGCAUGAUUUAACAUUUGAGAAGCUCAAGAGAUUAAUUUAAUUAAAUACUUUUCAUAAACUAAAAGGUUUUAUUUUUAUAAUGUAAAGUAUUUUGUGGAUUUGAGUAAUUUGGACUUAAAUGCUAAGAUUUGAAAUCUUUGAUUUUAAUAAGUAUUAAAUUUCAGAGUUGGACGUUUUUACAAACAUUUGAAAUAUUUUGGGCCAUACUAUAAUUUAUGAAUAUUUUGGGCUAAAGUGAAAGGUUUUGAGAACUUUGAAAAAUAUGGGUAUUAUGUUGAAAAGGACCUUUGUGCGAAAUAAUAAAAUCUUUAGGGUCGUAUCAUAAUUUCAGAAAGUUUGGGAAAGACAACUAUUCUUAGGAAGUUAUUAAAUUGGACCUAUUUGUAAAGUUUUAUGACGUUUUGGGCCAUAGUAUAAUUAUAGAAAUUUUUGGGCUAAAAUUUAAAAAUAACUGUAAUAUCACUGUUCCUGAGCGGCUAGCUGGAUAAACCAAGCGGCUAGCCGGAUAAACCAAGCGGCUAACCGCUUGGGCGCGGGAAUUUACCUAUAACGGCUAGUUUUCAGGGUUUAAUUAUAAAAACUCAACUCAAACUUCAUUCUAAGGACUAAUGCAAGCAAAUAUAAGAUCAUACAACAUAUAUUGAGCUUCCAAAAUGCAAAUCAUCAUUGAUUGAAUCAUUGUUGAGCUAUUAUUUGCAUAUCCACUCUUAAAGAGAGUUUUUGUUGUAAUUUUCAUUUCUUAUCAAAUUGUGAAUGUGUAAGUGUGGGAAACACUUGGGGUGAAGAGAUUGAGGAGACAAUCUCUUGAUUGUAAAGGUUCAUUGACACCUUGGAAGUCAAUUGUAAAAACUUGAAGCCUUGGGAGGCUUGGAUAGUGAAAUCCUCGAGCUUGGCUAGCUUGGAGGCGUGGACGUAGGCGGGCAUUGCCGAACCACGUAAAAAUCCGCGUGUUUGUUUUUCUCUUCCCUUACUCUUUUAUUUUUUACGCUUGUUUGAAUUUAUUGUUCUCUAUUUCAUUAAGGCGUUAGAUUGAUUUAUUAUGCGAAUUGUAUUGCAUAUUUUUUAAAAACCCAAUUCACCCCCCUCUUGGUUUGCGUUACUUGCAUUUCAAUUAUUAGAGUAUUACUUGAUCUUAAAUUAAGUUUCCUGGAUUAAGUUAUCUUGAGUCCCAUAAGGGCAAUAAUUGAAGUUAAGAUUUGUGACACACUAGACAUAGUUGCUCACCUUGUAGGGUGGAGAGAUAAAAAGGAUCAUAAAGUCAUAUCAUGAGUAGAUUAGCAACUGGUCAUUGCUAGUGUAUUUGAGGGUAUGAGAGUUCCAAUAUGUGACAGCUGAGGAUGCAAAUUAAUUCCACCCAGUGCUGCAGCACUUGCCGUGACAAUUGGAGUCAACUUGAUGAAAAAUAAUCAGCCUAUAAGGAGAGUUUGAUCAUUCAAUUACCAUAUUCUCACUUAAAUCUUAGACACAUUUAGUUUAGUUUAUUUCAUUGCGGUUUUGUUUAUUUUAUUCUCUCACAAUCAUUAAUUACAAUAUAAUACAUUUUACAUUUGUUAACUUCGGAUUUGAAUUAGUUUACACUAUUGUGAUUGCUACAACAUUUCUAGUAACAUCAAUCCUUGUGGAGACAAUCUUGAAUACUCAUCACUUUAUUACUUGUUGUGUAUACUUGCACAUUGACACCAAUAGUAUUUGAUUAAAAUCAAUCAACAUCUAUUCAUACCAAAUUAAGAUUGAUAAGUAAAAGAAAAAGGGUUAGCAAAAUUGCCCUUUUCAUUAACAAACACAUGUCCAUUCAACAGCUCAGGAAACUCAAACACAUCCUAAUUUUCUGGUUGAAUGCGGAACCAAUUGUAACCGUUGUUGACGUGAUCGUGGAAAAGGGCUAUAAGGUCAUUUUGAGAGAAGGAAGGAGGCAAAUGAUGAAUCACUACUUUGGUUCUCUACAAUGGCUCCUUCAUUUCAUCGCAUUCAAUUUGUUCCGGCUGUAUUGAAUUUGAAAAAUCAAAAAAGAGUUUUGAUUACCUGGUACACUAAUUUUCAAUUUGGGUUGAGAAUGAAAUUGGAAUAUUUUUUAUUAGAAAGUUUUAGACGCACAUAACUGUUGUGUUUUCCUCUAGAGAGGCCUCUGAGCGCUAACAAGAUUCAUUUUUCGUUGCCCGGGGCAAAGGGCAAUUGGCAUUCCUUAUUUCCCUUCGUAUUUACUUAUGGGGAGUUUAGGCCAUCUCCAAUGUGACACCAAAACAAACACCAAAUCACCUUUUACAUCAUUUUUGGUGUAAAAUACUUCUCCAAUAUAACACCAAACCAACACCAAAAUGGUGUUUUGAAUAGUAUUGCACCAAAUAUGGUGCAACACUAUUCAUUUGGUGCUAGGGAGAAAAAGUCCCAAAUAUCCUUAUUACUUUUUUUUAUUUACAUAUAUGUCCUAAUUUAUAUAAUAUUUUAAGUUAUUAUUAUUAUUUUUGUUAUUAUUUUUAUUUCAUUUUUAAUUUUUGAAUAUUAUACUAUAUUUUAAAUAAAAAAUAUUAAACACAAAAAUUAAUAAUAAAAAUAAAAUGCUAAUACAUUAAUUACUAGAUUACAUAUUACAAAAUAAAAAAUACAAAAUUAAAUUAACAAAUUAAAAAAGCUACUACUACUACUAGCAUAAAUUAGAACAAUUAUUUAAUAAUAUGGGAGAUCAUUAUUAGAUCCUCUAAUAUCAUCAAAAUAUUGGCCAAUAUUAUUGGAAGUAUUUUGAGAUGCUUGCCCUUAUUGAGAUCUUCUCUACAAAAUCUUAAUUUGUUCAUUUUGAAAAUAUUGACGUAAACUCGGAUCACUUAUCGAAUUUAAAUCUUUAAGUAAAAUUUUGUUUUCUUCACGAUAUGCGACCAUCUCCAAUUGUUUUUCUUAUUUUGGGCUCGUAUCAUUUGAAUUUGAUAAUUUUGUUGCCUAUCUUUACUGCCUUUUUUGAGAAUUUCAUAAGGUCGUCGAUUGUCUUCUUUAUUAGCAUCAAUAACUAGUGAAUUUUGAUCUUCAACUUUUCUUUUUCCUUCAGAAUGUCUCGAAGUUAUUCAGUCGUAUUACUAAUGCCGUACAAGGUCAUGACAAUUAUUUUAUGCAGCGAAGGGAUGACGUCGGUAGACUUGGGUUAUCUGGUCUUCAAAAAAUCACUGUCGUAUAUAGGAUGUUGGCAUAUUGCAUGCCAGUAGAUGCUACUGAUGAGUAUAUUAAAAUUGGAGAGUCUACAACAAUUGAAAGUUUAAAGAGAUUCUGUCUUGCAAUUGUGGAAGUUUUUGCAGAGCAAUAUCUUAGAUCACCUAACGCUAAUGAAGUCGCCAGGCUACUCCAUUUUGGUAAAGAGCGUGGUUUUCCAGGAAUGUUAGGCAGCCUAGAUUGCAUGCACUGGAAGUGGAAAAAUGUCCAACAGCUUGGGUCGGACAAUAUGCUGGUCGUAGUGGAACACAACUAUUAUUCUAGAGGCUGUAGCUGAUUAUGAUCUUUGGAUAUGGCUUGCACAUUUUGGUUUUCCUGGUUCAAAUAAUGACAUUAAUGUGUUGGAGACAUCCUAUCUUUUUGUCAACCUCGCUUUAGGUAUUGCUCCUCCUGCUCAUUAUGUUAUUAAAGGGAACAAAUAUAAUAUGGGUUAUUAUUUAGCUUAUGGUAUCUACCCAAAAUUGUCUUCUCUUGUACAAACUAUCCAUGAUCCACGUGGUCCUAAAAUGAAUUUAUUUGUCAUGAAACAAGAAGCAUGUCGGAAAGAUGUAGAAUGUGCAUUUGGAGUCCUUCAAUCACAUUUUGCAAUUGUUGCUGGACCAUCAUGCUUUUGGAACAAACAUGUGUUACAUAAUAUGACUGCUUGCAUUAUUAUGCACAAUAUGAUAAUCGAAGAUGAACAUGAUGUUAAUGCAACAAUUAAUGAUUGGAUGCAAGCACCAAUACCAACCGUUGAUAUGAGGGUAGAUGAGAAUACUAGAUUUCAAGAAUUUCUUGCUCGACACAAAAAAAAUCAAGGAUAAAGAUGCUCACAUUGCACUCCGAAAAUGCACUAAUUAAUCAUUUAUGGGAUGCAUUUAGUAAUUCGAAUAACUAGAGUAUUAUUAUUGUUGUUAUAUUUUUUUCUAUAUUAAUGUAAUGUUCAAUUUUCAUAAUGUAAUAAUUUAGUUAAUUAAAUGUAAAUUUAAUAAUUUUCUAUAUUUUUUUUAAUCGAUAUAAAACUACUUAUUGCUUAAUUAUCUAUAUUAAUAAUAAUAUUUAUUGUGUUAAUUGAAUUAAUUCUUGAGAAUUAAAAGAAUAAAAAGAAGAAUAUUCUUUUUAGUGUAAAAUUUGGUGUAAAUGGGUUGGAGAUGAAAUAAUAAUUUGGUGUGAAAAAUGUAUAUUUUUGGUGUUGGUGUUACACCGAAAUGGUGUUAAAGCAUUGGAGAUGUCCUUAGCACUACUAGAAAAAUGGUCUUUACUGACUUUAGAAUAGUGUCAGAAAUUACUUUUACUGACACUUGUUAAUUGUGUCAGUAAUCUGGGAGUCAGAAAAAUAGUGACACUUGUAAUUGGUGUUAGUGAUUACUGUUACUAUAGUAUUACUAGAUUUAUGACACUAUGGUAUUAGUAAUUACUGAUAAUGAUCACUUGUUAAAAGUUACUUUCACCAUAGUAUCACAAAAUAUUAUGACACUAUAGUAAUAGUAUUUACUAAUAAUUAUUACAUGUCAAUAGUUUGUUUUACACUGGGAUAUGACAUGAUAGAAUAAACGAAUACUAAUACUUUAGUGUCAGCAAUUUGUAAUACUAUAGCAUCACUAAUAUUAUGAUGCUGAAUCAUUUUUUAGCGCUAAUGGCUUCGAUUAAAUGGUGCUGAAAUUAUUGUUGUUACUCGAUUAUUUUCAUUAUUCUUUUAGUUUUGCCAAUCAAAUAAUGGUAUUCAAAGAAAAUCUAUUCAAAUUAAACUAAAGUACAAAUUUGAAUACUUAAAUAUAAGUAUAUAAUAUUCGUACCAACAUUUAAAUAGGUAUCAAAUAAAAUAGUAAUACAAAUAUCCAAAAUAUUGUUUGAAAACAUGUCAAAUAUUUACAUGAACACAUAAUGACAGUUUGCAGGAAACAAUCAGUACAUCUACUCUUUGAUCUUUGCCUUUCCCUUCACCUUUGCCACCUAUAAUUGCAGUAUAUAGAAUCAAUUAGCUACUAUGCUACAAAAAUCAAUUCUUUGAUAUUUACAAGCAAAAAUAUAUUUUACCUUAUUAUUGUAUGCUACAAGUAACUUUGCAACGUACAUCGCCCACUGAUCGCGAAGUUGCGAAAGAUCGUCCAUAGUGUACUCAUUACAACCCUUGAACUUCAAAAAUAAAGCAACAAAAUAUAUUAAUAUAUUAUAGAAUCUGUCCUAAAAUAGAACAACACAAUAACAACAUAUAUUUUUAAGUUUGCCAGGAUUAACAUCAAAACUGAAGAACAUGCAAAUAAAUUAUAUUACCAUAGCAAACAACGGUUACCAAAGCUGUCUAAGAAGCUGAUAAUUUAUAAUAUAUUAUUUGCUUUACUCAAUAUUACUUCUAACACUCAGCACUGGGGUUUAUAUGUUUUAUAUCUGUACAUGCAGCAGGUCCAAUCAUUGCUCAAUAAUACUUUAACACUGAACACUGAGAUUUAUAUGCAUUCUAUUUGUACACGCAACAGCUCCAGUCAUUUUGGUUUCACUAAAGUGCCUUAAAUACAUAGUAGAACACAGUAAAAAUUGGCAUUAAUUUUUCCAAACAUGUUGAAUGCAUUCAGUAAAAUGUAUAUAGCAUUAUAGCUUUUACCUAUAAUAAAUAUGGCAAAUGAAGUGUAUGUGAUUAUCCUAAACAUACACAACACUUCCUCUAAUCCCUAGCACAAGAUAUGAUUAUAUUGCUAGUUUCAAGCAUAAAGCAGCAAACUGUUCACCCAUUAACCAUCUUCACAAUUCACUUAAGAAAAUCCAUUUCACAAUGCAUUCUUCGAACAAAUAUUAAACAAGUUUUGGAGAAACUCACAUUGUUUUCAAGAAUGCACAAAUCGCAAACAAUAUCCUGGAUGUACUUCAUCACAUAGUAACCACAUUCAAAGGUUCCAGCUUGUUUCGGACACUAAAAAAUAAAUAAAUAAACUUAGUUUCAAAUAUACUGAUGAAGUAACAAUGGAAAUCAUAACUUUGUUUCAUUAAUACCUUCACAGAGACCCACUGCACAGCCUUCUUUUUAUUACUCUUCACUUGAUGUAUUGUUAUCCCACUAUAAAUAAUAAAUAACAGAUGCAACAAAUUAAUCUACAACAUAAAAAAUUAAUAAAGAAUUAAGUAAACUAAUUAAACUUACUCAUUCACCAUUUGCUUCAACUCAUCAUCAGGAUUAUCACCUAAUGGAUCAAGAUAAUAAAUUUUUCGCCUCACCAUAUCAAUUGCUACUAGCACCCAGUGGCCACUAAACAAACAAGUAAAAAAAAAAAAACAGAUUACAAGAUAAAUUUAAAUAAUUUAUGUUAAAAAAUAAAAUAGACAAAAAAUAAAUAAACUAUACCCUGGGUUAUAUGGGAAGACAAUUAUUUGGGCUAUUUGAAUCUUGUCCAAAAGGUCUGAAAUAUAGGAACACCUAUUUGGGUAGCUUGCUUGACUUGGGUGUAACUUCGUUAUGCAUCCAAAUUGAAUUGGAAUAACACCACUGCCAUUAUCCAUCUCUUCAUACAAGUGUCUAUUAAAAAAAGAAACUUUCAUGGCAUGAAUAUAAGAAAUAAAUAAAUGACAGUUUGCAAAAUCAGAAAACAUAGUAAAAACAUAAAUCAAGUUUUUUAUUUCUUACUUGAUCCAUAUCUCUAAAACAGAAUUUGAGAGCUCUGUAAACUCAAUGACUUCAUUGCAAAUCUGCUCGUCCAAUCUGCUCUCCCAAUAGACACCAAAAGUCUUCAAAUCAUGGGCAAUCAUAAUCGUCCGUGGCAGGGAGCUCUCAAUCAUCAAAGAAAAGAUGUUCAUUUGUGAACUUUUGUUCUCUUUUCUUGCUUUCACAGCUCCACGGGUAUUCUUUCUCAGAACCAGUUUCCUUGCUGUCACUGGUUUUACAACAACAUGUUCCUUUGUUGUUCGUUUCUGUUCAUACAGAUAUACCACGGCAUUUGUAGGAGACCUUCGUCCAUCCACUUUUCUCUUUGAAGGAGUUAAUCUUGGAGAUCUUCUUGGGGUGAUUUUUGAAGUAGCUUCACAAACUACUGGGGGUGGAUUCUAUGCAGGGGAUGGCAGGGGAGGUGUGUUGAUGUUUUUGUCAGGUUUUGGACAAACAGUGGGGUCAUUGGUCACUGACUUUGGACUAACUUUGGGCACCGACUUGGGGUUAGCUUUGGGGUUGUUGUUGGUCACUGAUUUUGGGGUAGCUUUGGGGUUGUUGGUCACUGACUUUGGAGUUGCUUUGGGGUUGUUAGUCACUGACUUUGGAGUAACUUUGCUGGGUGAUCGACGAUCUAUCUCCAUCUUAACACUGCAACCAGCUUUGGAGUUAGGAAAGUUGGAACUGCCAACUUCAGUGUUGUUGCAGGCGUUGAUCCUUGCAUUCAUUUGAUCUAAUUGAGCUUGCAUAAACUGAAAACUCUCCUGAUACAUUCUCCGUUCUCGCGCCAACUCCGUGGGGUCAGGGACAUUGAAAUAUAUGGAUGGGGUGAUGAAUUGACCCAAUCCUUGCACCCGACUUCCAUUAGGCUUCUUUUGAAGUGCUUCACCUAGGAUAUCAUUCGGUCCUUGGGAUUGGAACGUUCCCUGCUCAACUUGACUUCUUAGCUCACUCUACAAAAUAAAUACAAAAAUAAUUUGAUCAAAAUUAGGAAUAAAAAAACAAAUAAGUUAAAUAAUGACAGUGGUGGUGGAAACUUACAAUUCUCUCAGCCACUUGCUGCACUUCAGGUGUAUAAGUUCCAUCUUUUCUCCUAUGAGCCAAUAACCAGGCUUCACUGCGGUCAAUCUCGCGCUCAGUAACUCCGAGGUCCAACUGCUGUAAUAAUCCAGCAAAAAUUGAAUUGAAAACUGGUAUGAAUCAUCCUAUUAUUUGUAUUGAAAAUGUCAUAAGUUUGUAUAGAAUGGUUAUUAUACUUACUCUUUUAUGCAACAACCCAGCAUAUCCUGUGCUGCCCAAGUGAUGAUUGUACAUAUUCUUUGCUCUUUUUUCCUUUGCUGCCUUACUUUUGUCCUGCACAAAGCGGAUAUUGAUUAAAAUGGUUACAUGAACUCAAUAAUAUUAUCUAACUAACAUAAUUUUAAACAUACCUGAAAGGCUUCAGAUAAAAUCUUAUCAACAAAGCUCUUCCAGUCCUCUUUUCUAAUGCCUUCAUACUCAAGAGGAGGCUUUUUCAGUGAACUUAAGUUGUUUGCAUUGGGCAGAAUAUAUUCAUUGGCCAACUUACAUCUAAAGCCCCUUAAUGCAAUUCCCAUCCACUUCAACACUUGGGUUUUCACCUUAAGACUCAACUUAAACUUUUUCUGAAAAUGAGUCCAUAACGUCUCCUUGAUGUCUAGUGGCACUUUCCUCCAAUCAUCAUAGAUAAUUGGAACUCUUUCUCGUACAAUCACCCCAAUGUAGUUCCUCAGAUCAUUUCUCUUUUUGCCAACUGGAACUCCGUAGGAAUUGUACAUAACCUCAGUGUCGUCACUAGCUCCUCUCUGCAGGUCUUUCUUCUUUGUAAGGUUUCGUCUUGGUCUGCCUUCUAGAUCUGGAUCAAAUGUUGGCUCCUUUUUUUCUGCCAUGUCUUCAACAAACCUGUAAAUACAUCAAAGUGGAUGAGUGCACCACAUACCAAUCUAAUAUCCUAAUAUAAUAAUAAAAUAAUAAAAAACAAAUUUGUUGGUGACUUACGGGAAGUAGUGUUAAUAAGGCAUAGUAGUUGGAUUAUUCAUUUUCCGCACCAAUAUUUACAAGAAAAACAUCAACAACUACUCUGACACAAACUCCUCAUCACCCAAACCUAACUUACAUUCUGGAAAAUUGUUGGAUAAUGGUGCAUACUCAUCGAUGCCAUCACACAAGUCCUCAUUUGAAUAAUUACAUUUUGAGCUCACUGAACAAACAACUGAUUUACUAUUAUCUAACUGAUCUUUCACAUAAAACACUUGCUUUGCAUGAUGAGUUAGAAUGAAACAGUCAGAUUUGUAGCCUAUUCAAUCUAAAUUGACUACAGUGAACCCUAACUCAUCAACAUUAACCCCUCUAUCAUCUACCCAAUCGCACUUGAAAAGUACGUUCUUAACCCCUAGAUAAUCAAGCUGCCAAAUUUCACUGACAACCCCAUAAAAAGGCAUAUCCCCAGAAUGAGGAUUUUUGUCUUUCGAACUUGAAAUCUGUAAAGUGUUAGCAACUACAUAAACGCCACUGUUUUGUGUUAUGCGGUUGCUGUCUCGAUCUCUUGUAGCAAAAUUAAAACCAUUAAUACAGUAGCCAUCAUAUGUAACCACGCUUGAGCGGGGUUUGUUUGCCAGCCACUAUACUUUUUCGUCAACCACUACAUUAUUUGCUUUAUCAGUUGUUGCCUAUUGUUCAAUUAAUAAAAUCACAAUUAUUAGUUGAAAGAGAAAAGUUUGUGCGCUUUUACUUGGAUACUUUUAUUAGAUCUAAUGAAGUUAAUCUAACCUUUUGUUUCAGCCAAUCAGCAAACGUACGGGAGUGCUCGGUUGACAACCAUAAAGGCUUUUUUAAUUGACGAGGGUGUGUUGAUUGCAAUAAGGCCAAAUGCUCCCUAAAAUUAUACCAACAGAAUUAUUAAAAUUGAAAAAAAAUUAACGAAAAAGAGGUUCAAAUUUUCAGUCACAUACUCUAUGUAUGGUUGAAUCUCGGGGGUGUUCACCAGAACACAUUGGUGCGCUUGCGCCAAUGUAGGGCCAUCAACCACCUUAAUAUUUACACCUCCGAGUGGCCUUUCGACUGUAAAAUCAAUUAGACAACCAGUAGGUAGUCCGAUUGAAUUACAAUUUGAAAGGUAUUCAGCACAAAAUUCAAGUGCUUCCUCAGCAAUAUAGCACUCUGCAAUGCAACCUUCAGGACGGUAUCGGUUGCGUACAUAGCCCUUUAUAGGUUUCAUUUCUCUCUCAAAUGGAUACAUCCAUCGAAGGUAAACCGGGCCACAUAAUCUAACUUCUUCAACUAGAUGGACUGUUAAAUGGACCAUUAUAUCGAAGAAGGCAGGUAGGAAAAAUUGUUCUAAAUUGUAUAAGGUGAUUGUAAGUUCUUUUUGCAAUUGGUCUAGAGAAUUGGGCUCUACUACCUUAGAACACAAAGAAUUAAAGAAAAGGCACAACCUGAUUAUGACAGAUCUGACAUUUUGGGGUAAACAAUUUCGAAUUGCUAAUGGUAGUAGUUGUGCAUCAAUGUAUGACAAUCANNNNNNNNNNNNNNNNNNNNNNNNNNNNNNNNNNNNNNNNNNNNNNNNNNNNNNNNNNNNNNNNNNNNNNNNNNNNNNNNNNNNNNNNNNNNNNNNNNNNNNNNNNNNNNNNNNNNNNNNNNNNNNNNNNNNNNNNNNNNNNNNNNNNNNNNNNNNNNNNNNNNNNNNNNNNNNNNNNNNNNNNNNNNNNNNNNNNNNNNNNNNNNNNNNNNNNNNNNNNNNNNNNNNNNNNNNNNNNNNNNNNNNNNNNNNNNNNNNNNNNNNNNNNNNNNNNNNNNNNNNNNNNNNNNNNNNNNNNNNNNNNNNNNNNNNNNNNNNNNNNNNNNNNNNNNNNNNNNNNNNNNNNNNNNNNNNNNNNNNNNNNNNNNNNNNNNNNNNNNNNNNNNNNNNNNNNNNNNNNNNNNNNNNNNNNNNNNNNNNNNNNNNNNNNNNNNNNNNNNNNNNNNNNNNNNNNNNNNNNNNNNNNNNNNNNNNNNNNNNNNNNNNNNNNNNNNNNNNNNNNNNNNNNNNNNNNNNNNNNNNNNNNNNNNNNNNNNNNNNNNNNNNNNNNNNNNNNNNNNNNNNNNNNNNNNNNNNNNNNNNNNNNNNNNNNNNNNNNNNNNNNNNNNNNNNNNNNNNNNNNNNNNNNNNNNNNNNNNNNNNNNNNNNNNNNNNNNNNNNNNNNNNNNNNNNNNNNNNNNNNNNNNNNNNNNNNNNNNNNNNNNNNNNNNNNNNNNNNNNNNNNNNNNNNNNNNNNNNNNNNNNNNNNNNNNNNNNNNNNNNNNNNNNNNNNNNNNNNNNNNNNNNNNNNNNNNNNNNNNNNNNNNNNNNNNNNNNNNNNNNNNNNNNNNNNNNNNNNNNNNNNNNNNNNNNNNNNNNNNNNNNNNNNNNNNNNNNNNNNNNNNNNNNNNNNNNNNNNNNNNNNNNNNNNNNNNNNNNNNNNNNNNNNNNNNNNNNNNNNNNNNNNNNNNNNNNNNNNNNNNNNNNNNNNNNNNNNNNNNNNNNNNNNNNNNNNNNNNNNNNNNNNNNNNNNNNNNNNNNNNNNNNNNNNNNNNNNNNNNNNNNNNNNNNNNNNNNNNNNNNNNNNNNNNNNNNNNNNNNNNNNNNNNNNNNNNNNNNNNNNNNNNNNNNNNNNNNNNNNNNNNNNNNNNNNNNNNNNNNNNNNNNNNNNNNNNNNNNNNNNNNNNNNNNNNNNNNNNNNNNNNNNNNNNNNNNNNNNNNNNNNNNNNNNNNNNNNNNNNNNNNNNNNNNNNNNNNNNNNNNNNNNNNNNNNNNNNNNNNNNNNNNNNNNNNNNNNNNNNNNNNNNNNNNNNNNNNNNNNNNNNNNNNNNNNNNNNNNNNNNNNNNNNNNNNNNNNNNNNNNNNNNNNNNNNNNNNNNNNNNNNNNNNNNNNNNNNNNNNNNNNNNNNNNNNNNNNNNNNNNNNNNNNNNNNNNNNNNNNNNNNNNNNNNNNNNNNNNNNNNNNNNNNNNNNNNNNNNNNNNNNNNNNNNNNNNNNNNNNNNNNNNNNNNNNNNNNNNNNNNNNNNNNNNNNNNNNNNNNNNNNNNNNNNNNNNNNNNNNNNNNNNNNNNNNNNNNNNNNNNNNNNNNNNNNNNNNNNNNNNNNNNNNNNNNNNNNNNNNNNNNNNNNNNNNNNNNNNNNNNNNNNNNNNNNNNNNNNNNNNNNNNNNNNNNNNNNNNNNNNNNNNNNNNNNNNNNNNNNNNNNNNNNNNNNNNNNNNNNNNNNNNNNNNNNNNNNNNNNNNNNNNNNNNNNNNNNNNNNNNNNNNNNNNNNNNNNNNNNNNNNNNNNNNNNNNNNNNNNNNNNNNNNNNNNNNNNNNNNNNNNNNNNNNNNNNNNNNNNNNNNNNNNNNNNNNNNNNNNNNNNNNNNNNNNNNNNNNNNNNNNNNNNNNNNNNNNNNNNNNNNNNNNNNNNNNNNNNNNNNNNNNNNNNNNNNNNNNNNNNNNNNNNNNNNNNNNNNNNNNNNNNNNNNNNNNNNNNNNNNNNNNNNNNNNNNNNNNNNNNNNNNNNNNNNNNNNNNNNNNNNNNNNNNNNNNNNNNNNNNNNNNNNNNNNNNNNNNNNNNNNNNNNNNNNNNNNNNNNNNNNNNNNNNNNNNNNNNNNNNNNNNNNNNNNNNNNNNNNNNNNNNNNNNNNNNNNNNNNNNNNNNNNNNNNNNNNNNNNNNNNNNNNNNNNNNNNNNNNNNNNNNNNNNNNNNNNNNNNNNNNNNNNNNNNNNNNNNNNNNNNNNNNNNNNNNNNNNNNNNNNNNNNNNNNNNNNNNNNNNNNNNNNNNNNNNNNNNNNNNNNNNNNNNNNNNNNNNNNNNNNNNNNNNNNNNNNNNNNNNNNNNNNNNNNNNNNNNNNNNNNNNNNNNNNNNNNNNNNNNNNNNNNNNNNNNNNNNNNNNNNNNNNNNNNNNNNNNNNNNNNNNNNNNNNNNNNNNNNNNNNNNNNNNNNNNNNNNNNNNNNNNNNNNNNNNNNNNNNNNNNNNNNNNNNNNNNNNNNNNNNNNNNNNNNNNNNNNNNNNNNNNNNNNNNNNNNNNNNNNNNNNNNNNNNNNNNNNNNNNNNNNNNNNNNNNNNNNNNNNNNNNNNNNNNNNNNNNNNNNNNNNNNNNNNNNNNNNNNNNNNNNNNNNNNNNNNNNNNNNNNNNNNNNNNNNNNNNNNNNNNNNNNNNNNNNNNNNNNNNNNNNNNNNNNNNNNNNNNNNNNNNNNNNNNNNNNNNNNNNNNNNNNNNNNNNNNNNNNNNNNNNNNNNNNNNNNNNNNNNNNNNNNNNNNNNNNNNNNNNNNNNNNNNNNNNNNNNNNNNNNNNNNNNNNNNNNNNNNNNNNNNNNNNNNNNNNNNNNNNNNNNNNNNNNNNNNNNNNNNUUAGGACCAGAUAUCAGUAGAACAACAUCAUAAAUUUUCUUUUCAUACACAGCACGGAGGAAGGUUAUAUGUUAUCAAUGUAACAGGCCAACAACUAUAAGUAGUGCUAAGUGUGCUAUGUGGGUUAAUCCCAUCAGAUGAUAAAGCGAACCGAAGAUUUCUCGGCUCUUGGGCAAAAUCAGGCCAUUUCUUGUCAAUUAACUGCCAAGCUGGUGAAUGUGCUGGGUGGCGAAGCUUGCCAUCUCUAAUUCUUUUAUUUUCAUGCCAUGUUAAGUUCUCAGCAGUUUGUGGUGAUUGAAACAUUCUUUUCAACCUAGGAAUUAUAGGAAAAUACCAUAAUACCUUUUUAGGGACCCUCUUUCUAAUUUUUUUUUAUCCAUCUUUUCUUAUUUGCCACCUAGAUGCUCCACACCUUGGGCAUUCACUAAGAUUCUCGAACUCAUUCCUAUAAAGAAUGCAAUCAUUUCGACAUGCAUGUAUUUUCUCAUAAUCUAAGCCUAAUAGCUUCAUUAUUUUUUUGGCCUCAUACAUGGACUUAGGCAAACUAUUAUCAUUUGGCAAUAUCUCAUUAAGCACUUCCAAUAAAACUGAAAACCCACUAUCAGACCAGCCAUAAAGUCCUUUUAUAUUGUACAGUUUCAUUAGACUCGAUAACUUUGAAUGCUUUGAACCCGGAUAUAGGGGCUUUUCAGCAUCUUCAAGCACAUUCUUAAAAGAACUAGGAUCUUUAUCACAAUGCUCAAAAGCAUCAUGAACCAUGUCAUCUACAUAACUAUAAUUCGGACAUCUAAAACGUUGAUUUUGUGGCUGGUCUUGGCAUUUUACAGAGGUAGGUUUUCGGUCCACCUCACCAUGCCAAUUCCAAACUAAAUAAUUUUCUAGAAAACCUUUUUUAAAUAGAUGUAGCCUCACUUGUUGAGGACUCAAAAACUCCAUAUUACAACAAGUAGUACAAGGACAUCUAAUUGACAUUCUAUUUUCUGAAUUAAGAAUGGCAAACUCCAAGAAAUCAUCAACCCCAUCACUAUACUCAUCAGACAAUCUAUCACAGAAUAUCCAAGUUUUGUCCAUAACUUGUAUUGUUACAUGUUCAUUUGUUAGAUGUUGUUAGUUUAAUAAGUUUACUUAAAUUGCACAAAUAACUCCAAACUUUAGGUUUAAAUUAAAAAAUACAAAUUGCAAAAUAAAUCUAAAUUCUAUUUGUUUAGAGUCACUUAAAUAUAUGUACGCAUUCAGCAACCCAACAGAGCAUAUAUGUAAGCAUUCAGCAACCCAACAGAGCAUAUAUCUNNNNNNNNNNNNNNNNNNNNNNNNNNNNNNNNNNNNNNNNNNNNNNNNNNNNNNNNNNNNNNNNNNNNNNNNNNNNNNNNNNNNNNNNNNNNNNNNNNNNUAAAAGGAUAAAAAGUGGUUUAUAUUGUAAAUGCAUUGCAGGUAAAUUGAUUUUUUUUUUAGGAUGGGAGAAAGAGUGAUUGAUGGCGAAUGGAAGCCUACUUCUCCAUCUAAUGGGGAGCGCAUUGUGGUUUUACUUGGCCGUACUGGCAAUGGCAAAAGUGCGACGGGCAACAGUAUUCUCAGAAGAAGAGCCUUCAAGGCAAGUGUUGGCUUGUCUGGUGUUACUAAAACUUGUAAAAUGAAGACAACCGUGCUCAAAGAUGGCCAAGUUGUUAAUGUCAUUGACACCCCCGGUAAUUUGCUAAUGUUGGUGCCUAGAUAUUCCAUUCCAUGCUUGUUGAUGUCGUGAUGGUAAAAGUAGAUUGAUGUUAUGAGCCAUUGCUGGACUUUUUGAUUUGUCUACUGGCUCUGAGUUUGUCGGCAAGGAAAUUGUCAAAUGUCUCGGUAUGGCCAAGUAUGGCAUCCAUGCAAAGAAGUUAUAAAACUUUAUUUUCCUUCUCCAAAAAUUUAUGUUUCUUUCUUUUCUUUCUAGGGUUUGUAACGGUGUAGAAAAUAAAAGACAGACUUCUUAAAAAGAAACAUAAAUUUUUGGAGAAGGAAAAUAAAGUUUUAUAACUUCUUUGCAUGGAUGCCAUACUUGGCCAUACCGAGACAUUUGAUAAAUUUUACUCACACACAAACACUCAAUAAUAACUAUCCUACACAUUUAAUAAGGGUAAAAGAGGAAAAUAAAUAAAUAAAUAAAAGUGGGCGUUACAAUUUAUUUAUGCACAUAUGACACAAUCUUUAUUUACCUCAUACAUAAUGCAAGCCCUUCGACAUCAUACAGCCUCAGUUUUGAAAGUUUUAUAGAUAUUAAGUUUCAGCAUAAUAACUAGUCUCUCAAAGAGAAGAUGCCAAUGAUAAGUCAGCGUAAGUAAUUAGGUUACACAUAAACUCAUCCAAUUUCAUAUAUUGUUGGUUUAAAAAAUAGGUAUCAAGUAGCACACACAUUCAGUAGAUAAUGAUAGUCUCAUCGUAGAUCUCGUAUUGAGAUGCCACAAGCUUGAUCUCUAGCAAACGGGAGAAAACAUUGAUGCACGCGCAACACGAGCCCAUAGAAAUGAAAUGUGAUGGGACAAUUAAUUACCCGAGAUAGAGUAUCUUCUUGUUCGGGUGAGAGUAAGCAGAGCCGCCACCCUCGAUAAUAGCAGGACUGAAGAAAUUCCAAGAAGCUAAUGCAUGGAUUGCAUUCAGCUCUUGGCCAGUCGCCAUGUUUGCUUGCUGAGACCUUAUCCAUUUCUGCUAUCUGAGUUUCAGAAACAACGAAAUUUUAAUAACGCGCUGAAAUUUUGGAAGAGGGCGAGAACAAAUGCAUUAUACAUACAAAGGAUUGAUUUGCAUACCUUUGAUCGGAGACACACGCUGUCAUUUUCCAGCUCAACCUCCUAUGAAAAUGAAAAUGGCAAAGAGUUCUAUAAAAGCUUGGAAGAAAACGAAAAAAAAGGCUAAAGAGGAUUUAAUGAACUUUAAUCAUUACCCUUUUCUGUAAGAACUCAAUUUUAGGAAACAGACAAAGCAACAAAUUAUUUUCAAAAUGACAUAAAUUACAUAUACUAAACGUAUAUCGGUAAAGUUUAUGCAAUGUAUUGUUGCAAAACAAUGGUGUACUGCUCAAAUUCAAAUUUUUUUUUUUUUUUGGGUUGAUUUCAUGCAUGCAUAAUGCAAUUAAUUAGUUACCUUUCUUGGACCUGAUCCUAGUGAUGCCUCACUCAAGCCUGUUCUCCAGUUGCUUAAGCUCCUUCACAGUUAAAGAACUCAGAGAAUCACACAUCANNNNNNNNNNNNNNNNNNNNNNNNNNNNNNNNNNNNNNNNNNNNNNNNNNNNNNNNNNNNNNNNNNNNNNNNNNNNNNNNNNNNNNNNNNNNNNNNNNNNCUUCAUAAAUGAAUUUAUCGCAGUGAAGAGAGAGAAACAGAGAGAACCAAAUCGUGAUAGAAAUGAAUUCCUCUGCUUCGAGCUUGGUUGGGAUCGACGUGAAGUUUGAUUACAGUGAGGGAUAUGAUUUUAGGGUUUGGUUUACUUAGCUUUGACAGAGAAGGAGAACCGAGUGGUGAAAGACUGAUGAGUGAAUGACUUAGAAAAAAAUUAGCUUCGAUUUUGGUCUUAGGGUUGUAUAAAACGAUGCGUUUUACUUAUCUUUAUUUUCCUAAGUGAAACGAUACCGUUUUUAACUGAAAAUAUAUUAUUUACUAAUAAAUUUUCAGCCAAAACCCGCUAAAAUUUUUAGUGAGCCGCGCUCAAUACAUUUCAAGUGCUUCAUAUUAAAAUUAUAAUAUUCUACUAAUUCAGUUGCAUAACUAACAAAAAGUCAGAACGGUUCCAAUUUUAAACUUAAAUGCUUUGGCUUUGGAAAGUCCUGGGUUCAAAAAUCAGUUUGGAACGAAAUUUAUAUUUUAUUUUCUUUUACAGAUACCUUAGUGUCACCAAUUCUUAAACUUAAAUGUUCCAAUGUUCGAGGUCCCAGGUUCGAAUUCCAUCUGUUACGUGAUUAGAAUUAUUUUAUUUUUAUUACUAAUACUUUAGUGUCAGCGAUUUCUGAUGUCACAAUUACAGACACCAUAGUAUCAUUAAUUUGUGAUACAUAUGUGUUAAACACGGAAAAUGGCCCAUAUGUAUACAAAUACUGAUACUUUGUAAUAAAGUGUCACAAACCAAGUGUCAGUAAAGACCAUUUUUCUAGUAGUGUAGGGGCCUUGACGUAUAAAAUGACCAAAAAGCCCCUAUGGAGUAUGAAUACGCUGAUUUAAUAAAGAAAGAUUAUCAAUAAUAUUAAUAAUGGGAGACUGUUAGUGCUGCUCUAUUCAAAUCAUUAUAUACUAAUUACUUUAGUAUUGCUUUUAUAAUAGACAAUAAUUUUUUAAUAGUAUAAUUUUUAUUUUUAAAUAAUUUUUUAUUCAUAAUUAUUAUAAAUUAAAUGAAUUUUUUAUAUUAUAAAACUAGUAAUAAUAAAUAAGUGAUAUAUAUUAGUUNNNNNNNNNNNNNNNNNNNNNNNNNNNNNNNNNNNNNNNNNNNNNNNNNNNNNNNNNNNNNNNNNNNNNNNNNNNNNNNNNNNNNNNNNNNNNNNNNNNNUUCUGUAACAUUUGAUUUACUGCCGCAGCUUUGCUGACUCCUGCUGACAGUACUGUUUCCAUGGGUCACAUGUAAUGGGAGAAGUUAAAUUUUUAUUGGGAAGUUUAUAUUUCAAUGCUAGCUAUGUGGUAACCAAUGAUAAUUAGUUGGCUUUUUUUCUUUUUUAACCUUUUCAUAAUAGCAUAUAUUCCUAGUAAAGCCUGAAUUUAUAGCUUAAAUUAAUGAAUUAUUUACCUGAGCAUUGAUCUCAGUAACAGUGCCAGAAUUUGAAUUAUCCGAACGUGCCUUCUUGUACCUAUCAAUGGUUGACCUUAUGCUGCUACGUGCAUAACACAUAAAUUUCUAAUUAUUUAGCAUAAUUGUUUGAAUUUUUUUUGGGAAAAAAAGGAGGAAUAAGAAAAGAGGGAGCUGAAGUUUAAUAAACAAUUUUAUUUCUUUAUUAAAUAUCAUUUAUGUUAUCUCAUUAGUUUUCAUGAUCCCUCAGUCUUCAGCUACAUGGAUAAACAAUCAUAGACAUAAAAAUAAAUACAUGUUAAGUAAGAUGUAUGUAAAAAUGUUUUAUUUUAUUUUUAAUUCUUUAUUCUCAAUGAGGACAUUGGAAUAAGUUUACUAAACCUAGCUACCCUCUACAUCUAGCUAGGUCAUUAAUUCCAAGCUCAAAGUGGUUUACUCUCUAAUUUGAGAGAAUUUUAUCCCCACAAGCCAAUUGAAUAUUGAGAUGAGAACUACUAAACUAAUAGGUGCUUCUUGAUAUACGUAUCAAGUUAACAUUUCAUGUUCUACGCCUGAUAUUUCAAUUGUAAGUUUAAUGUGUAAGGUUUCUUUAAUCUAACAUUUUAAUUGACAGCCACUCCCUAUAGCUUCCUAAUCAUAAAUGAAAUUAUAUGUGCCCACUCCCUAUAAUUUGAACUUUGAAGUGAAGAAGCUAGCACUUUAUAUCCCCAUCACAUUGAAGAGUAAAAAUCUCUUUCACGUUUUAGGUCUCUAUUCACCAUGCAUGCGGAAAGAGCAAGACCUAAUAUCAUUUUAAAUUUCUUCAAACAAGUCCAUCACUUUAAUAGCAUGAAAAUGUUAAUGCAAACUGAGAAAGAAACCAAUACACGAUUGAAAAUUUUAGGUGCUUUUAAGUCAAAAGUACUGAAGAAAACUGAAGUGAAAGAUAUGAUUCAGAUUGCUUCAAUGAAGAAAAAAGAUAUGGGAAAAUUUUUAAAGCUAAAAGUAGAAACAAAAGCCAAAGAAAAUUGAGAAUUUGUAAAUGAUUAUAAAAGGAAAGAAUCCAUCAGGCCAGAUUUCAGAUCACUGCAUGCAGCAUGCUGUAAUUAUUAAUUUGAUUAUUAAUGUAUUGCAACUGCUGUGUAUUUUGUCAAAUGAUCUAAAACCCUAGAUACAGAUAGGAAAGUCACCACAACCUUUUCUUUUUCUGGGGAAUUGGAGUGGACAACUUCGGUCAAAUUUUUAUUUUUUUAUUUUUAUAAAAAAAAUUUUGCUACCAUGAAAUGAUGUACUUGCAAGAGUCUAACUUUCAUCACGAACAAAAAUCCCUUUAUGACAUUCGUUUAAUUAUAUCAAAAAGUUGAAAUUGUUGAAACAAAAUUGUUCAAAAAAAAAAUUGUUUUUCACCAAAGCGGUGACUCAAGACCAGCAAUAUUCUUGACCACUAAAGUCUCAUUACCUAAUUUCUAAUUAGGAUAACAUUAUUUAUAAUUUACCUUAAAAUGCAGUUGAACGACUUUCAGUUUCUUUGUUUAAUUAGUCAUUCGAGUUGAACUCCUAAAAAAGAUAUGAGUUAAAAAUAAUGUUUGGGCUAUGCUCCUUCCCCUUUAAUAAAACUUGAAAAAAUAAAAUAAAAUGAAUUCAUGAUGUGGUUUUAUCUCAAUAACAUUAUUACUGCUCCUAUGGGGGAUUUUCAAAUGUUACUAGUUAUAUAAAUGGUUUUAUCUCACCAAAUUUUAUUAUGCUGCGUUUACUUUUUGGAUUGGAGUGGGAAUCCUGAGGAGUGGGAAUCCUUGGAUUAGGAGUGUGGAGUGGGAGUGGGAGUAGGGUGUUUACUUAGACUAAAUGAAAGUAUGGAUUGUCAAUCAGAAUUCUAAUUAUUUGUUUACUUUGUCUUGGAUUGGAAGUAAAUUGUUUUAAAUUACAAUUUUAUCCUUAUGUACAGAAUUAUAAUUUGUAAUUAAAAAAUUAAUAAAAAAUAUAUUUGGAAAAUAAAAUAAAUAUUUUAUUAUAUUUAUAAAUUAAUAAUAAUUACUAAUAUUCUUAAUUAUGUAAAUCAUAAUUUUUUAUUAAUUUUAAUUUAAAUUAUGUGAAUAAAAAUUAUUAAUAAUAGCAACACAAAUGAAAUAUUAUUAUUGAUAAUAUAGUACAAAAUUAAUAUUUUUUUAGAAUAAAAUAUUUAUUAUUAUUAAUUAAAUAAAUAAUUAAUAUUUAUUAAAAUUAAUGUUUAAUAUUAUUAAUUUAAAUAUAAUAUUUAUUUAUUUUUAUUUUAUUAAAUUUAAUAAAAUAAAUAUGAUAUUAUUUUUUUAUUAAAUAUUAUUUAUUUAUUUUAUUAAAUAUUAUUUAUUUAUUUAUUUUUAUAAGGAUAAAAUGGGAAGAGGGGGGAGUGGAUUCCCACUCCCACCUCCCCCAUGGGAGUGGGAAUCCCACUCUCCACUCCAAAAUUGGGUGGGACCCACAGAUUCCCACUCCCACUCCCCCCUUUUUUAAGGUAAGUAAACACUGGUGUGGGAAGAAUCCACACUCCACACUCCCACUCCAGAAAGUAAACAUUACAUAAAUAUCUGAACUCUGUUAUAUAAUAGGCUAAUCCAUGCCAUUCUAAUAAAUAUCUAACUGCUAAUUCUAUAAACUAAAAGGAAAAAAAUAAUUGUACUUUUAGUAGUACAUAUACCAUGCUAGCGAUAUUGAAUGUUAAUUAAUUAUUAACAUUAAAUGUUAUCAAGAUGAUGACAUUAUCAUUAUUUUCUGUAAUUAAAAAUAUUGUAACACUACCGUAAUUAGGAUUUUUGACGAUCAUUUUCCAAGCAUCUCCAUCAAUGAUUUGGUUAUUAAGAAUCUCAAUAGUAAACAAAAAGGACAAUAACUAGUGGGACUCAAAAGCCAAUCAAAUACGGGUAUGGAUAGAAAAGGCAAUAUUAUGACAAAAUCCAUUUUCCUCUUCAUGCACCAAUCACUGUUGGAGAAUUAACAAAUAAAAUACACAAGAAACACACUAUUUUAUUUCUUCAACAACACUCCUCACCAACUACAACUCUUAUUUUUCACUCUCUACAACUUAGAGAUUUUGUUACUUCACUUAAUGCAUAAACCAAAGGGGAGAGGGGGUAUUUAUACAUGAAACAAACUAAUCACAACCAUUCAAUAAGAAAUUACAAAAAAUUAAUAACCAUUCAUCUUCACCUACCAAACCUACCACACCUAAGACAAAUAAUUCAAAUCUCACCAACCAUACCUACUCAUGUAACCUUCCAUGAGUUGAGCCUGAAUUUAUUCAUCUUAGAUCAAGUUUAUGAUCCAACACCCCCCCUUAAACUUGAUCCUGUGACACCAAGGAAACUUCUGAAUCUUACUAAGUCUUCUUACUUGAGCAGCUUGGUGAAAAUAUCAGCUGCUUGAUCUUGUGAUUUUACAUACUUGACUUGCACUUCUUUUCUUGCAAUACACUCUCUUAUGAAAUGAUAGCGAGUAUCUAUGUGUUUGCUUCGAUCAUGAAAGACUGGAUUUUUGGAUAAGGCAAUUGUUGGUUUGUUAUCAACGCAAAUCUCGCUUGGCUCUUCUUGUGGCAAACUUAACUUUUUCAGCAAAUUUCUGAGCCAAAUUGCAUGAUAAACACUUGAUGUGGUAGCUACAUAUUCAACUUCACAGGUGAAUAGCGUGACAAUUGGUUGUUUCUUUGACAUCCAUAUGAAAGUAGUAUCUCCCAUGAAGAGCACAAAUCCUGUGGUGCUCUUUCGAUCAUCUACAUCUCCACCCCAAUCCUUAUUGCUAUAUCCAACAAGCUUGUUGUUAUUAGAAAAUGAGUAUAACAAGCCAAAAUUAGUUGUACCUUUGAUAUAGCGAAGGAUUCUUUUUGUAACUUUAAAAUGAGUAGUCUUUGGAUUCUUCAUGUAUCGACUCACAAGUCCAAUAGCAUAAAGGAUAUCUGGUCUCGUGUAUGUCAAAUAACGUAGGCUUCCGACUAAACUUUUAAAGAAUGUUGGAUCUAUAUCUUCGCCUUCAUCAUGUUUGGAUAACUUGACUCUGAAUUCCACUGGUGUGCUUAUAGGCUUACAAUAAUUCAUCUUGAACCUUUUGAGAAUCUCCUUUGCAUAACUUUCUUGGGAGAUAAAUAUGCAUUCUUCCUUUUACUUGACUUCAAUGCCGAGGUAAUAUGCCAUCAGUUCAAUGUCAGUAAUCUCGAACUAUUUGAUCAUCACUCUCUUGAACUCUUCAAAUAAGCUUGGAUCCCUUCCAGUGAAGAUGAGAUCAUCCACAUACAAGCAUACAAUUAAAAUGUCUCCAUCUUUUUCUUUGACGUAGAGAGCAUGUUCAUAUGGGCAUUUGGUGAAGCCAUUCGUUUGAAAAUACUUGUCAAUUAUGCUAUUCCAUGCCCUUGGUGCUUACUUUAACCCAUGAAGAGCUUUCUUUAAUCUCAAAACUUUGUCUUCAUGUCCUUUCACCAUAUAGCCUAAUUGUUGUUCGAUGUAAACUUCUUCUUCAAGGAAUCCAUUCAAGAAAGCAGACUUCAUAUCAAUUUGAAAAAUCUUCCAUUUGUUAUGAAUAGCCAAAGAAAUAAUAAGUCUAAUAAUUUCAAGUCGAGCUAUAGGAGCAAAUACCUCGUCGUAGUCUAUGCCAGCCUUUUGACUAUAGCCUUUUGCAACUAACCUCGCCUUGUGCCUUUCAAUUUCUCCUUUCGCAUUUCUUUUCGUUUUGUACACUCAUUUGACAUCGAUCACCUUAUGCCCUUUGGGAAGGGUAGUAAGCUCCCAAGUAUUAUUCUUUACAAUGGAUUUGAUUUCCUCAUCCAUUGUAAUUCUCCACUUCUCAUUUAGUGCAACUUCUUGGAAGUUGACUGGCUCACAAAAGAAGCAAAAGAGAGUGAGCUUAUCAUGUCUCUCAGUUACCUCAUAAAGAUCUUGAAGACUCUUUGUACGUUCUUCGCUUCUUUCAUUUAAGAAAGAUGGCGGUGAAUCUCCACAUGUCUUUGAUGCUGGUGACAUAGGUGGAGUAGUUGUCUCUUGUUGCUCGUUUUACUCGUUUUAUCUGUGUAUGAUCAUCUUCUUCAAUGGGAAAUAAGUUGAAGUCAUCCAUACCAGAGCCAAAAUCUCAUUCUCCUUCUUCAUAAAAAGCUACAUCUCGACUUAUCACGAUCUUCCCGUUGUUUGGAUUGUAAAGCUUGUAUCCUUUGGAGUUGUUGUCAUAGCUGAUAAAGAUGGACUUCUCAAUUUUGUCAUCUAGCUCGGCUCUACUUUCGUCUAGUACAUGUACAUGGGCAAUGCUUCCGAAAACUCUUAGAUUAGUGAUGUCGGGCUUUCUUCCACUCCAAGCUUCUUAUGGCAUCUUGCCCCACACACUUCUUGUUGGAGAUCAAUUGGAUAAGUAGACUGCACAUACAACAGCUUUAGCCCAAAAUUCUUUAGGUAGUCUCUUACUCUUGAACAUGCUUCUUGCCAUGUCGAUGAUGGUUUUGUUCUUUCUUUCUGCAACGCUAUCUUGUUGCGGGGAUCUUGAAACUAUAAAAGGGCUUCGAAUUCCAUUUGCUUUCCAAAACUCUACGAAUUCUUUGGAAGUGAACUCUCCACCUCGAUCAGAUCUCAUGUCUUUAAUCUGGUAUACCCUUUCUUUUUCUACUGCAGCUUUAAACUUUUUGAAAGCUUCAAAGACUUUUGAAUUCUGCUUUAAAAAAUACACCCAAGUUUUUCUUGAAAAUCAUUUAUGAAGAGAAGAAAGUAGUUACUUUUACCAAAGGAGCUUGACUUGAAUGGACCGCACACAUCAGUAUGAAUGAACUUGAGUGGCUUCUGAGCUCUUGAGUUUGACUAAUUUGAAAAGCUCUUUCUGAACUGCUUGCUAAGUAAACACCCUUCACAAAGUUGAUCAGGGUGAUUGAUGCAUGGUAAGCCUUUCACCAUGUUCUUCUUAGAUAGUAGCUCCAGUCCUCUAAAGUUGAGAUGCCCAUAUCAAAGAUGCCAUGUCCAGGAUGGAUCUUUGUGACAGGCUUUGAGACAUUUUGCAACAUCAUUUUGAAUAUUUAAAGGAAACAUUCUAUUCUUCGAUAUUUUGACCCUUGUAAUUAGAUUUCCUUUGUCAUAUCUUAGGAAAAGACUACAAUCUUUUAAGUGAAUAUCAUAGUCUUUUUCCAAGAGUGGACCCAAACUAAAGAUGUUGUUUUUUAUAUUGGGCACAUAGUAAACAUUCAAAAUUAUUUAGUGGCUACCAUCUUUUGUAGGAAAAAGAAUGUUACCUUUACCACUUCACUGGUACUUUUGAAUCAUCUCCAAAAGCAACACUGUCAUUCACAGAUUCAUUUAGUUCCUUGAACAUGCUUCUAUUUCCACUCAUAUGAUUGCUAGCAACUGUGUCAAGAUACCAUGUAUUUUCUUGACUUACACUUGUGUUAUUGCGUGCUAGUAAAAAUGUGCCAUCUUCACCAUUUUUCUCUUCUACAUAAUUCACUCUCUCAUCAAUUCUGGUACUUGGAGUUCUACAUUCUGAAGCAUAAUGCCCAAACUUUUGACAAUUAUAGCAUUGUACUUGGGAUUUGUCAUACCUCGAUCUUGGAUUGCCUCCGCCUUGUCCUCUGGUUGAGCUUUGUCCUUUGGCAUAAUUGGAGUUGUUGUUGUUGAAAUUCUAACCUCGUUUAUGACCACGACCUCUACCUCGAACAUAAUACAUUCUCUCAUUUUCAGAGCUUUCUUCUCUUUCCUUUGGAUUGACUUCCAUAUUGAGAAGUUGUUCUUCUAUUCCUUACUUCUUUUUUAGUUUUUCUUCAUAGGCUUGCAACUUUCCUUGAAGUUGCUCAAUCAUCAUAUCCUCCAAAUCUUUUGUUUCUUCAAUUGUCACAACAAUAUGGUCAAACUUCGAGUCUAUUGAUCGAAAUAUCUUUUCAAUGAUCCUUACCUCGUUUAACUCCUCGCCAUUUCUUUUUAAUUCAUUGGAAACAGUCACAACCCGAGUAAAGUAGUAAAAAAUUGACUCUGAUGCCUUCAUGUGUAAUGACUCAAAUUUUUCUCGUAAUGUUUGGAGGCGAACCUUCUUAACUUGCUCCACUCUUUUGUAAGAAGUCUUUAGUUUCUUCCAUACUUCUUUUGAGGAGGUUGUACCAGCAAUCUUUUCAAAAGUAUAUUCAUCUAAUGAUUGAAAGAUGAGAUACUUUGCUUUAUUCUCUUUCUUCUUCAAGUCUUUAAAUUCUCCUUCUGCACCACAGUUAAAGUGACUUCAUUUUCUGGCACAAUAAAAAAUUUCUCCACUACAUCCCAUACAUCAUGUGCACCCAAUAAAGCCUUCAUUUUAAUACUCCAAUUGUCAAACUUACUUCCCUUUAAUUGUGGAACUUGAAAUGACAUUAUACCAUCAUUUGCCAUAACUCAUAAAUUGAGUGAGACUUUUGAGAUUCUGAAUGCAUGGAUGGAUCUGGUACGUCGAGAAACCUUGGGAGGGACUUGAGUCAAUUUUCGAUCAACGGUAAACGGUCAACGGCGGUAAACGGUCAACGGCGGUAAAUGGUCAACGGUCAACGGCAGUGUAGUUGACUUGGUUCGACCCGGGUUGGUUCGGUUCGAGUUGGCUCAGUUCGACUUGAUUCAGUUCAUCUCGGCACGGUUUGGUUCGAUUCGGCUAAACUUGGUUCAGUUUGGUUCAGCUUGGAUCAACUCGGUGAGUCAACUGAGCUUCAAAACAGAAAUAUUCUCGCAACAAGUGUGGAUGCGUUUGGCCUCCGAUCGGGCUGAUUUUUGCAGCGUUGCGUUCCUCUCGUUGAGAUCUUCGAUUUGAUAUGCUAUAUGACUAUAUAUAUCAUCGAACACUAACUCUGAUACUACUUUGUUGGAGAAUCAACAAAUGUAUCAUGGGGCUAUAAAAGAAAGAGAAGAAGAAAAGCUUUCAUUGGAAAUUUUUGGAUUCUUUAAGAUAUGAAACAGGAGAGACCUUGAAAAGAAAGAAAGGAAAAGAAAAGAAAACCUAAAACUGAGAUUUCUUAAACAAUGGGAGAGUAGAACAAAGUUAAAAAAUGGGAGUAAAUUCUUAAAAAUAUACCAAGGAGGAAAAUAAAGACCUAUGAAAAACAAAUUUUAAUGGGUGCUCUUAUGGACUUAAAAGAAAAAUGAUCCCAAUGUUAGUAUUAAAGACAAGUUUAGAUGGACACUCUCAUGUAGAAUCUAUUUAAUCACACAAUGAUAGUGAGUUUUUUAAAAUGUUAUCAUAAAUGAAAUUAGGUUACUAGACUUCUCUCUCUCUCUAUACAUAUAUAUAUGUAUGUGUAUCUAUAAAAUUAUUCUCAGGUGCACUCGUGCCUUCAUUUUUUUUAAUGCGGAUAUUUUAUUAAACCACAUGAUUUAACAACGUGUCUGCAUAAAUAAAAGGGGCACUUGUAUGAGAGAAUGACUAUGUGUAUAUAUAUAAUCACUUCUUACGAAGUAUUAGGCCUCCCCUAAAUCCUAAAAUGGGCAAUAUCAAUACAGUGCAAAGAAACAAGUUGUAAUUACAUUUUUCUAAAGAAAACUAUAGGAAAUGGUUUAAAUCAAGAUACUUGGGGUGCUUUUCGACACCUAAGUCACCCUUAACCAAGCUAGCUAAUUGGAGUCCAAUUUCAAUUAUAGAUGAAUUUAUCUUAAAAUUUCAGAUUGCAAGAAAAAAGGUUUUUAGAUCUUCCAAGGAAAGUUACGGGUGUGGGUUUUAAAUCAAGAUACUAAUUAGUAAUUAACCAUGCUAUACCAUCAUUGAAGUCUAAUUUCGAUUAUAUAUGUUUAAGUACUUCACUGCCUUCAUUAAUCUCAAACUCAUGUGAACUAGAUAGCAUCCAAACAAAUUACCAAAGCAUAAUUUUCUAAAUUGUUUAGAAGAUCACAACUGUUACAAGUGAAGAGAUUUUAGAUCUAGGGAUUUCAAAUCUUAACACUUAUUUCUCCUUAAAUCUUAAAGUCAAACAGCGAAAAUUUUCUUCCAAAACCCAUUUAUGAGAGAAUGAAUAUUUCUGUUAAAAGUUUAUGACAACAAAUUACUGCUAAUAAAUGACCAUUUUGUACGUUUUCAAGCAUCUGCAGACUGCAAAACUAAAAAGCCAGCAUCUCAAAACAAUUGGGAAAAUAUUAAAAAAUAUAUGCAAAAAAAAAGAAGAAACAAACUUAAGGAUCUUGAAAAACUUGUCAAAUUUUGGAUGCCACAUUGAAAAUAUUAAACUGCAAUUUUUUUCUUUUUUUAAAAAAUAAUUUUUUCUUUGUCACAAAUGAGAUUGACUAACAUACCCUCGAAUAGAAUCUAACUACAGUACCACUAUUUGGAUUCUUAGUCGAUAAAAAAUAUCUUUGAAAAAAUUAGGGUUUUUUGUUUUCGACGUAUUUGUCCAAGAAAGAUUUUAUGUUUUGGAUUUUGGUCUUGUCAAUGGUGAGUGAGUACUGAUUUUCAAGUUUGUCUAUACGUUGAAUUAAUUGUAUAUUUUAUUAGUGGGGUGUAUAGCAUAUACAUAGAGAGAGAGAGAGAGAGAGAGAGACGACAGCCUUGUGAAUAUCAUUAUGCUGCUUCCUGCAAAUCUUAUACGAUUGUUGUUGAAAUUUUGUACCUUGAUAAGAGCAUUCAUUGAUAAAUAUGUUUCAGUGUUAUAAGACUUUUGAUGAACGUCUAGGGAGUCAUCUUAAUUUGAGAUGUAUGGUACAUGCAUGAAACGUGUGUAGGAAUUGAACUGUAGUGAUACAACAUUAAUCAAUUUAACCCAUUGGAUACAAAAUUUAAGUUAUUAUAGACCAUGAUAGUGUUGAAUGCCAAUUCACAUCAAGCGGAAUCGGUGUUAGAAGUCAUGUAGAUUUAAAGAGAUUAAUAAGGUAAUGGGUUCGAAAAAUAAUUGAAAUUGACACAGUAAUUAAAUCUGUAAGAAUUUGAAUGUGAAACUUUAUUUGUUUUGAUACUGUAUCUGCGAAACUAUUAAAAUUUUGUAAUAAGGAGCAAAACUAAUGGAAAGUCUUAAUUGAUAGAAAUUGACUGAGUAAAAAAUUGAACACCACUAAACACUAUCUCUAAUACUGUGUAAUUAUUGUUUCACUGAAUUACAAGCUUAAAGUAUUAAUCCAAUGCCCAAAAUUAUUAAUUUUAAACGAAAAAAAGAAAAAAAAAAGAAAGACGCAACUUACAGUUUUAACUUUAUAAAAAGUUUCAUUAGCCAAUAUAUAGAUUUUGUUUUUAUUUUUUAUUGUAGAAAUAAGGGAUUUGCUAUGCUGGUUAUGCUCUAACUUAGAGCAUCUCCAACAUCAAUUUCCAGAAGUAAGAAGUCAAGGGUUCAAUCUAAUGCGUAACUAAUCGGUCGUGGUUUUGUUCAAUAAUUUCGCAAAACAAGCAGAAAUGAAAUAAAAUUAUAUACCACCAUAAUUAAUUAAUUAAUUAAUGAUGUUUAGAUUUUUUGCUUGAUUAUAUAUCAAUUCAUCAAAAUUUUAUUAAGAUUACAAAUUUAACUAAAUUGUCGGGGUCUGAAUGAUUUUUAUUUUAAACAUAUUUUUUAUGAAUUUACAAGCAUAGGUUUCAAUGGAGUGAAAUUGUAAGGGUAUGGUAACUAAAUCUUGUUUCUUAUUGUUUAAUGAUAAAGACUAAAUUCAAUAUGAAGUGGUUUGAUAUUGUAAAUGCAUUGCAGGUAAAUUGAAAUUUUUUAUACGAUGGGAGGAAGUGUGGUUGAUGAUGAUUGGGAGCUUACUUCUCCAUCUAAUGGGGUGCGCACUGUGGUUUUUGUUGCCCAUACGGGCAAUGGCAAAAGUGCGACGGGCAAUAAUAUUCUUGGAAGAAGAGCCUUCAAGUUGAGGGCUAGCUCGUCUGGUGUUACUAGUACUUGUGAAAUGCAGAGAACCGUGUUCAAAGAUGGCCAAGUUGUUAAUGUCAUUGAUACCCCCGGUAAUUUACUAAUGUCAUUGCCUAGAUAUUCCAUUUCCAUGCCUGUUGGUGUUGUGGUGGUAAGUAGAUUGAUUUUAUGGUAAUAAAAAAAAAAGUAGAUUGAUGUUAUGAGCAUGAUACACUGAGAAGAUCCUUCAGAAUUCCAUGGAAAAAUCCCAAGUUUUUGGCUUGAACAUUCGUAUCCCAUCAAUUACCUCCAGUAUUAACCCGCCUAUAAAAGUUUCCACGAGAGCCUUUUGAGUCCACCCCUAUACCCGAUUGCCCAAUUUCUCGAAUUCACAUUGAUAAUCCCGAAGAGAUCCACUUUGUGUUAUAUGUGAGAGAGCCUCGUCAAAGUCUUCUCCAUUUGUUGGUCCAAACCGUGCCUAUAGUUGUUCAGCAAACAUAGUCCACGUCACUGUUUGAUUUUCUUCCUUGUAUGUCUGAUUCAACCAUUGCCACCAUUGGUUCGCUUCACCUUCCAGGUGGAAAGAUGCCAAGCUCACCUUUUGAUCUUCAGGAGUUCUUUGAAAUUCAAAGAACUGUGCCACUCUAUUGAACCACUCUGUUGGAUCAUCUCCUGCAAACCGCAGAAACUCAAUUUUGGCUCGAAGAUGGGGUAUGUUCCAACGAGAACUUUUUGUUUCGUCUUGUUGGUACUGAUGCAUGUGUCCUUGCUUCACUAAGUGCAACGACUGAGAUGCCUUUGAGGAGAGAACCGCAUCGAAUAAAGCCUUCAAAGACUCCUCUAAGCGUUGCAUAUGAUCGUUCGUUCCGAGCCCAAGCUUAUGCACCUCAUCCUGUAAGCCUCCCACUCCUUGCUCCAAUAUUUCAAUGCGCACUUUGUUGGUUGUCAUUGUAGCUCUGAUACCACUGAUAGGUCCUAGUCAGAUUACAAUGAAAACUCAAUAAAUUUGGCUUUCUUUAGGUGAAAGUCAACCCCAGCUUUGAGCAAAAUUCUUCACGUUCUUAUUCAGUUCCAAAUAAACUCCUUAAAUAGAAUUUCAAUACAUCAAACCGAUAGCAGCACUAACUCCUAAACUUCAGCAAGUUAAAACCAUGACAUAACUAUAAUUCUGGAGGUGACUAACCACCUUUGACUAUGACCAUGCAAUUUGAAAUAAAAACAACAACUAAACUGAAAAAGGACAAGUCAAUCUUAAGCUAAAAACUUGGGAUUUUUCUUGGGAAUUAUGAAGGAUCUUCUCGCUGUAUCAAAAACACUAAAAGAGGCCAUCAAUUUAUCCAGGACGAGAGACGAACAGCUUACACGACAAAAGAGGUUUACUCGGCUAAUCCUACAAAAUCAUCCGCCGGCUGCCGUCACCCCGGUCAAUCAAAUAGCAGCGAUAACUCCUAAACACUUGGGCUAAGAAGAGAUGCAAAAACGACGAGCUCAAGGGCUAUGUUUCAACUGCAACGAAUGAUUCACACUAGGCCGUAAGUGCCAAGGGCCUCGACUUCUACUCAUCCAAGGCCAUGAUAAUUCUCAGGAGAAUGAAGAAGAGACAGAGAGAGAAGGUAACAGAGAAGAGGAGUUGGAAGUUUCUAUACAUGCUUUGACCAGAUGGUCAUCUCCAUGGACCAUGUGAGUAGCUGCUUCCAUCAAGUCGCAACCAAUAGUGGUGUUAAUCGAUAGUGGAUCUACAAAUAAUUUUUUGAACGAAAAAGUAGCUAGCACAUUGUGGCUCCUAGUGGUUCCUACGAAGUCUUUCACAUUCCAUGUCGCCAACGGAGAACGACUCACGUGUCAAGGGCGAUAUGGGAAAGUACUGAUCGAUUUACAAGGCAUUCAAUUCUCUCUUACUUUCUACUCUUUGCCAUUAAUAGGACUAGACAUGGUAUUAGAAAUACAAUGGUUGGAAAUGCUGGGGUCGGUAGUUUGUAAUCGGAAGCAUUUAACCAUGGAUUUCAAUUGGGACAAUCAAGCACGAAGGCUGCAAGGGAUACAAAAGCCUAUUCAAGUGACUUCAUUAGAGACUGUUGCAAAAGAGCAUCGAUAGGGUCAGAUGGUCUUUGUUGUUUAUAUUUAAAACUUGGAAGACUCUUCCUGGGAUGGCAUUCAACCAAAUAUGCAGCAACUUUUAAGCAAAUGUGAGGAUGUCUUUCAAGAACCCUCUAAACUGCCACCACUAUGAGAAAUCGACCACCAUAUACCCCUUAAUGAAGGAACCCAGCCCAUCAAUGUACGACCAUAUCGAUAUGCGUAUUUUUAGAAGGCAGAAAUUGAAAAACAAGUGAAGUAAUGCUGAAUGUAGGAAUCAUCAGACCAAGCACUAGUCUAUUUUUGUCUCAUGUCCUUCUAGUAAAAAAAAGAUGAUACUUGGAGGUUUUGCACAGAUUACAGAGUAUUAAACGCCGCCACGAUCAAAGAUCGAUUUCCCAUUCCAAUAGUGGACGACAUGCUUCCGACAUUCUGAAAACUGCAUUUAGGAUACGUAAUGGACAUUUUGAGUAUCUUGUUAUGCCCUUUGGGUUAUGUAAUGCUCCAUCUACUUUUCAAGCCAUAAUGAAUUCUAUUUUUCAGCCUUCUCUUCGAAAAUUCAUAUUAGUUUUCUUUGAUGAUAUAUUAGUCUAUAGUCCUACAUGGGAAUUGCAUUUAACUCAUGUAAGGAAGACAUUAGAAAAUUUGAAGAAACACAGCUUCUUCGUCAAAGCAAACAAAUGUGACUUUGGUAAGCAUGAAUUGGAGUAUUUAGGCUAUAUCGUGACAAAUCAAGGUGUCAAGGUAGAUGGUAAGAAGAUUGAGGCUAUGGUUGCGUGGCCACAACUCACUAAUUCUAUUGAAUUGUGUGGGUUUUAGGCUUGACAAGCUAUUCCAUGAAGUUUGUCCGCAAUUAUAGAGUACUAGCUCGUCCCCUUACCAACUUGCUCAAGAAGGGGAAUUUCAAAUGGGAUGAGGAUGCUGCUAGUGCGUUCACAAUGCUCAAACAAGCUAUGACAACCACACCCACUCUCGCCAUGCCUAAUUUCAACGAGCCGUUCACUAUCGAGACUGAUGCUUCCGGGGAUGGAAUUGAAGUUGUUCUCACUCAGCAAGGGAGACCAAUUGCAUACAUGAGUAGAGCUUUGGGGAUUGCUAAACGUACCUGGUCAAUCUAUGUGUUGAGUGUUAGAAAAUGUAUAUUUAUAAAGGAGAAAAUUGUUGUUUUACAAUUCAAGUUUUACUAACACCCUUACUUUUAUGUAUUUAAGCUUCUUGUUAUUUAAUUAUGCGUGCUUUAUUUUAAUUAAGUAUUUUAUGUAUUUUAGGGGUAUCAUGGUCAUUUCACAAUGAAUAAGAAAUUAGACGGUAAAACGGACAUCACUUUUGAACUCAAGACAGUCGAAAACCUUAGGAGGAGCAUAAAAGGAAAAAUAUCAUUGUUCACAUGUACGGUAUUGUCUACGUUACUGUUCACGACACUGUUUACAUAGACAGAUCGAUGACAUGGCAUUGACCGAUGAUGUGGCAUUGACUAAUGAGGUGUUACGAUUCCAUUGGAGAGAAUUCUUAUACACUAUUGAUCGGUGACGUGGCAGCAUGUUAGUGGACCAAAAAUUGUGUACGGUACAUGCAUAUACACAGGAUUAUUUUCAACCAAACUGCGUCAUUGUUCAAACCAGUUGACUGUUCAAACUGCGUAGUCAAACCGUGUCACUGUUCAAAACUCAUGGUCAAACCGCGUACUGUUGACUGAUGACGUGGCACAAUCCUGAGCGUCCAAAUUGUUUUUAGUCCGAUGGCCAUGAUUUACUCCAUAUAUCUAUAAAAAUUGGACCUCUCCCCCUUAAUUUGGCAUCUUUGAAUCCUUUUUUGGACUCCAUUUUCUGUAAUUCUUUUUCUAUCUUGUAUUUUCUACGUAUUUUAAUAGAUUUUCAUUUUACCCCUAGUUCAAUUAUGAGUAGCUAAUUUUCUUUCAAGCUUGGGUUGAAUGUGAAGUCUCAACAUGUGUCAUGGGCUUUAUUUGGUAAAUUUACUUUCUCUUCCCCUCUAAUUUUUGUGGAUGAUUUGACUUUUCGUCGACAAAUAAUACUAAUCUUGUCUAGAUACUGCACUGGUUUCACCGGCUUUCUAGUAUAAGGUUAUUAUUAUUUGGCACGAUAAGCCCUUAAUACCAUAUUAAUUAGAGCGUGGUUCAUGAGGUGUGGAUACCCCCCUCAUGAUUUAAUUGGCACUAAUAAGGAAUAUUUAGCCCAUGGUGCAUGUUGAUACGGAUCCAGAUACCCAAGUACGUAAUUUCAAUAGAUUUCUCUUCAAUUUAUUCUCGCCAUUUCAAUUCCAAUUUUAGGAUAAUCUAAGUCACUUUCACCACAAAUCCAACCACCCAUUUAGAAAAAUUAAUUCUACGCAUAAUUAAAAUUCACCUCCUCGUGGGAUCGACACUCGUCACCAUUGAUUUAUUCUACAAUAGAUUCGUGUACUUGCGAGUUCAAUAAAAUUUGUACAACACUAUGCCAAAGAGAUGUUAGCAAUUCUGGAGGCCAUUCGGACAUGGAGACCAUACAUCUUGGGUCAGAAGUUUUUCAUUCAAAUCGACCAACAAAGUCUCAAAUUGUAACACCCUAGGCGAAUCCCACAUCGGCAAAGCACGGGAGAGAUGCUGGAUUUAUAAGGGGUGAUCCACACCUUAAUUGGCAAGACGCAUUUUGGGGUGUAUGGGCGCCCAAGAAACAAAUCAGUGCGGGCCUUGUUAAGGCUCAAAGCGGACAAUAUCUUGCCAGGUCUGGGUUGGGUCAUAACACAAAUACUUCUUAGAGCAGCGAGUAGCCACUCCUGAUCAGCAGAAAUGGGUUGCUAAGCUUCUUGGAUACGAUUAUGAGAUAAAAUAUCAGCCUCAAAAAGAAAAUUUAGCGGCGGAUGCUUUAUCUUGCCCCCCAACAACCCUCUCCUUAAUCCAAUAUUUAUUUCACAGGUUUCCUUAUGGGAUGACAUUCGAAAGGCAACAGAAAUAGAUUUGUACAUGAAAAAAAUAUUCCAGCAGGCAGCAAAUGAUCUUACAAGCAAUUAUGUAGUGAAGAAUGGGCUAUGUUUUUACAAGCAAAGAGUGGUGGUUCCGCCUGCACUACGAGAUCAGCUGCUCCAGGAGUUUCAUGACAGUAAGGUGGCUGGACAUUCUGGAGUUCUAAGGACUUUCAAACGGCUAACUCAAUAAUUUUAUUGGCCCUCUAUGCACAAAUCUAUACAAGAGUACAUUCAAUAAUGUGCAACCUGCCAAAAGACGAAAUCCGAGACACUAGCACUAGCUGGACUGCUCCAACCACUCCCAAUUCCUUGUCUAGUUUGGGAUGACAUCUCGUCAGAUUCAUCGAAGGAUUGCCAUCUUCACUUGGUAAGGAUAGUAUUAUGGUGGUUGUGGAUCGCUUUAGUAAGUCUGCUCAUUUCAUUCCUUUAUCUCAUCCUUUCUCUGCAAAAAUCAUUGCAGAAAAGUUUGUGGAACAUGUUAUUAAACUUCAUGGAAUGCCGAAGUCUAUCAUUAGUGAUCGAGACCCUAUUUUUAUAAGCAAAUUUUGGCAAGAGUUUUUUACCAUGUCAGGUACUAAGCUGAAGCUUAGUUCAGCUUAUCAUCCUCAAAUGGAUGGACAAAUGGAGGUGGUGAAUUGUUGUCUCGAAUAGUAUCUACGAUGUUUCGUCCAUCAGUGGCCUCGUAAAUGGUAUAGCUAUCUGCCAUGGGUAGAGUAUUGGUAUAACACCACAUAUCUUUGCUCGACGGGGAUGACACCAUUUCAAGCCUUAUAUGGUUGCCUUCCUCCAUCCAUUCCUCACUAUACAGAGGGUUUGUCUCGUGUUAGAAUGAAAUAUGUGGCUGAUCAAAAGAGAAGAGAAGUGGAGUUUCAAUUACGAGAUUUGGUGCUCCUAAAACUGCACCCCUACUACCAACAAUCUGUGUUCAAAUGCGCCCAUCACAAACUUGCCAACCGGUUCUAUGGCCCAUUUCCAGUUGAGCAAAAGCUGGGGCAAGGUAGCUUACCGUCUUUGUUUACCACCUGCAGCUCAAAUUCACCCAGUGUUCCAUGUUUCUCUCUUAAAGAAGUAUGUGGGUACUUCUCUUCCUACCGUUAUUGACCUGCCACCAAUGUCUGAUAAAGGACAGAUUCAAGUUGUGCUGGAGAAGGUGAUCGAUACAAGAUGGGUCAGGCAUGGUACCAAGUUUAUUGAAGAGAGUUUGGUGUAGUGGAAGACUUUGCCUGUGGAAGACACUACUUGGGAGGAAACAUCGAUGCUCAAACAUCAAUUUCAUGCGUUCAACCUUGAGGACAAGGUUCCGCUUAUGAGGGGAAGUAUUGAUACACUGAGAAGAUCCUUUAGAAUUCCUAGAAAAAAUCCCAAGUUUUUAGCUUAAGAUUGACUUGUCCUUUUCCAGUUUAGUUGUUGUUUUUAUUUCAAAUUGUGUGGUCAUAGUCAAAGGUAGUUAGUCAUCUCUAGAAUAAUAGUUACGUCAUGAUUUUAACUUGCUAAAGUUUAGGAGUUAGUGUUGCUAUCGGUUUGAAGUAUUGAAACUCUAUUUAAGGAGUUUAUUUGGAACUGAAUAAGACGUGAAGAAUUUUGCUCAAAGCUGUGGUUGACUUUCACCAAAAGAAAACCAAAUUCAUUGAGUUUUCAUUGUAAUUUGACUGGGACCUAUCAGAGCAAUUGCAGGACUUUUUUAUUUUUCUACUGGCUCUAAGUUUGUCGGCAAGGAUCCAUGCAGUCCUUGUAGUUUUCUCUGUUAGGAACUGCUUUUCUCAAGAGAAAGAAGCUGCUCUACACAGUUGGCAGACCUUGUUCGGGAAAAAAGUUUGACUAUAUGAUUGUUGUUUUUACUAGAGGGGAUGAACUUGAAGAUAAUGACGAAACAUUAGAAGAUUAUUUGGGUUGUGAGUGUCCAAAGCCUUUAAUGGUUUGCUUCUGAACGGCAAUAGUGUUUGAUAAUUUCAUUAGUCACUUUGAUCAAGUUGUCUUGGGUUGGUUCUUUUUUGAAGUUUUAGACUCCUUUACGGUUGGACUAUUCGAAGUUUAAUAUGAAUAUAUGCAUGCUGAAAAUACUAGACAGGUUCAUAGUAGUCCAACCGUCUUAAAGUUCCAUAUUCAAUAUUGCUUUAUUUCCUGAAUGAUUUUCUUCUGCCAUGGGGUAUUAGCUGGAGGGGGUGAUUGGUUGGUAAUUUUCUACUGGCAUUACUUAAUUUUAGUUAUAUUUUAAUGUCUUUGAAUGAGAUGUCAUUCAUUCAUUUGCUAAGCAUUUAUGCUUUUCUUAUUUGUAUUCUUUGAUUUCAUCUGUUAUUUAAUCUUUGGUUCUUAUUCUAUUAAUGUGUGUUCAUUUGUUUAUUCCUUCAAAUAUGUACAUCAUUGAUUUCUAUGCUUAAAAUUAACCUACUUUAAAGAUUUUAGAAGUGCGCCAAGGAGGACAUGAAUUGCUAUACAGGUCCAUUUUAUUAGGCGCUGUUUGAAUAAAAUAUCAAGUCUAACUUUACAAGAUUUAAAAUUCUCUUAAAAAUCCAUGUGGAUUCUAGCCCCAAAAUUGGUGUCUAAAAUUUCAAUGUGAGAUCGCUUUUCAGUUUUAACAUGCAAAUCUCCUAUAUUCAGCAUUUACUUGAUGAAUUUGUUUCCUAAAACUUUUCAAGUUGAGAAAGAUUUAUAUCGAGUUCCUCUAUUUUACUGCAUACUUGAUUAAACCUAUGAGGAGUUGCAAGAAAAAUAACAAAAAUGGAGAUAAAGACCCUUCAAGUUAUAGCUUUGCAAUUAACACAAUCGAUUUAUUUUACAGUUAAAGUGAGCUUUGUUUUUCUUAUUGUAGUAAUUUUUGUAGUUUGAAGGAAUCAAAAUUUUUUAAUUAUAAUGCCGCAAAAUUUGGUCAAUUAUGUAGAUGCCACAGAAAAUAUGAUCAUGUCUUUUGGUUUGAGCUUUGGUCACUUGAGUUUGUUUAUGACAAUAGUACAAUCUUUCAGGCUUCGUUCUAUAAUGUAAGAAUUUGCCUAGUGAAGAGGCAACUACUGAUUUAUAGCCACUAAUUUUUAUUGGGUCAAUGCUUUUCACUGGAAUAUAUGUAGAUUAUUAUUAUUAUUAUUAUCAUUAUUUGUUGUAUGGAAUGCUGAUCACCUUAUUGUAAGUGGUCAACCCAUAAAGAGAAUGGAAAUAAUUAUUAAAAUUUGAUUAUGGCUUGCCCUUAAAUAGUUUUUGAGGAUGCAUGAUAUUAAGUAUCAAUUAUAACAAUAAAAAUAAAAUUUUGUCAACUGAAUACCUUCAAACUUUUAGAGACUACAAGUGUUUGAUUGGUUUAUCAAUGCUUACAAAAAGGGCCAACAUUUGCUUUAUUCCUAAUCAUUUUUCCAUUAUUUUAGGAAAUCCUUCAACUAUGUGAUAAUAGGUGUGUGCUUUUUGAUAACAAGACCAAGGAUGAGGCCAAGAGAACUGAGCAAGUUUAGAAGCUUCUUUCUCUGGUUAACUCUGUGGCCAUGUAGAAUGAUGGGCAGCCAUAUACAAACGAUAUCUUUGCCGAGUUGAAGGUGACUUCAUUACUAUAAAGUGUGCAAGUACUUGUAAAUUGUGAGACUUGGAGGAGGCAAACACUGCCGCUGUGUCCAUACUCCUAGAUUGUUAGAGAUUGCCAUAUGAAAGGAGGUUUUAUCUUGCUAGUUAAUGGGGACAAAUUUGUUAUUAAGUUAUAUGUUCAUUGAUUGUGUUUUGAAGGCUGUAACAUAUUGUUCUUACCUUGAAGAUUGUUUGACUGUCUUGUUCUGUUUUGUUUCUUGAUGAAAUUAAGUAGAUUACUCUAUGGUAGUAGCUAUAGGUGGUUUGCUGAUCAUGACUUGCACUUAGGAAUGGAUUCUGCACUUGUUUAGUCAUCAAUCAUAAGAACAUUUCUUGUAAUACUGUAGAUCCUGUUUUGUUGCUAGGAAUUUUGCACUCUUGAAUCUUUGGGAACAUUUGAAAUGUUGUAAGCAAGUUAUGUCAUAUUUGUUGAGUGUUAGAAAAUGUAUAUUUAUAAAAGAGAAAACUGUCAUUUAACAUUUCAAGUCUUACUAACACCUUUACUUUUAUGAAUUUAACAUUCUUUUGAUUUAAUUCCGUUUGUUUUAUUUUAAUUAAGUAUUUUAUGUAUUUUAGGGGCAUCAUAGUCAUUUCACAAUAAACGAGAAAUCAGAUGGCAAAACGGACAUCACUUUUGAACUCAGGACGGUCGAAAACCUUAGGAGGAGCAUAAAAGGAAAAAUGGCACUGUUCACAUGUACGGUACUAUUCUCGUGUACGGUACUGUAUACAUUACUGUUCACGACACUGUUCACAUAGACGGAUGAUGACGUGGCAUUGACCGAUGAUGUGGCAUUGACUGAUGAGGUGUCACGAUCCUGUUGGGCUAAAAUUCUUAUGUACUGUUGAUGGUGACGUGGCAGCAUAUCAGUGGACGAAAAAUCUCGCGUACGGUACAUGCAUCACACAGGAUUAUUUUCAACCAAACCGCGUUACUGUUCAUCUGAGUCAAACCGCGUUACUGUUCAUCCGAGUCAAACCGCGUUACUGUUCAUCCGAGUCAAACUGUGUUACUGUUCAUCCGCGUGGUCAAACCGCGUACUGUUGACUGAUGACGUGGCGCAAUCCUGAGCGUCCAAACUGUUUUUAAUCCGAUGGUUAUGAUUUACUCCAUGUAUCUAUAAAAAGGGGGCCUCUCCCCCCUAAUUUGAUAUCUUUGAAUCCAUUUUUGGACUCCAUUUUCUGUAAUUCCCUCUCCAUCUUGUAUUUUCUUCGUGUUUUAAUAAAUUCCCAUUUUGCCCCUAGUUCAAUUAUGAGUGGCUAAUUUUCUUUUAAGCUUGGGUUGAAGGUGAAGUCUCAACAUGUGUCAUGGGCUUAAUUUGGUAAAUUUAUUUUCUCUUCCCCUCUAGUUUUUGUGGAUGUUUUGACUUCUCGUCGACAAAUAAUAAUAAGCUUGUCUAGAUACCGCUUUGGUUACACCGGCUCUCUAGUAUAAGGUUAUUAUUAUUUGGCACGGUAAGCCCUUAGCACCAUAUUGAUUAGAGCGUGGUUCAUGAGGUGUGGAUUCCCCCCUCAUGAUUUAAUUGGUAUUAAUAAGGAAUAUUUAGCCCAUGAUGCAUGUUGAUACGGAUCCCGAUACCCAAGUACGUCAUUUCAAUAGAUUUCGCUUCAAUUUAUUCUCGCCAUUGCAAUUCCAAUUUUAGGAUAAUUUAAAUCACUUCCACCACAAUUUCAACCAUCCAUUUACAAAAUUAAUUCUACAUAUAAUUAAAGUCCACCUCCUCGUGGGAUCGACACUCGUCACCAUUGAUCUAUACUACAAUAGAUUCGUGCGCUUGCGAGUACAUUAAAAUUUGCACAACAAGUUUUUGGCGCCGUUGCCGGGGAGGUAAGUAAUUUUAAUUCAUAAAAUUAAUUUUUGUGAAUAAUUUCUUUUAAUUGUUUUCUUGUAAUUUUUUUAAUUAAAAAAGAAAAAAAGAGUGAAUUUACAUUUUGAGCUAAGAAUUUUAUUUAUUUAUUUUCUCUCUUCUUUAAAAUUCUGUAAUUUAAUUUUGAAUUUAUUUUUCUUUGUAAUUUUUUUUAUCUUAUUAAUUUAUUUUUAUUUAAUUUAUUUCACGUAUUUGUUUUUGUGUAUUUUUAUAGUAAGGUUGUAAUAGCACAAUAAGGUUAGUAUCGUAAUUUCUCCCUCUUCUUUAUUUUUAUUUGUUUUGUUCCCAUCUUUAUUUUUAUUUUUAUUUUAUUUGUUUUGCAUGCAUGGUCGUAGGUCAUUAUUACAUAAUCUUGAACCUAUAGACCUUGAAUUAGAAAAAGCACUUCGCACACAAAAGCACAUUAAAAAUAAAUUUGGAAUGGAUUUACAAGCACCACAAGAGAGGCCAUUUAAGGACUAUUUUAGUCCCUUAGCUAAUUUGAGCACAUCAUGCAUAAGAUACCCAAAUGUAGCUGCUAGGAGUUUUGAAUUAAAACCCAGUGUGCUAAAUUGUCUCCCAACAUUUUAUGGCCUAGAAAAUGAGGACCCAUAUAAUCAUCUGAAUGAUUUUCAUGCAAUUUGUCAAACUUUUAAAUAUGAAAAUUUUUCAGACGAUGAUGUUAAACUCAGAUUAUUCCCAUUUUCUUUAAAGGAUAGAGCUCGUUCAUGGCUUAAUACAUUGCCUGCCAAUAGCAUUGCAUCAUGGGAACAAAUGGUAACUAAAUUUUUGAAUAAAUAUUUCCCAGUGCAUAAAACCAAUGCUAUUCGCAGGGAAAUUUCAGAGUUUACACAGAGAGAGGACGAGCAAUUUUUCGAAACAUGGGAGCGAUUCAAUGGGCUACUCUUGAAGUGUCCACAUCAUGGGUAUGAGAAAUGGCACCAAUGCCAAUACUUUUUGGAGGGAUUAUUGCCAAAUGUGCAAGAAUGGCUAAUGGCAACGAGUGGAGGAGAGCUAAUGUCAAAAAGUGCAUCAGAGAUUUGGGAAUUCUUCCAGCGACAAGCAGAUAAUUCCCAACAACGGAGUCGAUCACUCAGGACUACUAGAAGAAUUAAAGGAGUGAAUGAGGUUCAAAUUGGCGAGCCAACUUCGGGAAUCAAAAAAGUCAAGGAGAUGGUUGAAGGUCUUGCUCGACAAAUAACAUCGUUAUCGACUGCAAAAUCAACAGAACCACAUGACAAUGACUCAUAUCCAGACCAAGCCAAUGCCAUAGGUAUAAUGAGAAAGCCAUCAAACUACAACCCAUACUCCAACACAUAUAACCCUGGAUGGAGAGACCACUUCAAUUUUUCAUGGUCUCAAGGAUUCCAACAGAAUAGACCAACAGCUCUAGCUCCACCAAUGCAACAAAUUCCUCAAGCCUCUCAGCCCCCAUUUAGACCAUUCAAUCAGAAUCAGAACUACUCUCAACUCAGACCAUGGGAGGAUGCAUUCCAGAAUCUCAAGAAUGUUACUCACUCCACAAUUGAGCAACAAAACCGCACUAUUGAUGGACUACGAAAUGAGUUGAGAGCGGGCUUCAAUUCACAAGCCCAAUCAGUUUCAAGCCUCGAGAAGAUGGUGGGACAACUUGCCUCCUCAGUUCAAACCUUGGCAAUGACUGUUGAGAAAGGCAAAUUUCCAAGUCAACCAGUGCCUAAUCCUAAAGGAGUACAUGAAGCAAGUACUAGUUCACCACAGCAGCAUGGAGAGGUCAAAGCAAUCAUGACCUUGCAAAAAGGAAAGGAAGUCGACAACAAAGUGGAGAUGCCGGUGGCAAAAGAAAAUCAAAUUGUACCUGUGAAUGUUGAUGACUCAUCACCGGAGGAGAAAGAAGAAACUAACCCACGAGAAUAUGUUCCGAAAGCUCCAUUUCCUCAGAGGUUAGCUAAAGGAAAAAAGGGAAAAUCCAGAGGUGAGAUUCUUGAAAUCUUCAAACAGGUAAGUAUUAACAUCCCUUUACUUGAUGCGAUUAAACAAGUUCCAUCUUAUGCCAAGUUUAUUAAAGACCUUUGUACUAAAAAGAGAAAUAUGCAUGUUCAAAAGAAGGCAUUUUUAACAGAAAACGUUAGUUCUAUACUCCAACAUAAAAUUCCUUUAAAAUGCAAAGACCCAGGCUCCCCCACUAUCUCAUGUAGUAUAGGGAACCACACAAUUGAGAAUGCUUUGUUGGAUUUAGGAGCUAGUGUAAAUCUGUUGCCUUAUUCAGUAUUCGUAAAACUUAGACUGGGAGAAUUACACCCAACUCCAGUGGUGUUACAGCUUGCAGAUCGGUCCACGAAAAUACCUCGUGGCAUUGUGGAGGACGUGCUUAUCCAGGUAGACAAGUUCUAUUUUCCUGUUGAUUUCAUUGUAAUUGACACUCAACCAAUACAGGAUUCAAGGAAGCACAUCCCCAUUAUUCUAGGCCGACCUUUCUUGGCAACUGUGGAUGCUCACAUUCAAUGCAGGACUGGAAAUAUGCAGUUGUCCUUCGGCAACAUGACUAUGGAGUUGAACAUCUUUAACACUGCCAAACAACCUCACAGUGCAGAUGAUGGAAUUGUUGAUGUGGAUUUAAUUGAAACAAUAGUUGAUAAUACUUUUCUUUCAAACCUUAGUGAUCCUUUACAAACAUGUUUUACUCACUUUGGUUUAGAUUUUGAUAUUGACAGAUCAGUUGAUGAGGUCAACGCCCUACUUGACUCAGCACCAUCCAUGGACACUAAUAAAUGGAAGUCAAGAGUUGAACAACUAGCACCAUUAGAGAAGAAACUCAUCCCAUCAUCAGAAUCACCACCGAAACUCGAGCUCAAACCAUUACCCAACACAUUGGAGUAUGCAUUUUUGGGGGAAGAAAAUACUCUACCGGUAAUCAUCUCAUCAUCCCUCAAUGAGGAACAAAAAGGUAAGUUGUUGGAUAUUUUAAAAGAGCACAAAGGAGCAUUAUGAUGGACCAUAGCAGACAUUAAAGGUAUAAACCCAGUAGACUGCAUGCAUUACAUUCACCUUGAUGAAAAUGCUAAAACUACUAGGGAGAUGCAACGUCGGUUAAAUCCUAACAUGAAAGAAGUUGUUAGAACUGAAGUCCUUAAGCUAUUAGACGCAGGUAUCAUUUACCCCAUUUCUGAUAAUUCAUGGGUCAGUCCUGUACAAGUUGUCCCCAAAAAGUCAGGAGUCACUGUAGUUACCAAUGCCGAUAAUGAAUUGAUACCCACUAGAGUAACUACAGGAUGGCGUGUUUGCAUUGAUUAUAGAAAGUUGAAUUCUGUCACACGUAAAGACCAUUUUCCUUUACCAUUUAUCGAUCAAAUGCUUGAUAGAUUAGCAGGCCAUGAAUUUUAUUACUUUCUAGAUGGCUACUCAGGAUAUAAUCAGAUUCCCAUAGCACCAAAAGAUCAAGAGAAAACUACUUUCACUUGCCCUUUUGGCACUUUUGCAUAUAGGAGGAUGCCAUUUGGAUUAUGUAAUGCACCUGCUACAUUUCAACGAUGCAUGCUAAGCAUUUUUUCUGAUAUGGUUGAACGAUUUCUUGAAGUCUUUAUGGAUGACUUUUCUGUCUUUGGUGACUCGUUUGAUCAAUGUUUACAUCAUUUAACACUAGUUUUACAAAGAUGUAUCGAGAAGAACUUGGUCUUAAAUUGGGAGAAAUGCCAUUUUAUGGUAAAACAAGGUAUUGUUCUCGGUCACAUCAUUUCGAGCAAAGGUAUUGAGGUUGACAAAGCCAAGGUGGAUCUCAUUUCUAAUCUUCCUCCACCCAUAACAGUCAGAGAAGUAAGAUCUUUCCUUGGGCAUGCUGGUUUUUAUAAACGUUUCAUUAAAGAUUUUAGCAAAGUUUCUAGACCCUUAUGCAAUCUACUUCCUAAGGAUGUACCUUUUGUCUUUGAUGAUUCAUGUCUUGUGGCAUUUGAAAAAUUAAAGCAGUUGUUGAUAUCAUCACCCAUCAUUCAGCCCCCAAACUGGAGCUUACCAUUUGAGCUUAUGUGUGAUGCAUCUGAUUAUGCAGUAGGAGCAGUAUUAGGACAAAGAGCUGAUCGAAUUCCCCAUGUUAUUUAUUAUGCUAGUAUGGCAUUGAAUGAUGCACAAUUGAAUUAUUCAACUACUGAAAAAGAAAUGCUAGCAGUAGUGUUUGCAUUAGAGAAAUUUCGAUCCUAUCUCAUUGGUUGUAAAAUAAUUAUAUUCACAGAUCAUGCUGCUCUUAAAUAUCUUCUCACAAAGAAAGAUGCAAAAGCUAGACUAAUUCGUUGGGUGUUACUUUUGCAGGAAUUUGACUUGGAAUUCAAAGAUAAGAAAGGGACAGAAAAUGUUGUGGCGGACCACCUCUCUCGUCUCCAUUUUGACACAAUUACAGAGCCAUUAAUAUUGAAUAAGUCAUUUCCAGAUGAACAAUUAAUGAGUGUGGAAGUAUUACCUUAGUAUGCUGAUAUAGUUAAUUAUCUUAUUACAGGUAAACUUCCAGAGCAUUGGACCAAGCAAGAUAAGGCUAAAUUCUUUGCAGAGAUAAAAAAUUUCUUUUGGGAUGACCCGUAUUUGUUCAAGUAUUGUGCUGAUCAAAUUGUUAGACGAUGUGUCCCAGAAAAUGAAAUUCAGAAUAUCCUUUCAUUCUGCCAUGAACAAGCUUGUGGAGGCCAUUUCAGUGCUAAGAAAACAACUACUAAAGUUUUACAAUGUGGUUUUUAUUGGCCAACUAUAUUUCGAGAUGCUUAUACUUUUUGUUCUUCAUGUGAUAGGUGUCAACGAAUGGGGAGCAUUACACGAAGGAACAUGAUGCCACUAAAUCCAAUUUUAGUGGUUGAGAUUUUUGAUGUAUGGGGUAUCGACUUUAUGGGACCUUUUCCCUCGUCUUUUGGCCAUCAAUACAUAUUGGUUGCUGUUGACUACGUAUCGAAAUGGGUAGAAGCAAUUCCAUGCAGAACUAAUGAUCACAAGGUGGUGAUAAGAUUUUUGAAAAGCAACAUUGUCUCGCGCUUUGGAUUCCCUCGAGCAAUAAUCAGUGAUGGUGGUGCCCACUUUUGUAACAAAGCAUUCAAAGCUCUUUUGACAAAGUAUUCAAUCACACACAAAGUGGCGACCCCGUAUCAUCCGCAAACUAGUGGCCAAGUUGAGAUCUCCAAUCGAGAAAUAAAGCACAUAUUAGAAAAGACAGUGAGGCCAGACAGGAAAGAUUGGUCAUUAAGACUUGAUGAUGCGUUAUGGGCAUAUAGAACGGCUUUCAAGACCCCGAUUGGGAUGUCACCCUAUAGGCUAGUGUAUGGAAAAGCUUGCCAUCUACCUGUGGAACUCGAGCAUCGUGCAUAUUGGGCCAUCAAGAAAUUCAAUUUUGACAUGCAGCAAGCCAGCUCAGAAAGAAGAUUAUAGCUGGCAGAACUUGAAGAAAUUCGCAAUGACGCAUACGAAAAUGCCAAGAUUUACAAGCAACGAAUGAAAGUCUUCCAUGACAAGCAAAUUAUGAGAAAAUCUUUCACUCCAGGUCAGAAAGUGCUUUUAUUCAAUUCUCGCUUGCACUUAUUCCCAGGUAAGUUACGCUCUCGUUGGUCUAGCCCAUUUAUUGUUCAUACUGUUUUUCCACAUGGGGCAAUUGAAAUUAAGGACCCAAAGAACAGUGUCACGUUUAAAGUUAAUGGUCAAAGAUUAAAGCCAUAUCUAGAAUACCAACCACAUGGAGAAGACACCGAAAUAAAUUUGAGUGACCCACCAGAUUUGAAUUGAUUUUUCUUUCCGUUGAUUUGAUUUUUCUUUCUUUCUUUAUAUUAUUCUUUUGCUAAUUGAAAUUAUUUUUGCAUAAGUGUGUUUGUUUAACUAGUAAGUUUUCUCUUAUCAUUGUUAAUCAUGAGUCUCAUACUUAGACCGUUCCUCCUGAACAUUCUUAAACCACUUCAACGUGUCAAAACUCAUCUCAAAAGACAGAUUCAAUUUUGUAAAACACAUCGUAUUUGGACUCUACAACCACCAGAGUUAGUAGCCUAUGUUGAGGGUUUAGAAAGCCAACUCAGAGACAUUGAAAGAAGUGUUUACGACAUCCAGUUGGAGCUUGAGGUAAAUUCAAUAAGAGGAUGAUUUUAAUUUUCUUUGUGUGUUUUAAUUUGUUUUUCUGUUUGUGUGCUUUAGUUUGUUACCUCAGUGAAGUGGCGGAUAACGGUACUCCGUGACAAUCAAGUCGGUUACUUCAGUUUCCCAUAAUAACUGAUAUUCUGAGGUGAAAGUAUGGACAUAAAUGAGACUCUAGCGAAGCUUCACAAGCGAUUCCCUUCACUUCCUCAGAAUGCCCUCCUUACGGUCUAUAAAGCUCGGUCUGAACGCAUGCCAUUACUUAUGAGGAAUAACAUACCUGCUGACAUCCAUUGGUUAAUUGAGGCGAAAGUACGAUCGGCAGGUGAGUUACCUCCAAAAUUUAUUGCAUACAUGCCUGGUUGUGGUAAAGGAAAUUAUGCAAGAAAACGACGAGCUCGACGAAUUUCUGUUGCUUGUCAUAAGUGUGCCAGAAUGAGUUGCAAUAAAAACCCAUGUUCUUUAGGAAUGGUGUCUGAUAACAGGGAAGAUAAGAUUCAAUUCAUUAAGGAUGGCUUGAAUAAGGAGUCAUUGGAUGAUAUCCUUUUGUCUCUUGAAACGCAUCCCAGUGGAUAUGUGCAAGGAGCGAUUCUCCAGUUAUGACCAUUAUUCCAGAAAGAGCAUGCACGAUAUAGUCUCGGGAAUCUGACUAUAAACGACCCUGUUUGCCAGUUUAUAAGAAAAUUGGAUAGGAAGCCUAUCCUCGACCCAUAGAGGGCGUUCAAGCCGUUUCUGGACGUAAAACCAGAGGAAAAUGUGAGCCACAGUUGCAACUACCUGUAAAUAUCCUUUUACUUUACUGUUAUUUUUAUUUUAUUGUGUGCAUUAUUGUCUUUAAUAAUUUUAUUACUGUUUGCUUUUUUUCUUAUUACUGUUUACUUUUUUCUUUUUACUAUUUCCUUUUUUACUCGCGAGUCACGUGCUUUACGCCUUAUUUGACACUGACAUGUUACCUCAUACACAACUGUGACCCACUGUCACCAAGACUCUUAAAUGUGAUUUUUUUUGUCAAGCACUCACAAAUUGUUUUUCGAGAAGUAUCACAAUGGCAGCUACUCCAAAUAAACAAUCAAGAACAUUUGUGUGCUUUCUGGAUUUACCUAUGGCAAACAUAAAGAGUUCGUUGAGGCAGCCAUCGAUCUUGGUCGAAGUAUAGCAGAGGGAAAAUUAUACUUGGUGUAUGGAGGAGGUAACCGAGGGUUAUCAAAAAUGGUCUCUGAAGCAGCUUUUGUCAGAGGAAGUCAAGUGUUAGGCAUCAUCCCAAGAGUCCUAAAACCGUUGGGCAGUUCGUCUGACUCAUCAACUGGAGAAGAGUUAGUUGUCUCAGGUAUGCAAGAAAGAAUAACUGAAAUGCUUAAUCAUGCUGAUGCUUUAUUUUCCUUCCAGGAGAUCUUGCAACACUAGAGGCACUUAUCACACUAGCAUCUUGGGCCCAUCUGCACAUCCACCAGAAGCCCAUCGAUUUGUUAAAUGUCAAUAACUUUUAUGAUGGCUUUAUCGCAUUUCUUAACCAUGCAAUAAAAAACUAUUUCAUUCCCUCUAAUGCGAAAAAACUCUUUAUUUGUGCUCACACUGCUAAUGAGCUACUUGAUAUGUUACAAGCUUAUAGACCAGAGCCAGACCCCUGGACCUUUGUGUUGGAGCAUCCAAAUAAUGAUGGUAACAGUAGCCGCAGUAAGAAGUACAAAUUAGAUUUAACUCUCCGCUUGUAAAUAUUUUCUUUUGUGUUGCACUACCCAGGUGAUGUCUUCUAAACUCUACUUCUUUCCUUUCAAACAUUGAGGACAAUGUUUCGUUCUGGUUGGGGGGAGGGAAUAGUCGACAAUUGUGGAAUUUUGGUUAAGUUUUUACUAUUUUUUGUUGUAGAAACUAACUGUUGCUAACUUUUUGUGUUGAAGAUGGCUGAAUAUGGAGUGUAAUGACUCUAGAAACGCAUCUUCAUUGUUUAAAAAAAAUUAAAAACUAAAAAAAAAAUUCUAGACAUUUUCUUUUUCUUUAUUAUGUUUUUAUGUUUAUUUUUCUUCUUUUUAAUUUCUCCUCUAUAAAUAUACAUUUUCCAACUUGUGAGUCGAAGAUGGCUGAAUAUGGAGUGUAGUUCCUCUAGAAACGCAUCUUCUUUAAAAAAAAAAAUCAUUUUGUUUUUCCAUCAUUUUAAGUGUAACUUUUCUAAUUAGUUUUUCUGCAUCAUUUUCACAUUUCUGCAUGCAUAUUUUCCUUUCUUGUUUAGAAUAGGUUGGGGGGUAGAAUGUUGUUUUAAAAAAAAAAUUGUGUGAUUUGUUUUAACAUUGGAUGACAUGAUUAAUUUCAAAUUUUAGUAUUUGUAUUAUCUUUGGUCUUAAGUGAUGUUACAUUAUGUUUGCUACUCUACAUGUUGAUGUCGGAGACAAAUAUGAGUUGCUUGAAGGAAUGAACAUGUCAUAAUAAGUACCAAGUGAGUUUUUGAGCCUAUCAUUUUUCUUGGAGAGUAAUCCUUUUGCCCAUUCUUUAUACAGCUUAACAGUUUAUUAUUGUAUACACGAUCUCUAGAUUUCUUUUGAGUUAACCCUUAAAAAAAAUUACAAAAUUAAAAAAAAAAACAAGAAAAAAAGUGUGUUGCUACAUUGGGAGGCCCAUCUAACUAGUAGAUAUGGAUGAUUAUUUAGAGCCCUAAAAGACGAUGGAAAGGCCAUCUUUGUCCCGUUUGAGCCUUUAUAGCCAUCCCUUUUGUGAAAUAUCCAUAGUUAACAAUUUUGAGCCUUUUAAAAAAAAAAAAACCUUUUAUUUGUUUAACUUAUCUUGACCCACUCCGAUUUGGAGUAUUACCCAAUGUCUUAUAAGUUCCAUCACCUAUUUAUGUUUGAGAAAAAUGUAAAUAAGUAUUUUUAUUCAAUGAAGUUAUGCCAAAUAAAAGCAAAAAAAAAAAAACAACAAAACAAAAAUUGUUGUUUCAAAAGAAAAAUAAAAAAUAAAAAAAUAAAAAUAAUAGGUGAAAUCCACCUUGCAACUUUCAAAAAAAAAAAUUCUCUGCAUUUUUCUCAAACAUACACUUUGUUUUCCUUAUUUCCCUUAUUUGUUAGCCAUGUCCCUAGCCUACGUUACGUCCUAAUAAAAGUCCUUCUUGAUUUUAGGGAACUAUAGUUUGAAGUAGAAGCUAGUUAUAUGGGCUAAAAAGAUGUAGUGAUGCAUAAUAAAAAAAAAGAUAAAUAAAGUGGGUUGACUAGCAUUUUUGUUUGACUUGAGAUCGUAUUAUUUCUAAGCUGAGGGCAUAUUUAUUUCAUCUUGGUGAGAGCAUGUGAUAUCACUCCCUUAUUAUUUUCUCUCAAUUACCAUUCAUUGGAGUGACUAUUUUUAUUGGGUUUAAUUUCUUUGUGAGAGUGUCACUACUUCCAGUGAGAUUUUGGGGUUUGACAUGUCAUUCUUGAAAGUAGCUAUGACAAAGUCUACUGGGCUGAUUCAUGUGGAUGGUUGAUGUGGGUGUGAUGUUGCUUUAGACUGGAGAUAAUGCUUAUACUUUUAUUUGAUUGCUAUCAUUAAUCUGAUUGAAUAAACAUGAGUGUUUCUAAAUAAGAUAAAAUCAAAAAUCAUUUUGAAUUUGAAUUUUGUUUUCGCUUCAUUUGCUAGGGACUAGCAAUAAGCUGGUUGGGGGGUGUGUUGAGUGUUAGAAAAUGCAUAUUUAUAAAGGGGAAAACUGUCAUUUUACAUUUCAAGUCUUACUAACACCUUUACUUUUAUGAAUUUAACAUUCUUUUGAUUUAAUUCCGUUUGUUUUAUUUUAAUUAAGUAUUUUAUGUAUUUUAGGGGCAUCAUAGUCAUUUCACAAUAAACGAGAAAUCAGAUGGCAAAACGGACAUCACUUUUGAACUCAGGACGGUCGAAAACCUUAGGAGGAGCAUAAAAGGAAAAAUGGCACUGUUCACAUGUACGGUACUAUUCUCGUGUACGGUACUGUAUACGUUACUGUUCACGACACUGUUCACAUAGACGGAUGAUGACGUGGCAUUGACCGAUGAUGUGGCAUUGACUGAUGAGGUGUCACGAUCCUGUUGGGCUAAAAUUCUUAUGUACUGUUGAUGGUGACGUGGCAGCAUAUCAGUGGACGAAAAAUCUCGCGUACGGUACAUGCAUCACACAGGAUUAUUUUCAACCAAACCGCGUUACUGUUCAUCUGAGUCAAACCGCGUUACUGUUCAUCCGAGUCAAACCGCGUUACUGUUCAUCCGAGUCAAACUGUGUUACUGUUCAUCCGCGUGGUCAAACCGCGUACUGUUGACUGAUGACGUGGCGCAAUCCUGAGCGUCCAAACUGUUUUUAAUCCGAUGGUUAUGAUUUACUCCAUGUAUCUAUAAAAAGGGGGCCUCUCCCCCCUAAUUUGAUAUCUUUGAAUCCAUUUUUGGACUCCAUUUUCUGUAAUUCCCUCUCCAUCUUGUAUUUUCUUCGUGUUUUAAUAAAUUCCCAUUUUGCCCCUAGUUCAAUUAUGAGUGGCUAAUUUUCUUUUAAGCUUGGGUUGAAGGUGAAGUCUCAACAUGUGUCAUGGGCUUAAUUUGGUAAAUUUAUUUUCUCUUCCCCUCUAGUUUUUGUGGAUGUUUUGACUUCUCGUCGACAAAUAAUAAUAAGCUUGUCUAGAUACCGCUUUGGUUACACCGGCUCUCUAGUAUAAGGUUAUUAUUAUUUGGCACGGUAAGCCCUUAGCACCAUAUUGAUUAGAGCGUGGUUCAUGAGGUGUGGAUUCCCCCCUCAUGAUUUAAUUGGUAUUAAUAAGGAAUAUUUAGCCCAUGAUGCAUGUUGAUACGGAUCCCGAUACCCAAGUACGUCAUUUCAAUAGAUUUCGCUUCAAUUUAUUCUCGCCAUUGCAAUUCCAAUUUUAGAAUCUCAAUUCCAAUUUUAGGAUAAUUUAAAUCACUUCCACCACAAUUUCAACCACCCAUUUACAAAAUUAAUUCUACAUAUAAUUAAAGUCCACCUCCUCGUGGGAUCGACACUCAUCACCAUUGAUCUAUACUAUAAUAGAUUCGUGCGCUUGCAAGUACAUUAAAAUUUGCACAACAAUAUUCUAAUUUUGUUAAAAACAGAAUAGCCACAUUCAAAAUAAGUUUUUUGGAAAAUAUAGAUAGGUACAUGGAACCUAAUCAAAUAGCUGUGUAGUUUAAAUAUUCCUUUCCAGAGUUUUAAUUUAUAGCAAGGCAGUAGAAUGAACUAGCAUAAAGCGAGAUCAUAUUCAACAUUAAUCUGGAUUUACUGUAACAAUUUGUGUACUAUGUGUCUGAGGUGCUAAUAAGUUUUACUCUCCACAAUCCUGGAGUGUGGCAAAAUGAAAAAGUUAGUAUAUUCUUUAAUACCUUAUAUUUUGGGUUUAUCUGUAUUUUUUUAAGCUUUUGUUUCUACCAUUUGUCAAUGAUUUAAAGAAGAAAGUUGUGCCGAAUAUGGUGAACUUAGCAACUCCCUUUGCAAUUGGAUUAAAAUAAUUAAUACUUAAGAAUUUUCUUCUUUUAAGUUGGAGUUUUAUAUUUCCAUUAACCAAUCUUUAUUUGUAUUAUAUUGCUACUCUAGGGCUUAGUGACAUGUUUUCUGACUGAUAUUGGUGCUUUUUUGAUAGGUUGAGUCUAAGCUCAAAGAGACAGCUAGGCUCGAACAGCAAUUGAUAGAGAAGCAAGCUACUCCAUUAAAAGGAGAAGAGGUUGCACAAUUAGCUCAAAUGAAGUCGAAUGACGAAAUUUGUAAGCUUAGAGAGAAUCUUGAAAGAGGUCAGAGGGAGACUGAGGAGCUCCGUAAGCGAGCUGAAAAAUGAGGGUGCGCCAUUCUUUGACCUAAUCACCUGCAGACAUUAUAUGCCAUUGGCAUGAAAAUCAUCUAAAGUGUAUUUUUUCUAUCUCCCGUACCUUUUCAGAUAAUAUUUGAAGUUAAUACUGCAUUUAUUCUCAAUGUUUUACUACAAGUCAAGAAGCUUGUAUCCUCUAUUAUGUAAAUGUUCCCAGUCCAAUCUCAAGUGCGGUCUUAAGAUAGUAUUAUAUGGAAAAAUUGUAUUGACAUCAAAUGAAGUUUCUUUUAUGGAGCCA
rnacentral:lncRNA from 1 species